CAAACUUUCUCAUAGUUAUGGCGACUACUCAUGAACUUGUGAAAGUUACUCAAAUCACAGAAAUCACAGAACCUGCCUCCGAAUACUUCGAGCAGUUCCAAGCUCGCCAAGUCUUCAACUGGGGCAUUCACACGUCCAGGAAGAUUGAGGUAUUAGAGGUCCACAUCAUUUUUUUUUUUUUGGAUCCAUUAAAAAAAAAUUAAUGUUUUUUUUGCACAAUUAUAACAAAGUGAUAUUUUUAAUGGCUCUUAACUAUUUAACCAUUAAUAGCCAUAACUUGAAUAGGUAUAUAUUAUAAAAAUGACAAUUAAAAAAUAGAUGUGAAGAUAUUAUUUGAAAUUGAGCCGAGGAUUUAUCGGAAAUAACUUAUCUAUCGCACUUCAGAGUAGUGGUACGACUAUAUUUAAGUAUUUUUUUUAUAAAUUUAAUUUACCUCCCAUUUUUUUUACCUUUUAUCCUUUUUUUUUAUUUUUCGUUCUUAGUUUUGAAUUUAUGCUUGAAUUUUUUUUGUUCUUAGUUCGAUCUUAUUCUUAAUUUUUUUCCGCCUUUAGUUUGCAAAAAAAAUAGAAAUUUGCCGAAAAAAAUAAAACUUCACCGGAAAAAUGUAAAUUCAUUUUUUUCCACAAAUCAACAAAAUUGUAAAUUUAAUUCAAAAAGAAAAAUAAAAAAUGUUAUUUUCCUAAAUCAAUAAGCGAGUGAACCUCAAUGCUAAACUAAAUAACAAUGUUUUGCAGUAACUUUUGGAAGAGGGUCUUGACAUGGGAUUGUUCCCACUCCAAUCUUUCCCACCAAUUUUUAUCAUCAACUCUGAUUACUCCAAGGGAUGGAAAAGGAUGUUCAUUUGUAGUAUAGAAAGGCAUCCUCUUCAGAUUCUGGCAACCUCCUAAUCUCAUGUCUUCAAGGGAAUCACACAUCAGUUUUCCCUCACAGAUACUCUUCAAUUGAGGCAGGACCAUCAGGUUGAGGUCUUUUAGCUUAGGAAGAUCAGCAGUUGUAGAUGUACUGCUGCUUUGGCUACUUCUCUCUCCUUCCUCUCUUCCUAUUAUCUCUUCCAUCUCUGAACACCGACCUACAAAAAGCACCUCAAGGUUCUUGAGAUCCUGCAACAUAGCCCGUGGAAACAACUUCUUCAUCCUAUCACACUUGGAGAUAUUCAAUUCUGUUAGACCCGAGAAGGUGUGAGAUGCAAUUUUUCCCUUACAGAGCCCAACAAGAUUGCGCAAGCUAUGAACACCCAGACUAUGGAAAGGUAUGCAGUGUGGGUCUGUAGUUGUGUCUCUACCAGAGGGAACGUUGACGAUCCAUUCUAUCUCAUCACAACCAUAGAUGCUGCAGGUCAAGACUCUUGAAGAAGUAGUCCGUGACAGAAAGUUGUCCACAAAGCAGCUACUCAGCCCAUGGCAUUUGCUAAUCUGUAGAAAGUCAAUGCCAUGUGGAAGAAAAAUUGAUGUUGCUGCUUCAAUGGUGUAAUCUUCUACAAUCACUCUUCUCUGUUUCGGUAUGUAGUCAUCAAAGCNNNNNNNNNNNNNNNNNNNNNNNNNNNNNNNNNNNNNNNNNNNNNNNNNNNNNNNNNNNNNNNNNNNNNNNNNNNNNNNNNNNNNNNNNNNNNAUCUUUCUCAUAGUUAUGGAGACUACUCAUGAACUUGUUAAAGUUAUGCAAAUCACAGAACCUGCCUCUGAAUACUUCGAGCAGUUCCAAGCUCGCCAAGUCUUCAACUGGGGCAUUCACACGUCCAGGAAGAUUGAGGUAUUGAAGAUGGGAAAGUUUAGUUAAUAUCUCCUUUGGCAGUUCAUCGAGACGUGUUCUACCCAUAUCCAGAAAUUUAAGCUUGACUAAGUUUUCCAUGCCUUGAGGUACUUCUUCAAUACCAGUGCCAGAUACAUCUAACACCCUCAGAUUUUUGAGCUUUCCCAGUGGUGGCACAGAUUUGAGCAGAAAACAUCCUCGAAGUGAGAGUGCUCUAAGACUUUCCAAGUUAGAAAUGCAACUUGGCAAAUCCAUAAGCUCAGAGUUGCAGCUCAAGUCGAGUACUUGGAGGUUGUUCAUGUACUGAAAGAAAGGACCUGGGAUCAUUUUCAAACCACAAUAGGACAAAAUCAAGGUUGAUAAUGUGGGGCAAUUGGGUGCCAUCUCUUCAGGGAUUCUCUUUAUCUUGCUUCGGUAAAAAGAGGCUCUAUCCAAAUCGAACACCCAAUCCUGCUCCUCCAACACUAGUGAUCCUAUUCCAGCCCUUACCAGGUACCUUGGUUUGUCAUUUGUGAUCCGCAAUGCCAUUUCUCUGAGUAGAUCAUGCAUCCUUACUGCUUCAUCUCCAAAGUCAUCGGCAGUUGCUUCAAGUAAGCAGAGAUUCACUAGUUUAUUCAAUAUCGUAUGGCCAUGGUUAAACUCUUUUUCCCUACUAUUUCCCUUCACCAGACCUUCCAUGAUAAAUUUACCAAUUAGUUCAUCUCUACCAAUUUUGUAGUCUUCAGGAUACAAAGCACAGUACAAAAAGCACUCUUGCAUAGUUGUAUCUCUCAACCGAUCAUAACUGUACUUCAGCACCUUGAAGACAUCAUUUUCCAUAUCAUCAGGGAAUUCAUUCAAAGCAUUGUUCCACUCCCUUAUAUCAGUCACCCCUCUCAUGCUUCCUGCCAAAGUGAUGAGCCCAAGCGGCAAGCCCUCACACUUUGUUGCCAUGGAUUCGGCAACUCUCUCGAUAUCUGGACUAAGCCGAGUCUCAGAUCCUAGACUCUUCCGGAACAGCUCCCAUGCAUCAGAAGCAUUGAGUUUCUUUACUUUGAGUAGUUUUUUACAACCCAUCUUUUGGCAGACUUCAUACGAGCGAGUUGUUAGAAUCAACUUACAACCCUGCACACCAAGAGGGUUACCCAGCUUCUCCAAGCUAAGGCACUCCCAGACAUCAUCCAAUAUGAUAACAAUAAUGUUCUUCAUUUUUUUGAAUGCCCAGUUUAAUUGGUCCGCCCUUCCGUCUUCAUCCGUCACAUGUGAUAGGUUCAGCUUCACAAUUUUCGCAAGAUAGUCUUGUAAUCCUUUGAUGCUAAACCCUUGAGAGACCGUAACCCAGUGGACUUGAUAACGACUAUCUUUACGAAGACGAUUAUAUGUAUGUUUAGCCAAAGUGGUUUUACCCACCCCUCCCAUACCAUAUAUACCGAUGCUUGAGACAUUCUCAUCCUGUAACCACAUCCAAAUCACUUCUAUAUUCUGUUUUGAUAUUUCCUCCUGAACUGGUUGCACCUGCAUUGGACACUCCUCGCUUUCAUACACAUCACACACGAGCUCUCCAAAAUUUCCUCUUUGUUCAACUUCUGCAACUCUUCCAUUCAACUCCUUCAAAGCACCUAUAUUUUUCUUCCCUCUUGUUGCUUCUUCUUUUAACAGACGAAAUUCUUCUUUGAGCUGUUCAACCUCGUUAAGCCAAGAUUCAACUUGUUGUUUCCUCUUCUUCCUCCCAGAUCGCUCUUGAUUCUCAACAUCUCUCUUCAUAUCGUCUGCUCUAUCUGAUAAUCGCUUUACAUUUCUUUCCAGAGUUUUCAAAUCCUCACCAAAGGUUAUGCAACUCGUAAUCUUCUUUAUCAAAAAUCUACCCCCCUGAUCUAUAUAUUCAACUACCUUCCCAGCAACAGCUUCCAUGAUAUUCCUGAAAGUGCUGCAACAAAAGAACCAUCCAAAAGUAGUUCAGUUGCUGUGGAUAAAAUUAUAAUAGUAACUAUUUUGAAUAUAAUUCAAAUUCAAAUCUUAAUGUGAUAUUUUCUCAAUAAAACUAACUUUUCUAUCAUAUUCCUUUAAGCACUUGUUUAUUCUCACUACUAUAUAGAAGAAGCGUGUGCAAAGCACCGGCCCAAUAUCUAUCAUAAAUUAAUAUUAUAAUAAUAAUCACAUUAACUAAUGAGACAUAUUUUGGAUUUUGAAAUUUAAAUAACUUUAGUUUUCAAGGUAAUUUUUGCAUAUAUUCUUAAAAUAUUUUAAAUUAUUAAUUAUUGUGAUUUAUUAUUCAAAUAUAUAAUUUUAUUUCAAAAAUUUAAUUUAGGAUCAAAAUUAAACUCUACAAAUGUAUAAAUUAAUAAAGAGUAUGAAAAGCAAAAUUCGAUGGACCUAUAUUACUGUUUUUCAAAUAACACGGGCUAAGUAUAUUUUAAUUUUUUCAUUUCAAUUUAUGUGAAACCAAUACAACAACAACAAACCCAGUGUAUUCCCACUUAGUGGGGUCUGCGGGGGUAAGAUGUACGCAGUCCAUACCUCUACCUCUAAAGAAGUAGAAAGGCUGUUUUCGAUAGACCCCCGGCUCAAGGCACGAGAUACCACACAAACACAUAGUAAAGCACAGAACAAGAUUACAUAACAUAAAUACGGCACCCAUAAGUAAUAUAAAACAGAGAAAAACACACAGAUUCGUAAUAAAACAUGGAACACGGAACACGGAAUCAUAACAGGAAUAAAACCCCCACCAAGUAAUNNNNNNNNNNNNNNNNNNNNNNNNNNNNNNNNNNNNNNNNNNNNNNNNNNNNNNNNNNNNNNNNNNNNNNNNNNNNNNNNNNNNNNNNNNNNNNNNNNNNNNNNNNNNNNNNNNNNNNNNNNNNNNNNNNNNNNNNNNNNNNNNNNNNNNNNNNNNNNNNNNNNNNNNNNNNNNNNNNNNNNNNNNNNNNNNNNNNNNNNNNNNNNNNNNNNNNNNNNNNNNNNNNNNNNNNNNNNNNNNNNNNNNNNNNNNNNNNNNNNNNNNNNNNNNNNNNNNNNNNNNNNNNNNNNNNNNNNNNNNNNNNNNNNNNNNNNNNNNNNNNNNNNNNNNNNNNNNNNNNNNNNNNNNNNNNNNNNNNNNNNNNNNNNNNNNNNNNNNNNNNNNNNNNNNNNNNNNNNNNNNNNNNNNNNNNNNNNNNNNNNNNNNNNNNNNNNNNNNNNNNNNNNNNNNNNNNNNNNNNNNNNNNNNNNNNNNNNNNNNNNNNNNNNNNNNNNNNNNNNNNNNNNNNNNNNNNNNNNNNNNNNNNNNNNNNNNNNNNNNNNNNNNNNNNNNNNNNNNNNNNNNNNNNNNNNNNNNNNNNNNNNNNNNNNNNNNNNNNNNNNNNNNNNNNNNNNNNNNNNNNNNNNNNNNNNNNNNNNNNNNNNNNNNNNNNNNNNNNNNNNNNNNNNNNNNNNNNNNNNNNNNNNNNNNNNNNNNNNNNNNNNNNNNNNNNNNNNNNNNNNNNNNNNNNNNNNNNNNNNNNNNNNNNNNNNNNNNNNNNNNNNNNNNNNNNNNNNNNNNNNNNNNNNNNNNNNNNNNNNNNNNNNNNNNNNNNNNNNNNNNUACUCCACUCACCUCCAAGCAUCUCCAAAGCACCUCCCUGGGUACUUUGUCGUAAGCCUUCUCCAGGUCGAUAAACACCAUGUGCAGGUCCUUCUUCCUCUCCCUAUACAAUUCCACCAACCUCCGUACCAGGUGAAUUGCCUCCGUCAGACCGCCCCACUUAAUUCUAGGUCUACACUCCUUACUCCUCUUCUUUUUAUUCUUCUUUAUACCCAAAUCCAUAACCAAGAGCCUAUGCUGGGUCGAAAGAUUCUCACUCGGGAUGACCUUACAGUCCUUACACAACGCCCUAUCCCCUUUCCUAAGCAACAAAAAGUCAAUCUGGGUCCUGGCUCUCGCGCUUCGAAAGGUGAUCAGGUGCUUUUCCUUCUUCGGGAAGCCCGAGUUUACCACCACCAGCCCAAAGGACCUCGCAAACUCCAAUAGGGUAGCCCCCUCUUCGUUUCUCUCCCCAAAACCAAAACCACCAUGCACAUCACCAAAGCCUCCCGGUAACGCCCCGAUGUGCCCGUUGAAAUCUCCUGCUACAACAAUCUUCUCCGAGCUAGGCACNNNNNNNNNNNNNNNNNNNNNNNNNNNNNNNNNNNNNNNNNNNNNNNNNNNNNNNNNNNNNNNNNNNNNNNNNNNNNNNNNNNNNNNNNNNNNNNNNNNNNNNNNNNNNNNNNNNNNNNNNNNNNNNNNNNNNNNNNNNNNNNNNNNNNNNNNNNNNNNNNNNNNNNNNNNNNNNNNNNNNNNNNNNNNNNNNNNNNNNNNNNNNNNNNNNNNNNNNNNNNNNNNNNNNNNNNNNNNNNNNNNNNNNNNNNNNNNNNNNNNNNNNNNNNNNNNNNNNNNNNNNNNNNNNNNNNNNNNNNNNNNNNNNNNNNNNNNNNNNNNNNNNNNNNNNNNNNNNNNNNNNNNNNNNNNNNNNNNNNNNNNNNNNNNNNNNNNNNNNNNNNNNNNNNNNNNNNNNNNNNNNNNNNNNNNNNNNNNNNNNNNNNNNNNNNNNNNNNNNNNNNNNNNNNNNNNNNNNNNNNNNNNNNNNNNNNNNNNNNNNNNNNNNNNNNNNNNNNNNNNNNNNNNNNNNNNNNNNNNNNNNNNNNNNNNNNNNNNNNNNNNNNNNNNNNNNNNNNNNNNNNNNNNNNNNNNNNNNNNNNNNNNNNNNNNNNNNNNNNNNNNNNNNNNNNNNNNNNNNNNNNNNNNNNNNNNNNNNNNNNNNNNNNNNNNNNNNNNNNNNNNNNNNNNNNNNNNNNNNNNNNNNNNNNNNNNNNNNNNNNNNNNNNNNNNNNNNNNNNNNNNNNNNNNNNNNNNNNNNNNNNNNNNNNNNNNNNNNNNNNNNNNNNNNNNNNNNNNNNNNNNNNNNNNNNNNNNNNNNNNNNNNNNNNNNNNNNNNNNNNNNNNNNNNNNNNNNNNNNNNNNNNNNNNNNCCCUGUGCCUCCCCCCCACCCCCCCCCUUUCCUCAUCCCCCGCCCCCACCACGGCCCCACGCCCCAACCCCCUUGGACAUGGCCCUAUCCACCCAUUACCGCCCACAGCCACAACUACCCGAAAGUAUAAGCAAAUAUAAAGAUAUAAACGAUGGUAACGAUGGUAGUAGCAAUGCAGCAGCAAGAAAUACAAAUUCGAAGGAAUACUCUAGGAACAAAACUAUAUUCAAUUAGGGGGCAAACACCACAGCAACAGCAACAACAGACAACAGACAAUAUCCACAAAUCUCACGCAAGUCAAGGUACAGGGGCUACUACUAGCCUAAUACGAAGAAUGCAAUAAAAUAAAAUAAAUUAAAAUACAAUAAAAUGACAAAGGUUAGAGGUAACCGGAUUACGCUUGUAGACCAAGCCGGAAACCACGCCCAGCGUUGACCGGCUUCUGGGGGUUUUCGGUGCUGUGAUGGAGCUGCGGCUGCUGUAAACCGAGCGGCGGGUGCAGACGGAGCUGCGGCUGAACACCGAGCUUCGGCUGUUGGAGACCGAAUCGGCGGCUGAAGACCGGGCGGCGGCUAGCUGGAGACCGAGGUGGGGGGGNNNNNNNNNNNNNNNNNNNNNNNNNNNNNNNNNNNNNNNNNNNNNNNNNNNNNNNNNNNNNNNNNNNNNNNNNNNNNNNNNNNNNNNNNNNNNNNNNNNNNNNNNNNNNNNNNNNNNNNNNNNNNNNNNNNNNNNNNNNNNNNNNNNNNNNNNNNNNNNNNNNNNNNNNNNNNNNNNNNNNNNNNNNNNNNNNNNNNNNNNNNNNNNNNNNNNNNNNNNNNNNNNNNNNNNNNNNNNNNNNNNNNNNNNNNNNNNNNNNNNNNNNNNNNNNNNNNNNNNNNNNNNNNNNNNGAGGGCCGGGGACCGGGGGGCCGGGGGCCGGGGCGCGGGAGAGAGAGAGAGGAUACGGAGAGAGAGAGAGAGCCGUUAGAGAGAGAGUAGAGCACAGAAAUCCUCCUUAUGUGAAACCAAUAGAAUUUGUAAUUUUCAAAUAAUAUAUGUUACUCUCCUUGUCCAAACUUUUGUAACAUUGAUAGUCAAUUAUAUUUUUUAAGUAAUUUAAGUUUUUAAUUAUUGUGAUUUAUAAACUUUUUUUUAUUUCAAUUUAAGUGGCAUGAUGCUUACAUGACUAUAAUAAUUAAUGAGAGGUGAUAUAGUGAAAUCAUGAAUAAAGCAGUGAAACAUACAUGUCUUAAAUGACUCACAACAACUAAUUAGAGGUGAUUAUAAAAAUACUUAUGAAAAAAAUUUAAGUGAACCUCGUAAAAGACGUGAAGUUAGUUUUAAACAUCAAGAGUUAACUUAUCAUUUUAUAUAUAUUUUAGUUUUUUAUUAAAUAUUAUUUUUUAAUAUUAAAAUAACUUCUAAUAAUUAAUUAGGGUGAUAUUAGUAAAAUUACAAUUGAAGCAACUGAAGCAUACAUGUCAAAUAUUUAUUUUAUUUUUAAUUAAAUAUAAGCAGCUUAUAAUAAUUAAUUACGAAUGAUAUAAUAAAAUCACGGAGCAGGCAGCUGAAGCAAAAAUAUCGACGGAGAUCUUCUUCAGCCGCCCAACUCUCUAUUAUAGGAGACCUAUAGUUGGCUACCGUGCUACGUACGAGAAUGUUAAUCCUUGAAAAUUUUACGUCAUAUAUAAUUUUAUCAUUUAAUUAAAAUCUUCAUUUGUUUGGUUGAUAAAUUCCUAGUUAGACAUAUAUUAUUAUAUUUAGAUUAAUGAAAUUUAUAUAAGAAUAUUUUAAAUUUUUAAUAUGACACCCAUAUAAUUUUAAAAAUUAAUUAAUUUGUUUUGAUUUACUUUUCACAUAGUAAUUAUCAAAUAUAUACUAAAAUAUUUUAAUUUAGUUAAUUGUUGUAAUUUAAAAUACCUUUUAUCUAAUUUUUAAAUAAUGUAUGUUACUUUUCUUGUCCCAAAUUUUGUGGCAUUGAUAGUCAGUUAUAUUUUAAAAAUAAUUUAAAUUUUUUAUUGUUGAGAUUUGUAAUACUUUUUUUACUAUUCAUAUUUAAGUGACACUGAUAUAAUUUUGACAAUCAACCAAAUAUUUUAUAUCUUAAAUUUUUUAAUUUAUUAAUUACUGUGAUUAAUAUAUUUUUUAUGUAUUUUUUGAAAUAUAUAACAGAUUAAUUAUUUUUUUUAGAUAUUUUAAGUUGUUAACUAUUGUAAUUUACUACGUACUUUUGUAAAUAUAUAACACAUUAAUUAUUUUUUUAGAUAUUUCAAGUUUUUAACUAUUGUAAUUUAUAAUGUUUUAUGCAAUUUUUAAAUAAUAUAUGUUACUCUCCUUGUUCAAAUUUUUUUGGCAUUUAUAUUCAAUAUAUUUUUUAAAUAAUUUAAUUUUUCAAUUAUUGUGAUUUAUCUAUUCCAAUUUAAGUGGUACAAUGGUUAAAUGACCAUAAUAAUCACUUGUAAUUAAGAGUGAUAUAGUAUAACCGUGUCUUAAAUGACUUAUAAUAACUAAUAAGAAGUGAUAUAACAAAAUUACUAUAAAAGUUACCUGUCAAAAAAUUAAGUGACCUUCAUAAACAUCAAGUUAAUUUAACAUUAAAUAUCAUUAAUUUUUUAAUACUUAGAUGAGUUAUAAUAAUUAAUUAUGAAUGAUAUAGUAAAUUAUGGUUGAAAUAACUGAAGCAGACAUGUAAUAAAUGUUUAUUUUAUUUUUUUGUUAAAUAUUAAUUUUUCUAAUAUAUAAAUAACAUAUAAUAAUUAAUGAAAAAUGAUAUAAUAAAAUUAAGAAGCAAGCAUGUCAAAUGUCAACAAUGUCGAUAGUGCGGUGUGUGCUUCUACUGACACACCGUGACUUCUUAUAUAGGAGAAUAAUAUAAAUGUCAAGUUGAAAAUAUUAAACAAUGUGUCCAGUAGAACACUUUGGAAUAAAGCAAGUAAUAUCAGACUAGCUAGCCAUUAUUAAGACAAUAAUUUAAGGAAGGACCCGUAUUUCUACUUGUUCAGACCUAGGGUGUGUUUGUUAUGAAGGAAAAUGAUAGGUUGGUGAGUGAAAAUAUUUUUUGAAAAAUAUUUUUUAGUGUUUGAUUAAUGAAUGAAAAAAUAUUCUUCAGAAACUAUAUUUUAAUGUUUAGCUAAAGAAUAGAAAUUACUUUUUAGAAAAAUAAUUUUUGAUCUCAAAAAAUACUUUUUUUAUGAUGUAUUUGAUAUGUAGAAAAAUAUUUUCUAGAAAAAUAACUUGUUUCUUACUUAUAUUCUUGUGUCCGUUUAGCUAGUAGAAAAUAUUAGAAGUAUUUAUACAUAUUUAACAAAAAGUAAUGAAAAGAAUGGGGUAAGAAGGAUGGGUAGUAGUAAAAAAGUUUUGAAACUUUGUUAAAAAAUAAAUUGAAAAAAAUAAUUUGUUUUAGAAGUGGGGCUGCUAGGUGUGUGGGGGUGAGGGAGGGUCAGGAUAGGUGGUAGGGGUGGCGUAAGAAAAAAGUUUUGAAUUUUUUUUUUAAAAAAUAAAUUUUAAAAAUAUUUUUUAGAAAAAAAAAAAAGGGAGUGGGGUGGGGAACGUCAGGUAGGGGAGUGAGUAUGGGGUAAAAAAAUUAAAUUUUAAAGCAAAUUUUAAAAUUUUAUUUUUUUUGGACCAGCGAGGGAGGAGGGGUUGAAAUUUUUUUAAAAAAAAUUAUAUAUUUUUUUAGGGGAGGCUGGUAGGAGGUGGAGGCCGGGCAAGGAAUAGGGUAAGAAAAAAAUUUGAAAUAGUUUUUUAAGAAAAUUAAAUAUUUUUUUUAUGUGGGGUGGUAAAGGAUUGGGAGGCGGGGAAGGAAUGAGUGAUUUUGAGAGUUACAGAACAUUUUAACUUGAGACUGAGGUUGAAAAAGAGUUUUGAAAAAUAUUUUCCCUAGUUUUUAAGGAAAGCCAUUUUUCUUAAAUUUUAAAAAAUAAAUUAAUUUGAAAAAUAUUUUUUAAAAUAUUUAAGUCAACCAAAUAUGAAAAAAUUAAAAAUAUACUUGUAUUACUAAAAGUAGUAAUACAAGCGUAGCUUUAUAAUGUCCACAUUCCAAAAUACUUGAUCCUUUUUAUUUGGCACGCCCCUUAAGAUUUCAAUGAUAGAAGGUGUUUUUUUAACCUUUUUACUCAUAUACCCUAAUAACUAAUCUAUAAUUAUGAUAGAAAUCAAGAAAUAUUUAAUUGAUGGAAUGCACUCCUUACUGCUCCAAUAAAUAUAGUUGUUUAUAUUCACUUAGAAAUUUUAUACAGAGAGGCAAAAAGGGAGAAAAAGGAUCGGAUAGGUAUUUGACAUUUACAUUUAAUAAUAGUCUUGAAACAGGAAAAAAUUUCGCUAUUAAGCCUCUUCAAGUUUUCAAUUAGCAAAAUGAACCACUGAAAAAAUUUGGCUAUUAAAUCCGUUCAAGUUUUCAAUUAGCAAAAUAGCCUACUUCUAUUUUCUCAUUUGUCGAAUUAAUAAUCGAUCUGUAAAUAUAUAGGUCGGAUCGAUAAUCGAUCUGUCUAUAUAUAAGUCGGAUCGAUAAUCGAUCUGUCUAUAUAUCGAUUAGAUAGAUAAUAGAUCUGUCUAAACAAUGUAUCAUUUUCUUAAAAAAAAAAAAAAAGUUAUAGUCCAUUUAAUUAAAAAGAAGACUUAAAAAGGCCAGUUAAUAAAAGAUUCCUUCUAACUGUACCGUUUUUUGUGUAUUGAAUUCAUCUUCAUUUAUUAUAGCUUUUUCUUUUUCUAAUGCGACUAGUUUCUAUUCUAAAUCAUUUACUCUGGUUUCUAAAGUUGCUAUUCUUAAGUUUGUAAUUUGAUUGUUUACUUGUAUUUGUUCAUUAAUUAUCUCUGGUUCUAUUUUUAUUUUUAGCUUAUUUUCUAUGCAAUUUACACAUGCUUCCAUAUAACAUUUUUUACAUUUAGCUCUAUUUUCUUUACUAGGGUACCAAUUACAUAUGCUACAUUGAUUACUGUCCAUUCCCUUUUGUUUUUGAAAAUUAUGUAUACAUUCUUGUGUAACAUUCAUUAGAUUGUUAAUUAAUAGAUCAUCUAAAUUCAGUACUCAUCUGUUUUUGUCCUCAUUCGUUUAUUAAAUUAUCUUCUUAUGAAUCUGAAGAAUCAGAUUUAGGUCCAUCAUUUAACUCAAAACUUAUUAUAGAAUAUAUACUUUCAUUAUCUGACAUAUAUUCAUCUAGGUUUAAUAGGGUUUCUUGAAAAUCUUCUAUUAGUUGAGAAUUUCUAGUUUUACUAUUAUUUCUUUUGGAACAUAGAUUUGAUAAAUGAUCUAUACUUCCACAUGUAUAACAUUCUAAUUUAUUUUUAGAAUUUCUAUCAUUACUGUAUUUUCUGACAUGUCUAUCUUUGUUUAGGUAUGGUUUCUUGGCUUUUGAUUUGCGCAAGAAAUAUCUUUUACGAUAGUAUGGUUUCUGAUUGUAUCUCUUUUUAUAUUUUUUAGGUUUUCUUUGGUCAUUAUCAUAAUUUUGGAUUGUAUAUAUAAUAGAUAUGCAGAAAUUCAUUUCGUUUUUCUUUAGUUGUUUUUGUAUUUGUAUGCUUGUACAUUUUUCUAUUAGGAUAUCCAUAACAUGUUGUAUUUUAUGUCCUAUAGUCCAUUUAGCAUUUGGAUUUUGAAUGACACAAUCUCUUUUGUACCAUCUAUCUUCUAUUUCUCUUCCUAAAGCUCCUGGUAAUUUAUGAAACAAUUUUUUACCUAAUUCGUCAUCAAAAGUAUUUCCUCUAAUUGUACAAUAGUAAAAGUAGUCUUUUAGGAAAUUCUUUAUGUGUAACCAAUUUGAAAUACUUAAUUGUUCUAAUUUUAUUAAGGCAUUUCUUUGUAACGCUAAUAAAUCACUAUUUGGAUCUUGUCCUGUUAGUAAAUUAUGUACUUUAUUUGUAAAAUUAUAAGGAUUUGGUCCUAAUGCUAAUAAAUCUUGAAACUCAUGUGGAGAAUUUGAUUUGAAAGCUUCCCAUGUAGUUUUUGCAAAUUCUCCUAAAAAAGUUUUCAUAUAUUUAUACAUUCUCCUACGAAAGUUUUCAUAUAUUUAUACAUUGUUUGUGUCUGUUUCUGUGUAGUGUCUUAAAUAGUCUGCUAUUACUAUUCCUUUCCAUAAAUCUACUACUAUAUCCCACAUUUAUGAAUCGUGUGUUGCUAUAUUUAAUAUUUUUCCUUUACUACCUCCUUCUUAUAAUUUAAUAAUCGGCAUACUUCUUCCUGUUGUUCUUAUAUUUUCUUUGAUUUCUCUAUCUGAAUUUAAUCUAAUUGCUCUUCUUCUCGGUACAUUGCCUGUACUAUAAUCUAUUGGUUGAGUGUUUGGAUUAGUUUGUUGAAAUGUUAUAGGGAGCUAGCAGUAAAGGACAGAAAUAUUUUAAUAUAGAAGACAUUAAAUUAGUACAACAAAUUAAAGAAAAGGUCAAAAAUAUUCCAGAUCUAAAGAUCCCCUUAGAGUCAAAUUAUUUAAUUAUCCAGACAGAUGGAAGCAAACUAGGAUGGGGAACUAUUCUAAAAGCAAUAGCUAAUAAAUAUAGUAAUAAAAUGAAGAAAAAAUAUGUGCAUAUCAAAGUGGUUAAUGCAAAGAAAAAGGAAACAUGAGUAGCAUAGAUUUAGAAGUGCUAGCAAUAAUACAUGGUUUAAAUAGUUUCAAAUUAUACAUCUUAAAUAAAGAAGAGGUAUUAGUAAGAACUGACUGUGAGGCAAUAGUAAAAUUUCAUAAAAAAAUAAACGAUAAAGCUAGUAGUAAAAGAAGAUGGCCUAAUUUCAUGGAUACCAUAUCUAUUUAUAAAAAUAUUGUAUUCGAAUAUGUAAAAGGAAAAGAUAAUGGAUUAGCAGAUCAGUUAAGUAGAUUACAGAUUAAAACUAAAUAGAUUAAUUAACAUUUGUUUCAGCAUGAGACCAAUAGGUCCACAACCAUCUGACAAGGGUAAAGCCCCAGCUCAAGACUCUUACUCGCAGACUCUACUAGGUAAUAUUAAAUUUAGACCUCAAAAUUCAGUAGAAAUGAUAGAGAGGAUUUAUUUCAGAAAAAUUAAUUUAAUCUCAUAUCCAUCAAGUAAUUUAUCAUGUAGAGUCAACCCAGACUGUGUUCUAGACAAACCACAAAGAUGUUUAAUAGAUAAUUUAUGGAUAGCACAUAGUAAGAGAGACACUAGACAUUUUGUAGCAGCAGCGAAUGCUUUAUGCCAUUACUUUUCAGACAAAAGUAGAGAAAAUAGAUUUAAAUAUUAUGUAAUUAUACAUGGUAAAACUAAUGGAGUUUUCCAAACUUAGACAGAAGUAUAAGACUCUAUAAAUGGGGUUAGAAAUCCACUCUUUAAAGGUUUUAAUGAUUUUUCUGAAGCAAUGAAUUACGCUAGAGGAUGUCUUGGGCCAAAUUACUACAUAACUCCAGCCCUCAGACAAAGCCCAAACCAAAUACCUCAAUAAAAUAUCCACAAAGAUACAGGCAAAAUAAUUUUUUGUGACCAUUGUUCAAUAAUGACAGAAGCUUUCCAGAGACUUAAUGCCCAUAAAGAGGCCCUUCUUCUUGAAAAUACUAGACUUAAGGAACAAGUGCAGACUUUGAAAGACAAUAUUAAUAUUUCUUAGACUAAUGCAAAUACUCAGACUCCGAGUUCUCCAUCUCAACACAAAAUGGAUGAGAAGGGUGUGCAUUCCCCACUAAAUGCUAAGAAAUCCACUGUAUCGGAUAGAGGUACAGCUAGUCCAGUUCAAACGGUAGCCGGUAAAGACGCAUCAAAUUCUUUAAUGAUUGUCACUUUGCCAAAAAGUGAAGAUGAAGGUUGUACUUCAUCAAAACAAUAAUUACCCAGAACUUGUAAUAAUACUUUGAAAAAGACUUUGAUUUCAAAAAAGAAAAAAGACUAUAAUAAAACAGACUCUAGAAAAGAAAAAAGACUAUAAUAAAACAGACUCUAGAAAGAUUUUUCAAUAGUCAAGAAUCAGAUAAACAUAUAAUUAGCAAAGACAACCUAAGCACAAGUACAGACAGAGUUGUCCCAGACAUGGAUAAUCGGAACAAUCUAGAUGAUAGUGAGAACAGGGCAAGUUCAGAAGAAGGAGAAGAUGAAUUUAAUGACAGCUUUGCUUAUCUCCAAGAUGCACAGGAUCCCAACGAAAAUGAUGACUCAGGCAUGAAAUUUGAUUCUGUCGCACUUCACAACUUGGACACUUAGUCAAACAAAGACAAGUAAAGGGUAGAGAAGAUAGAUACGUGGAAGAAUAAGCAUCAGGCAGUAUGGUAUGAUGUAAAGAUAAAGUGUAUCAUGUGGAUAUGCCCACAUUAGUCUUGUAACGUGUCAGGGUGCUUCCUUUAUCACUAUCCUCCAAAAAAGGGAAAAACUGUUGAAGCACGCGUCUGUCAAAAGAAACAAUAAUGCAUGUGACGAUGGGACCUAAAAGUGUACCCGACCUGCAUUAUUGAAGAAUCUCAUCUUCAAGUGUCGGCCAUUUGUCUCUAGGUCACAUAGUGUAGUUUAGUCCAUUCAUUUUCUUUCUCUUAUGUCUAUAUAAGACAUGUAUUUUAGUAGAGGAAGCAGAAUGAAAGAACGAGCCGAACAAAAUCCCUCACAAUAUAUUCCUCUCCCCUUCAUGGUUAAACCUUUCCUUCAACACCAAACUGUCCUCCGUGUGUAACUCUGUUUGUAUAAAAAUAAGUGUGUUUUAAUAAAAGUUUUCAAGUUUUUGCAAAAGUCCUUAGGGUUCCCAAAAGGGAAACCUCUCAGUUAUAUCAUGUAAGUCUCAUUUAAGCUUUACUUUUUCCCGCCAAAAAUAUGCUAAUGUUUAUGUUUAUAUGCUUAUGAUUAUGUAGUUCAUGUAAAUAAUCUUGUUUCUUUAAAAACGUAACCUUAGUAUAUGAUUAACCUCUUAAUUUUUUAAUAACAACGAUGAAUUAACUUGUAAAUUCCUAGGAGUCCUGGCCUUAAUAGUCCACCGAAAUCAAAGAGUAAAGGACGAAUGUUGUUUGCCAGAUGAAUAUUUCAGGGUGUGGUUAAAGAAGAAAUUAUUAAGAACAAAGGUUAAGAGAGAGAUGAACAGGGUCAGAUUAAAAAAAAAAAAUUUAAUAUGAUAAACUUUAAAUAUAGAUGACUUUUAUAUAACAAUAAACUUUAAUGAUAAAUGAUUUUCAUGUAACAAAAAAAUAAAAAUAAUUUUGUUUGACCAUAUGUGUAUUUAGCUGACUAAACAAUUUUGUUAGGAUCUAAAAAUUAGAUUAUAUAACAUAAAUUGAUAUAUUAGAGAGACCUUUCUAAGUAGAUAUUUUUUUUAAUUAUAUUGAAAACAAUUAACCAAUUAGUAAUUUGCCUUUUUAAGAUGUUCAAAAGUCACAUCUGGUGUCAAAUACAAUAAAAAAUAAAAUCCAUUAAUAACAUGGAAAUGUAUAUAUUUGUAGAGUAUGACUUUUUUUUUUAUAAGAGUUAAAAAAGAAGUUGAACUAAGUCAAUUUGUUAUCAAAUACAAAUAAAAAAAUAUAGUGAAAUUCAAUAUUUACCUUUUAUCUUCAAGUGGAAGUAAAAUAAAAUAAUCAAGAGAGAAGCAAGUGUUAUAAAUGGACUAAUUGGUUUAAGUCAAGGUCUUUUUAAAGGAAAAAGAAACAAAUAUGCGGUUCAGAUUUUUUUUUCGAUAUAUCUCUUUUAAAAAAGAAAAAGUGAAAAUAAAUAUGUUAGAAAGAUUGUUUAUUAAGAAAAUAAACACAUCCUAAUUAUUAUGAGUUUCAUACGUUAUCUAUUCAUUAUGGAAAAAGACUUAAAUAUGCUAAUUAUUAGAAAUGACUUAUUCAUGGCGUUUGUUACAAAUUUGACUCAUCUAUGUUACCGCAUUUAAAAGUUUGGGUUCAUUUAUGUCAUUAUCAUAAUAGAUUGGUUCAUUCAUGCCAUUAUUUUAUAAUGAUGAUUUUGCAAAAUCAUUUUUGCCACGUGAAAAUGUAAACAAAUACAAAAAAUAUUCUUGGUACCUGUGGGACAAACACUUAAACUUGGGCUCAACUAGCAAGUAAGUACUCCAACUUUGAGAGUGCACUCCAACUUGAUCUCAACUGGCAACUAAACAUUCUAACUUGUUCCGUCUCUCUAGUGGUCACUCGAUAGCAACGUGACACAUAUGUUUUGAAGGUGUCCAGAUGUGCAAACUCAAAGUUGGAGUGUUUAAUUGCCAGUUGGGGCCAAGUUUGAGUAUCUGCUUGUGUUUAUGUCUUUUUUAUUUGUUUGACAGUACGUCUGUUAGUUGAUUAUUUUGAAAAUAUUUUGCAGAUAAAUUAUCUUUAACUGUCUAACAUAACAUUCUCAAUGUUUUGCAGAUAAUUUAUCUUUAAUUGUCUAACAUAACAUUCUCAAUAUUUUACAGAUAAUGUCUUUAACUGUCUAACAUAACAUUCUCAAUCUUUAGAACAAAUAUGCAUGAAUUAUUUCAUGAAGUAUGUGCUGAAAAUUGCUUAAGUUACUGCACUAGUUUUUUGCAAAAUAAGUUAAAUAAUUUAGGAUGAAUUUAAAUUUUGAAUUUAAGUUAUGUUAUUUGAUUUGUUGAGACAAUUUAGUUAAUUUAUAUUUUGAAUGUUGCUGAUUUUUCUAUUGUAAGGUGGCUAUUUAAAGCCCCCUGAUGCUCAAUAAAAUUAUUGAAUGCUAUUAAAAGUUAUUCAAUCAUUUGAGAGUCAUUUUAACCCAUUUUAACUCCCUUUUCGUUGCCCCGUCUUUCUUUAAAAAACCAACAAUAUUUGUCCGAAUAGUUUAGAGACUCGAUGGUUAGCUUUCGACCUCCCAAUCAACAAACAAUGUCGAUGAAAGUGUAGAUGAAUUUGCAAAACCAUUCUUGGAAGAUUCAUGCAAGAGUGUAGGUGAAUUUGCAAAAUCAUUUGAAAAUUAAAGUAUUUUCAAAGAAGAAAGAAAUCAUUCUUUUCUCAAACGGAUUAAAAAGAAAAGUAUCGUAUGUAAAAAUUGACUAGACCAAAUAUUUGCUUACAAACUUAUUUAGGUCUGUCUAGCCUUAAAAAAUUAAUCCACGUGGAAUAUUUUUAUUCUUUUUUGCUAAUACGUUAUUUUUUUAUUUUGUUAAUUGAUUUUUGUUAAUUUUGAGGUGUGUUUCUUAAAAUAAUGAGUAAUAAUUUAGGUGUGUUUCUCAUACUCACAAGUGUCUUAGUAUAAAACUCCAAAAAAGAGAAAAUAAUUUUAGAUGCAUUUUUGCCACUUAAUACUUUUUGUAAAUUAAAGGUAGUCUUGAUAGUUGUCAUAUUCACUUUAUGGGUCAAAAAAUAUCCUUUUCUUUUUUAAAAAUAACUAUUUUGCUCCGAAACCUCUAGAGAUUUGUUUCGAUCCUCCACCCUUAUAUUAGUAUAUCUUAAUUGACUUAUUAGCCCACAAAGUAUUAGCGGCACACAGCUAAUAUAAACACAAAAUUUGUGAUUGGUACAACAAAUUGGCCAAGGUCUUUUUUAAAUAUAUCAAUGAGGUAUAUUUCUACAUAAUUUCAUAAGUGGAAAUUACACAAGCGUAUGUAGGAUUGGACAUAUUUUGGUUCAAGUCAAAGAAAUCGAAAACUCAAAUCAAAAUUUAAUUUUGAUUUUGUUUUUUUUAAUUUUUCGGAUUGGUUUCAAUGUCAAAUUUUAAAAAUUUGAAUAAACAGUUUGGUUUUUGAUUUUUCCAAAAAAAAAAUCCAGUUAAAUCGAAAAAUCAACAACAACAGACCCAGUGUAAUCCCACACAGUGGAGUUUGGUGAGGAUAAUAUGUACACAGUUCAUACCGCUACCUCCGAAGAAGCAGAGAGGGUAAAAUGUACACAGUCAAUAAUAUAUAAGUUGAUUUGAAAAAAAAAAAAAUUCAAACUAUUUAAGUCAAUCAAAUAUGAGAAAAUUAAAAACAUAAAAAACAACUAACUAAAAGUAGAAAUACAAGCUAGCUUUAUACUGUCUUCGUUCCAAAAUACUUGAUCCUUUUGUAUUUGGCGCGCCCUUAAGAUUUCAAAUAUUUCUUGCGUAUUUUUACUUUUUUACCCUUAUACCCUAAUUAUGAUAGAAAUCAAGAAAUAUUUAAUUGAUGGCACGCAUGCUUUACUACCCCAAUAAAUAUAGCGGUUCAUAUUCACUUAGAAAUUCAAUACAAAGAGUCAAAAAGGGUCAGAUAGGUAUCUGAAAUUUACAUUUAAUAACAGUCUUCAAACUGGAGAAGAUUUGCCUAUUAAGUCUUUUCAAGUUUUCAAUUAGCAAAAUGGCCUACUUCUAUUUUUUCAUCGGUCGAAUUGAUAAUCGAUCAGUCAGUACAUAGGUCGGAUCAAUAAUCAAUUUAUCGGAUCGAUAAUUGAUCUUCUAUAUAUCAAUCGGAUAAAUAAUAGAUCUGUCUACAAAAUGUGUCAUUUCCUAAAAAAAUAAAUAAUACUUUUAGUCUAUUUAAUUUAAAAAAAAACUUGAAAAAAACAUUUAACAAUAGAUCCUUGAAACUGGUGUAAUACUCAAUGUAUUAGGAGUAAAUUGAAAAAGAAUGUUUAAAAUACUCUUCAUUUUAUAAAUAGGACAAAUAAAAUUAGAAAGAGGGUGACAUAUUUUGAAACGAAGGAAGUAACAUAGAAAACAUUUAACUAAAAAUUGUAAUACACGCUAAGUAAACAGAUGAAGUUAAAAAUAAUUUACAUUUUUAGUUGUUCAGCAAUCAGAUCUGCUGUCAAACACAAAUGAAAAUGAAAAAAACCGAUUAGUAGCACUAAAAAUUAUAUAUAUGAAAAGGUCGAAUAAAAUAUAAAGAGAUUUUUAAUAUGAUAACUUUAAAUAUAGCUGACUUUUAUAUAAAAAUAAACUUUAAUGAUAAAUGACUUUCAUGUGACAAAAAAUUAAAAAAAAAUUGUGUAAUCAUUUGUGUAAUUUAGCUGACUAAACAAUUUUCUUAGGAUCUAAAAAUCAUAUUAUAUAACAUAAAAUUGAUAUAUUAGAGAGAGCAUAAAGAAAUUGUAAAACCGUUUUCCUUUCUAUGUAAGUUGAUACUUUUUUAUUUAUUACAUAAAAAAAAAUAACUAAGUCAUAAUUUAGCUUUUUCAGAUGUUCAACAGUCAAAUCUGGUGUCAGAUACAACAAAAAAAUAAGAUUCAUUAAUAACAUGGAAAUGUAUAUAUUUGAUGAAUAUGAAGAAGAAGAAAAAAACACAGAAGUUAAAAAAAGUUGAACUAAAUUAAUUUGUUAUCAAAUACAAAUAAAAAAGUAUAAUGAAAUUCAAUGUUUACCUUUGAUGAUCUUCAAGUUGAAGCAAAAUAAAAUCUUCAAUGUUUGCAGAGAGUUUUGAAUUUUAUAAGAAACCAAAAGCAAGAGAGAAGCAAGUGCUAUAAUGGAAUGAUUGGUUUGAGUCAAGGUCUUAAAGGAAUAAAGGAAAAAGAAGCAAAUAUCUCUUUUAAAAAAGAAAAAGUGAAAAUAAUUGUGUUAGAAAGAUUGUUUAUUAAGAAAAUAAACACAUCCUAAUUAUCACGAGUUGAUACGUUAACUAUUCAUUAUGAAAAAAGGCUUAAAUAUGCCAUCAAAUUAUUAGAAAUAAUUUAUUUAUGUCGUCCGUUCUAAGUUUAACUCAUUUAUGUGCCCGCCUUUAAAAGUUUGGGUUCAUUUAUGACACUAUUGUAAUAAAUUGAUUCAUUCAUGCCAUUAUUUUAUAACAGUGAUUUUGUAAAAUUAUUUUUGUCGUGUGACAUUUUACUAGAAGUCUACGUCAUCAAAUUUAAAUCAAAUAUAAACAAAUACAGAAAAUAUCCUUGGCACCUGUGGGACAAACGCUCAAAUCUGGUCUCAGCUGGCAAGGAAAUGUCAUGUAUUUAAGGGAAUCACACAUCAGAGGUAAUAGAACCCUUGUAAAGUUGAAGUAUAUCGUAACAAAUUUGAUCAUAAUUCAGGAGGAGGGUACUAAAUGCCUUAUUCGUAAGAUUACAAUAACUAUUUUGGAUGGCAUCAAGGCGCUGAAGGCAUCAAUAUUUAGGAUGUAAUUCAAAUUCAAAUCUUAAUGUGAUAUUUUCUCAAUAAAACUAACUUUUCUAUCAUAUUCCUUUAAGUAAUACUUGUUUAUUUCCACUACUAUAAUAUAAAUAUCAAGUUGAAAAUAUUAAAUAAUGUGUCCAGUAAAACACUUUCAUAUAAUAUGGAAUAAAGAAAGUAACCUAGACAUUAUUAAGACAAUAAUUUUAAGUAGGAUGUGUGUCUACUUGUAUAGAGCUAGGGUGUGUUUGGUAUGAAGAAAAAUGAAUAUUUUUACGGAAAAUAAGUUGAUUUCUUACUUAUUGAGUGAAAAUUAUUUUUCGAAAAAUAUUUUUUAGUAUUUUGAAUGGCAUCAUGAAGAAGUUAAAUUAAAAAAAACAUUCUACAAAUGUAAACUUAUCAAACUUCCAGUGAAAUUUAUGUUUUAGUUAACUGAUUGACUAAAUUUUUAUUUUUUUGUUUUUUCAUUUGGUGUCCGGUACCUGCAUUGGAGUCCGACUAAUCUGGAUUUGCACCGCGUAGGGCCCUUUCGGGGGGUGCUCCCUACCAUGAAUUUUUUCAUACCCAGGACUCAAAUCCGAGAUCUUUGAUUAAGGGAGAAGCAGCCCGUGCACCACAUUGUGGUUACUAAUUGACUAAAAAUUAUGGAUGACUUCUAUGUGGCAUAAUAUAAAAUAAAAAGAUUUUUAAUGUGAUAAGAUUUAUAAUUGAUUUAUUUUUUGUGGGCUCUCAUUCACUUCCAUUUGAAAAUUAAGGUUAAUGACUCAUCGAUAUAUAGUGAGAUAAGAUCGAACCAUAGUAAGGCCCCGUUUUGUAUGGAAAUUAUAAUUUUUUGAAGUUGAAGUUGGAUUGAUGUUAAAGUUGGAGUUGAAGUUGUUUUCGAAGUUUUGUGAAAAAAUUAUGAGUGAAAAAAGUGAAAACAAGUUUGAAAACAAGUAAAACUUGUUUUCACUUUUACAAAUAUAAUUUCGAAGUUGUAUUUGAAUUUUUCAUAAUUAAACACUUACAGUUUUCAUUUUUUAACUAAAGUGAAAUAAUUUUUUAGAAAAAGUAAAACCUUUCGAUGGCCAAACGACUACCAGGACUUUGUAUUUAUUCACUUUUAUUCUGCCAAUCAAUUUGUUUUGUACUUCUUUAUCAAUUUACCUUUAGUUUUUUUAAAAAAAAAAAAAAAAUUAAUCAUAAAAUUUAUUUUACAUAUAAAGUGUGUUUGGUACAAAAGAGUUUUUCAAUUUUCUCAUAUUUAAUUAAUUUAAAUAUUUUAAAAAAUAUUCAAAUCAAUUUAUUUAAUAUCGAUCUCACUAUUUUUUUUUUCGUUUACUAAAUAGAAUAAAUAUUACAUUUAUACAAAGGUUCUUUUCUUCUUUGUGUUUAGUAGACAAAAAAUAGUAUAUUGUGAGAUGUGAAGUGGAUGAAAAAUAUUAUUUGUGUUCUUCUUUAGAGUUAGCGUAGUGAAAGAGAACAUUGUAAGUUUUUGAUUAUAGUUAUUAUACAUAAAAGAAUAAUUAUAUGUCGAACAAAUAUGCGAACUCUUUAACUAUUCGAAGCUGUAUAAGUUGUAGGAUGACAUUGUUGGGUUGUUGUAUCAUUCCUAGAGGGGACAAGCAAGAGUGAUACUGCUUAAUCGGUGUAUAUUAUAUUGUAGUAAAUUUGAAUCUUUUUUAAAAAAAAGAGGAAGAUAUAUGUACCUCCGUGCUUGAAGAAUAUUUUUUAUUUAUUUAUUAUUCAUUUUAUUUUCAACUGUAAUUAAUUUAUUAUCAUAGUAUAUUAAUUACACCACCCUAAAUACAACAACAACAACAAACCUAGUAUAUUCCCACAUAGUGGGGUCUGGGGAGGGUAGAGUGUACGCAGUCCAUACCAAUACCUCUAAAGGUAGAGAGGCUGUUUCCGAUAGACCCCCAGCUCAAGAUAAAAGACAUUAAACAGAAACAUUAAAAUCGUAGAACAUGAUACAAAUAAAAUUGGUACGACAUUCGCAAUUAGAGGAAAGAAAAAAAAACAAAUACAUAUGUUAAUAAAUAAAUAAAUAAAUACAUAAAUUUGCCAAAUAAACGACAUCAAGUCCACCUACUUACUGACUACUACUACUCCACACCCUUAGCCCUCAGCUGUAACUGCUCCAUGUCACGUUUAAUCACUUAUCUCCAGUGUUUUUUCGGUCUAUCCCUACCCCGCUUGAAACCUUCUAAGGCCAACCUCUCACACCUAUGAACUGGGGCAUCCACGCCCCUCCUCAUCACAUGACUAAACCAUCUUAACCUCACUUUUCGUAUUUUAUCCUCCACCGACAUCACUCCCACCUUCUCCCAAAUAAUUUCAUUCCUAACCCUAUCAGCCCUAGUGAAUCCACACAUCCGACGUAACAUUCUCAUUUUCGCCACCUUCAACCUAUGAGACUUCUUAACCGGCCAACACUCUGCUCCAUACAACAUAGCCAGCCGAACUACAACUCUAUAGAAUUUGCCUUUUAGUUUGAGGGGCACCUUCUUAUCGCAUAAAAUUUUCAAAGCGAGCCUCCAUUUCAUCCAACCUGCCCCUAUACGGUGAGAUACAUCCUCAUCUAUCUCUCCUUUCCUCUAGAUCGUAGAUCCGAGGUACUUAAAAUUAUCUCUCUUGCAAACCACCUGAGAAUCCAACUUUCCAACCAACUCCUCCUCUUGCCUCGAGUCAUUGAACUUGCACUCCAAGUACUCCGUCUUGGUCCUACUCAGCCGAAAACCUUUAGACUCCAGGGUCUCUCGCCAAAUCUCCAGCUUAUCAUUAACCCCUUGUCGCGAUUCAUCAAUCAGAACUAUAUCAUCCGCGAAAAGCAUACACCAAGGCACCUCGCCUUGUAUAUUCCGCGUCAGCACAUCUAUCACCAAAGCGAAUAAGAACGUACUAAGAGUUGAUCCCUGGUGCAACCCUGUCAAGACUGAAAAAUGCUCAGAAUCUCCUCCCACUGUCCUAACCCGAGUCCUUAAUUGCUCUGACAUAUGCCACUAGAACCCCCUUGCCUCCAAGCAUCUCCAAAGAACCUCCCUAGGGACCUUGUCAUACGCCUUUUUCAAGUCUAUAAACACCAUGUGAAGAUCCCUCUUCCUCUCUCUAUACUGCUCCACCAGUCUCCGCACAAGGUGAAUUGCCUCAGUCGUGGAGCGACCAGGCAUAAAACCAAAUUGGUUCUCCGAAAUAGACACAAUCUUCCUCAACCUCCGCUCCACCACCCUCUCCCAAAUCUUCAUCAUGUGACUCAACAACUUAAUACCCCGGUAGUUGUUACAACUCUGAAUGUCACCCUUAUUCUUAUAUAGAGGAAUCAUCGUGCUCAUCUCCACACCUCAGGCAUCUUUGUUGACUUGAAAAUAUUGUUAAACAAGUUGGUCAGCCACCGCAACCCUGAUUUGCCAGAGAACUUCCAAAAAUCCAUCAAAAUCUUGUCGGGCCCCGUCGCCCUACCCUUUGCAUCUUGCGAAUAGCCUCACUGACCUCCUCUACCCUAAAACGGGNNNNNNNNNNNNNNNNNNNNNNNNNNNNNNNNNNNNNNNNNNNNNNNNNNNNNNNNNNNNNNNNNNNNNNNNNNNNNNNNNNNNNNNNNNNNNNNNNNNNNNNNNNNNNNNNNNNNNNNNNNNNNNNNNNNNNNNNNNNNNNNNNNNNNNNNNNNNNNNNNNNNNNNNNNNNNNNNNNNNNNNNNNNNNNNNNNNNNNNNNNNNNNNNNNNNNNNNNNNNNNNNNNNNNNNNNNNNNNNNNNNNNNNNNNNNNNNNNNNNNNNNNNNNNNNNNNNNNNNNNNNNNNNNNNNNNNNNNNNNNNNNNNNNNNNNNNNNNNNNNNNNNNNNNNNNNNNNNNNNNNNNNNNNNNNNNNNNNNNNNNNNNNNNNNNNNNNNNNNNNNNNNNNNNNNNNNNNNNNNNNNNNNNNNNNNNNNNNNNNNNNNNNNNNNNNNNNNNNNNNNNNNNNNNNNNNNNNNNNNNNNNNNNNNNNNNNNNNNNNNNNNNNNNNNNNNNNNNNNNNNNNNNNNNNNNNNNNNNNNNNNNNNNNNNNNNNNNNNNNNNNNNNNNNNNNNNNNNNNNNNNNNNNNNNNNNNNNNNNNNNNNNNNNNNNNNNNNNNNNNNNNNNNNNNNNNNNNNNNNNNNNNNNNNNNNNNNNNNNNNNNNNNNNNNNNNNNNNNNNNNNNNNNNNNNNNNNNNNNNNNNNNNNNNNNNNNNNNNNNNNNNNNNNNNNNNNNNNNNNNNNNNNNNNNNNNNNNNNNNNNNNNNNNNNNNNNNNNNNNNNNNNNNNNNNNNNNNNNNNNNNNNNNNNNNNNNNNNNNNNNNNNNNNNNNNNNNNNNNNNNNNNNNNNNNNNNNNNNNNNNNNNNNNNNNNNNNNNNNNNNNNNNNNNNNNNNNNNNNNNNNNNNNNNNNNNNNNNNNNNNNNNNNNNNNNNNNNNNNNNNNNNNNNNNNNNNNNNNNNNNNNNNNNNNNNNNNNNNNNNNNNNNNNNNNNNNNNNNNNNNNNNNNNNNNNNNNNNNNNUGCAGUACCGUCUCAUCAUGCAAUUGCCAAAAAAACUCAAUUGAAAUUGUAGUUGACCCUGUGUGCUCAUUCAUCAAUCCCUAAUUCCACCUAGAUCAAUGUAGGUACUAUUAUUAAUCUUAACAUUAAGUUAAUGAGAACACAUUUCAACUUAGAGUGAUCGAUUGACGACUCGGGUCGGGAUGAACACAAUACUAACACCAUGUAAAUGCAAUGACUCAAUUGGAUUUGUAGUUGACCCUGUGAGCUCAUUCAUUCAUCCCUCGUUCCACCUAGAUUGAUGUAGGUACUAUUAUUAAUCUUAACAUUAAGUUAAUGAAGAGCUCAUUCUUUCAUCCCUAGUUCAUCCUAAAUCAACUGCAAUGAAAUCUGUUGCAACAAACAACUGAAUUGUUGGAGAAUUUCAAACAGAUAACAAUAUCUGUUGCAACAAAAGAUAUUUCUUAUUUAAUUAUCAAAUAGACAUUUGCAUCUGCUAUCACGGAUGACUGAGGUAUUGAAAUUUUCAAACUGAUAUUGAUAUUUAUUGUAACAGAUGACGUUUCUGAUUUAGUUAUCAAAUGACAUUUCCAUCUGUUAUCACAGAUGACUGAGCUGUUGGGAUUUCUCAAACAGAUAUCUAAAUCUGUUGCAACAGACCACAUAUCUGUUUGAAAAUCUUUUUGUUUUCUUUUAAUUUUAAAGCAAGAUACUGUCCGAGUAGAUAAAGUAGUAGUACUAAUAAAGGCGGUAAAAAAUGCUUCUUGGAUAACUCAAAAAUCUCAUUGAGUAGUCUUGUCCUGGCUUUUCAAUGUCACUCGUUUUCUUCCUCGUUCCCCUCAAAUUAUUAGUGAAUAUUAAUUAAUGAAUAUUGAAACCCCUAAGACUUCUUCCGUUUCAUAUUGACUUGGCACUCCCAUCAAGAAAAUAUUAAUUAGGGGUUUAUUUUACUACCAAAUUAACCUUAUUAAUUAUGCUUUGAAAAUAUAAAUUUGAAUAAAUAAAAUUUGUUUAGUCAUUUAAUAUUAAGGGUAGUACAUCUAGAAAUUAGAAUUAUCUCGUCUCUCCCCUCCUCUCCUUCAUCCCUAAAUCUCUUAUCCUUUUUCUUUCUAUCCUCUUUAGGAUUAUCACAGCCUUUUUUCUCUCCUCUUUCUCAAAAAUUUUCAUUCGGAUCUAAACCGAUCGAUAUCCAUAUCUUAGAUUCCUCAACUGAAAUUGUUGUUUUGACCCCCUUUUGACAUUAAGGUAUGAUUUGAUUCACUAUUGCUCUUUCAUUCUCGUCUUCAUCUUGCAACUUUAUUUACAUCUUUUUGUUUAUUUAAUUACCAUUUUUUGGUAUCAUAUUUAUUUAAAAAAUUUGAAGGAACUUUUAAUUGUUGAAUAAACAUACCGAGAAUUUUUAUUAUAAGAUGUGAAAAAAAAUCAUCUGUUGGGAGAAUUUUAAAAGCCUUGUUGGCAGUAUCAUUUUUUUUUAUGUAUUUUGUUUGUUUCUUUGUUGUUGAUGUUGUUAUUGAUGUUGUUGGUGGGGUUGGAAUUGUUGGAACUUGUGGUGUGGUGGUGUUGGUGGGGUUGACAUUGUUGUAACUUGUGGUGUGGUGUGGUUUAGACAGUGGGUACUUCUUAACUUAAAAAUAGUGGAGUCCGAACAAUCAACACGAGGAGUAAGGGAGAAAAAAAUAAAAAGUUUAAAGUGAAUAAGAAGAGAAGAGUUGGCUACCAAAAUUAAAAAAAAAAAUGUGUUGAGUGGGAAUUGAACUCAAGACCAAAAGAAAUAAAUAGCCUUAAGCACCCAUAAACAACAAUUAGGCUAACCAAACAACUCUUACUAUGGGUGCUCACUGAUUAGAUUAUAUACGUUUUUUUCUUUAUUUUCACAUACAUAUAUAAAGUUUGAUACGAGUUCAGUCUGUGCUCGCGCACCCGGAAGACUCCAUGUGGGUCCGUCCCUUGUUGUUGAUGGUGUUGGAAUAUAGGAUGUAUGCUUCUUUAUUGUUGAUGAUGUUGUUGGAACAAAUGUGGUUGUUUUCUUUGUUGUUGAUGUUUUUUAUUUGUUAUUUGUAGUUUAUGCUGUUGUUGAAGUUGUAACAGACGGAGCAACUGAUGGAACACUAGCAAGGCUGCUAUGUAUUCCAACAGACUCCAUAUCUGUUGCAUCAGACUCCAUAUCUGACGCAACAGACUCCACAUCUGACGCAAACUAUCCGGGAUUUAUGAAUUGUGUGUGUUAGUAUUACUUAAAUAAAACUGGUGACUUUAUUAAUAUAUGAAUUAAAAAAACAGAUCUAAAUACAACAUUUUAUCUUUUUGUUGUAUUUUCAAAAGAGACAUAUUGGUAAUCUGUUACAAAAUAUAUUCCACCUGUCAGAUAACUUACAACAUAUGGACAAUCUGUUGCAAAGAUGGAUAUAUCAGUUUGUUUUUCCAUCAGCUGUGGCGUCUGUUGGAACUUGCUAGUCAUUUGUUUAUUCAAUUUCAUCGAGAGCAAUAGAUUUUUCUAAACACUUCUUGGACAAACUCAAUUUCGCUCUUGGAUUGCUUCUCUUUUUUUCUUUGUAUCCUUCAAGCUGGCCUCCAAAUUCAAUUUUUUCCCUCAAUCCAAUAACAAAAAAUUAGUUUGGUUGAAGGAUGCAAAGAAUAAAGAGAAGCAAUCCAAGAGCAAAAAUUGAAUUUGGCCAAGAAGUGUUUAGAAAAAUCGAUUGCUCUCGAUGAAAUUGAAUAAACAAAUGACUAGCAAGUUGCAACAGAUGACACAACUGAUGGAAAAGCACACUGAUAUAUUCAUCUGUUGUAAUAGAUUGUCCAUAUGUUGUAAGUUAUCUGACAAGUGGAAUAUAUUUUACAACAGAUUACCAAUCUUUCUCUUUCGAAAAUACAACAAAAAGAUAAGAUGUUGUAUUUAGAUCCAUUUUUUUUCUAAUUUACUUAUUAAUAAAUUCACCAGUAUUAUUUAAGUAAUACUAACACACACAAAACAUAAAUCCCGGAUAGUUUCAGCAAUAUUACAUUAAAUCCUGGAUAGUUUGCUAAUUACAUCUUUUCCCAAAAUUUUGAAUUGUGAUACAUAUGUUAAGCAGUGAUACAUAUUGAUCUAGUGAUACAUAUGUAUAUGUAUCACUAGUAUAUACAUAUGUAUACAGUUGUGAUACAUAUAGCAUAUGUAUCACUAGUAAAUAUGAAUCCGGGAUUUUAUGUAUAAUACUAACACACACAAAACAUAAAUCCCGGAUAGUUUCAGCAAUAUUACAUUAAAUCCUGGAUAGUUUGCUAAUUACAUCUUUUCCCAAAAUUUUGAAUUGUGAUACAUAUGUUAAGCAGUGAUACAUAUUGAUCUAGUGAUACAUAUGUAUAUGUAUCACUAGUAUAUACAUAUGUAUACAGUUGUGAUACAUAUAGCAUAUGUAUCACUAGUAAAUAUGAAUCCGGGAUUUUAUGUAAUUUUUUAAAACAUUAAGGGAUAUUGCUUAAUAUGGUGUCUUAAAUAUGGAAUUUGUGUAAUUUUUUUUUUAAGGGAUAUGAACAGUCGUGGCUUUUUGUUUGACUAAGUCCAGUCCCUUCCAAUUCUCAAUCACUUUAUAAAUAGGUCCCUCCGGCCUCCUCACUCACUCUCGUUCAUUCUACUAUACUUGUAAUACUACUAUGUCAGAUCCAGAUUUGUGCAAGAAGGUUCAUAUCAAGUCCUUGCAGAAGCUUCAAAGGCAGUUUGAUGAACUCCAGAAGGAUUUGGCUGACUUUCGAGCAAGGCUGAGGAGGGUCCUGCUACUGCCGGAUGAAAAUUGUCUGGUUGACAAUAAUAAUAGUAGUAAUAAUAAUAAUAAUAAUUAGGUUAUGUUUUUUCUUUUUUUUUAGCGUAAGUAUUUCCCUUUCAUAUCGAGUCCUUGCAGGAGCUUCAAAGGCAGUUUGAUGAUCUCCAGAAAGAUUUGACCGACUUUCGAGCAAGGCUGAGGAGGGCCCUGCUGCUGCCUUGUCUGGUUGACAAGAAUAAUAGUAAUAAUAAUAAUAAUAAUAAUAAUUAGGUUAUGUUUUUUCUUUUUUUUAGCGUAGGUAUUUCCCUUUUCUAUAUCCGAUCUACCUAUAAGGGAUUCAAAAAAAUCCAUGUAUAUGUUUGGUUUGGUUUGGUUUGGUUUGGUUUAUUUUGAAUUUUUAAUUCUUAUUCAAUAUUUAAUUAUCAUUCUAUUUAUUCCCUAUUCUCAACAUGUCAGCGGUUGGAGUUAGGGAUACGGUCAUGAUGAGAAAUUCUCCUAAAUGGUUCGUUAUAGUACGGAACUAAAUUAUAUUAUAAUCGUAAAAGAAAGAUUAUUUAAUUUUAAAAAAGUCACAACAUUAGAUUAAUUUAAUUAAGAUAUAUAUAUGAUGAUAUGAUUUUUAAGAAAAAAGUUAAUGAAUAGCCGUGACUGUACCUUUUGUCUAAACACAGUCAACAAACAAACAAAAAUAAAAAACGCUUCUGAUGCAUCAAAUUCCUCAUGUGUUACAACUUAUGAAUCAGUUAGAAGAAAUAAAAAAAGCUCCUUAAACAAAUGGUCGAUUUAUAGCAACAGAUGGGAUAUCUGUUGAAACAGAUGGGUUAUCUGAUGCAACAGAUAUACAAUCUGUUGCCAUAACUCAAUUAAUAAAAAUGGUUAUUAAAGAAAUAGAACAGUUAUUAAAAACCAGGUGUAUUCAAAUUUUAAAUUGAGAAAAAGGUUAUUUAAAUUUAAUAAGCUAAAAAGUCAUGACUUGUCACAAUAAUAAAAAACUCACCACCAUCUUGAUUUAAUUAAGUUAUUUCUUUCACAGAAAAGAAUAAGGAAAUAAAUGAUAAACACAAUUUAAACGGUAAAAAACUCACCGGAAAUAGUCUUGUUUUUAAAUCUUCUUUAUUAAUUUAAUAAUUAAAAAGUCAAAAAAUUUGGAUGUCAUGAAGAUAAUUUAUUUUUUUAAAAAAAUAUAUAUAUUAUAUGUUGCAACAGAUGAAUUAUCUGAUGCAACAGGUUAACUAUUUGUUGCAACAGAUGAUAUAUCUGUUGUAACAAAUGAUUUAUCUGAUGCAACAGAUAUAUAAUCUGUUGUCCAACUCAAUGUAAAAAAAAUGGUUUCCUGAAAGAACUAAUUAUUAAUAAUAAUAAAGCUGAAAAGUCAUGACUUAUCAUAAUAUUGAUUAAUUUAAUCAAGUCAUAACUUUUUACAGUAAUCAAGAAUGACAUUAAUAAAUGGAGGUGAACAGUUGGGCCUUUAAACCUGCUUUAUAAAUUUAUUUAAUUAAAAAGUCAGAAAAUUUGAAUGUCAUAAAGAUAAUAUAUUUUUUAAAAUAUAUAUAUAUAUUAUAUGCUGCAACAGAUAUAUUAUCUUAUGCAACAGGUUAUCUAUUUGUUGCAAAUCAUGACAUAUCUGUUGUAAGACAUGAUUUAUCUAAUGCAACAUAUAUAUUAUUUGUUGUUCAACUCAAUGUAAAAAAAAACGUUCCUGGAAAGAACUAAUUAUUAAUAAUAAUAAAGCUGAAAAGUCAUAACUUAUCAUAAUAUUAAUUCAUUUAAUUAAGUCAUAACUUUUUACAAUAAUCAAGAAUGUCAUUAAUAAAUGGAGGUGAACAGUUGUACCUUUAAAUCUGCUUUAUUAAUUUAUAUAGUUAAAAAGUCAAAAACUUUAUGACUUAUCAUAAUAUUAAUUAAUUUAAUUAAGUCAUAACUUUUUACAGUAAUCAAGAAUGUCAUUAAUAAAUGGAGGUGAACAGUUGCGAUUUUUUGCCUAACUCAUUCAAGUUCAAUCCUCUAUAAAUAGGUCCCUUCUUACUUAAUCUUUCGUUCUACUACACACUGUUUAUUUCUCGCUCUUGUUACACCUUCAACUACUUUCUCUUCAAAGACUUGAUAGUUUUUUCCUAUCUCUGGUAAGUUUUUUUCUUGAUUUUUGUGUAAAUAUACGUUGUAUUACAUUACAUUCGAAUUCUUUCUUUUGUUUACGUGUGUGUUUUGUCAACUUAUGUGUUUUUUAGAUAUGGCUGAUCCUGUGUGGGAUGUCGCUAUUUUACGUGAAGCCAUAAGGGAACUGCAAAAGGAGGUUCAUGACCUGCAUUGGGAGUUGGCCGCCGUCAGAGUAAGGAUGUUGCGGGAGAUCUGCAGGCUCCGGAGGGCGCUGCUGCUGCCCUUUGAAGAUUGGCCGACUAGUCAUACAAAUAAUAAUGAUGUUAAUAAUGAUGAUAAUAAUAAUUAAGCUUUUUUUUCUAUUAUCUAUGUAUUUUUUUUAUCUUUUUAUAAAAAAAUUAUGUUUGAUGCACGAUUUUUUAUUUCUUAUUUAAUUUUUGUGUUGUCUAUUUCUAUUUCUUAAUGAAUGAUAUGUCUAUAAUUAAGGAAUAAUUUGACUCCAGUAUCAAUAGCAAGAACGUAUGAGUUAUCUGUUAGUUUAGUUUUUGUGUGUGACAGGAGCUGUAUCUGAAUUUUGUUGUUCGAAACAUAUUAGUAAUCUGAUUAAACAAAUUAUUUAUCUGUUGAAACAGAUUACUAAUUUGGUGCAACAGAAUACCCAUCUAUUCGAUUCAUAUUACGGGCACCUAAAACCCUUAAACAUGAAUCCAUCCAAUAUUAUUCUACUGUUACAACAGAACAUUUGUCUGUUGCCGCAGAUAAUGGAUCUGUUUAAGCAGAUUGUUCUUGUAUUGCAUUCAUGUUCGCGUGCAAGCUAUUGUUGAAAAAACAACACACUAGAGUUACCCAGAUUCAACUAAAAAGCAUAAUCUGACUUACCAAAGUCUCAUCUCAAGUAAAUUUCAAAGUUGAAAGUGAUUUACGAAAUAAAAUUUGACAUAAAAAUUUGCUCAAAGAGCAGCAGUUGGGGUAACAACAACAACAACAAUGGCCAACAAGAAGAAUAUGAAGAUGAUAAUGAAGUAUAAGAUGAUGAUAAUGAAUCAGAAUAUGAUGAAUAAAGCAACAACGACAAUGAACAACAAAUAUCACGAAGAGAGAGAAAAUAAUAACGGAUGAGGAGAGGGAAAAAGGCGCCUUUUUUCUCUUCGUUCCCCGUUAUAUAUUAACUAACAUUUGGAUCAAAGUGUAAAUUUAAAAACUUGUGAGUUAUUUUCAAACUUUCCCAACUUUCUUAAUCCAUUAAAGUAAUUGUCACCUCCACCUAACAAUUAAAACUUGUGCCACCUACACCUCAUUUUAAAACUCUCCUAGAUUGUUGUUAACUAGGUUGAAUAAACUUCUUUGAAAAAAGAUUUCAAAAAUACAAUGCUAAAUUUAUAUUGUGUCUACAUAGCGAUUAAAUUUUUUUAUCAUAAAAUCAAACACUAAGUUUCAUCACAAUAAUAUAUUUGCCGAUCUAAUUAAAUUAUACUUUUUAAUCAUUUGAUUUGAUUUGAUUUGAUACAAUCUUACCGAGUCUUACAAGUAAAUUUGAAAUAUAAUUUAAAUAGAUCAGUGAUUAUAAUAUAAUUAUUUUUAAUUAACUAAUUAUAGCCGAUUCAAACAAAAUUUUAUUACGUUUAAACUUAUGUUUUUAUCUUGAUAAGAUAUUUUGAUAAUUGUUAUGACUCUCAAAUAUUAUUUAUUGGAAUAAUACUUUUAUGGUCUAUUAUUAAAUUGAAUUAACUAAUAAUUACUGCAAAUGUAAUUAUUGUUAGUUGAACAAGGAUUAACAGCUGAACAUAAUAAUUAUAAAAGUGUAUCUAUAUAAUAACUUAUAUCUAAAUAAACGGAUAACUAAAUUUAAUUGCUUUUCAUCAACUAAUUAUAUUAAUUUUAAACAGAUUAAUUUCACUAAGUGUUACGUUAUGUUUGUUCGAUAAUUAUACCUUUAUUGCAAUGGCGUCGAUAGAAGUUCAGUAUUUUGAAAUGAAAUCUAUGUAAGAAAUUAUAGUCAAUUUUUGGAUGAAAGAAAAUCUCUUUAUAAAGAGAAAAAUGAAUAAAAUAAAUUUCAUUUUUUUGACUUAAUUAUCGAUUAGAAGAUUUAACUUGUACGAAUUAUUACUGAUUUGAUACUAAUAAUGAGCUAUUUCAGUAUCUUAAGCAUACAUAUAUAUAUCCACGAUUAAAAUUAAUUGAUAGCCUUGUCUCACAUAUAGACUAUUUGAAGUUUCAUUAGAGUUGUCGACGAUUGGAUCCAAUUUUAUAGCUUGUAAAUUUUAAAUGUAAUUUUUAAAAAUAAGAAAUUAUAUUAACUUGUAUAAACUAAUUAUAUCAAAUCUAAACUAAAUUUUAAUAAGUCUCACACAAGCUUAUCCUAAUUAAGUGCUAUGAGAAUUAGUAUUUAUUAUGUGUCUCAAAUCAAUUUCAUAAAACCGCUAUUAUAGCUAUUAUAUGUCCUUUACUUUGUUAUUUUUCUAAUAGUACACAAAAAUUAUGGUCAAAUAAUUUUUGUGUUCUAAAUUUUAAAGAUAAAAUAUUUUUAUGUCACAAACAUAUUAAUUUUUAAAGUUAAAUGACAUUUAUGUUUGAGAUUUUUUUUUAUGUGAUAGAAUCAAUGUUAUAUAAUAACAGAUAAAUUUUACCUAUCAUUGAUUUCAGUUAUUCAAUUUUUCAAUUCUUUAUAAUUUUUAUCUACAACAUGCCUAGUGUAAGUGAAAAAAUUAUUUUUCACACGAUAAAAGCUAAUUUAGCAAUAGUAACCUCAGCUUGUAGCCAUAAUAAAUUAUUUCAAACAAAAUAUUAUAAUUAAUCAAUGUUUCUACUUCGGGUUAUUAAGAAAUAUGAAAACAAUUAAAUGUGGACAUAGUUAAUUUUUAUUUAGAGUACUAAAAAAUUAUGACAAUGGUUAGCUUAAUAUCUAUAAUGAGUGAUUAUUUUAGGUUGAUGUUUACUAGGGUCAACAAUUAUGAACUCUAUGAUUUUUAUAAUGUGCUAAGAUCUAUCAUGUCUAAAGAAUUUUGAAUUUAGACAAUCGUUAUAGAAAUAUUUCUUAAUUAUAUUUUUAAACUAUUUAAAUAUGUUUUUUGAUUUUUUUAAAUAUAAAAAUAAAAUUACGCAGUUAAAGUUCAUAUUAAUAACAAAUAUAAUUAAUGACUUACCAGUUAAUAAUUAUAUUUUUAAUUCACCAAUUAACAAAUAUAAUAAUUAAAGUACGUAGGAUCGCAAGACCAUAACAUUAAUGUGUGACUUUCUUGAAUUGAUGUUUAACCAAUAUCAACUGUUUUUGAACUAUAUGAUGUUGAAAUAUUUUUAAACUAUAUAUUUUUUAGAAAAAAAAAACUAUUCAAAUAUGUAGUUUAAAUUUCUAUAAACAUAAAAAUUAAUAUAGUUCCUUAAUUAGAAUUCAUGUAUAUUAAUAAAAAUAUAAAUAAUGGUUCCUACGUUAUCAAAUCGGCGUAACAUAGUGACGCAAAACUACAAUAUCAAUGUGUGACUCUCUUAGGUUAUUGUUAAUUAAAGUCGACACUUAUAACUAUAUAAUUUUUAUAACUUGUCAAUCUCUAUCACGUCUAAAGUGUUUUAAGUUUUUAUUGUUUUUAUUAAAAUAUUUUCAUAUUAUAUUAAAAAUUAUUUAACUAUGCAAACUUUUAGUUUUAAAACUAGUAAAUAAUUUUUAUUCUUUUCUUUAUGUAUUUUUCUUAUCAUUUAUAUAUAAUUUAAGUGUAAGAUUGACAUAGGGUAAUUUUUUUUAUCAACUAAGAAAAUUUUGAUGCGAAAUUUUCAAAAGUUAUGUUGACUUCUUUCCGUUGUACUUCUAAAAAUAGAUAGAAAAGUUUUGAAAUGAAAAAAAAAUUAUUUGAAUUAUCAUGAGAAAAAUUAUAGCAUAAUUAAAACUGUACAAUAGAAUUCAUAAAAAAUAAUUAACUUUUUGUGUUGGAAAUUUUGAUAAUUGCUUAUUUUAUUUAAUACUAAACUACGAAUCAGAUUUCAACAAAAAUAAAAAACUAAAAGUUAUUCAAAAUAUUGAUAGGUUUUAAUAUAUAUAUAUAUAUAUAUAUACACACACACCUCUUAUUUAUCUAUAUAAAAUAAAGAUAUAUAAAAUUUAUUAAAUAUAAAAAAAUAAAAAUUAUUUAUAUGAUAAAACGCAUAAUUAAGUAGAUAUGAUACAUAAAUAUAUAAUGUUAAAUUAAAAAUUUCAGAUAAUACUACUUUGGUCACACUAAUUUUGGAUAUAUAAUAAUAUAAUUAAUUAAUUUUAUAUUUUUAUUUUUAUCCUACACUAUUCUUAUGAAAAUUAUGUUAUUUUGUCAAUUCUCAUGUAUUGAGAUAGUUUUCAAUGUAUUGGAAAAGAGUAAUAAAAUAAGGAUUUUAAAUUUAAGAUGAAAGGGGCAAAAAUGUUCAAAAAAAAUUACUUUAUAGUGUGAAUAGGAUUUAUCACUAUUAUGGCCAAAUUAUGGCCAAAUUUUAUGGACAAAAGGAUUUAUCCUUUUUGAUUUUAUUUCUAAAUAAAUGUGUGUUUAACCCUUCAAAAAUAAUUUGAUCAAAUAAAUGUAAUCAAUGUCAACUUGAAAAGAGGUAGAAAUUUUAAUCAGGGAUAAGUUGGUAAAAUUAUAUUCCUUCCGUCCAAUAAUACUUAUCUAUUAUUGAUUUAACACACAUGUUAAGAAACAAUAAAUAAUGUGGGUAAUUUUAUUGUAUCAUAAUUUGAAUAUAAUAAAUUUGAUGUUUUGAAAAAUAUAUUGAGUGAUUGAAUAGUAUUUAAUAACAGGGAUAAAAUUGAUAGAAAAAAGUACAUUAUUUAUUUGAAACAAAUAUUGUUGAACAAUUAUUUUAGUAUAGUGAACAAGUAUUACUGGACGGAGUGAAUAUUUUAUUUUCUAGAAAUUUACAAUUUAUUAAAAGGUAUGAUUAAUUCAAAAUAUACACUUAUUUAAGAACAGAGAAAGUGAAAUUAUUUGAUUAAUGGAGAUUCAAUGUGAAAACAAGAAUUGAUUAUACUCCCAACACAAAAGCAUAAAACACAUGAAGAAAAAGUUGGCAAAAUUAUGAAUAUGGGGUUUACUUAAAAAAAAAGAAAAAAAAAAUGGAUGAUCUGAUGAAUAAUGUAAAAAAAAAAGUGAAAAAGAUUUAUUAAAAAUCCGACGUAAAUUAGAUACAAUUAAAUAAAAAAUAAAAAAAUGAUAUAAGAUUUAGAAAAAACACUUCAAAAACCAAGACGAUAGUUGGGUAAUCUGAUUUCUAGGCGGGAACCUUAAAACUUUUGAGAGUCGAUAUAUAUACCGUGACCGUUAAAUCCUGAUUUCGCCACUGAAAUAAUCUUUCAUUGUAACAUUAAUAUGCCAACAAUUAAUUACAAACUUGUUUAAAUUAUUUCAAAGUUGAUAAGACUAAAUGGAUUAUCCAACUAAAUUAAUCACACAAUUAAUUCUUGCCCAAAAAACAGCCAAAGUUGCUCUAACUGUUUACAUAUAAUUUCUCAACUGUCUAAUUUCUAGAUGUGACAAAUUCAAUUGUAUUAAUCAACUUGUUUUUCAACCAAAAAAAAAAAAAAAUCAACUUGUUUUGGUACAAUAAUGUUUGUUUUGAUUGUUACGUAUAUUUUAUUUUAUUGUAUCGUAUUGUUAAAUUCGAUGUUAUAUCGUUAUAAAGAGUUUCAUUUAAUGUAUAGAUCGAUUUGGUCUGAGCAUUGUUACAUAACUUUUAUCCUUUUUCAACGAUAAUAUACCUAGUGUAUUUUUAUACGGUGGGGUCUGCGGAAGAUAGAGUGCAGGCAGUUCGUACCACUACCUGAAGACAGAAUAUAGUCCAGAUCAGAUUGUUUCCGACAGACUCUCGGCUCAAGACAAAACAUAAUCGAGAAAAAGAUAUAAAAGGAGUACAAAGACAAUAAAGAGUGACACAAUAACUACCUAAAACAACAUAUAUCAACAAGACUCGAAGAACAAAAAAUACUUCAGUCGGAGGUCGGAAACGACCUCUCUACCUCACCUCUGAGGUAGCGAUGUGGACUACAUACACUCUGCCUAUCCCAGAACCCACUUUGUGAAAAUAUACUGGGUUUUUCGUCGUACUCCAAGAACAAAAAUCUACGAGCAUAAACUCACUACGACUACUAAUUAAUAACGACAGCACUCCUACCUGCUGGCAUAAACGCACUCGACAUCUUAACCAUCUAUCAUAACUCGUGCUCGUCAUACCUUCUUAUCUAAAGUCAUGUCUAUUUUAUACCGAUUCCAAUAAAUCUCUUAUGCCCCUAAGAGACGAAUAUCUUGUUUCAGAUAAGCCAACAAUAGUUGUUGUCCGAAAGAUACUCAGUCGUAAUUUCUCCGAAUGGAUGGUGAUUUUAGAGAGAUAGACAUAAUACAUAAAUGUGCCCUUCAACUUGACUUCAAAUUGCAUCUACGCCUACGCCUUCCAACUUUGGAUGUGCAGAACAAGCACUUCAACAUAUAUAAAGUUGAACAAAUAGACAAAUGCAUCCUAUAUGUCAUCCUAUGUGGCCAUCUCACGUCCAACGUAGCAUCCUACAUGUAUUGAACAAGUAGAUACGUCCUAUAUGACAUCCUACAUGGCCAAUUCAUGUUCAACGUAGCAUCCAACAUGUACUACCACAUAAGCCAUAUAUAUCUGCUCGCUCAGCUUUAUACAAGUUUAACCAUCUUUUUUUUUGUGCACUUCCAAAAUUUGAGGUCACAGACGCUCGACGAAGCCAAGUUAAACGGCAUGUUUAUGAAUCAUGCCAAAGAGAUAACUAGUAGCUCCAAAAUUGAAUUGUAAAAAAAGAAAAAAAAACAACCCGUUGCACUAAAGCUCCUGCUAUGCACAGGAUCCAAAAAAAGACCCGACCACAAAGAGCCUAUCGUAUGCAGCCUUACCUUGCAUUUCUGCCAGAGGCUAUUUUCAAGUCUUGAACCCGUGACCUACUGAUCAUCUAACAGCAGCUUUACCAGCAAAAUUUGAUUGUACUCUAUAGAUACUAAUUAUUAAUCUGCAAAAAGGUUUUAUUCCAAAGUGAUGCAACAUUCUUUUCUCAUUUCUAGUCUACAUUUCAAAAUUCAAAUACUAAUAUGAAAAUGAAAUAGUUUACAUUAACAUACUAUCUAUGGUAGAAUAGCAAUUACAUCAGGUGCCUUUAGAGUAAUGUAAUCAGAGCCAUCAGCUCCUUUGAAGUCAUUGCCAGCAUAUUUGGAAUACAAAACUUCAUUUCCAGGGGAUACUGUAAGUGAUUUCCUGUUUCCUUCCGCGUCGAGAGGACCGGGUCCAACGGCUAUCACCUGUUUCAAUAGCGGAAAAGGUUAACGGAUAUCAGCGAGAGUUUUAACUUCUAUGCACGGACGUUUCUGCUAUCAAUUGUCAUGCAGUGGUUGUUUAUAUGUGAAUCAGUACUAAAAGGAUACCUAUGCAGUGACUAAUACAACAAUCUCGGUGUAGUCCUAGAAGAGGGGUCUGGAGAGGGUAGAGUGUACGUCGACCUUACUCCUACGUCGAGGAGGUAGAGAAGUUGUUUCAGCUAUCAAGUGUUGUUUGGUUCACAUCGUAGCUGUAUGAGAACUGCAAUGCAGCGAUUGUCUGUAUGUGAAUCAGUACUAAAAGGAUAGCUAUGCAAUGACUAAUACAACAAUCUCGGUGUCGUCCCAGAAGUGGGGUCUAGAGAGGGUAGAGUGUACGUCGAUCUUACUCCUACGUUGAAGAGGUAGACAAGUUGUUUCCGGAAGACCCUCGGCCCAAGUAACAAACAUCAUAUGCUAUGCAAUGACUAAUACAACAACAACCACCCCAGUGUAGUCCUAGAGGUCUGGAGAGGGUAGUGUGUACAGCGACCUUACUCCUACGCCGAGGAGGUAGACAAGUUGUUUCUGGAAGACCCUCGGCUUGAGUAACAAACAUCAGAUGCAAUGCACUGACUAAUACAACAAUCCCAGUGUAGUCCAAGAAGCGAGGUCUGGAGAGGAUAGAGUGUACGGCGACCUUACUCCUACGUCGAGGAGGUAGAGAGAAGUAGUUUCCGGAAGACCCUCGGCUAGAGUAACGAACAUCAGAUGCUAUGCAAUGACUAAUACAACAACAACAAUCCCAGUGUAGUCCCAAAAGAGGGGUCCGGAGAGGGUAGAGUGUACGUCGACCUUACUCCUACGUCGAGGAGGUAGACAAGAAGUUUUCGAAAGACCCUCAGCUCGAGUAACGAACAUCAGAUGCUAUGCAAUGACUAAUAAUGAAGAGAUUGUAGUACAUGAAUUACUUACUUUUAAGGGCCCUCAGUGCAUUGUAGCUACGCGUAUAAUUAGAUAAAGACAAUACAUGCUACAUUAGUUAUACGUCUUAUGCGGCCAACCAAACACUAUAUUAGCUUAUGUGCAAUUUUAUGUUGGAACUAGUUUAUUUCAAACCAUCAAUCAAACAACCCCUCAGUGUAUAAAUAUCUAUGUUGCUAGUACGCUUCAAAAUGUUGUCGUACCUAUGCCGAAUCCUUAAAAAAUAUAUUACCUUUGAAGGAUCCAACACGUAUCCAUUGACAUUUUCAAAGAGCCCAAACAUAGAUAAAUAUUAACAAUAAUAGAAGUAAUAAUACUAGCUGAACAGCAGGGUGCAUAUUCUUACCGUGCCAAUUGAAGGUUUCUCCUUUGCAGACUCGCUCAAAAACAAUCCUCCAGCGGUUUUUUCCUCAGUCUCAGCCACCUGAUAAAAAAUGUGAUGACCAAAUUAGCACGACUCUGCAAAAAUGAACCUUGAUGCAAAUGUGAUAUCAAGAAGAAUAAGCGACGAAAAUGUAGUCAGGCUUCCAAAAUUGAAACUCUCAUUAAGUCGCCUUGAUGAAUCACUUGAGCCCUGAUACAUUUUCGGCUAUAUUGCUCGAGCUCUUCAAAAAUGUCAAAAGGUGUGUAUCGGAUCCUCCAUAAAAAGUGCAUUUUUGAAGGAUCCGACACGGGUGCGGUCACAUUUUUAGAGAGUCCAAGCAACUUAGAUUAUCAGCGCCAUGGAGCUAGACCAGUGAAUGUAGAUGCCACAUAAAGAAAUAAAUAAAAGGCAUAACGACGAACCUUGAUUAGAACUCUGUCAUUCAACGGCUGCAGAUCCUUGAUAUCAUCUGUCUCAAGGAUACCGAUAAUGUCAUCCUCUUUCAAAAUCAGGUGCUUUGAUCCAUUGAACUCCACUUCAGUUCCCGCAAAUUUCGAGUACAGCACUUGGGUACCAUUCUACACGUAAUAAGAUCAGUUUAGAAGAAAAUGAUUAACCUACUUAUAAACCAAGUUGAGUAUGCCGAUGAUUACAGAAUUACCUUCACACUAAUUUCCACUGUGGUCUUACCAACUGAACGACCCUCCCCAACAGCAACAACCUCACCUCCUUGUGGCUUUGACUGUGCUGAUGUUGGAAGCAGGAUGCCGCCUACGCUCUUGUCCUCUGCAUCCUUAAUCUUCACCAGAACUCUAUCACCUAGAGGUUUAAUUGAAGUGUACUGUACAAACAAAAGAAAGAGAACACAGAGGCGCACAAAUAUGUAAGCUUCCCUACGAGAACAGCGGAAAUCUUGAAAUGCAUUGCAACUGACAUAGGUUGGAUUUUAAAAACCAGCAGAAACAAAAUCGAACUGAUGCACUUAAAUAAGAGAUACGAGAGCUUUAAAGCCAAUACCGACUAACUGAUGAAACCUAAUUCUCAAUGUAUUCAUCUUUGGUUUUCAAAUAUUUUUUACGGGAGAUAUCUAAUUUAUCCCAGGGCAGCCCGGUGCACUAAACCUCUAAUUAUGUGGGAGGUUUGGGGAAGGUCCGGACAACAAGGGCCUAUUGCACGCAGCCUUACCAUGCGUUUCUGCAAGAGGCUGUUUUCACGCUUGAACAAGUGACCUCCUAGUCACAUGGUAGCAACUCAAGGCGAUUCUUCUUACCUUCCCAGCUAAUAGAUUUCGAGCAAAACAACAACAACAACCUACCGUAUUUCCAUAAGUGGGGUUUGAGGAGGAUAGAGUGUACACAAACCUUACCCUACCUGGGGAGGUAGAGAGGUUGUUUCCGUAGAUCCUCGGCUCAAAGAAAAGCAUAUCAAAAAAAAAAAACUAACAGAAGUGAAGAAAUCAUGGCAAAGCAUUCUGAAAAAAGGAACAUAAAUUACAACAACAUAGUGCGAUAACUGAAGUACAAGAGACAAUAGACAGUGGCAAAGAAAUACUACGACUGCCAGUAUGGAAGGAUAAAGAAUUCGAGCAAAACAAUGGAAUAAAACAAGAACUACAGAGGAAAGAAACCAAAUUAUAUACCUUAGGAGAUACAACAGUUGCAGCCUUGACGAUGAGUCCACGGAACGACCUGCUAUUCUUCUUUAAAGGAGCGAAAGACACAGCCUUAAAAUUACUCGUGGACCUAAGCCCCUCAAAGGAUGCAAAACCCUUGGCAGAAAUGGAUGACGCAGCCAGCUGAGUCGUUGCCAUUCUUUUUCGAGCUAAAUCAAUAAACCCCACAGAAAAGAUGGUCAAUAUCCUCAGCAUCCAGAAGCAAAAAGUGUACAAGCAUCGAUAAAAACUCAAGAAUUCUGAAUUUAAUCUGUAACCCCAUAGCAGAAACGGUACCCCAUGAGCAAAAAGAGCAUAAGUGAAGACGGGAACCACAGAAUUCUGAAUUAAAUCAAUAAUUCCCACAACAACGGUAAAACAGCAGCUCCCCACAAGCAAAAAUGGUACUCCCUCCAUUUCUAUUUGUUUGUCCUACUUUUUAGUUCGUUACAAAAAAAUGUUUCUUUACUUUUUUUUUUGCAACACUUCAAUUCUAGACGAAGAUUAAAGGGCAUUUUGAUAUAUUCUUCGUAUCUUUAGCUUAAGACCACAAGAUUCAAAGGUCUUUUUUGCUUUCUUAAACUUUCGAGUCAAGUUAAAACCAGACAAACAAAUUGAUAUGGAGGGAGCUAAAAUUAUGACAAGAGCAAAAAAAAUUAAAGAUAAAAGCAACACCCAAAAAAGCAAAAAAGAGGAACCGUUAAAGAUAAGAAUCAAAACAUAGUAAAUCUUAACAAGGUUAACAUGACAUUUUGAUACUCUCAAUGUAUCUUUAGUUUAAUAUGACAAGAUUUGGACGUCUUCCUUACUUUCUUAAACUUUGUGUCAAAUCAAAACUAAAGAUAAGAACCAUAACAUUCUGAACUAAAUCAAGAACUUCACAACAAAAAUGGUUAAAAACAGCACACCAGAAGCUAAACGUAUUAAAUUCAAAGACAAAAACUCAAGAAUUUCAAUCAAGUGAUAAUAAAGGAAGCACCUUCAUUGGCGAAAUUAAUAUGACUGAUAGCAAAGGAGAUGUUUCCUCUAGAUAAGAACCAUAAAAUUCUGAACUAAAUCAAGAACCCCCACAGCAAAAAUGGCUACAAGAACAGCUCAACUAAAGAAAAUAUACAGUAAAUUACUAAAUUUAAAGAUAAAAAUUCACAACAACAGCAUACCUAGUGUAAUCCCACAUAGUGGAGCCUGGGGAGGGUAGAGUGUACGCAAGCCAUACCACUACCUCAGGUGAAGUAGAGAGGCUGUUUCCGAUAGACCCUCGGCUCAGGACCGACAACAGAAAGAUAAAAAUUCAAGAACCAUAAAAUUCUGAGCUAAAUCAAGAACCCCACAACAAAAAAGUUACAAGAACAGCACACCAGAAGCAAGAAAAUAUAAUAAAUUUAAAGACAAAAAUUCAAGAACCAUAAAAUACUGAACUAAAUCAAGAACCCCACAACAAAAAAUGCUACAAGAACAGAAAACAUAAGCAAAAAUACAGUAAAUUUAAGUACAAAAAUCUCAAGAAUUUCAAUCAAACGAUACAAAAGGGAAGCACCUUCAUUGGGACAUUCUGAGCUAAAUCAAGAACCCCACAACAAAAAAUGGUUACAAUAACAGUACACCACUAGUGACAAAAAUAGUCCUUUAAAUUCAAUAAUUUCAAUCAAAUGCUACAUUUUCUGAGCGAACUCAAGAACCCCACAACAAAAAAAUGGUUACAAUAACAGUACACCACUAGUAUAAAAGAUAGUAGUACUUUACAUUCAAGAAUUCAAUAAUUUCAAACAAAUGAUACAUUCUGAGCUAAAUCAAGAACCCCACGACAAAAAUGGUUACAAGAACAGCAAACAGAAGCAAAAAUAUAGUAAAUUAUAAGUAAAAAAACUCAAGAAUUCAAUCAAACGAUACAUUCUAAGCUAAAUCAAGAACCCCACAACAAAAAUGGUUACAAGAACAGCAAACAGAAGCAAAAAUAUAGUAAAUUAUAAGUAAAAAAACUCAAGAAUUCAAUCAAACGAUACAUUCUAAGCUAAAUCAAGAACCCCACAACAAAAAUGGUUACAAGAACAGCAAACAGAAGCAAAAAUAUAGUAAAUCUAAGUAAAAAAACUCAAAAAUUUCAAUCAAAUGAUAUAUUCUGAGCUAAAUCAAGAACCCCACAACAAAAAUGGUUACAAGAACAGCAAACAGAAGCAAAAAUAUAGUAAAUCUAAGUAAAAAAACUCAAAAAUUUCAAUCAAAUGAUAUAUUCUGAGCUAAAUCAAGAACCCCACAACAAAAAAUAGUUACAAUAACAGUACACCACUAGUAAAAAAGAUAGUAAUUCAAAUUCAAGAAUUCAAUAAUUUCAAUCAAAUGCUACAUUUUCUGAGCUAAAUCAAGAACCCCACAACAAAAAAUGAUUACAAUAACAGUACACCACUAGUAAAAAGAUGAAAAAGUAAGUACCUUUAUUGUGAAAAUGGUGAGUUUUUCUCUACUACGGAGUGAAGAGUCAAUAAGGUAUGUGUUUAGACUUUUGAAAAGAUAAAAUGUGUAGAAAUGUUAAAAGGAUAACAAAACCCUAGAAGGUUCUAUUAGGGAAACUUUUUUUUCUUUCUUUUAUUUUUUUAUUUUUAAAAAAAUAAAUCUCUCCGAAAAACGUAUUUCUACGUCAAAUUUGAUUUAUAGAAAGAAAAAAGUGCGAAAAAUACUUAUAGUUUAACGAAAUUUACAGUUACGCAUCCUGAACUUUUCGGGAGUUUAUGAUCCCCUAGACUAUUUUUUAUCAUAUUUAACUGAUAUAUACUUCGUGUAUUUCACGCAUAUUGAGUGCGUAAAAAAAAUAUUUAAUAAAAGGUAAAUAUAUGUCAGUUAAAUACUAUAAAAAAUAGUCAAGGGGCAUAGGAUCCCUGUAAAGUUCAGGGUGCGUAGCUGUAAAUUUCGCUCAAGUAUCAAUAUUUUUCGUUUGACCUAAAAACGAAAUCUAUUUUUAAAGAAAAAAAUAUUCAAAUUUGGGAUAUUAAAUUUAGAUAGCCCACGUGGUUAUAGUGCGUGUUACCCUUCCCCACCUUGUAUGAGGUAGAAAAAUUGUUUAGAAAAGCGCAUAAUACAAGAGCAAACGAUGCUUCGAUGAAAAUAUUAAGAAAAAUACUAACAAAAAUAAUAAGAUAACCAAAGCAAAAGAAAUAACUAUGGUAAUAAAAAUAAAAAAUAAUAUAUAAUAAUAAAAGUAAUAAUAACACUGAAAAGAGGAAAGAGAGAAAUCGCUCCAACUACGUCCUAACAUUCCAUCCUAAUCCUCGAUUUUUAAGCUCUCAUAUCUAGGAUCAAAUACACUGAUGUUUUUCCACUGUCAGGUCAUCUAAAAAAUAUUUACACGUAACCGUAUACGAAAAAAAGCAACAUUAAUAACCUAUUAUGACAUGUUAACAUAUGUGGGUAGCGUAAAUUCUUUACAUUUAGGGGUCAUUUGGUUCAAACUUCAUAGUUAUACAGAGAUAUAUACUCACGUUUACGACUAUCAAGUCACCUAAGAGAUAUUUGCAUGUAACUGAAGACAAAAAAGCAAUAGUCGUAACCUCGCCUAUAACAUAUAAACAAACGUUGAUGGCGUAAAUUCUUUACAUUUAGGGGUCAUUUGGUUCAAACUUUACAGUUAUACAAGUAUUAUAUACUCACGUUUGCCACUAUCAAGUCACCUAAAAAAUAUUUACAAGUAACUGUCGAUAAAAAGCAUUUGGUUCAAACUUUAUAGUUAUACAGGGAUUAUAUACUCACGUUUGCCACUAUCAAGUCACCUAAAAGAUAUUUACAGGUAACUGUCGAAAAAUAUUUGGUUCAAACUUUAUAGUUAUACAGGGAUUGUCACUAUCAAAUCACCUAAAAGAUAUUUACAGGCAACUGUCGAUAAAAAAGUAACAGUAGUAACCUACUAUAUCAUCUUAAAACGUGUAAAAAAAAUUGUGUUUAGGGGCCAUUUGGUUCACCAUCAUAUUUAUACAGGGAUUAUAAUGCAGAAAUUAUUUAACAUUCAACAUGAAAGGUUUAAAAUCGAUCAUAAGAUUAAAAAAAUUUAGAUACACUAAUCUACAUAUUUUUGUAGAGAAAAUGAUCAAAAACACCCCGAAUUUUUAUCCCUAAUCUCAACUACAUACUCAACCUUUAAAGAUAACCUAUUACCCCCUGAACUAUUUUAAAGGGAAUUAUUACCCCUCGAAAACUGGCAACCAGUCAUUUGGAACGUGGUGUGAUGCACGCGCUGCCACGUCAUUUUUUUUACUCUAAAAAAAUUAAUUAUUUAACUUUGUUAUUUUCUUUUUUCUUCCCCAUUUUUCAUUUUGCUCCAUUUUCUUUGGCGUUUUAAUGAAAUUCUUGAACCCAAUUUCAUCUCUUUUUGCUCAAGAUCACCAUUAAUGUCGAAUUCUUCCCCAUUGUGGAAAUUCAAAGAUUUGAACUUGCCAUUAAUGGCGGAUCUUGAGCAAAAACAGAGAAAAUAAAAAAAAUGGGUUGAAAAUUAUACGUGGGUUAUGUCGGAAAUUAUAUAUGGCAUAGUGAAAAUUUGAAGCUUUCAGCUAGCCAUUAAUGGCAAUCUUGAGCAAAAAGAGAGGAAAUCGAAGUUGUUGAAUGUCACGCCUCAAAUCCUAUUGGGGCGGACUGGCACCCGUAACCGAGGAGGUCCGGGAGAACCAUCUCAUAACCUUAUACUUCCCAUGCAUACCUCUAUAACAACCCGAAAUUCGGACAACAUCAUGUCACAUAUAAAAGGAAAUAAUCACCUGUAUAAGCUCGAGCACACAUAUAUAUGUAUAUACAAUACUUGGCCGUUGGAGCCAUCACGUCUAUUAACAAAACACCACCUUGACUAUACAUUAGGUCUACAAAGCCUCUAGACAAUACACAGAGUUUAACUAAGGUCGGGACACACCCCACCAUAUAACUAACUUCUAUCAAUACCAAAAGUGACUGGAUAUGACACGAAAAGCUCCGAAGCAAACUAGAGCUCACCAAAAGCAGCUGGAUAUCCUGGCUCCUACUUGUGCGAUGUAUAAGUUGAGGUACCUUUGCCUGCAGCAUGAAAUGCAGGUCCCCCGUGGGGACGUCAGUACGAAAUAUGUACUGAGUAUGUAAAGCUGUAGAUAAUCACAUAUGAUAUAGAAGCUCAAUAGAAAUCAGAAACAAGUGAAUAAAUCGUAAUAGGAGUGGACCACACUUGCUAUAACUUGUGACAACCUGUACAUUGUAUUUAUUCAAUCAUUUUACUUUCAUUCUUAUCAUCUUUGUAAUCAUUACUGUACUGUACUGUGACCAUUAGGCUGCCUCCAGUACAUAUCAACUGGGAUCGAAAGGCCCGGGAGAACCCGUUUAAAUACCUGUACUUUCACUUUCAUGUCACCAAAAAUUUGGCCAGCACUUCGUUGCAUAUAGAAGGGUCUAAUUACCUGUAUCAGCACAACACGCACAAAUAUAUAUAUAUAAUACUUGGCCGUCGGGGCCACCACAUAUAAAAAUAUAACAUCACUAUAUGAACUUCCAUGACUUUACCCUUCCUUAUGUCUACAAAGCCUCUAGGAUAUACAUGACAUAACUAGGGUCGGGACAAACCCCCGCCCACACAUGACUCCUCCUGUACAAUAACAAAAUAUAAGGGACCGACUCGGAAAGCUCCGAAGCAAAUUGGAGCUCACCAACAAUAGCUGUAUGACCUGGCUCCUAUUUAUGUUGUGAAUGAGCUGAAGCACCUGUGCCUGCAGCAUGAAAUGUAGGUCCCCCGUGAGGGACGUCAGUACGAAAUAUGUACUGAGUAUGUAAAGCUGUAAAUAAUCAUAUGUGAUAUGGGGGAUCAAGAAAAUCAGACGCAAGUGAAUAAAUCAUAAUAGAAGUGAACCACACUUCAUAAACACUUUUAGGAUCAUGUACAUUAUCAUUAAUCUGAAUUGGGUUCUUGAAUUCAAACACAUUUGUGGAACGGUAUACAUUCGUUCAUUUUAUUCUUUACAAUUAUCAUUCGCCAUUACCUCCUCCUCCCGAACCUCCAACCACCUAACAAUAAUCAAUACUGUACCGUACUGUGACCAUUAGGCUGCCCCCAGUACAUAUCAACUGUAAUCAUAUCAAAUAUCGGGAUCGGCCCAUGCUAGGCUUAAGCCCCUGAGCUACCACCCACACGUAUAUCAAGUAACACACAUAAGAGAUCUUUCCAAUAACUUAGUUCAAAAGCUUUUGAGAUUAUUACAUUAGUGUUCAUGCCAAUAUAGUACCUUUGGAAUAAUGAUACAUCAAUAGGAACCAAGUAAUAGACUUUCUAUACAAUAACGAUGUAAUAAAGACUCAUUGGUACAUCAACAAUGUGUUUCGGAAUCAUCAAUAUCACAACAAUGAAAUAGGAGCCUUUUGGUAUAUCAAUGAAACAUUUUGACACUUUAUAGAAUGGAAACAACUUCGUUGGUAAUGUAGAACAAUACAUGUUUUUGGACAACCUCGGAAUCUUACUUGAUGGAACAUUGGUGUUUUCAUGCUAAAGAACAUCGUUAGAGUAUGCUUUACAUACCUCGUUGUAGAUUCGGAUACCAAUUCAACACAACUUUCCGCCUUUACAAAUUACUUAUCUAUAAUUAAAUGUUUGGCAUCUAGUAUUAGCAACCCAACACCACAAUUCUCUUCCAUAAUUCCAUACAACCAAUAUUUGCAAAGCAUUCCAAAAACCAACUUGAACAAUCGGUUUAUGUGUAUAUAUAUAUAAUCAUCAUUUCAAUACCACAUCAUCACACCAAAUCCCUUCACAAUUCAACAUAAUCCAACCAUGCACCAGAAUAAUCCAACAUCAUUUCCAAUCAUCUUUCAACAACAAACAAAUAACAUACUUCUUAUGCUCACAUGCAUAUAUAUAUACAUAUCCAUAUAAAUAACACCAACAUAAUUUACAUCCUUACCAUAAAAUGGCCCUUUUGAUUUCGAAGUCCUGUUGGCACAAAUAAGGCUGGCCUCAGUAGUUGUGUGCAGGAAAUUUUCCUACACAUUUACUAUUCCCAAUAUCCCGGCCACCGUUUUAUAGUUUCGAACGUGCUCGAUUAUAUCCGAAACCUAUCCGUUUUUGGAAAUCUUUGUAUCGUUGAAAGCUUAUUCAAUAACCUUCGUAUGGAACCAUCGAGGGGCAAAUUCCGGUAUAAAUAAAAUAAAAUAAAAUUAAUUUCAUAUAAAUAAGAUCAAUACACGUACUUGAAUACGCCAAUACACGUACUUGAAUACGGGGUGUUACAUUGAAUUUUUUCAAGUUUUUUGAAUCGGAGUUCCCCAACUUCUUCAUUCAAGAAUUUAUUAAUCGGAGAAAUCUUAUUGUUUCCUUAGUUCAAGUGUUUCUUGAUUUCGAUUUCGGAGCAAAAAGAAUUUCUUGGUUUCGUAGAAAUCCAUUAAUGAGGAAGAUGAGGAACUCCAUUAAUGAGUUCUUGAAUUUUUCUUUUGAAAAAAAGAAGAAGAAGAUAUGACGUGACAAUUAAAAUUCAUUAAGAAAAAAUAAUAAUUAAAAUAUUUAUUAUAUUAUUAAAAAUAAUGACGUGACAAUUAAAAUUCAUUAAGAAAAAAUAAUAAUUAAAAUAUUUAUUAUAUUAUUAAAAAUAAUGAUGUGACAAUAAAAAAUAAAGAAUUUAAAGUGAAAUGGGUCAACUGACGCGCCCAUGGGCGAGUGUAGUCACGUCCAGUGACAGGUCAGCAACUGAGGGUAAUAAAUUCGGUAAAAAUAGAUUUAGGGGGUAAUAGGUCACUUUUAAAUGUUGAGUGUGUAAUUGAAAUUUCGACUAAAGAUUUAGGGUAAUAGACCAUUUUCUCAUCUUUUGUAUAAAAUCAUAAAAUUCAAAAUAAUAAAAAAUAAUUAACAGUGUGCAUGCAUUACAACUGUUGUUCCUUGUGUGGAAUAAUGAAAAUUUGAUGAGUUGAUCCACAUUUAUAUAUAUAUAUAUGUACAUUUUACUUUUAUCUUUAUAUCCUGAAUUACUAAUAGUGAAUAAUUUCUAUAUGAUUAAUAUGAAAUUCCGUUGUCUUUAUAUAUAUAAUACGCUCAAUCCUCUGUAUAACAAUCAUUUCUGUAAUAACAUUUUACUAUUAUAAAUAACUUUAUGUAAAAUGUCAACGGUCAUCACUAUAAUUGUACACUUUAUUGGAAAAAAAAAACAAUUAAAAUUUAUUAGUCAUAAUAUGUAUAUAUGUUUAAGGAAUCAUUAAAGAAUGUGGCGCAGUUGAUGAGAUUGCUCCUCCGUUAAUUAGAGAUCUCGGGUUCAAAUUCUGAUUAUGAAAUAUUCUUUGGUAGGGAGCGUUUUUCCCGAGUGGAUCCUACCCGAUACGAAUUCGAAUUAAUUUGACUUUAAUGCAAUGAGAAAAGCACACUGAAAAAUAAUUAUGGUUAACUGCAACAUAAAUAUAUGUAUUUUCAUAUUAGUUGUUGUAGUAUUAUUUAUACAGUUUCUUAUUAUUCGAUAUAUGUUAUAUUAUUCUCUCGAUUUAUAUUGGAAGAAAUUGAUUAGGCAGGACAUGGAGCGGUUACAGCUUACGGAGGACAUGACCCUUGAUAGAAAGGUGUGGAGGGUGCAAAUUCAGAGACGGAGUCAGAAUUUCUGUUGAGGGGUUCAAAAUUAAUAUGAAGAAAAACUCACCGAAAGGGGUUCAACAUCUACGAUAUAUACACAUAAAAGUUAUUUUAACCGUGUAUUAAUAACAUAAUUUUUUAUCGAAGAGGGUUCAGAUGAAUGAACCCCUUAUUACUAGGCUGGCUCCGCCGCUGCACCAAUUAGGGUAAAGGAGUGUUUUGUUUGUAUAUGUGCCUGUAUUUUCUUGUUUGUAGCUAGUUUUCUGAGGAUUUUUGUAAUCUCGAAUAGAUGAUUUAUAGUAUUAUUCUAUCGGUGUCUUGUCUCUUUAAUUAUCUAGCGGCGUGUUAUCCCAUUUUAUUGUUUAUUUUUAUAUUUUUUGUUGUUAUACUGUGUUAUCUAUCGUGAGUCAGGGAUCUAUCAGAAAUAACUUCUCUACUUCACCUGAGGUAGUGGUAUGGAUUGCGUACACUUUACCCUCUCAGAUCCCACUUUAUGGGAAUAUACUGGGUAUGUUGUUGUUGACCUUCGUUUCAAUGUGUUUGUCUUGUUUUUUAUUUAUUUUAAAAAUAAUGUUUCUUUUCGUUUUUGAAAACUUAUUUAAUUUCAACUUUUCACGUAAUCAAUGACGAAGCAAAAAAUCUCAUUAAUUAUAAGGGUGUCUGAGAUUUAAUAUAUACGUACAUAUGUCAAGUAAUUUUUGACCUAGCUAUAUAUACACUUCAUAUAAUUUUUCGACGCGAUGUGUUCGACUAGCCACCUAUAUAUAUAGCUACGCCACUACAUGUGAUAUAUUUUGAUACAUUUUGUAUACUUUUAAUUUAAGAUUAAAAGAUUUAAAAGUGUUUUUUUCUGCUUGAUUAAAAGAACAUUCUACAUAUAUGAUAUUUUGGAGAAUUAUUGAUAAUAUUCCAACUUCUAGGUCUUAUUAGAGUCCACACGUUGAGAGUUUGGAAUUACAAACAAGUCCAAAAUAUUUUGGUGAUGAAUGUGACAUUGGUGGCUAUAAUUAUUUGAUAGUAACAGUUAUUUGAUAUGAGUAAAAUGUAUUAUUCGAUAAAUAUUUGUAUAUAAUUUAGAUAAAUAUUAGUUAUGGAGUGAGAAUAGGGUUGGGGAGGGGCCGGGGGCGAUGGAAAGAACAUCAAAUGAAAUGAAAUGAGGUGAGUGGAAGAUUAUUGACGAUGAAGUUGCACAUCUUAUCCGGGUGUGACAGAUAGAUGGAUGAAUUAGUAGAGGUUCGAAUACGAUCAGAUCAUAUUUUCUGUGAUAAUAUGUAUUGUUAAGACGAGUUAGUUUGACUAUGUUAUAUGAGGCGGCUGUUGGUCGUCGGUUAGUUAAACAAGCUCGUGUCCGGAAGCUGAACGUAAUGGAAAUCAAACGAUAUUGAGAUGAAUUUGCGGCACAACAAGAGAGAUAAGAUUAGGUCGAAGAGAUUCGGAAUAAGGUGAGUGAAAGAUUAUUGACGAGGAGGUCGCACAUCAUAUCCGAGUAGGACAGAUAAAUGGAUGAAUUAGUAGAGGUUCGAAUCCGAUCUGAUCAUACUUUGUGUGAUAAAUGUGUUGUUAAGACAAGUUAGUUCUACAGAGUGAUUGUUAAUUGACUAUGUUCUAGUGGACGGGGUACUGCUGGUUAUCGGUCAGUUUAAAAAGCUCGUGUCCAUAAGUUGAAAGUAGCAAAAAUGAGACGAUAUUGAGAUGAAUGUGUGGCACACCAAGAUAGCAAAAAUUAAUUCUUCUUAGCUAUUAUAGCAAACUAAACUAAUCACGUCUAUCAUAUGUAUACAUAAAAAAUAAUUUUGACCUUUUCAUAUAGUGUAAUUUUCCACCGAACUGCGCCCUAGUCCACCGACAACCAAUUAAGGAGCAGAAAAGCCCAACAAAUUGAUUCUUCCUAACUAUUAAGCUAUUAUCGCUAACUAAACUAAUGAAAUAAAGAAGCAAACACAUGAAGAAAGCCAAGGAGAUUUCAACACCAACUAUAUUACGUCAUUGACUCGCCAACAUCAGCAUUUUCAUCAAGGGAUCCAAAAUAUAAUGAAUUAAACGCACGACGAAGCCAAGAGAUUCAACAUCUACUGUAUAUAUGCAUAAAAAACAGUUUUGAGCCCUUAUAUAUAGUUGUAAUUUUCCAAUGAAGCGCCCCCUAGCUCUGCCUAUCGGCAACUAAUAGGAUUCGGAGAGGAUAGAGUGUACGCAUACCUUACCUCUAUCUGGUGAGGUAGAGAGACAGUUUCCAAUUGACUCCCGACUCAAGACAAAAACUGUCUAGAAAAAUACGCAAUGAAAGUACAAGAGACAACAGGUAGUAACAAAACAACGUAUAAAAGCAUUACAGUACUACAAGAAAAUAAUACUACUAUACUACACAAAACAACAGAUAUCAACAAAAAACUAAGAACGAGAAUGUACAAGCGUAGCACUUCGACUAAUAGUAAAGACAGCAAGAUGACGCACGUUUACCUACUAGCAUGGAUAUCACAAGAAAAUACUACUACUAUACUACACGAAACAACAGAUAUCAACAAAAAACUAAGAACAAGAAAGUACAAGCGUAACACUACGACUACUAGUAAAGACAGCAAGAUAACGCACGUUUACCUACUAGCAUGGAUACCACAAGAAAAUAAUACUGUGCAACACGAAAAAACAAAUAUCAAUAAAAACUAAGAACAAAAAAGUACAAGCGUAGCACUACGACUACUAGUAAAGACAGCAAGAUAACGCACGUUUACCUACUAGCAUGGAUACCACAAGAAAAUAAUACUAUUAUACUACACGAAACAACAAAUAUCAACAAAAAAUUAAGAACAAAAAAGUACAAGCGUAACACUACGACUACUAGUAAAGACAGCAAGAUGACUCACGUUUACCUACCAGCAUGGAUACCACAAGAAAAUACUACUACUAUACUACACGAAACAAUAGAUAUCAACAAAAAACUAAGAACAAGAAAGUACAAGUGUAGCAUUGCAACUACUAGUAAAAACAUGCAACAAGAUAACGCACGUUUACCUACUAGCUUGGAUACCACAAGAAAAUAUCACUACUAUACUACUCGAAACAAUAGAUAUCAAAAAAUUAGAAACUAAGAACAAGAAAGUACAAGUGUAGUACUGCGACUACUAAUAAAGACAUGCAACAAGAUAAUGCACGUUUACCUACUAACAUGAAUACCACAAGAAAAUAAUAUUACUAUACUACACGAAACAACACAUAUCCGCACUAUACAUAAUACAUAAACAAAAUAAAUAAAUUUUAAAAAAUAAAUGAUAUAAAUAGAAAAAGACCUUUACCCCUUAAACCAAACUUGGAUUUGUGUGUACAUUAAAAGAACAUUUUUCGUAUGAUAUUUGAAAAUUCUUGUUAUAAUAUUCCAACUUCUAGAUUUUUUUGAGAGUCCACACGUUCAAAAUUAGGAAUUACAACAAUUUUAAUUUGACUAUUUUAUUAUUUGAUGGUAACAUUUCCAGUCAGGUGUACCUACUAAGGAGUAACAUAUAUUUUAUUUUAUUUUGCUGAUAUUUGAACUAUAAUCUCCGAGGUUUUUAUAUUCACUUAUCGACCUUAUAAGACUGAAAGAGAGGCAAAUAAAAUGAAAUGAGAUGAGAAAUUCUAACGUUUUUGGAAUAUUGAUAUUAACCAACGAAUGGUAACUGUUUUCCUUGUGUGGAUACUGUUACAAUGAAAAUCUGAUGAAUUGAUCCACCUACACGUACGUCUCGCUUUUACUGUUAUAUCUUAAAUUACUCCACGGAUUACUUGAUGUUAAAAAAGAAAUAGUGGAUUUCUAUAUGAUUAAUAUGAAAUUCAUCCUCUCUCUAUAUAUAAUACGAUCAAUGAUCAAUCCUCAGUAUAACAGUUAUUUUAUGUAAUAAUAUUUUAUUAUAACAAUCAACUUUACGUAAAAUGUUAAUAAUCAUCAUUAUAAUCGUACACUUUAUAGAAAACAAAAAGAAAGGAAAAAACACAGAAUUAAAAUCAAUUGUAAUAAUUUGUAUAUAUAUGUUUAAGAGAUCAUCAAAGAAUGUGAUGCAGUGAAUGAGACUAUUUUUAUCUUAAUCAAUUGUAAUAAUUCAAGUUCUGGUUAUGAAAAGAUCUUUGGUAGAGAGAGUGUCUCUCGAAUGGACCCUAUCCGAUGCGAAUUUAAAUUAGUCGAGCUUCAAUGCAGAUAUCGGGCACUGGAUAAAAAAACAAAAAAGAUGUAUAUAUGUUUAAGUGUGAACAUAUUUAUUACUACAAUGUUUUUUGAUAAGUAAUGAGCACUUUAGAGAAAUCAAUAGACUAAUGCCCUUAUCAUUCCCACAAAUAAUUUGAAAGUGAGAAAAAGACACUGGGAAAAAUAAUUAUGGUUGACUAUAACAUAAAUAUGUGUGUUUUGUUCACACUCAAAAGUAUGCAUGCAUUUUAUCGAAAAUAUAGUGACCUUAAAUAGGAGGUUAUGAAAUUUUUUACUAUAAUUUAAAAUAAAAUAUUAGUAGGUCGAUCGAGUGUUGUCAGGUCGUUUAUUUUUUUCAUACUAAUAGUUGUAGUAUUAUUACUAUGUAGUUUCUUAUUAUUAUAUUUUUGUUAUUGACUUCAUUUCAAUGUGUUUGUCUUAUUUUUUAGAGAUAAAGCAUUCAGUACCUCCCGAAUUAUAGCUAAAGUUGCUACGACACACUCCAACUUCACAGGGAUCCUAUUAUCCCCUGAACUCAACUUUAGCGUAUUUUUAUCACCCUUUUUGUGAUGUCGUGACACCUUUAUUUACAUAAAAUGGGGUCCACGUCUGUCACUCCCCUUUUUCGCUCGAGGGCCGAGUCGAAGGGUUUUUUCAAUUAAAGUAACAGUUUUGAAUAGAGAUUAAUUUAUUACAGAGUUGCCACUUGGAAUUGAGUUAUGGUGUUUCGAGUCACCUUUUUGAAUCCCUAGUCAAAAGGAAAUGACUCUUUUAUAUGGUCUGCGAAAACAGAAGAUCGGGUAAGGAAUUCUGUUGACCGAGGGAAGGUGUGAGGCAACCCUCGAGUCCCGUGGUUCUAGCACGGUCGCUUUUAUUGACUUAUCUUAACUUAAAUUAUUUUGACAGAUUAUGUUAGUAGGCCCUAAAAUCGCUCAUUUUAUUAUACUAAAAUUAUUUAAAACUCUUGUAUUAAACUGAUGAAAAAUAAUUUUAAAACGAACUUUGCCGAAGUGCAAUAUUGCAUCCUCGAAUUAUUUUUAAAGGUCUCAGAAAGAUGCGUACACCGCAUUCUUAAUCGAGGAAAUUGAGAUGAAAGUGUGGCACAACAAGAGAGAUCGAUAAGAUUAGGACGAAGAGAUUCGGAAUAAGGUGGAAGUGGCUUCCACGGUAGAAAACAUGCAGAAAUUAAAACGAGGUUGAGAUAAUUUAGACGCAUGCAAAGGAAAUGCGCAGAUGCGUUUGUUGAUGAAGUCCGAGAUGUAAGAGUAGGGUUGGAGAGGGGGCAAUGGAAAGAACGCCAAAUAAAAUGGAAUAAGGUGAGUGAGAUGAAGCCCGAGAUGUAAGAGUAGGGUUGGAGAGGGGGCAAUGGAAAGAACGCCAAAUAAAAUGGAAUAAGGUGAGUGAAAGAUUCUCGACGAUGACGUCGCACAUCAUAUCCGAGUGGGACAAAUGGAUGAAGUAGAGGUUCAAAUCCGAUUCAAUCAUGUUUUGCGUGAUAAAUAUGUGUUGUUAAUUAAGACAAGUUAGUUCUAUAGAGUGAUCGUUGGUCGACUAUGUUGUACGAGGCGGGGUACUGCUAGUCGUUGGCCAUUUAAAAAAACUUGUGCUCGAAAGUUGAAAGUAGCAGAAAUGAGACGAGAUUGAGAUGAAUGUCUGACACACCAGGAGAGAUUCAGAAUAAGGUGGAAGUGCAAAAUAACAAUCGCGUUUGGUCGUUUUUUCGAUCGGUCCAAAAUUCGAUCAAUUUUGUCAGACAAUUUUUAUCGUAUAUUUAAUAAUAUUUUAUGAUAAUCAUUAUUAAUUCUUUUUAUUCAUUUAGUUAGUUAGAUAAAAUUUACUCCAUUUUAGCAAACUAAAAAGAAUUAAAAGUGCAUAUCAAGAUUAUUAUAUUUAGUGGACAAAAAUAAAUUUACUAUAUAAAGAAUAGUUUUGACUAAAAAUUCCAUAAAUUGACAAGAGAAAGGAACAAACAUAGACAGAUGUCAAAGUGGGUCCCACAAAAAGUAAAAAAAUGCUGACAUGGCAAAUUAGUCCAAACUAUGUGGCAUCUUUUUAGUGAACGUAUAUUAAUCACAUGUGGUUCAUUUCGAUUUUCGAGGACGAACUUAAGUUAGAGUGUAGGAGUGAGUCCAUAGCAAUAGGUAGGAGUGAUUUGUUUGUAUCUGUGCCUGUAGUUUUUUGUUCGUAGUGUUUCGAGGAUGUUUGUGAUCUGGAACAAAUAGUUUAUUGUAUUAUUUUAUCCGUGUCUUGUCUCAUUGAUUAUCUAGCGGUGUAUUAUCUCAUUUUGUUGUUUAUUUUUAUGUUUUUUUUUGGUUGCUAUACUGUUAUCUGUCUUGAGCCGGAGAUCUAUCGGAUACAACCUCUCUACGUCAUUUGAAGUAGUAAUAUAGAGUGCGUACACUUUACCUUUCGAGAUCCCACUUUAAUUUACGGGAAUAUACUUGAUAUGUGGUUGUUGACCUCCAGUUCAAUGUGUUUUUCUUAUUCUUUUUUUUUUAAAAUCCAUUUUAAAAAUAAUGUUUCUUUCCUUUUUCUCAAAAUUAUUUAAUUUCAACUUUUCACGUAAUCAGAGGCGAAGCCAAAAAACUCAUUAAUUAUAAGGGUGUUUGAAAUUUAAUAUAUACGUACAUAUGUUAGCUUCGUAUAAUUUUUCGACGUAGGGUGUUCAACCAGCUAUCUAUACAUAUGGCUACGCCACUACAUGUGACACAUUUAAGAUCAGAAAAUAACAGAUCAUUUUGAUUCAUUCUAUGUAUCUUUAAUUUAAGAUUACAAGAUUAAAAAAUCUUUUUAUAUCGUAUGCAUUAAAAGAAUAUUCUUCAUAUAUUGACAUUUUGGAAAAUUAUUGAUAAUAUUCCAACUUCUAGAUCUUAUUAUAGUCCACACGUUGAGAGUUUGGAAUUACAAACAAGUCCAAAAUAUUUUUGGUGAUGAAUGUGACAUUGGUGGUGGCUUUAAUUAUUUGAUAGUAACAGUUAUUUGGUAUAAGUAAAAAGUAUUAUUCGAUAAAUAUUUAUAUAUAAUUUAGAUAAAUAUUAGUUAUGGGGUACGGUAAGAAUAAGGUUGCGUCGGGGAGGGGGCUAUGGAAAGAAAGUCAUUUUGAAUGGAAGAUUGACGAUGAUGAGGUUGCACAUCAUAUCUGAGUGGGAUAGAUGGAUGAAUUAGUAGAGGUUCGAAUCUGAUCCAAUCAUGUUUUGUGUGAUAAAUAUCUGUUGUUAAGACAAGUUAAUUAGACUAUGUUGUAUCUAGCGAAGUACUGUUGGUCGUCGGCCAAUUAAAAAAGCUCGUGUUCAGAAGUUGAAAGUAGUAGAAAUGAAACGAUAUUGAGAUGAAUGUGUGGCACAACAAGAGAGAUAAGAUUAAGAGGAAGAGAUUCAGAAUAAGGUGGAAGUGGCUUCCGCAGUAAAAAACAUGCAAAAAUUAAAACGAGGUUGAGAUAAUUUAUAGACAAAUGCAAAUGAGAUGCACAGAUGCGUUUGUUGAGGAAAUCCGAGAGGUAAGAGUAGGGUUGGGGAGGGAGCGAUGGAAAGAACGUCAAAUAAAAUGGAAUGAGGUGAGUGAAAGAUCAACGAUGAAGUGGCACAUCAUAUCUGAGUGGGAUAGAUGGGGUAAAGUAGAGGUUCGAAUCCGAUCCAAUCAUGUUUUGUGUGAUAAAUAUGUGUUGUUAAGAUGAGUUAGUUCUACAGAGUGAUUGUUGGUCAACUAUGUUGUACGAGGCAGAGACCUGUUGGUCGUUGGCCAGUUAAAAAAACUCGUGUUCAGAAGUUGAAAGUAGCAAAAAUGAGACGAUAUUGAGAUGAAUUGCGGCACACCAAGAGAGACUCGGAAUAAGGUGAAAGUGCAAAAUAACAAUCGCGUUUGGUCAUUUUUUCGAUCGGUCCAAAAGUCGAUCAAUUUUAUCAGUCAAUUUUUAUCGUAUAUUUAAUAAUAUUUAUGAUAAUAAUUAUUAAUUCUUUUUAUUCAUUUAGUUAGUUAGUUUGAUAAAAUUUACUCCAUUUUAACAAACUCAAAAGAAUUUAAAAUGCAUCUCAAUAUUACUAUUAUAUUUAGAGGUCAAAAACAAUUUUACUAUAUAAAGAAUAAUUUUGACUUAAAAUUCCAUAAAUAGACAAACCGAAAAAGAACAAUAUAGACAGAUGCCAAAGUGAGUCCCAUAAAAAGAGGAAAAAUUGCUGACAUGGCAAAUUGGUCUAAAUUACGUGGCACUUUUUAGUGAACGAAAUUAAUCACAUGUGGUUCAUUUUAGGACGAAGCCAGGUAGGACGAAGAUAGUUUUAAAACCCUCGUUGAUGAAAAAUUAUACUGUUAUUUAUAUAUGAUUAAAAUUAUUUUUAAUGUAUAUUUGUAGUAAAUGUUAAAUUCUUUCGACUGUCAAAGUGACCGUAAAAGAAAAAAGUUAUUUCAAAACCUAAUGUAUUUCAUAAAAUUAAAGUAAAUAUUUUGAAUCUUAACUUUGUUAUAAUUAAUUAGAUAAAAAAAUUAAUAGAGAAUUCUUAUAAUAUUUCUCUUCUUUCUAGUCCACACGUUAUGAGGUAAAUAGGAAUUUACAACAAAGUCUAAAUUGAUUAUUAUUUUUUUUAUGGUAAAGUUUAAAAAAUAAAAACAAUGGUUUAAACGUGCAUGGUACCUUUUUAUUUAUUUAUUUAUUUUUAUUAUUAUUAUUAUUAUUAAUUUUUUAUUUUUUUUAAUAAUGUUUUGAUAGUAACAGUUCAAGUCAGGUGCACUUGGUCCUUUUUAUGACAUCACAUAUUUUAAUUUAUUGCUUCCACAUUUUAAAGACUUUCGCUCUAACGGCAUAUUUUAAAUAACGUUUGCUAUGACGUACGCAAUAUAGACGGAUUCAAAAUUUGAAGAGUUCGAAACUUAAAUGACGAAAAAAAAGUCAAACUGAUUAUAAUAAUAACAAAAAAUAAAAAAAUAAUUACCCAAAUUAAGUAUAACCUUUUUUUUCAUGCGCUAGUUAGAGGGGCGGAUCUAUUCAUUGCCGUGGGGGUGGCACGCCACCCGCAACCUUCGACGGAAACUCUAUAUAUAUAGCUAUAUAUAUAUGUAUAUUGAUAUAAUCAAAUAUUAAAUCUGUCACUCAUAAAAAUAAAGUAAUAUCUAGUGCAAGUGGCAAAGUGCCAUUUUUGUCGCCCCUAGGUCGUGGGUUCGAUCCUAGAUUGAAGCAAUUAAAAUUUUUAAAUGUCUAAAACAUUGUUUUUAUUGAUAAAAACAGAGAAAAAAGCGUAGUAAGCAGUAGUAGACUCUAGUUGACUUAAGUUAAUACUUAAUAUUUAUUGAUUAUUUAUUUAAUGGUUAGAGAAGGUAUAAUAUAAUCUCUUAUCUCUCUCAUAAAAAAGAAAAAAAAUAUCCUAUUUCCAAAUAUCAAAACAUCGACUCUCUCUGUACUUCAACUCUUCAAGUUUGCUGCCUACUGCUACUUGCUGCCCGGUCGAUUCUCUAUCGUCGCCGGCAAAAAGCUUAUCGUUGAUCGUUUUCAGAAUACGAAAAAUUAUCGUGGGCAAUUGUAAUGAAUUAUGGAUAUUAUGAUAUUAGUAAUAUUAUUAAAAGUUUAAGUUUGGUCAUUUUAUUACUAUUCUUUUAUUAUUAAUUGAUUUGUUAAUUGUCCUAUAGACCGAAAAUAUGAAUAAUCUGACUAAUUUAAUCGAUAAGUUUACUUGGUACCCGGUGAGUCUGAAUCCUGGAUCGGCCUCUGACUAGUUAUAGGUCUUAAGUGACUGCAUAACACCUGAAAAAACUCUGUUAUACGUCUCCUAAAUUCAACUCCGGACAUCUUCUCUACCUGACUCCCGCUAGGAGUGGAGCCGAGCAGGUGAAAGGCAGUUAAAAUUAUCUUUUUUAUAAAUAAUAUACAGGGGCGGCUCAAGCGAAUUUGUGGCCUGAGGCCAAAAUCAAAUUGAGGCCUUAAACUUUUAGGAAAAAUUAACUACUUUUAAAAUUAUAUAAUGAUUUCUUUUAAUAAAUUUUUAAUUCAUAAUAUAAUCAAUGCAUUAAUUUCCUGAGACAAACUAGAUAUAUCAAAUUCCUUCUAAAUUCUUUUUAUAUAAAAAAAUUAUUUUUUCUACAAAUAAUAUUUAAUAUCUUUUUAAAAAUUUGUAAUAUAUUAUUACUAAAAAAAAUGAGGCCCCUCAAAUUUGAGGCCUUAGGCGGCCGCCUUUUUUUUGAAAGAAUAGAGCCACCCUUGAUAGUAUAUAAUUAGGAGUGGAGUCGCCUUAUGGUUAGGAGGUUUACUCAAACCUUUUUUGGCGAAAAGUUAUACUAUUUAUAUAUGGCUAAAAUUAUUUUUUAUGUAUGUAUAAUUGAUGUUGAACCCUUUCGGCUAGUUCGUCUGCCUACUUUUUUCGAUUUUAAAUUUCCUUAGUGAAAAUUUUGACUCUGUCACUGUAUAUAGUAGAUGUUUAAUUUUCAUUCGCUACUUGUGAGUUUAAUUAAUUUAUUAUAUUUUGUACCUCGUUCUUAAAAUUUCGACUCUGUCACUGUCCUCCGUUGAUCCCAUUUUUAAAUUAUUAAUUUAUUUUAACUGAAAAUAGUUUCUCUGUAAUUAAUAAACUUGUUUAUUUCUAGUCAUAACAAAGAAAAUCAAAUUAAAAAUUUAAUUAAAGUAUUAGCAGAGUCUCACUAUGCGUGCUAGCUAUUUUUUAUUUUCUACAAAUACUAGGAAUUAUUGACUUUUUUGAAUAACCAAAGUACAAAAAAAAUUAACAAAAUAUUAAUCUUGAACUAAAAUUCCCUACAUUUUUCUUGACUCGAUUAAUUAAUAUUUCUUCUUGACUUUCAUUAAUAUUCCCUACUAUUUUCUUUUGUCAUUUUAUUAAAACUAGUAGCAGGUUAUAUUUUCAAUAUUUUCUACAUAAAUUAAAGAUCUAGAUAUAUAUGUACGUGUUAAAAAAUUUAUUAAAACAUCAACAUAAAAAAAAAACUUACAAAUUAAAAGACAUGCUCAUAAAUCUAAUAUUAAAAAUUUACAAACAAGCUCGAUAAAUUUAAAUUUUUAAUCCGCCUUGUAAAAUCCACUCAAAAAAGAAUAAAUAUUUGAUAAGUUAGGACUCAAUUAUUAAGUACUUAUCAUAAAGGACAAGUAGGAGGAAUAAACAAAGAAAAAUGUCAUAGUGGGUCCCACAAAAAUAUAAAAAAUUGCUAAGUUGUCAAAUUCUGUCCAAACUACGUGGCACCAUAAAAAACAGAUUUAUUACUACUAACUACCUCUAAUUAUUUAUCAUUUUUAUAAAAUUUAAGAUAAAAUUAAUUAUUUUUUCGUUUAUUCUUGAAAGAUUAUUAAAUUCCCUUAUGCUGAUUUGUAUGUGUACUUUUAAAUUCCUCAAUGAAAAUUUUUGCUCUGCUACUGCCCUCAAGGAAGUGAUAUGAGCUGCAUGCACUUUAAUUUAUUCUUUCAGAUCUCACUUUAUGCGAGUAUAAUAGAUAUAUUAUUGUCGUUGUAUAUACUCCCGUUUCAUUCUACUCGAUCCUUAUAAACUUAAACACACCAGUUAUAUAACCGCAGCGAAAAAACUUACCCACAUCGAGCAUUUACACCAAGUCAAUACAUGCAUGCAACAGGAAGAGAAGUCUUGGAGUAACUGGUAAAGUUGCUAUCAUGUGACCAGGAGGUUACGGGUUCAAGCCUUGUAAACAGUCUCUGGCCGAAAUGUAAGGUAAGACUACGUAUGAUCAAUACACUUUUGUGGUGUGACCCUUCUUCGAACAUCACGCAUAACAAUAGCUUUAAUGCACCGGGCUGCCAAUAUAUGCAUGCAACUAUCUGAAUCUAAAAAUUCAUUUUACUUAAUCAUACUUAAUUAGCAUAUAUUUCACUUUACUAAAUCACUUAACCACAAUAAACUAUAUUAUUAUAAAAUUUUACUUAUACAACCCCACCUUUCGUGACACAAUAGAACGACUCUGUAAUAGAUCUUGUGAUCUAAUUCUUUUCAAACCCACAUGCAUACAGGGGAUUUUAGUGUACUCAGUUGGUUAUAUACUCCCCCCCUACCUUUCGUGACACAAUAAAACGACUCUGUAAUAGAUCGUGAUCUAAUUCUUUUCAAAUCUCGGUUGGUUAUAUACCCCCCUCCCCAACACAAUACAAUUACUGUAUGCAACAAAUCAUGUGAUCUGUUCCUUUCUCGAAUCCGCAUGCAUGCAACAAACUUUAGUGCAGCGAAUAAGUUAUAUACGACGACCCCACCUUAUGAUCUGACUCUUUCUUAAAUUCAUAUACAUGCAAGGAGCUUUAGUGCAGCGGACCAGUUACAUCAUAGUAACACCACCACCUUCCAAGAGACAACACAACCAAACAAACAAAACAAUAAAUUCUAUCCAACAACACACGAGGAAGUUAAAUCAAACGUGGUCCUCCUCUUCUUCUUCAUCUUCAUCAUCACUAUCUCCCCCACCGCGUAGUCCAACACACGGCCUGUUGACCUCCCUUUUAACACUCUCACUCUUCACUACUCCCCCCCCACCCCCCAACAUAUAUAUAUAUAGCCGCCAAUUCCAAAUUCUAACAAUUACCCACAUCCUAAUUCACAAACCCCACCUCAAAUCCACAAAAAUCUUGAAAAAAGAAAUGGUGAAAAAUGGUAAGAAUUCAUCGUCGUCGUCGUCAAUGAGUUCGAUGUACAGGGGAGUAAGAAAGAGGAAAUGGGGGAAAUGGGUGUCGGAAAUUAGAUUACCAAAUAGUAGAGAAAGAAUAUGGUUAGGAUCAUAUGAUACACCUGAAAAAGCUGCUAGGGCUUUUGAUGCUGCACUUUUUUGUUUAAGGGGUAGUAAUGCUAAUUUUAACUUCCCCAAUUCUCCGCCGGAGAUCGUUGACGGUAGGUUGAUGACUCCGGCGGAGAUUCAGGUCGCUGCGGCAAGGUUCGCUAAUCGGGCCGGGCCUGAGGAGGAGGGGGGAGAGAACCGGGCCGGGCUGAGGGAAAAUGGCAUGUCUGAUCGAUCAUCAUCAGACACUGAGGAUAUGUCUUUACAGUCCGAAUCACCGGAGAGUGAAAAGACAGAAAUGACCUCGGCCUGGGCCCGGUUAGUGAAUAAUGAUAAUUUAGAGAAUUGGGCCAGGCUGAGGGAGAGCCCGAAUUUUUAUCCUUCGUCGUCGUCUUCGGAUGUGUUUGUACGGGCCGAAUCACCUUGUGUAGAAAGUGAAAAGACAGAAAUGACCUCGGCCAGAUUAGGAAAUAAUGAUUUAGAGAACCUGGCCGGGCCAAGCGAGAAUUUUUAUCCACCUGAUAUGUUCUAUCGGGCUGAAUCGUCUUCGGUAUCGUUAUCUAAUAGAAUGGGAAGUAAAAAGACUGAAAUGACCUUGACUCGAUUUGCAAAUAAUGGUUUGGAGAAUUGGGCCGGGCCGACGGAGAACCCUUAUUUGUAUCCGUGGUCAUCGUCUUCGAAUAUGUAUUUACAGGCCGAAUCGCCUUCGGUAUCAUUAUCUAAUAGAGUGGAAAGUGAAAAGACAGAAAUGACCUUGGACCGGGCCGGGCCAAGGGAGAACCCUUAUUUGUAUCCUUCAUCGUCGUCAUCGGACAUGUUUUUACGGGCCGAAUCGCCUUCCCUGUCGGUAUCCAACAUAGUGGAAAGUGAAAAGACGGAAAUGACCCUGGACAAUGGAUUUAUGGACAUGUUUUCGUCGUUAGGGACGGUUAACGAUAUGUCUAAUUUCGGAAUUUUCCCAGGUUUUGAUGAUUUAUCUGGUGAAUUUUUUGUACCACCAGAACAACAAAUGCCUAAUUUGGAAUCAUCAGAAGAACAAGAAAUUAAUUAUUUGGAUUAUGAUGGAUUUAAUUCACAAGGAUCUUCAUUUCUUUGGAACUUUUAAAGGGUAAAAAUGUCAUUAUAUAUAUCCAUAAUGGUUAAUAUAGAGUUUAUAAAAUUAGGAAAAAGUUUAAGAUAUUAGUGAUAAUUAUUAGAGGAAAUUAUUUGAAUUUAGUUGGUUUUGUAGACAAUUCUAGACAUUUUUUGGUUGCUAGAAUUGCUAUAACAUAUGGAAUUUUUUGUACUUAAAAGGAUGUAAUUUUUAGUAAUUUUAUUGGUUUACUAUAAGGUCCAUAUGUUGUUUUUGUUCAUCAAAUAAUGUGACGGAAUGAAUGAGAUUUGUUCGAUUCUAGUUACGUAUUUGCCUUUCAAAUAUGAUUCAUGUAAAUAGAGAAAUCUAUAUAGUAUUUUUCUUUUUUUUUUUUUUACUAAAGAAAGUCGUAACGGCUGUAUUUUAGGUGCGCACGAGCUAAACCACCUUUCAAUAUAAAUAACCUUCAAAUAAUACUAGACAAAGUCCGUAUUGAUUCACAACAUUAACUUGUGAAUGCAAAAGAUUCUAUUAAAAAGGAAAAUCGUAACACGAACUCGAUCGAGAAGACAUUUCGAACCUAAAAAAUCCCCAUUCGGAGUAUCACAUAUUCAACCAUCUCGAUUACUCUUGCAAGUCCUCUGUAAUAAAUUGCAUUUUCUUAUUUAGAACUACAACUUACCUAGUGAAAUUCCACAUAGUAUAUAAUAUACACAUACCAUACCACUCUCUCGUAUGAGGUAGAGUCAGUGGCGAACCCAAGAUUUAGAGGUUGUGGGUGCACGAAAGGUUUGAAACACACAUACUGACGUCCAACGUUUUAAGGUUCUGUCUUAAAAUUAAGACACACCGACUAUCUUCUUGGCUUACUAUUGAAAAAGAAAAUCGUAACCCAAACUCGACCGAAAAAAUAUUUCGAACUUGAAAAAUCUCCAUUCGGAGUAUCACAUAUUCAACCAUCUCGAUUACUCUCGCGAGUCCCCUAUAAAAAAAUUGCAUUUUCAUCUUUAGUACUACAACAAGAACAACAACUUACCGGAUGAAAUUUCACAUAAUACAAUAUACACAUACCAUACCACUCUUUCGUACGAGGUAGAGUCAGUGGCGAACCCAAGAUUUAAAGGUUGUGGUGCACGAAAGGUUCAAAACACACAUACUGACGUCCAACGUUUUAGGGUUCUACCUAAAAACGAACACACGCAACUAUAUCAAAUUUUUUAAAUUUUAUACUAGAUUUUAUACAUUUUUCAUAUAAUUAUACCUAAUCUGCGCUGAAUUUAAUGGAUGUAGGAGCACCUUAUAAGUGAAUUUAAUGGAUGUAGGAGCACCUUAUAAGUCCAUCCUGAGGUAGAGUGAAUGUUUUCAAAAGACACUCGGCUCAAAUUAUUAAUAAAUUUAACUUAUUAAUUUUGAAUAUCAUAUAAUUAUAAUUUAUUAUUUUUUUUUUUUUUAAUUUUUUUUUUCAUUGUCUCCUUAUUACUAUGCCUAUAAUCAAUACACAUAUGCUCCCUCUUCUUUGAGGGUUUCUUUUCUUUUCUUUUCUUUUUUUAUUUUUUUUAUUUUUCUUCAUUUUAAUCCAAACCCCAAUUACCCUUUUUCAAUUUUUUUUUUUUUUUUUAAAUUUAGUUUUAUUUUUUUUUAUUUUGAAUUUCAAGAAAAUGAUGCAACAGCAAAGACUGAAACAACAACAAGCAUUGAUGCAGCAAUCCCUUUAUCAUCCUGGUCUUCUUGCACCCCCUCAGGUGAAUUUUACCUUUUUUACCCUUUAAAAAUGUAGUCUUUAUUUAUUUAUUUAUUUAUUUAUUUUUGUAAUUUUGUGUUUUGGAUUACUUGUUUGAGUGAAUUAAUAAUAAUAGUAUGUUGUGGUUUAAUAGUUUGAAUGUCAAUGGAGCUGUUAGCUAAUUUUUGUUUGUUUUGAUAACUGUUGUGUUUGGUGUUCAGGCCAAGUUAUUAGCUACUUUUUGUUUUGUUGAUAAUCGCGGUGUCUGAGUCAGCUUGAUACUCGUGGUGUGUGUGUUAGCUUGCGUGCACCCCUUGACUAAUUGUUCGAGGUGUUCGCGACUUAGCAUUGUAUUUUGAGUGAGUGAAUAACCUGUAGUGGUGUUUAAUAAUCUGAAUAUUAAUUGAGCUAUUAGCUAUUUUGUUUAUGUUUUGAUAGCUGUGGUGUUCGGGCCAACUUGCGUCUACCUUGAGUAAUUGUUCGAGCUAUUAGCUACUGUUGUUUUGUUGAUAAUCGUGGUGUCUGUGUCAGCUUGAUUGCACCUUUGACUAAUUCCUUGAGCUAUUAGCUACUUGAUAAUCGUGGUGUCUGUGUCAACUUGCGUGCAUCUUGACUAAUUAUUUGAGCUGUUAGCUACUUAGCAUUGUAUUUUGAGCUAAUAGCAUUGAGCUAAGUAGCUAUUUUUUUAUGGUUUGAUAGCUGUGGUGUUUGGGCCAGCUUGCGUGCACAUUGACUAAUUCAUCAAGUUAUUAGCUACUUUUGUUUUGUUGAUAAUCGCGGUGUCUGAGUCAGCUUGAUUUAACCUUUUACUAAUUCCUUGAGCUGUUAGUUAUUGUACUUUUUCCUUGAUGCUCGUGGUGUCUGAGUCAACUUGCUGCACUUUGACUAAUUGUUCGAGGUGUUAGCUACUUAGCAUUGUAUUUUGAGUGAGUGAAUAACCUACAGUUGGUUUAAUAGUCUGAAUAUCAAUUGAGCUAUUAGCUAUUUUUUGUAUGUUUUGAUAGUUGUGGUGUUCGGGCCAACUUGCGUGUACCUUGACUAAUUGUUUGAGCUAUUAGCUACUUUUUUUUGUUGAUAAUUGUGUUGUUUGCACCUUUGACUAAUUCCUUAAGCUGUUAGCUACUUGAUAAUAGUGGUGUUUGAGUCAACUUGCGUGUGUCUUGACUAAUUAUUUGAGCUGUUAGCUACUUAGCAUUGUAUUUUGAGCUAAUAGCAUUGAGCUAUUAGCUAUUUUUCUUUGGUUUGAUAGCUGUGAUGUUUGGGCCAGCUUGUGUACACAUUGACUUAUUCAUCAAGUUAUUAGCUACUUUUGUUUUGUUGAUAAUCGUGGUGUCCGAGUCAGGUUGAUUGAACCUUUUACUAAUUCCUUGAGCUGUUAGUUAUAGUACUUUUUUUUUCCUUGAUGCUCGUGGUGUCUGAGUCAACUUGCUGCACUUUCACUAAUUGUUCGAGGUGUAGCUACUUAGCAUUGUAUUUUGAGUGAGUGAAUAACCUGUAGUGAAGUUUAAUAGUCUGAAUAUCAAUUGAGCUAUUAGCUAUUUUGUUUAUGUUUUGGUAGCCGUGGUGUUCGGGCCAGCUUGCGUGCGCCUUGACUAAUUAUUCGAGCUAUUAGCUACUUAGUAUUGUUAUUUUCUUUAUUAUUGAUUUUGUGAUUCUGUUUUCUUUUCUUGAGUUAAUGGUCAAAAACACACAUAAAGUAUCACCUUUUUUUGUGAGUUUCCUAACUGAAUUAUCACGUUCUUGAGUUACCUACGUUUUGUGAGUUUCCUAACUGAACUAUGGAAUGUUCACUUUUCCUUAACUAUCAGAACACGUUCCCUUUUCCUAACGGAAAAAAUAUGGUGUGUUUCAAUAAAAUUUCCUCAUAGUUCAUUAUGAAACUCGAAAAGUCGGGAUACUUUUAGGUGUAUUUUCGACCCUUCACUCUUUGUCUUUUUUAUUUCAUAGCUUGUUUUUCGGUGGUUGUUUGUUUGAGUGAAUAAUCAGUACUGUGUUUAAUAGUCAGAAUAUCAAUUGAGUUAUAUUAGCUACUUAGCAUUGUAUUUUCAUUUCUGUGUUGUUUGUUUCGAUAUUGCGUUUGUGAUUUUGGGUUCUUUUCUUUUUUUCUUAGUUUGGCUGGUAAUUUCUCGUUGUUAAUUCUCUCAAAGAUUUGAUUUUUCCUAUUAUUCAAGGAAGUAUUUGCCAUCUUUAGGUUUUGACCUCUAAACAUAUAUCAGAUUUCGCAUGUCCACUGAAGCUACAACCGUCGUGUUUUCAUUUCUGGUUUUGGUUUAUUUGAAUAUUGAGUUUUUGAAACUAAACGAUUUAGCUCGUACAUUGGUUUACAAGUUUCAAUAUCAAAGUAGCUACUAGACAACAUUGCGUCCAAAUUUUUGUUAUCCAUUUGUCAUCUUAGUAUGUAAUGGAUGUACCAGUCUGAACAUCAAUAAAAAGCGACAUGUGUUCCAUUUCCACUUCCGACUUUUUCAAUCUUACGUACUCUUGAACAUUGGCAAUUCGAGUCUAGAUUCUAUUUGUUUGUUCUUCUUAUCUCGUGCUUGGGUUAUUACUUGGUUCCUGAGAGAAAUAUGACAUAUAGGAGAAAAUUUCUGAGUUUACAAGCUUGUAAAUGAUUAGAACAUGUGAAUGAGGUUUGGUCAUAUAGUGUUUUGUGAAAGACAAUUGCUUUGCAGUACUUCUAACAAAUUUGUUUCGUGUUAAAGGAUUUUAAUAGCAUGCGGGGACAUUAUUGAGUCUUAUGCCUUUGUGUAUAUUAGCUACUUUUGUUUUGUUGAUAAUCGUGGUGUCUGUGUCAGCUUGAUUGCACCUUUGACUAAUUCCUUGAACUGUUAGCUACUUUGUGUUUUUGAUACUUGCUGUGUAUGAGUCAGCUUGCGUGCACCUUGACUAAUUAUUCGAGCUGCUAGAGACUUAGCAUUGUAUUUUGAGUGAGUGAAUAACCCGUAGUGAAGUUUAAUAGUCUGAAUAUCAAUUGAGCUAUUAGCUAUUUUGUUUAUGUUUUGGUAGCUGUGGUGUUCGGGCUAGCUUGCGUGUACCUUGACUAAUUGUUCGAGCUAUUAGCUACUUAGUAUUGUUAUUUUCUUUAUUAUUGAGUUUGUGAUUCUGUUUCUUUUCUUGAGUUAAUGUUCAAAAGCACACAUAAAGUAUCACCUUUUUUUGUGAGUUUCCUAACUGAAUUAUCACGUUUUGUGAGUUUCUAACAGCACUAUUGAAUGUUCACUUUUCCUAAUGAACUGUUGGAGCACGUUCCCUUUUCCUAACUGAAAAAUGUGGUGUGUUUUCCUCAUAGUUCAUUAUGAAACUCGAAAAAUCGGGAUACUUUUAGGUGUAUUUUCGACCCUUCAUUCUCUUGUAUUUUUAUUUCAUAGCUUGGUUUUCGGUUGUUUGAGUGAAUAAUCUAUACUGUGUUUAAUAGUCUGAAUAUCAAUUGAGUUAUAUCAGCUACUUAGCAUUGUAUUUUCAUUUCUGUGUUGUUUGAUUCGAUAUUGCGUUUGUGAUUUUGGGUUCUUUUCUUUGUUUCUUAGCUUGGCUGGUAAUUUCUCUUUGUUAACUCUCUCAAAGAUUUGAUUUUUCCUAUUAUUCAAGGAAGUAUUUGUCAUCUUUAAGGUUUUGAUCUCAUAACAUAUUUCAGAUUUCACACGUUCAAUGAAGCUACAACCGUCAUGUUUUCAUUUCUGGGUUUUGGUUUAUUUGACUAUUGAGUUUUUGAAACUAAACGAUUUAGCUCGUACAUCGGUUUACAAGUUUCAAUAUCUAAGUGGUUACUAGACAUUGUGUUCAAAUUUUGGUUACCCAUUUUUCUUCUUAGUAUGUAAUGGAUGUACCAGUCUGAGCAUUAAAAAAAAAGCGACAUGUGUUCCAUUUCCACUUCUGACUUCUUGAAUUUUACGUAUGCUUGAACGUUGACAAUUCGAGUCUAGGUUCUAUUUGUUUGUUCGUGCUUGGGUGACUACUUGGUUCUUGAGAGAAAUAUGAUAUAUAGGAGAAAAUUUCUGAGUUUACAAGCUUGUAAAUGAUUAGAACAUGUGAAUGAGGUUUGGUCAUAUAGUGUUUUGUGAAAGACAAUUGCUUUGUAGUACUUCUAACAAAUUCGUUUCGUGUUAAAGGAUUUUAAUAGCAUGCGGGAACAUUGCUGAGUCUUAUGCGUCUUAUGCCGUCGUGUUUUAAGUCAUCAAGGGAGCAGGAGGGAAAGCCAGUGUUGACUCCUCGGAAUGGGAUAUCGGAGGGUUUUAUCAUUUGAAAAAGAUAUCAUAUCGGAGGGUUUUAUCAUUUGAAAAAGAUAUCUUUUCAAGUUUUUGAAGAGUAGGGUCCAUGGGAUGUUCAAAUUUUCCUUUCCUUCUUACGGAGUUUCACGAUUUCCUGAAAUGAUUGAUAAAAAGCAAAUUUUCGAAAUCCUUGGGGUGGGGCAUAGCAACUAACCGGCUCCUUCAUAUGUCCUUUCUCUUCAUCUUUUGUACAAUGCGCACUGUCGUUCUUUUAUGGUACCCUGAAUCACUGUUCGUAGAUUCUUUCUGGACUAUUACUGUGACUGAAUGUUAGCAUUUACUGACAUUUUGUUACUACUAUUUAUUUACAGAUAGAGCCCAUCUUGAGCGGAAAUCUGCCUCCCGGAUUUGAUUCUAGUACUUGCAGGAGCGUGUGAGUGCCUUAUUCAUUUUAUGUCUGAUAAUUUAUCUCAUGUCUCACUUUUUGCAGUUAUAAGAUAUUUUUCUUGUUUUUUUGGCUAAGGUCGAGUGUAGGAUAUGCUCUUAUCAGUUUUGCAGUUAUAGGAGCGAUAGUUUGAACAGUGACGCGUCAUCAACUUUAUUGCAUUAAGUACAGAAUUUUGCGGUCCAGAUUCCGAAAUUGCAACAUCUAACUAGCAUCUGUUGGCUGUAAGGUCUCUGGUCUGCUAAAGGGAGGACAUCGAAAUGAGUGAAAUAUUAGGCUGUUUCGGUGGCAAUCAAGCUUCCACCCUAGGUUUUCUCUUGUUAGAAGAAAGUAAAGGGGAGAAAUGGUUGCAAGGGUGGGGUGGGGGUGUGGGGUGGGGUGGGGGGGUCAGUGGACAAUUUUAAUGACAGUGUAAGACAAUUUUAAAGACAGUAUAAUUAGUAGUAUCUUGACCAUUUCGCUAGGACUUACUUGCAUUGACAUAAGACUAACUUGCCAAUUGCCCAUGUUAGCUUAUCUUAUUCUUCCUGACAACAACAACAACAACAACAAACCCAGUGUAUUCCUACACAGUGGGUAUCGUAUUCUUCUUGAAUUGUCUCGAAUUACCUACGGAGUUUGAGGGAUUCACUUUUAUCCAUAUAGUGAAUAAUUCCGGAAUUAAAUAAAGAAGGCUUGUUUAGUUUAAUAAAUUCAAAUGAUUUGGGGCACAAAAUCUGCCGUGGAUGUUAAAAUGCCCCCAUAGAAAUGAGAGUGAUGUUGACUUGCUACUUGAGAUCCCCCAAAAGAAACCGAACACUGUCCUUUUAUGGAUUAACCUAUCAACUAUUGGUGAAGCCUGAAGAAAUUACAGCCUGAUCAUUGGAUUAUCGUCCCAAAAAUCAAUUACGAGGGUGGCUGCUGCUUGGAAAUAGAAAAUGCCGUUCUGACAAUCUACCCUUAUGUGUGACAAUCUAUGCGUUUGAGUAUUUUCCAUAUUGGUGCAAGCACCCACAUACAAGUUAACAAUUGUUCUUUUAUCUAUUUCUUCUAUGAAUCUUAUUUAUCAAGCACGUUCUUGUGUGUACUUACAAGAGGAAUGGUUAUUAUUCUUCUGAUAACCUUUUUUGCUUUUGACAUGAUCGGAUACAGGUAUGUUGGAAACAUCCACUCACAAGUCACAGAACCACUUCUUCAAGAGGUUUUUGCCAGCACCGGUCCCCUUGAGGGAUGCAAGCUCAUAAGAAAGGACAAGGUACGGUCUUGUUUUGCUUACAAGAUAAGCCAUGAGAAUCAGUUGAAAAAUCUCACCUAACUACAAUAGUUCAAUUGAUCAAUGUGGUAAUUCUUUACCUCAUCAAACAUGUUAAGGUCUUUUUAUUUGGCAUAUGUUGUUUUAUGGUAUUUGUGUGCUGGAGACAGUCUAAAUUGUGCUGGAUGUUCGAAUUUCAUGAAUUACUUAUGAGCUCUUGUAGAUGAAAAUAUCUUGGUCUGAAUCCAUUGUUGUUUUUCCUUUUCACAAGUUAUUCACGAUGACAUUGUUGGUCUUAUCCUUGAUUUUAUGUUUCUGAGGAAACUUGUCUAACAAGAACAAGGCAGAUUAGUUAAGGGUAUUUCUUAGUGUUGAAUCUAGUGCAGAAGAUAUUUGUCUGUCUUCGUCUAGAAUUCUUAUUGAUAACUUGGAUCAUCGUAAGUAUUGCAUACUUUUUAGUACAUUUAUUUUAUUGCAAGUUUGUAACGCUAUGAAGCUGUUUGAUUUGUUGUAUAAGCUGUGUUAAAGGUCAACUACAUGUUACUGGAUUUUUUGAAAUAGUACAAGUGUCUUUAAAAUCGUGCAACUUUCCAGAUAUUUGGUUUUAUAAUAGAAAAUCAUAUUAAUCUCCGUUAAUACUUGCUAAAACAUUUGGAGUGUUUUUCUGUUGUCGUAUCUAUAUUAUCAUUCUUUAUAUUGAUCAUAUUAUGUUCCAAUUUGUUAAUCUUGACAAUUGAGGUAUAGCCUAACGAUAUAAGGACUCUCUAACCAUAAGUUGGAGGUUCGAGUCUCCUAGGGAGAACAACAGGGAAACGUUGCAAUUUAGACAGCCCCGAUCAAUACUGAUUUAUACAUGUAUAAAUCACUAAAUCAGUAGUUCAUCUCAAGUCUGAAAAUGGUUCAAUAUUAUCCCGUUGGUUGUUGUGUGAUUUAUUAGUACGAGAGUGAUAUAUGAUGAUUCUCUUACAAUGCAGUCAUCCUAUGGUUUUGUGGAUUACUUUGAUCGCCGAUCAGCUGCGCUUGCCAUUGUGACGCUUAAUGGAAGGCACUUGUAAGGAACUUUAACAAAAUUUUUACUUGAUAAUUCAAUAGUUGCUGCAUGGUUCGGCCUAACUUGUAAAUCACAGGUUUGGACAGCCGAUAAAAGUUAACUGGGCGUAUGCCAGUGCCCAAAGAGAGGACACAUCUAGUACGUAUCUUACACACCUCCAUUUUUGACCCUCUUAAUAUUACAUUAUUUUGUAAGAACUAAAAUGAUUUCUUCUCACUUACAGGUCAUUUUAACAUAUUUGUGGGUGAUCUUAGUCCGGAAGUUACAGAUGCCACAUUGUUUGCUUGCUUUUCAGUAUACACUAGCUGCUCGUACGUUAGUCUUUGUUUGUUUUGUACUAAGGGGUCGUUUGGUAGGAGGGAUAAGGAUAACUCAUCCCGGGAUUAAUUUAGAAGAGGAGCUUAUCCCAUGUUUGGUUGGGACAAAAUGCAUGGGAUAACACAUCCCGGGAUUAGUUAUCCCGGGAUUAUAGUGUUUUUCUUAUCCCUCCUUGAGGGUGGGAGAAUCCCGGAAUAACUUGUUUUCCGACCAAACAACCCCUACAUGUUCUUCUGGCAUUUGUAUUCAGCAAACGGCUUAUAGUACUUAAUGCUACAUUAAUAUUUUCUCUUGCAGAGAUGCAAGAGUGAUGUGGGAUCAGAAAACAGGCCGUUCAAGAGGGUUUGGGUUUGUUUCCUUCCGUAAUCAGCAGGUAUUAAGCUAGCUAAAUACUAUCUUCCGANNNNNNNNNNNNNNNNNNNNNNNNNNNNNNNNNNNNNNNNNNUUCCGAUCCUUUACAGUUUGCUCAUCCUUAACCCCCAAGCUCACCCAGAGAAAAAAACGAAAAGCAUUUGUUGUUUGGCGUUUUAAUCAUCUCAUGUACUUGUGUGGUAUGUUUUGUGCAGGAUGCCCAAAGUGCUAUAAACGACUUGAAUGGUAAGAUCAAAUGUUUGGCAUAUACUAGUAUACAAUCUUGUUUCUCCAUUAUGUUUGCUCUCGACAAUCUCAUCAAAUUAAGACCAUGGUGUCUUUAGUGAAUUUUUUUACCAUCCAUAUACUAUUUGAAAAUUGCGGCUGUGCCUAUUUAUAUUCCUGACGUUGGUUUGAUGGUAAACCUAUAUGUGAAUUGGAAUAACGUGGUUGCGGCAGCUUCUCAAAAAAAUGCGGUUGUGCCCUAUUUAUACUCCUUACAGUGACUGAGGGUGUUAAAAUGGAAGCGGCCGACCUAAAAUCAUUUGGAAUGAAGUCUAGAAGGGCCUAAAGUUUUUUAGAGAUCCAUGUAGACUUAGCGAAAGAUAAGACACAAUGGAACAAACAGAUCGAUAUAGGAAAUAUCUGUUUAUUCUCUCUGUACCUAUUAUGUGAGUCUCUUUCCAUUUUAGUCAGUUAAUCCCACAAGGUGUAAGUCUGGGGAGGGUAGAGUGUCGCAGACCUUAUCCCUACCUUGCGAUGUAGAGAGGCUGUUUCCGAUAGUGUCCCUCGGCUCAAGGAGAAACAUUUCAAAGCAGGCCAAAAAAAGACAUAGCAGAAGUGAAGAAAUCAUAGCAAAAUACUAUGGAAAGCAUGACAAAGCAUUCUGAAAAAAUGAAUAGUAACUACAACACAAUUAAAAAUAAUAACUACUACAAUUUUUUUUUAUAAAAAAAUACAACAAAAUAAUAUGAUAUUCAAAGUACAUGAAGUACAUGAAAUUACGGGAGUAAUACUACGGCUACUAAUAUGGAAGGAUAAGCGAAAAAAUGCUCUACUACCUACUGACUUUUCUACUCUAUAACUUUAAUCACGAGGGAGGUUAUUGUUAUAGAGGCAAACCUGGGAGUCUCUGAUAUUAUCCCUUAUUAUUUCAGAUAAUUUUGACAUGUCGGUGAUGAUUCAUAUAGCCGAGCAGUAGUAGUUGUUGGUUUGAUGGUACAAAUGCUUCUCUUAAUUUUUGCUGAGGGCCCUUACUUUAUGUUUGCACUGUAUGUCUUUAAUUUUCAGAAGAAACUAGAUAGAUCUCCGACUUCUGCCAGUGACCAUUCCAAUCUAGUUCCAUCUAGAUUUUCUUGUGAUAAAUCUGAAUUUCUACCGCGUUUUUGUUCAAGUAUAUGCAAAAAAAAAAUUAAAAAAAUUCUAAGAUGAUGGACGAAAACAAUUCAAUCUAAUUCGUAAUGAUUAAGGAAUACAAGGAUUGAUGCUAUCUUUCCUUUUAUUAAUUUUACUUUCAAGUUUCAUAUGGCUAAUUAGUUAGCUUCAUGCCAUCUUUACUUUAUCAUUUUAGAAUAGUGAAUUCCAUCGACAACGUCUUGGUUUUCUUUUAUUACCUAUUGGUAACCUAAUAGUGAAUUCUAUCGAAGACUCUCGUGGUUUUCUUUAUUACAGUCUUUACCUGAUUGAAACUUUUUGCUGAUUGAAAACAAAAGGUAAGUGGCUUGGAAGCAGACAAAUCCGCUGCAACUGGGCAGCAAAAGGUGCUGCUGGAGCCAAUGAUGACAUGCAGAGUUCAGAUGCCAAAAGUGUUGUUGAACUGACAGCUGGAACGUCAGGUUGGUUUUGUUGAAUGCCUUUUUUCUGGCUACCACUGCUGUUGUCUUCGCCUAUGUUGCUCGGGACUCUUCAAAAAUGUCGAUGGGUGUGUGUCGGAUCCUCCAAAAAUAGUGUAUUUUUGAAGGGUCCGACAUGGGUGCGACAACAUUUUUGGAAAGUCUGAGCAACUUCGGUCUUCGCUGCAUAAUAUUUCAACUUCUGAUGGCUGAGAGUCUCUGCUCGUUUAAAGUUUAAACAUCUGUAUGUUUUCAGUGUUUUCUAUUUCAAUUAGCUUCAGAUUUCGCGUAGGAUCUUUAAGUAUAGACCAGAGCACGUGCCAUAUUAUAUGGACUUCCGACUCUGGACUGUGCUAUAUACCUAAAUCUUCUAUCAAAUUAAUGUGAAGUUGUGAACUAUAAAUGUGACGUGAAGUUCUUAAAUAUGCCUGGCGGUUGGCCUAUCCUUGUUUAUUAUGGAACUUCUAUCCCGAAGAUCUUCAUGUUGUUUAUAUUUUCGUUAUGUAGAUGAUGGUCAAGAGAAGGCCAAUGAAGACGCUCCAGAAAACAAUCCCCAGUAUACGACCGUUUAUGUUGGCAACCUUGCUCCUGAAGUAAGUACCGUUCGAACCUUUUAACCUCCAUUUCUUAUUAACUUAUUGUAAGUUGUAGGCGGAUCAGUCACCGCACUCUUUUUGGCCUUGUUUUUUGAAGUUUUACAUCUCGUUAGGAUGAACAUCGAGAUGCAUAAAGGAUUACCAAGAGUCGAUGUGAUUUAAGUAAUAUAUGACUAUGUCAGAAGGGGAAAUAUUGUUGGGACUCGGGAGCUUCAUGAUUAGCAUUUUCUUCUAUAUUCUUUCAGGCAAUACGACUUCAGCUUCUAUUCCUCCUAUGCUGUCAGUUGGUUUUUAGGUGUGGAAGGGGACCUCACAACCCCUCGUCUUGUAAAAAGGGGAGAAAGAGAUGCACCCUCCUCCCAAUUUAUGUGCGUGUUUGUCUAGCCGCGAAGUCUAAGAAAGAAAGACUAAAAAGUAUUACGUAAAUUGGGACGGAGGGAGUAUAAAUCUUAAGCUUAGUCGGGAGGAAUUUCUUUGCAAUUAUUUAGAAGAUCUCGUUGAUCUGACUUCCCGUUGUGUUUUUAGGUUACUUCACUUGACCUCCAUCGUCAUUUUCAUGCUCUUGGAGCUGGUAUUAUUGAAGAUGUCCGUAUUCAAGCAGGCAAAGGUUUUGGUUUCGUUAGGUACAGCAGUCACGCUGAAGCAGCUCGAGCUAUUCAGUUGGGAAAUGCUCGAAUCCUCUUUGGUAAACCUGUUAAGGUACUGUCUUAUAUCGCGAUAUGAACUUUUAUCGUGUCAUAAUCUCUCCGAACCAACAUAGACAAAACCGAAAUAAUCCUGAAGUAUAACGUCAAUUUUUCUGUUUCGGUCUGCAGUGCUCGUGGGGAAGCAAGCCGACACCACCAGGAAGCAGUUCCAACCCCCUACCACCACCUGCUAUCGGACAACUCCCCGGUAUUUCAGCCAUGGAUCUUGCAGCGUACGAGAGGCAACUUGCUUUGGCUAAGAUGGCUGGUAUGCAGACACUCAUGCAUCCACAGGGCCAGCGAAUUGGUGGCGCUCCUAGUCAGGCUAUGUAUGAUGGUGGCUACGGAAGCAUUGCUUCCACGCAGCCACCGAUGUACUACUAGUCGAUUGAUUAAUCAAUAAAAGCAACUUGUAAACACACCUGUUGUUGCUACUUCACUUAUAGGAUCCUUUUUAUUUCCUAUUUAUUGUUAGUUUUUUCACAGCAUGCAUGGAAUAUAUAUAUGUUGUAUUCUGUUUGAGAAUGAAGGUUUUAAUUUCUUUUUUGCUAAUACUAUGGCCGAGGGUCUAUCGGAAACAACCUCUCUACUUCUUCGGAGGUAGUGGUAUGGACUGCAUACAUUUUACCCUCCCAAGGCCUCACUUUGUGGGAAUAUAUUGGGUCUGUUGUUGUUGUUUUGCUAAUACUAUGGUAGUUCAUGUCUCGGAGUAACCGGUAAAGUUGCUGUCAUUAUUGUCGUGUGAUCAGGAGGUCACGGGUUUAAGCUGUGGAAACAACCUCAAGCAUAAAUGCCAGGUAAGGCUGUGUACAAUACAUCGUUGUGGUGGGAUCCUUCCCUGGACCUGAGCAUAGUGAGAGAGCUUUAGUGCAUCGAACUGUCUUUUUCGUACUAUGGUAGUUCAUGCAUCAGAGUAGCUGGUAAAGUUGCUGUUAUUGCUGUCGUGUGAUCACGAGGUCAUAGGUUUAAGUCGUUAAAAUGACUUUUAGCAGAAAUGCAAGGUAAAGCUGCGUACAAUACAUCGUUGUAGUGGGACCCUUUCUCGAACUUGAGCAUAGCGGGAGCUUUAGUGCAUCGAACGUUUUUUUCUUACUAUGGUAGUUCGUUUCUUGAGCAAUUAUUUCAUAAAACGAGGAUUUGACCUUCCUAAUGACAGUAAUAAAUUAGAUCUCGAUGGGAAAUUCACAACUAUUCUACAUGAUGAGGGUGCUUGUAAGACUCUUUUAAAUCAUAAAAAAGGAUGUUGUUACAUAAAAUAAAAUAAAAAGAAUGAUAAAAAAUAACACGAUAUUAUUAUAGUAACACGAUACGAAUUCAAAUUAGUUAAAUGACUUUAAAUACCAAAUAAUUAAAAACUAGUACAAUUAUUAAACUCUAUAUACAUUUGUUCUAUUCAUAGACCACUCUAUUACACUAAAUUCUUUAUUAAUAGAAGACUUUUUUUUAAUAAUAAGGUGGGAACAAAACGUGACUAUUAUAAAGUCUACUUUGCUAUAAAAAAUAUAUUUUAUUUUUUCAUAUUAUAAAAAUAUUAAUAUUACUACUUUCUAGGAAACAUAUAAGUCCACCCUUUACCUAACAUUUUCCUACCCACUUGUCUAUGUCUUUCUUGUGAACAUGUUUAUAUAGUUUUAUAAUUUUAUUCUUUCAUUGGCAUGUACUUAUUGACUCGACUAAUUCAGAUACGUGUAAUGUAUAAUAACAUAUUUGAUCAGUGUAUUGUUAUAUAGUGGGGUCUGAGGAUAAUGUUUACGCAGUCUAUACCACUAUCUCAGAUGAAGUAGAUGAAGUAGAGAGGUUAUUUUUGAUAGACCCCCAACUCAUGCAACUAUGAAUCUCAUUUAGAGUUCGAUCCUGGCUCAAGAUGAACGCUGGCGGCAUGCUUAACACAUGUAAGCCGGACGGGAAACACGAAAAAAUGGUAUUUUCAAUGGCGGACGGGUGAGCAUCGCGUAAGAACCUGCCCUUGGGAGGGGAGCAACAGCUGGAAACGGCUGCUAAUACCUCGUAAGCUGAGGAGCAGAAGGAGGAAUCCGUCCGAGGAGGGGCUUGCGUCUGAUUAGCUAGUUGGUGAGGCAAUAGCUUUCCAAGACGAUGAUCAGUACCUGGUCCGAGAGGAUAAUGAUCAGCCACACUAGGACUGAGACACGGCCCAGACUCCUACGGGAGGAAGUAGCAGUACAACAAAAAAAAACAUAAAAACACAUAAUGAAAUAGGAUAACACAUUGCUAGCUAAUACAAAAAACGAGACAAUCACAAGAUAAUACAAUAAACUAUUUUUUCGAAAAUCAUAGACAUCACCAAAACAACACGAACAAGAAAUUCGAGACAUAGACAAAGACACUAUUUCCUACUGUUACGGACGAACUCCUACCCACUAAUCUUUUACCGUAAUCCGCAUCCUCCAUACCUUUUUAUCAAGACAACCAAAUACGUGUAAUGUAUGACUUUAUUAAAAGAUGAAACGUUUUUUUACAAUUUUUUUUAAAAACUUUUAGAGUUCAAAUUCGAUAUUUUUAAUUAAAGGCGAAGAAUUUCAUCUAUCGUAUCAUUUUAUGUUAAUUUAUUCAAUCUUUGUGCGUGUUUUAUUUUUCAAAACCGCGUGGUGGAUAAUGAAAGUGGAAUUUACUUUUUUUUUUUUUUUUUUUUUUUUUUUUUUCGCUUUAUAUAUAUUUUUUCUUAUAUGGAGUGUGAGUAAUAAUGGACUUUCCUAUUAUAAAAAAGAAAAUUUCACAUUGGAGAUGUUUUUUUUUUGUCUGUCCUUAUUUUGGAUGAGGCUGCGUACAAUAGAUCCUUGUAAUCGGGUUCUUCCUCGGACCCUAUGCAUAACGGUAGUUUAGUGCACCGAGCUGCCCUUCCCCGAACCCUGCGCAUAGCGAUAGUUUUAGUGCACCGGGCUGCCCUUUUUUUUUUUUUUUUUUUUGCACUAAAUUAUUUAUUUAUUUAUUUAUUAGGUUAUAAAUAUCACUAAAAUAUACUAAUAAAUAGUUUAGGGGGUCAUAGGAUCCUCCGCAAAGUUCAGACGUGUUACAACAAAUUUCACCGAAGUUUGAAUAUAUUUUGGACCCUUCUCCCUUGUUUUGCUACUAAUACCUAUGGUUUCUUGAAUUGAGGGUCUGUCAGAAAUAACUUACCGCUGAACCUAUACCUAACUUUGAUCAAAUUUGAGGGGAGAUAUGUUUUAUGUUUUACAAAUAUAAGGUAAGAUAACCAACAAUAGAUUUUUAUUUCUAAUUCUUUUCAGAUUCUGUGUAUAGCGAAAAUUUUAGUAUAUCAAACUGUGCUUUACACAUAAACUAUUGAAUUCACUUUAUAUAAAAGUCUUUUUUUUUUAUUUGAAAUCAAAUAAGGUGUCCUAAAUUAAAUGAACAAAACCAAACCAAAUUUGUACUACAAUUAGGUAGUGUAAACAUUAGAAGAGUUUGGCCAAAGAAAAAACAAAGCAAAAUGUGCACAAUUUUUUGAAAUAUUAUGUUUGGUCAAUUAUUGGAGGCCAACAAUAUGGUCAAAAUACCGAAUCAAUUAUACAAAAAUAUCACAUAACAUGUGAAACCCUUAUCAAAUUACAAAUCAUAUUAUAAAAUUUCAAGUUGGCAUCUUUGACCUUUACCUUACUUGUAGGUGUGGCUUGUUGAUUAUUAUUAUUUCCAUUCCCAUUUUUAGUUCACAUUUUUGUAUAUGCAUGUUUGUUUUUUUCUAUGGCGGUGAUGUUUGAGCCAGUUUGUUGCACAAAUUGAUGCAGAUCAAGAUUCAAUAGAUGAAAUGUAGUCUAUGUUGCAUGUAAAAGGGAAGCCCGGUGCACUAAAGUUUCCACUAUGCGCAGGGUUCGGGGAAGGACCCCACCACAAGGGUGUAUUAUAUGCAGUCUUACCUUGCAUUCCGCCAGAGACUGUUUCCAUGCUUGAACCCGUGACCUCCUGGUCACAUGACAACAACUUUACUAUUAGUCUAUGUUGCAUGAACUUUUCCAAAAAUGUUGCCGCGUUCGUGUCAGAUCCUUCAAAGGCGCAUUACUUUCGGAGCAUUGACAUGUGCCCGAUUUACAUUUUUGAAGAGUUCGAGCACCAUGAAAUCCAUUUAUUGCUUUAUUUCAAGAAAACCUUAGAGCCAUACAAUAAUAUUUCAACACAAAUACAAAGAAACUAGGCCUUAAGACAAUAAACAAAAUCAAUCAACUUUGAUGAAUUUAAAUAGUACUAAUACAUAUAUGAGGUACUUAAUUAACAACAAACAUCUAUACUUUGAAUACAAAAAUGAAAAAUAAAAAUGUUGUAAAUAAUAUUCAUGAGUUAGAUCAAAAUGGCUUCAAUCAAGCUUGAAGCUAACAAAAAAGGAACCAAAAACUAGGUCAUUUAAUAGUAGUAUAUCAAGCAAUGAAGGCCAGCCUGGUGCACUAAAGCUUCUGCUAUGCGACAGGGGUCUGAGGAAGCGCUGGACCACAGGAGCCUGUUUUCACGACUCGAGCCUCGUGACCUCUUGAUCGCAGCAUCAACUUUACCAGUCGCACUAUGCGAGAGGGGUUCUGAGGAAGCGCCGGACCACAGGAGCCUUGUUUUCACGGCUCGAACCUCGUGACCUCCUGAUGGCAUAGCAUCAACUUUACAAGUCGCACUAUGCGAGAGGGGUCUGAGGAAGUGCCGGAUCACAGGAGUCUUGUUUUCAUGGCUCGAACCUCGUGACCUCCUGACCACACAGCAUCAACUUUACCAGUCACACCAGGGCUCGCCUUCAAUGAUCAAAAAGUGAAAAACACUAAAAGUACUGCUCAGUCUUAACAAACUGAGCAGCACCUAAUCCCAACCAAGCCUUGUUCUCUUCAUUCUUGGAAUUAGCUAGUAUUUUCUUGUUGUUCUUGUGGAUGUUGUUGUUGCAGAUUUGGUAUGGUGCAGUUGCUGUUAUUCGAUCUUUUCGUUUCUCCAAGAAUCUUGUAAGUGAAUUCCUCCUUGCAAUAGGUAAAUCAGCAACAGAAGAAGUCUGCGAUGGCAUCGGCAUUGGCAUUUGACACUUGGGAAGUACUUCUUGAAUCCUAUUGUUCGCGAAUGUUGUAGCUGAAUCAACAGGUUUUUGAUUGUAAGAGAAAACAUUUGUGGGGUUGUUUUGUUUGUUGGUUUUCUUGGUGGCUAAUUUCAUGAUUUCAUUGGCUUUAUCAGCUGGGAAAUCAUCAAAUACAAUCACUUGUCCACCAUAGAAAAUUGUCAUUUGUGCCUUCUCUGGCUUCUUUGUUGAUUCUUGAGGGAAAAGAUUCAUUGGCUUUUGAGCAUUUGUUUCAACUGAUGAUGUUGUCGAUGACGAAUCGCCAGACUUUUCGAUCAUUGGUAGCAAAUCCAUGGUAGUAGAUGUUUGUUGAGGUCCUGUUUCAAGAAACAUAGGAAAAUUUAUCAGUUUCAGAAACCAAAAAAGGUGUACAAUCUUUGUAAUCACAAAUAUAAAGGAGAGACGGAUCCCGUUGGGAUUUUGAGUUUACGAGUUCUGGAUUUUAGAAAAGAGACACAAAAAGUGGUGGACUCAGGCUACAAUCUGUGCAACCAGAAACAUGAACAAGCAUUUUAAAAAAACACCAAAAAGUUACAAUCUUUGCAACUAGUUAACAUGAAAAAGUACUACUCGCAUCAAGCACGCUUAGCUUCAUAGUUCUGAUGGAAUCUAGUGCGUUAGCGCCGGUAUGAUCACAUCCAAUCUUUACAACAAGAAAGGGCAGCCCGAUGCACUAAAGCUCCUGCUAUUGCCCCAUUGCCUUAUUGUUCUGGAUUUCAACUUAUUGUUCUAAAUGUAUUAUUUACUACAUAUUAGGUAAAAUUUUAAACACAACUGCAAAAUUUUAAUCAAAACUAUUAAAUUCUGUCGAACUCGUUGCCUCAUGAAACAUAAAAAAAAGAACUCCUCCAAAAACCACAAAAGCUCCAACUUUACUAAACAUACCCAUAAACUAGAAAACUAAUUCAAACAACAACAACAACAUAUAUCUAAUGUAUUAGAACAAAGUGGGGUCUAAGAAUGGUAAAGUGUACGCAGUCCGUACACAACUACCUCAGAGGUGAGGUAGAGUGGCCGUUUUCUUUUGUAUAGAUCCUCGACUCAAGACAAAAAAUAAUCUAGAAAACUAAUUCAAACAACAACAACAACAACAUGUACCCAAUGUAUUCCAACAAAAUAGGGCCCGAUAAGGGUAGAUUGUACGCAAUUCAUACAACUACCUCGGUAGAGAGGCCGUUUUCUUUCCUAUAGACCCUCGACUCAAGACAAAAUACAGUCUAGAAAACAGCUACGGAGUUCUAAAAGAGAGAGAGAGUACAUACCAGUUGAUUCGAAAGUAUUGCGGUUGAGACCAAGACCAUUAAGAUCACCAACAAAGCCUUUCUUCUUCAAGAAUUGGCUCAAAAGAUUACAAGUCUGAGAAAACUGAGAUUUCUGUCCGGUGACUUUGCCGGAAUCUUGAUUUUCCGAUGACCCCAUUCUUGAUUUUCCGGCAACUAUAUAUGAAAAAAAAUAUUUAGGUAACUUGUUAAGAGGGAAAAGUGAGAAAACAAGAAAUGGUUUGUUAUGGAACUGUUUGGAUGAUGAUGCUGAAUUGUGUUUGGAGUAAUUAUGGGUAUAUAUAAGGGGUGGGUGGUGUUGGGGUAGGGUGGGUGGGUUUACGGGGUGGUGGGGUAUGUGUUUUUUUUAAUCUUUUUUCAUGAAUGAGAAACACAUGUGGUUUUUGUUUGUGGAAAAAAACAAUUGAGUGUGCUGUUUGUUUGUUUCUUUUUCCCUUUUUGAUUUUUGCCUUCGCAUUUGUGUCUGGUAUUCACACCGAAGCCAGAUUGUAACGUGUGUUUUGGAGGUGAUAUUUUCAACGGUAUGUUCUUGUAUACACAAAAUUCGAAUUCAAGAUAUUUGAUAUUUACAUUGGAGAUCCACUGCAUUUGGAUAAGGCGUUGCAAAGCUAAUUUCGAGGUCAGCACUCCCAACAGAUUUUUUCGUAUUGAGGACUUGAAGUCGAGAUUUAAGGUAUCAGCAUUGGAGCUCGCAUUCACUAUAUCAGUAUCGAGCUUUGGAAGGCCAAUUUGGAGACGAUGCUCCUGACAUAAUUUCUUUUUGUAUUUUUUUUCAGAGUUCAAAUCCGAGACUUUUGAUAUCCGCAUAGGAAUCGGUGGAGGAUUCAGGAUUUAGGGGUCGCAGAUUCUCAGGAGGUUCGAAUACGUAUAUUGAUGCACAAAGCUUUAAGGUUCUUCUUGAAAAUUAAAACACCCAAAUAUCUUCUCGGUUUACUGGAUACUUUCUAAAGCUUAUACCAAUUUUUAUUCAUUUUUUUUAUAUAAUUAUACCUUGUAUACCUCGAAUUUAACGGGUGAUGAAGCACCAAAAAAAUGGUCAUUGGUCCGCCCCUAAUUGGAGCUCGACUAUAUCCAGAUUAAGCAUUAUAGGGUUCAUUUUGGAGGCAACAUUCUCAACAUUAUUUUAUUCAUACCAAAGAUUCGAACCCUAAAUCUCUAGUAUCCGCAUAACAGAACGACACUAUAUAAAUUGGGUGAUGCAGGGCCCACAUAAGCUCUUGAGGUCUUUCGAGAAAGAUCGAACAAACUUACUUCAAAACAAACAAUAUCAUAUAAUAUAAAAAAAUCUUUGAGCUGACUGAACCCAACAUCCACCGUUAUCCAUAUUGGUCUUAUUUGUUUGUUUGAACUACUAUUGUUUUUUAUUUUGAAAAAGGAAAAUAAAUUAUUAGUAUGGACAAAAGAGAAAACAAGAAAGUAAAAUAAAACACACAUUUCAAACACGUUUUUUAUGUCUUAAAAAAUAAGGAAAGUAAACAAUAAUACUGUAUAUAUUCCGUGUUUCUUGGUUUACGUUAUUCUUUACAAAUUGCCCUUGCUUUUCUCUAUAUUUACGACGUUUGCCCUUCCUCUCUUUCUGUUAACUCUCCGUUUGUUCCUUUAGGUCACAAUGCAACUAAAGCUAAGCCUAUGGGGGAGUCUAGGUCUCGAGUCAAGUUGGGGAGUUAUUUCAUUCUCGUAACGAGUAGGGCCGGAGAAUUUUUUCGAUAAAAAAUUAUAUUAUUUUAUGUCUGAUUAAAAUUAUCUUUUAUGUAUAUAUAAUUGAUGUUGAACCUCUUUCGACUAAUUCGUAUGUUUACUUCUGAACUCCCUUAGUAAAAAUUCUGGCUCUGCCACUGAUAACGAGAAUGAGCAUACUGUAAGAUCAGAGAAGUAGCUAGCUCCGUUAAGGGAUGAUAAAAAGAGGGCAUUUUCCUGUGUUGCACUGAAAAAAAAAACCUAAGAGACGAGCGUGACGAGCGUCUUCUCUUAGGUUUUUUCUUCCGUAUCUGUCGCCGCUUGUCCCGCGUUAGAGAGGAAUAUUAGAAAAGCGGGAAAAGAAAGAGGAAAGGGGAGCACCAUCUUAUUCUCUAUUUGAGAAUUUCUGGAUCGUAGAAGCAUUCAGAACGGCCUCACAGUGGCGAUAUCUGUUUUUUAGGUUAAGUCAUUUUUUUUAAUACGAUUCAUCUUUUUCUACGAUAAUUCAAGCUGCAGCGACACUUCACGAACUUCUUACUGAAACAGUACUAUAAUAGGCAUUAGCGAGAAUUUCUAGAUCGUAGAAGCAUUCGCAACGGCCUCACUACAACGACAUCUGUUUUUUAGGUUAAGUCGUUUUAAAGAGGAUUUAUCUUAUUUUACGAUAAUUCAAGCCUCAACGGCACUUCAAGAACUUCUUACCGAAACAAUACUAUAAUAGGCAUUCGCGAGAAUUUCUGGAUCGUAGAAGCAUUCAGAACGACCUCACAACAGCAACAUCUAUUUUUUUUUAAGGUUAAGUCAUUUUUCAAGACGAUUCAUCUUAUUCUACAAUAAUUCAAGCUGCAGCGGCACUUCACAAACUUCUUACUGGGACAAUACUAUAAUAGGCAUUUACGAGUACAAAGUUAUAUCUAAGAAUACAAAGUUAAAUUCACGUGGUCGACAUCAAUUUAUUUAUAUCUAACACAAUUAAUGUUGUACCUUUUUACUCGUGACAUAAAAUUAAAUAUGGUCAUGUACAUUAUUUAAUUUGGUCAUAAAUUUCACGAAAGCACGUUGGUAAAUAUUUAUUCUCACCGAAUGACAUUAAAUUGAUGUAAAAUUAUAGUUGAAUUAUCACUUUUUCACGAAUUUAUUCACAUAUAUUUCAACUAUUAUCUUUUUUUUUUCUUACCUAAACUCUUACGGAUUAUGCCUUAAAGUUGAUUAGAUCAAUUAUCAAUUAUUCUCUUUUCCUAUAUGAAAUAUCAUCAUCUACUCAACCGAGUCACGUGUUUUAUAACAUAAAUGAUGAUAGUUCAGCUAAAAACAACGAAACAAUUAAUAGCUAAAGUGUGAAACUCGCAAAAAAGGUGAUAAAGACAAAUGUGUUUUUAAUAAUUUUUUUUUAUCUUUAAUAUAAUAUAUAAAUAAGUAAAAAAUGAAUGAAAGAGCAAUAUAAAGAACUAAUAUGUAAUAGCCUAUAUUGUACGACUGAUGCAUUAAAGCUUUCGCUAUGUGUGGAGUCCAAAGAAGGACUGAAUCACAAAAAUUUAUUAUACGUAGUCUUACAUUAUAUUUCUGCAAAAAAACUAUUUCCAUGACUUGAAUUCACACAAUUUUUUUUAUCAGUUACUCAAAGACUCUGUUUAAUAAAUCACCAUCAAGAAAACUACAUAAAGUGAUUAAUUUGGACCGUUUACUUAUUCAACAUAAAAAUAAAAUGUAACACCAGAAAAUUCAAGUUUUUUCUAGAAUUUUGUUUAAUUAAUCCAAUCACGUGAAUUAUGACAAUAUUGUUGGAACUAUAUAAAUCAACUCUAAGCACAAACGUAAAUAAUCCAACAAUAUACUCGAUAUAAUCCCACAAAACGAAAUUUAUAGAAUUUGAGAAAGAUAGAAUGUACGUUGAUUAUUUCACCGCAAAAGUGAGGUAAAUAGGCUAUUAUCGAAAGACCUCCUACUCAAUAAAAACAGGCAUGAAAAAAGACGCAAUGGCAGAAGAACAGAUAAUAGAUAGUAACAAAUACAACAUAUAAUAGCACUCAUUACUAAAACAAAAUAACACUUUGAGCGAACUAGAGAUUUAAGGAGGAUAGAAUAUACACAAACUAUUUCACCUUAGAAGUCAGGUAAAUAGACUAUUUUCGAAAGACCCCCGAUUUAAUGCAAAAAAGACAAAAAAAAAAAAAAUGUAAUGAAAGAACAAGAAACAAUAGGUAGUAACAAACACGACAGAUAGUAGUAUGCAUUACAACAACAAAAUAAUACUUUGAUCGAACUAGGGAUCUAGGGAAGAUAUAGAAUAUACGCAGAUUAUUUCACCUCAGAAGUGAGGUAAAUAGGCUAUUUUCAAAAGAUACCCGACUUAAUCCAAAAAACAAGCAAGAAAAAAGAUGCAUUGAGUGAACAAAAAACAGUAAAUAAUAACAAAAACAACCGUUUACUUAUUCAACAUAAAAAUAAAAUGUAACACUAGAAAAUUCAAAAUUUUUCUAGAAUUUUGUUUAAUCCAAUCACGUGUAUUAUGACAUAUUGUUAGAACUAUAUAUAUCAACUCUAAACAAAUACAUCCGGUAUAAUCUCAUAAAAUAUAAAAACAGACGAGAAAAAAGACAUAACAAAAGAAUAAAAGACAAUAGGUAGUAAAAAAACAACAACAGAUAGCAGUAUGCAUUAUUACUACAACAAAAUAAUACUUUAAUCGAAUUACACGAAAUAAUAGAUAUUAAUAAGAUAAGGCAAAAAAUAAAUAUAUAUUAUUUUUUAUUAAAUGGAAAUUCCGUCGCAUAUGACUUUUAUGAGUUAAUGGUCCCAAAUUAGUUGACUCAAAAUUAUUUUAAAAAUAAUAAAUUAUUGACUCAAAUUCCUUGUUUACGUGCUUGGAUAACUAAUAAAAAUAAUAAUAACGUGUUGUUGAUUUGGUCUAAGUUUUAUUCUCAAUAACUUUCUUUACAUUUUCCAUGUAUAUAUAUUUAAAUAAUAAGUCCUUCACUUAAAAAAAAUAUAGCCAAUUAUGACUUAUUAAAUGUUUUUAAGCUUCAUCACUACUUUUUAGCACAUCAUUAGUAGUCUAUGUUGAAUAAUAANNNNNNNNNNNNNNNNNNNNNNNNNNNNNNNNNNNNNNNNNNNNNNNNNNNNNNNNNNNNNNNNNNNNNNNNNNNNNNNNNNNNNNNNNNNNNNNNNNNNNNNNNNNNNNNNNNNNNNNNNNNNNNNNNNNNNNNNNNNNNNNNNNNNNNNNNNNNNNNNNNNNNNNNNNNNNNNNNNNNNNNNNNNNNNNNNNNNNNNNNNUAAUAAUAAUAAUAAUAAUAAUAAUAAUAAUAAUAAUAAUAAUAAUAAUAAUCCUACUCCUACUACUAACUAAUAGUAAUAUAUAAUAAUAAUUCUAUCUGAAGUAUUACUAUCUACGUAUUAAAGCACACUUAGUUUAGUAGAUGCUUAUAAUUCAUAUAAAAAGAAAAGGAACAACUGAUAGUUCGUCUGAUCAGUUUCGAGGUGUGUUUUAUGAAAUGACAAUAGUUCAAGUAGGAAAUUAAUCACGAUGAAAAAUGGGAAUAAUUGAUAAUAAAAGUGUGAAACUCUCGAAAAAUGAUAGUUUACAUGUGUUUUUGACAGUUAACUAUAUUAGUAAUGUUAUUAUUGCUAAUUCUAUUAUAAUUAAAAGGAUAAAUUCUUUUCGAAAUUAGCUAUGAUUAAUCGCGAAAAGUCAGUAAUAAAUGGUCUGCUUUUUUAUAAGCCAACAAAACACAUUAUAACAUACUAAAAUAGUUUAUGAGUUUCUGUAAUGAUCUCAAAUUAAUAUGUAUAAAUAUUUAUAACUAUUAGCACUAAAUUUUUUAAUACAUACAAAAUCUACGCAAAAACUAUUAUAUUCUCGUGAAUCCAUAUAUUAUCGCAUAUUCAAACUCAAAACCCUAAUUAAAAAUUAAAGAAUCUCGAAUCAUUCCAUCACAAUCUACGUCGAUAGAAUAUUAAUUUUUUUUUUUUGAUUUUUCAUCUGGUGUCCGGUAUCGACAUUGGAACACCGACUAAUUCGAAUCGCGCGUUGCAAGGCUCAUUCUGAGGAUAGCGCUCCCAACAGAAUUUUCUUCUUAUCUAGGACUCGAACUCGAAACCUCUGAUUAAAAUUGCAUCAAUCCCACCACAACACAACAACUCCUGUUGGUAAUAUCAAUACUCAUUCCAUCACAAUCUAUGUCGAUAGAAUAUAUUUUAUUUUUUUUUGAUUUUUCAUCCGAUGUCCGGUAUCGGCAUUGGAGUCCCGACUAAUCUGAAUUGCGCGUUGCAACGCCCAUUCUGAGGAUAACGCUUCCAACAAAAUUUUCUUCUCACCUAGGACUCGAAUUCGAAAUUUCUGAUUAAAACUACAGCAGUCCCACCACAACACGACAACCCAUAUUGAUAAUAUUAAUUGUUGUUAGACAAGAAAAGGUGAUGUUGUACAUGUUGAAUUAAUUAGAGGGAAAAAGGGAACAUAAAAAUAAACAAGGAAUCAUAAUUAUGAGGUGCCUAACUAUAAAAAGUAUAUAUUAUAAUUAUAAUAUAUAGUAUAGUAUAAUAAAUACAAUGCUAGUACAUGUUGCACGAGGCAUUAGGUACAAAGUAAUAAGAUCUAUGACUCAUUCAACAUAAUAUUUGAAUCGCUGAGAAUUAUGAUGGGAUGAAUAAAAUUUCGUUACUUUUAAUCAGAUGUCUUAAGAGUUCGAGUUAUGAGUAUAAAAGGAAUUUUGAUAUGAAAUACUUCUCCAUUUCGCUUUAAUAUACCUUAUACAAUGUAAAUUUGAAUUUACUGAGAGUCGAUACGAACAUCGAAUAUCGAAUAUCAAGUGAAAACUUUUAUCAAUACUCUUAAUUAGAUGUGUGAAUAGAGUUUGAGUUAUAAGUAUAAAAGGAAUCUUGAUAAGAAAUGUUUCCUCUUUCGCUUUAAGAUUGUACCUGGUGUAAAUUUGAAUUUAUCGAGAGUCGAUACAAAUAUCGAAUUACGAGUGAAAUUUUUUAUCGAUAUUUUUAAUUAGAUGUCCCGAUCGAGUAUGAGCUAUAAGUGUAAAAUGAAUCUUGACAAGAAAUGUUUCUUCCUUUCGCUUUAAGAUCGUACAUGAUGUAAAUUUGAAUUUAUCGAUUACCGAGUAAAAAUUUUUAUCGGUAAUCUUCAUUAGAUGUCCCGAUCGAGUUUGAGCUAUUAGUGUAAAAGGAAUCUUGUGCCCCCCCCUCCCUCCUUUCGCUUUAAGACCGUACAUGAUGUAAAUUUAAAUUUAUCGAGAGUUGAUACGGAUAUCGAAUAUCGAGUGAGAAAUUUUAUCAGUACUCUUAAUUAGAUGUCACGAUCGAGUUUGAGCUAUAAGUGUAAAAGGAAUCUUGAUAACAAAUGCUUCUUCGUUUUUCUAUAAAAGAUCGUAUUUGACGUAAAUCUGAAUUAAUCUGAAUUUAACGUAAAUAUGAAUAUCGAAUACCGAACGAAAAAUGGAAUCUUGAUAGUGAUGUACACUUUAGUGAUGUUUCUAGGAAACAUCUCAAAUAGUGACCUCUCAAUAGAAAUUAUUUAUUCCUUUUUACUUCCUUUUCACAAAUAAAACAAAAGAAUAUUAAUAAUUUAAUUUUUUUGAGAUUUGUUUUUUUUUUUAGUAUUUAAUUGUAAAUACGAAUUAGGGUAUUUACGGUUUUUUUUAUUGCGAAAGUAAAUCUUUAGUUUUUCAUGAUUGAGUCGUUUAUGUAAACUCUGAGAAUGAAGAAACUCUUUAUAAAAGCGCGCCUUUACAUUUAAUAGAUUUUUUAUUCGAUACGAAUCUAAAUUAGUAGGACCAGUACAUUUUGAUAUCUAAUUUAAAGAAUAUUACAUAAUGUUAUAAUCUAUUUUUUUUAUUUUUUUUGUAAAAAUACUCCAUGUUUUAAAUUAUAUAGAAUAUUUAUUUUAUUGGAGUUUAGCAAUUUCAUUGCACUUUCCUAUAUUUGAAAAUUGUGUAUAAAUGUAGCUUCCAAGAAAAAGGGAAGAGAAAAAAAAUUGUAUAUAGAAACUUCUUUGCUACUAACAAUAGUAAUUAAAUUAUUAUAAUUAAAAUUAAGUCAUGUUUAUGGAAGGAAUAUUAUCAUACAUAGGGUGUGGGAUAAAAAUAUUACCAUAAUUGUGGUAUUAAACCAUCCCGAAAUAGCUAAUCCCAGAAUAAGAAAUCAUACGAAACGUGGAAUAUAUAUCUUAUUCCUCGAACCAAACAGCCCCUUAAAUACAAUGGUCAGAAUACUGAUGCACUAGGCUUCCGCUAUGUACGGAGACUAAAAAAGAAUCGAACCAUAAAAGCCUAUUAUAUGCAGUAGUCUUAUCUUGCAUUUCGACAAAAAGGCGUUUCCAACGUUCGAACCUGAGACAAUAGCUAAACUAAUGUAAAAAUGGACGUCCCGAUGCACUAAGCUCCAGCUACGCCAGAGGUUUGAGAAAGAAUCGAACCAGAAGCGUCUAUUAUACGCAAUCUAACCCUGUGUUUCUGCAAAAGGGAGUCCUUCCCACAACUCGAACCCGUAACUAUAGGCCAAACUAAUGUUUUUUUUUUUCAAAAAUAGCGCUAUGCGUGGAGUCCGAAAAAAGUCGGAAACACAAGGGCCUGUUAUACUCAGUAUUAUCCUAUGCAAGAAGGUGUUACCACCUACGUCGCUCGAACUCUUAAAAAAUGUUGGCGGAUGCGUGUCGGAUUCUUCAAAAGUAGUGCAUUUUCGGAGAAUCCGACACAAGUGCGACAGUAUUUUUGAAGAGUUCGAACAACAUAGAUUUCCACAGCUCGAACCCGUGACAAAAUCCAAACUAAUGUACCAAAAAGGAUUAGUUAAGACAUUAACUUUAUGAAACUAAGAUUCUAUACAGGAACAAAGAAGCUGUUCUUUACAUUGGAUCUGUGUAUGUAUAAUGCAGAAAACAAAAUUCAAAAAAAAAAAAAAAAUUUUUAAAAGGCAGCUCGAUGCACUAAGCUCCCGCAAUGAAGGGGUCGGUGCGAUCAUUUCAAAUGUCGUAAUCUAUGUCUGUCGCGUUUUGAGCAUCGAAACGUCUGAUCAGAUGUCCAUGUUCAUCGUAUAGAUCGAGGUUCUUGCAAGGUGCUCAAAUGUCGUAAUCUAUGUCUGUCGCGUUUUGAGCAUCAGAACGUCUGAUCAGAUGUCCUUGUUCAUCGUAGAGAUCGAGGUUCUUGCAAGGUGCAGGGAAGAUGGUGCCAAUUACGCGACCUUGAACGAAAGCACAUUGGAAUAUAUGUUUCUUCUUGUACGUUAACCCAACCGACAUAUCUCUGAAUGUAACGUUCCUUACCCAGAUUUCUUCACUACCGUGGAUUUGAACAGGCACGCGAACUCCCUCACCGUGUAUCGUUGUGUAGCUUAUGUUUUCCAGUAAUGGGACAGCUUUGGGAUCAAAACUAUCGUCAGCGUGCUCGUUGUAAUCUGUUUUGAUGACGAUUCCCACCCUAACAUUCUCGAAUGUUAAGUUCUUGUAUGUUAUACCUCGAACGUAUCCUCCUCUUCCGGGUGCUGUUUUGAUGCGUACAGCACGUCUCGAGUUCCAGAUAAAGACGUUCUCCACGGUGACAUUUGACACUCCCCCGGACAUCUCGCUUCCUAUUGAUACACCGGCACUGCCAUGUAGUUCAGCCAGAGUUAGUUCCUAGUAAAAUAUUUAAGGAAUGGUAAUGUAUCGGUCAAUCAAUCGAUCAAUCAACUAAACUUCCGUCAAAAAACAGUUGUCGGGCUUGAUUAGAACGAUCAUUUCCCGGACUCCACUUACUCGUGGGAUUACACUGGGUAUGUUAUUGUUACUAAAACGAUCAUUUAACCAAAAAAAAAAGUUAUGCCUCUUCAAACCAACAAGCCGCUGACCAGCAGGCCAACCGUCAAUGCUCAACAAACAUUCACUCAAAUGCAAGAAAAAAGAGAAGGAUUUGAUUUCGUGAACAUCUAUAACAACCCAAAGACGCAAUUGUUGUCGGAAAAAUUCAAUCGCGAAAAGAAAUGUAAAUGCAUGUGCGUAUAAGGAGAGAUCUCUCACCUGACGUUGGAACGAAUGACAAGGUUCCGAAUGAGUAUAUUCUUUGAAGGCCGUCCAUAUGCAAUUCCAUACUGAUCCCAUCCACUCUUUAUCGCGAUGCCAUCAUCACCAACACUAAUGUAACAAUUCUCUAUCAACACAUCUUCGCACGAAUCUGUUCACUCCAUUAAAACACAUUAAGAGUUUAUACCGAGCGACCCGCUACAGUAUAUAAGCAAUAAAAAUGUACAGGAUAGAUAUCGGAGUCUUUUACAGUGAUGUCAACCAGUGUUAUCAAAAGCAAAAAACGCAAAAGAACUCUAAGGUCGGUUGGGGCUUUAAUGAAAAAAGGUGCAAAGGGAGAAAGAAUACAAAUAUAAAUGUUAGUCCACGAUUAACAAUUGUAAGCACGAAUGACAAAUAUAUGAACAAAGAAAUUAAAUUUUUUUUUCUACAUAAGUGAAGUAUCAAUUGCUUAGUCUCUCCUCUUCAUAAGAGGCUCAUCGGCAAGGGAAAGUACGCCUUAGAACCUCGAUGACGAUACUGAAGAUCACAUUAAGUGACACGACGCGCUCAACACGUUUUGAGCCUCGCUUCAGGGCUUAAGCGAGCCUUUGAUAACACUGAUGUCGAAAUCAAACGCAUCACAUUUCAGCAAAACCCUGUCAAUUAAUUGUUUUUGCUACAAAAGGGUUGCAUAUGAUCGAAGAAAUACAGCAAAUCAAUAUGUCAAAACUUGAGCAGCUUAACCAAAGUCCCAAAACCAGGACGACGACCAACAAGUGACACAAAAGUUGAGUCUAAAAUAUAACUGUAUUCACAGAUGAAACAUAAACGAACUAGCGCAAGAUUCAUUUAUCAAAAACACUGAACCUAUCGAUGAUUCACCUGGAUUUACGCCAUCAGUAUUCGGAGCCCCAGCGAUGGGUGCUAGGAUUGUAAGAUUCCUGACCGUUACAUUCUUGCAGUCGUAUGGAUGGAGUGUCCAAAAGGGAGAAUCUUGUAAAGUUAUAUUUGAGAUUAGUAUGUCAGUAGACCACAUGAUCUGCACGAGCGGUCCUCUGGUAUGGUUAAGAACCUUCUGCUUGAAUUUCUUCCACCACGCUUGACCCUGCCCAUUAAUGGUACCAUUAUGACCUGUUAACAGGAACAACAUAUGCAUAAUCAGAACCAGCCGUUGUUCCUUUACACUUACACAAAAUUCCGAAUACUUCAAUAUAGAAAAUAUGCUUAAGUGUUUUCUUUUGAUGAAGAAAUCUGCUUAAGUUAUUUUGAGCAUGUAGCAGGUACCGAACGCAUGUGAUGAGGAGGGACUCGAAUGCUCCAGUUCGGAGGUGUGAGAGGUUGUCUAUGGAUGGUUUUAGGCGGGGUAGACGUAGGCCAAAGAAAUAUUGGAUGGAGGUGACUAGGCAGGUCAUGGGGCAGUUACAGCUUACGGAGGACAUGACCCUUCAUAGAACAAGGUGUUUUGGUGAAGUUUUCGUAUAGUUAGUUUACAAUAUCACUUUGUGGGUGUUUUGUUUCCCUUACUAUAUAGCAGUGUGAUAUCCCUUGUUUGUUGGUUGCUUUUAUGAUUUUUGUUUGAUCAUAUUUAUUUUCUGUCCUGAGCCGAGGGUCUAUCGGAAACAACCUCUCUCUCUACUUCAGAUGAGGUAGUGGUAUAGACUACGUACACUUUACCCUCCCUAGAUCCCUCUUUGUGGGAAUAAACUGGGUAUGUUGUUGUUGUAGUAGGUACUGAACACCGAACUGAACUGAAAUUAGUUGGGGUUCGGUUUUUUCUAUUAGGGUAGAGGGUUAGUAGGUGGUUGAGAGUUGUCAUGCUUUUUGAGGGUUUAGGCUAGUUGGUAUUUGUCUUGUACUAGUUGUAUUUUAGUAGUUCUUGCCUUUUGCUAUCUAUCAUAUCGGUUGUUUAUUGUGUUUGCUUGUCGAAAUAUUUUGUCGUAACUUGCUAUGUUUUUCCCAUUGUUUCCUUCUUCUUUGUACUUAAAUUUGCUACACUUGAGCCAACGGUCUUUUGGAAACAGCCUCUCUACGAGGUAGUGGUAUGGCUGCGUACACUCUACCCUCCCCGGACCCCACGUGGGAUUUCACCGGGUAUGUUGUUGUUGUUUGGUUCAGUAUGAUUAAUUACUCCCUCGAGAUGAUGUGAAUUCUGCUCAUAUAACGUUCUUAACUUCAUAUAUAACAAGUUACAUAAAGCAUAUACUUCAUAUUUUGGAUGACGAAUGGUUUGACUAUCAACUUUGCUUACGCAGUUCACUAUAUAUGUUUGAUAACACGUCAAGAUCAUCGCAAUGCCAAUAAUUAGAACGUAGGACAAUCAACGAGAAGCACAAUCACAUUCUGGGAAGACAAGUUUAAGCUGUUAGGUUUUGAUGUUAAAAUGUAGCAAUGCCAAUAAGAUGAAAGACAAAGCUAGGAAAUCUGAAAGCUCGGUUCUUCGGUUAACCGAAAUACUGGGAUACUAAAACUGAGAAUCGAAUUGAAUACCACAGUUCAAAAAAUUUUAUUACAGACACCUAAUCAACAACAACAUACCCGGUGUAUUCCCACAAAGUGGGGUGUGGGGAGGGUAAAGUGUAGGCACUCCAUACCACUACCUAACGGAAGAAUGAAUUAAUUCGGUUCGAUUUUAUGCCCACCCCUACUUUCUCCCCCCACUUACCUUCAUUUAAGAGACGAUUACUCCCAUAACAAGAAUUUUGAAAAAAAAAAUCCCUUUAGUAGUGCUUGUGGAGCAAUUAUCGACGAAGCACCAGCAAUUAACAGCGCUCGGAGAAAAACCAAGACAAAAAUCAUAUGUGAACUUGCCACACGAACGAUCUCAAUGAUUUGCAUCACUUAACAAACAGAAAAUAAGAACCAAAAACAGAUAAAUUCAACUUUCCAGUAAAAGAAACGGAGAUAGUAAGAAAUCUUCAUUUAUAACAAUGCACCUGAUAAAGAAAGCGAUCUUGGGCCUAACUCAACCCCAAAAGCUAGAUCAUGAGAGGAGGAUUGCCCAAGUCCAUAAAAGGAGACCAACUACCCAUCCCCUUUCCGAUGUCGGACUCUUAACAGCAACAACAUAUCCAGUGUAAUCCCACAAGUAGGGUCUAGCGAGGGUAGGAUGUACGCAGACCUUAUCCCUACCUUGUGAGGGUAGGGAGGCUGUUUCCGAUAGACAAUAAAAGAAAUAAAUCAAGAACUUCAAAAUUUUAAAACAUUGUGCGGUUCUCGUGAAGCUAGAAUUUCAAACUGAGGUCAGAGUCGACACACCUGUGAUUAUCACAUCUUUCAGUUUUUGUCCAUGGAUUAAGCUUCCAUAGCGUGGUCCACGAUGCUCUCUUCCAUAUCCAUAUGAAGGUAAGGGAGGCAUGAGAGUCCAGUACUUCUCAUCCUGUUGAAUGCCACAAAUACAAAUAGAAAAACAGAAAUAAUAUAACUUCUGUUAGUUCUCUACUAGAAAGACGAAAAGCAAGGCUUCAAUUAAGGGAGGUAUAUUCAUGUUCCCGAUGAAACGUUAUCAAGUUAUUUUGAUCGUCAAGAAAACAAUUGUUGGAGAACAAUACUGUAGUAACAAAAUUGUAGUUCACUUUCCUUCCGCAAAUUAUAACUAGCAAUUCAAACUGAAUCUUGCAGACAAAAAAAUGUUCCCAACACAACAUUGUUCGGAACUGACAUAAUCACAUAACCAAAGAAGGGAAAAGAUUCUUCAAGUGUCUCAUGUUCCAGAAGUGCAUGAUGAUGCCGGGAUAAUUCUUAAGUUAAACUAGAGGGACCAACCGAUUCUUCAGUAAAGAAUUCCUAUUUUAUAUACAACAGUCUUCAACAACAAACUUCGUAUUCUAAUGCACUUCCACCGGCCUGUCACAUCCAGGAAAAGGACCUCAUUCCAUUCCCCUAUCAUAUCUAGCAAACACAGCGAGACACACAAACUCAGCAAUUCAAUCACACAACUGAUUGGUUUUGUCUUGUUUUUCUAUUUAACAAUGCCUGUUCGGAUUUGAUUUUAGAUGAAUCAGGUUAGUGCGUGCUAGAAGGAUUGUUUUGAAGAAGAGUCUUUUGGCUUGUCCCCUGAAAUGAUUUGAUACAAAAAAGCUACAAGCCCUCGGAAUACAUACAUAUAUAGCAAAAUACGACACAAGGAAAGCAAAAGAUCCAUAUAAGCGUAUGUUGGGGUUAAGAUCACGAUGCUACUCUUACAUUAGGUAUAGUAUUGCUUAGGACAAUGUUCAGUAACGUUUAGAGAUUUGUGUGCCAGUCGAAAAUGUAGAUAAAUUCUAGUGUUAGAGAACCUACGGAAUAUUGGAAGAUAGCAAGAAAUCAUAUCCAAUACCAAAAAACUUGGGAUUGAGUAGUAUUGGGCUUCUUUGUAGAUAAAUGCACAUUGCUAGUUGCCAAAAGUAAAAAGUAAUCGCAUGAUCGUAUACAAAUGUAUAUAGAAGCUAGAUCAUGCACCCUACGUAGCACCAGCAUUGAUUGGAAGAGGAGAAGCAGCUAGGAACUUAGUUAAUGACUACUAAAAGAGGUGAAUAUGACUAAGAAACAAAUAAGAGACCCAAAGGGCCAUGUCGACAACAACCAUAAAGAAUACCAAUGAAAUGGCAUGGCAUAACGUCAAGACAUGGUUGGGAAAACAGUUAACGUACUAUUCACAGGCAACCUCACAUAAUACAGAUCUCUAAUCUAAAACUGACUUCUUUGUAGGUAUAAACAGUUUGGGAUUGAGGUGUUAGCAGCUUUACAUUAAAUACCGUCUGGCUAGAACUCCCUCUGUCCUAUUUAAUGUGAAGGGGUUCAGAGUACAAGGGUUGACGCAAUUCAUUUCGGUGGAAAUUCGGGCAUAGAUUCUUCAAGUUCUUUGAAACAAAUAGUUAAGAAUUCAAAAUAAUAAAAAUGAGUUUGAGAAAAUCGUAAUCAAAGUAAACCUUGUUUAACUACCCAAAUAGUAAUAGUGUUACAUAAAUGGGACAGAGGGAGUACAAAAAUUUGUUUUGGUACUCAAAAUCAAUAAAUCAAUACGGAAUUUGGAUAGGAUUUACNNNNNNNNNNNNNNNNNNNNNNNNNNNNNNNNNNNNNNCAGGAGGAAUUCCCUUGGCAUUUAGAAUUUAAUCGUUGAACUUCAAGAUUUAUUCAAGAUUACCUUGAGUGAAUCUAAGUUUUUAGCAAAACCAAAGCAAUUUUUCUUCCUUCAUUCUCCCGCUUAUAUCUGGUAUUACAACUGGAAACAAAGGGUGGAGCCAGGUAGGACCGAGAGGGGUUCGAUGGAAAAUUACACUGUUUAACAUGGUAGUAAAAAUUAUUUUUUAUGUAUAUAUAGUUGAUGAUGAAGCCACUUCUUCGUAUGUAUUUGCAAAGUCGAUUCUUAGAACAUAAUAUGCUUAUUCGCAAGCACCUAUGAUUGCCAAAAGAAUUGAGGGACUGGUUGGAUCAAGAGUUGAAGACUGUCAAAAGAAACCAAACAAAACGCUAGUCCUCAACAAAGAGAAAAGAAAUUAACGAGCAAGUCAAGAAAGGUGCUAAAAAAAACUUGAGAUGUAUUGAAUGAAAAGUCGAGGAAAAAAUAAUUCUAACCGAAUUAGAAGUCUGACAUAUAAGAAGUGAUAAUCGAAGUACAAGAGACAAUUGAUAGUAACAGAAAUCGAAAGACAAGUAACUACAGUAGCUAGCAGCAGAAACUAAAGGACAAGAAACUUCAGUAGAUAGUAGGCAGAAACUAGAUACUACUAUCAACUGAUUCAGCUGAUUGAUUACUGAUUAUAACAAAACCAACGUCUUUCAUCUCAUCAAUUCUAUAAGCUCACUAAUCCAAGGAUAGCCGGAAUAUCAGCAUCAAACAAAUCCAAACUACCUCUUCAUUCCACCGAUACUGAUAAAAGCCUUCCAUAACUAACACUAAGCAAUUAGCUAGGUGAUUUCUUCCCAUCUAUCCAAGCCUCGACAGGCAAAGGCAAAGUUACCAGAUACUCAUGCUAGACGCUAGUGAGAGGUAGCAGGUACACAUUGCAAUAGUCGAGGUGCACAUAAGCAAUUAGCAUACUAUGUGAAACUCACUGAUCUAAGCAAAGCAAAGCCAACCAAACAUUCAAACAAGAAACCACAUACAAUUAGCAUAAAUGGGAACAAUAAAGGGAAGUAGAAUGCACUAAGCUCCCAUUUAGCAUGGGAUCCAAGGAAGGACAGGACCACAGAGGUCUAUUGUACGCAACCUUACCCUACAUUUCGUGAACCCGUGACUUAUUCACAUGAAGGCAACUUUAACAAUUACACCAACGUUCCCCUUCCACAAACAGGAACAAUGAAACGAACAAUCAAAACAUCAAGAAACUAACUUUCUUAGCUCAUUAAGCAAGAUUAAAAUAUCAGAAAACUUACAUCAAUCCCCAAUAUAACAGCACCCUCAGCAAGAAACAAAGUCAUAUAACCAGUAAGAAUAAACGGCCUGCUAACCAAUAACCAGGAGGCACAUUAAGCUGCCCACCACCUUUCUUCCCAAGUUUACCGAUUUCCAAUAUUGCCCUUUCAAACGCCAAUGUAUUAACACUUACUCCAUCACCAACCUCACCAAAGUCCAUCAAGUUAAAUGCCACAUACAAUUACCAUAAAUGGGAACAAUGAAAUGAACAACUAAACAUCAACAACUAAGCAAGAUUAAAACUUUAAUGCUGACACACUAAGAAAUUUGUUAAAGGGCUCCACCCCAUGACUCUGAUCACAUGGCAACAAUUUUGCCAGUUACACCAAGACUCUCCUUCCAUAAAGGAAACAAUGAAAUGAACAACUAAACAUCACCAACUAAGCAAGAUUAAAACUUCAAUGCUGACACAUUAAGAAACUUGUUAAAGGACUCGACCUCAUGGCCUUCUGAUCACAUGACAACAACUUCAACAAUUAUGUCAACACUUCCUUUCCUUAAAUAGGAACAAUGAAAUGAACAACUAAACAUCAGAAACUAAGCAAGAUUAAAACUUUAAUGCUGACACAUUAAGAAACUUGUUAAAGGGCUCCACCCCAUGACUUUCUGAUCACAUGACAACAACUUUACCAGCUACAUCAACGCUCCCUUUCCAUAAAUGGGAACAAUGAAAUGAACAACUAAACAUCAACAACUAAGCAAGAUUAAAACUUUAAUGCUGACACAUUAAGAAACUUGUUAAAGGGCUCGCCCUCAGGACCUUCUGAUCACAUGACAACAACUUUAUCAAUUACGUCAACACUCCCUUUCCUUAAAUAGGAAAAUGAUAUGAACAACUAAACAUCAACAACUAAUCAAGAUUAAAACUUUAAUGCUGACACAUUAAGAAACUUGUUAAAGGGCUUGAUUCCAUGACCUUCUGAUCACACGACAACAACUUUACCAGUUAAGUCAACGCUCCCUUUCCAUAAAUAGGAACAAUGAAAUGAACAACUAAACAUCAACAACUAAGCAAGAUAAAAACAUUAAUUCUGACACAUUAAGAAACUUGUUAAAGGGCUCCACCGACCUUCUGAUCACAUGACAACAACUUUAUUAAUUACAUCAACGCUCCCUUUCCAUAAAUAGGAACAAUGAAAUGCACAACUAAACAUCAACAACUAAGCAAGAUUAAAACAUUAAUGCCGACACAUUAAGAAACUUGUUGAAGGGCUCGCUCCCAUGACCUUCUGAUCACAUGACAACAACUUUUCCAGUUACAUCAGCGUUCCCUUUCCAUAAACAAAAACAAUGAAAUGAACAAAUAAACAUCAACAACUAAGCAAGAUAAAAACUUUAAUGCUGACACAUUACGAAACUUGUUAAAGGGCUCCACCCCAUGACCUUCUGAUCACAUUACACUAACUUGUUACAACAACGCUCCAUUUCCAUAAAUGGGAACAAUGAAAUGAACAACUAAACAUCAACAACUAAGCAAGAUUAAAACUUUAAUGAUGACACAUUAAGAAACUUGUUAAAGGACUCAACCCCAUGACCUUCUGAUCACAUGACAACAACUUUACCAGUUGCGCCAACACUCCCUUUCCAUAAAUGGAAACAAUGAAAUGAACAAUCAAGACACUAAGAAACUAACUUUCUUAGCUCAUUAAGCAAGAUAAACACAUUUAAUACUAACAAAUUUUGCUCAAAACUUACAUCAACCCCCAAUAUAACAGCUCCUCCAGCAAGAAACAAAAUCAUAUGACUAGUAAGAUUACAUGGUCCCAUUAACCAAUAACCAGGUGUACACAGCCUUACCCAACAUUAUUGCAAGAGGCUGUUUCCAUGGCUCGACCCCAUGACCUUUUGAUCACAUGGCAGCAACUUUACCAGUUAUGCUUUACAUUUGGGAAUAUGUGAAAUGAACAAUUAAACAUCAACAUAGUAACUUUCUAAGUUCAUUAAGUAAUCUCAGCAAGGAAAUAAUGUGGUAAGGUAAAUGAAAAUAAAAUACAUGUAUAGAAGAAACCACAUACAACUAGCAUAAAUAGGAACAGGAACAGCUAAACAUCAACAACUGAGCAAAGAUUAAAACUUUAAUGCUAACAAAUUAAGAAUUCUUGCUAACAGAACUUACAUCAAUGCCCAAUAUAACAGCACCCUCAGCAAGAAACAAAGUCAUAUGACUAGUAAGAUUAAAUGGCCCUGUUAACCAAUAACCAGGUGGCACAUUAAGCUGUCCACCACCUCUCUUCCCAUGUUUACCAAUUUCCAAUAUUGCCCUCUCAAAUGCCAAUGUAUUAACAGUUACACCAUCACCAACCCCACCAAACUCCGUCAAGUUAAACACCACUGGCCUCAAUUGUGGAACUUCCCUCCCCGGAAAAACUCGCCGGAAAAUCAAGAUUCCGGCAGUAGCAUCAAUCUGCCACCAAAAUAGAGUUAACAUGAAUGCCAACCACAUAACAAUGACAAUAGCUUUGUGGGUGCUGAUCCAUCUACGUGGUGGGUGGUGGGGUUGCACCCCCCACCUCCACCACCAAUACGAUGAUGUUACUGUCUCCACCAUAUGAUAUAUCAAUAAAAAGAGAAAAAAAAAAAUUGGGAUCUUAAUCUUGAUUUUUCAUAACUAUUAAUGAAGACCCAAUUUCAAGAACCAAUCAAGAUUGGAUGUAUUUUAUUUUUUCAAAAUUAGAAGGUGAAGUGUAGUGAUCAGAAAUCAGUGGAAUGAGUAGAUUCAAAGGAAGAAGAAGAAGACUAUAUUGGAAGGGUCAUUGAUUUUGAUCAACACAAAAGGCUUUAUUUGUUUAGGAUUUAACUUAUUAUAAUCUUUAAAAAAAAAAAGUUUAAUUGAGAUAUUAGAAAGUUUAGGAUUUUAAGAUUGUGAGUUUUCAUAAUUAGAUUAGAAGGUUAGUUUUGUUUAAUUAUCCUUUUAUAUUUUGUAGUUGUAGUAAUUGUUUUUUUUUUUUUUUUUUUUUUUUUUUUUUUUUUUUUUUUGUCUUUGAUUGUCGUAUUAUUUUAUUGUAAUUAUUGAGUUUAAAGAAUUUUGAUUAAGCAAGAUGAAGACGGAAUAUUUGGAAUGUAAUUUUGGUGAUGUUGCACGUUAGAUCGAUGCGGGAGUAAGACUUUAGUUUCAAGAUAAUGGCGAGAUCGAUGACUAUGAGAAUGUCACACACUGUGUUAGUGUAGAAUGGGUGAAUGAAGUGGAGGCUAACUUCUCGGGUCUUGUGUUGAUAUGCAAGUAUCACAUAAGUUGAAAGGUAAGUUCUACAGAAUGAUGAUAAGAUCAAUUAUGACAGAAUGUUUGAAAUGUAAUUUCAGUGAUGUUGCAUCUUAGAUCGAUGCGGGAGGAAGACUUGAGUCUCAAGAGAUCGCAAGAGAGAAUGUUUCGAGGUAAUGGCGAGAUCGACGUGGAUGUCAUACAACGUGUUGGUGCGGAGUGGGUGAAGUGGAGGCUGGCUUCUGCGGUCUUGUGUGAUAUGCAAGUGCCACAUAAGCUGAAAGGUGAGUUCUACAAACUGAUGAUUGGACUAAUUAUGUUAUAUGGAGUGGAGUGUUGAUCUAUUAAGAACCCUCGUGUUUAGAAUAUGAAAGUUGCGGUGAUGAGAACGUUGAAGUGGAUGAGUGGCCAUACUAGUAAAAUCAAGAUUAAGAAUAAUGAGAUACUGAAUAAGAUAGAAGCGACUCACACGGUGGAUGGGAUGAGAGAGGCAAAAUUGUGAUAAAAUGGGAAUGUGAGGAGAAAGAGUGCAGAUGCCCUCAAUAAGAAGGUGUGAGCGAUUGACGUGGCAGACAUUACAGGAGAAAUAAACAUGUCAAAGAAAUAUUGGGGGAAAUGAUUAGACGGGACCUGAUUCAUCUUGACCUUACUAAGGGCAAUGACCUUAGAUAUAAGAGAUCAGAGAUCAUAUAUUAGGACAGAACGUUAGUUGAUUGUGGAAUGUUCUCUCGCUUUCACGUGAGAUAGGCUUGAUGGUUAUUCUUGAACCUCCCAUCUUUUCAAUAAACUUGGGUAUGCGAGGAGAAUGAGUGCAGAUACCCUCAAUAAGAAGGUGUGAGCGGUUGAUAUGACGGACAUCAGAAGAGGAAUAGACAUAUCAAAGAAAUAUUGGUGGAAAGUAAUUAGACCGGACCUGGUUCAUCUUGACCUUAAUAAAGGUGAUUGACCUUAGAUAUAAGAGUUCGGAGAUUAUAUAUUAGAGCAGAAAGUUAGUUGAUUGUUGAAUGUUCUGUCGCUUCCAUGUGAGAUAGGCUUGGUGGUUAUUCUUGAACUUUUCCGUCUUUUUAAUAUUAUUAGUACUAUGCGAUCUUCGAUUUCAGCUUUAAUUGAUAUUUUUCUGUGUCAAUUAUCAUAUUAUUUUAUUUUUAUUAUUGUCUACUGUGUAGCGUAUUUCAUUUUGAUUAAUUUUAUAUUGUGAUUGCUUGGUAUUCCUUUUUCAGACUGUUUGACAGGUAAUAGUUAAAUUGAAGGUCUAUCGAAAUAACCUCUCUAUCUCGUAGUUAUCACUUAGUUCCUAAUUUAUCUUUAUUAUUAAUUAUAGUUAUUUAUCAAAAUAUUGAAUUCAUUAUAUUUAAAAGGGGUGCUAUAGUAAAAUCAUUAUUUUAUUAUUUACUUUUAAAGUGCGUGCUAAGUCAAUACUGAAUAAGUAAAAAUGAAUGAAAAAAAUACUUAAUAAUAAAAAUAAAAUACAUAUAAAAUAAUAAAUUAUCUCUUGAUAAGUUUCAUUUUUUUUUAACAAAAGAGUAAGCUUUUAUAUGCAUUUAACAAUCAAAGUCAAGCACAAGAAAAAUAGAAAAUACAAAUUCAUCACUUUAAUAGUGUAAACUUUUAUUAUCAUACUUCUUUUUUAGGAAUUUAAUUACUACCAUUUUACUGAAACUUUGAUGUAUACUUAUCUAUUUUUUUUUUUUUUUUCAAAUUUAGAGGGGCCAAAUAGCUAUUUAUGGUAAGAUAUAAUUUAACGUUCUUAAUAUUAAUACUUGUGAAUAGUCAAAGCUUCAAAUAUUUAUUUCAAUUUUAAACUAUGAAUUGAAUAAUGCAAAUCAUAAUUUUGUAAAAUUCACUACAUUUAUGAUAGAUAAGAUUUAGAUUUUAGUAUUUAUGUUGAAAUAGAAAAAUAUUAAACUUGCUAUAAGAUAUGACUAUUAUACUAAUAAUAAGUGAUAUAUCAUCAUUUAUAUUCUUUUGCUAGCAUUUUUUAUUUUUUUCAAUUUGUAGAAAAGUUCUAUUAUUAUAUUGCUAUGCUUUAUUUUCAAAAUUUCUAAAUUAGACUUUUAGGAAGAUAAAAAUUUCUAAUUUUAUGAAAACAAAUAAUUUAUUUAAUGCCUUAAAACUUAGUAACAAAAUGAUAUCAUACUCUUUUUGUAAUUAAUUUUUCUUACUAUCAAGGUUCCUCUAUUUAACUAGCAGUCUCGCAUUUGAGCCAUGAGGAUAAAAAAAGUUCAAUCGAAAGCGCUUCACCUUUUAAUAGGCCUAAUGGGAUAUGAAUUCUGAUUACUCGAUACUCCAAAAUAGAUAUUGAACACUAGAUAUCGAACGUCAAACCUCACUUAGAGCCGUCAAUAUGGGCUAGGCCCGUUGGGCCGAUCCGAUUCAACCUGUAAUUUGAUGGAGUUGGACUUCAGUUUUUGCAGUCCAUUUAGGAACAGAGCUUUUUAGCCCGACCCAAAUAAUUCCGUGGCCCGUGGGGCUUGAGCAAUGUGGGUUGGGCUAACUCGUGGGCCGGCCCGUAACCCAUUUAUGUUUAUUAACAUUCUAAAAUUAAAUUAUAAAAUAUUAUUUUUUAAAAAAUGGGCUGACCCAUGAGACCCUCGACCCACAGAGUAAUGGUUUGGGCUUGGUGUUUUUUGGUCCAUCAUUUUGAUGGGCCAGUCCGACCUGACCCGUCAAACUCAAAACCCGUGUUGACUAGCCCAAAUGGACUGGAUCGACCCGUAUUUACAGCUCCACCUCACUUACUGAAUUAUACCACAUAUAUUGUUGUCUUAAAAAGAUAGAUAACCAAUGCAACAUUUUAUCACAAAAGAGAAAAACCAAAAAUCUUCUAAUUGUCAUUGGUCCAUUUUUGUGGUGUUGUAGUAUGUUUCACAAUCUAUGUAGAUAAGCUUUUUGUUCUAAAAUAAAUAGCCAAAAACAUAUACACAUUUCUCUUUUAAAUUUACAUAAAAAUUAAACAUUACCUUAGUUUAUUCUCAUUUUCCAAUGGCUUUAGCUAUUCAAUCCACUGCAUUUUCUAGCAUUCCAAUCAGGUGACUAACAUUAAUUUAUCACUUCUUAUACUAUUUUUUGUUUUUGUUAAUUUGGUUGCAUGAUUUUAACAUUCUAACCCAAGGUUCUAUCAAAAAAUAAUUUCUCUAUCUAUACGAGAUAAGUUUAACGUUUGCAUAAAUUCUACUCCAAAUGCUACAUUGUGGGAUUACACUGGGUAUGUUGUUGAUUUGAACAUUGUCUCCAAAUAGUAGUGAAAAUACAAAUUCCGCCGAUUUUGCUAAAUUUGUGUGACAAUUUGAUCUAAAAGAUUAAACUGUUAGAGAGAGCAUACGUUUAGUUACUCAACUAUAAGCGCGGACUCACGUAUGGGUUUUUGAUUCUUUUUCAUGGAUUAAAUACGUGAAAACGCUUUUUACUAUGUGGGUGACGGUUAUACGUAACAUCUUGAAUCGUGUGACGGUCUUAUUUAAAAGCUUACGCUGUUAGGGAGGAUGAGUUUUUAGUUACUCACAUGAUAUGUCUCAACACAACAUCUUGCAUGUGUGUGAUGUGUCUAAUUUUUUUUCAUGAAUCAACUAUGUAAAAAUGCUUUUUUUUAUUGGGUUGCGGUUGAAUAAACCAUGUUGAAUUAUGUGACUGUCUCAUCUUAAUAUAGUUACUAAAUUAUACUAUAUGUCUGAUUCUUUUUUCAUGGAUCAAACACGCGAAAAUGCCUUUUUGCUUUUCAUGUUGUUAUAUACAGAGAUAAGCAUCCAAUACCCCUGAACUAUGGUUAAAGUUGCUACUACACACUACACCUUCAUAGGAAUCCUGUUACCUCCGUAAACUAAAUUUUAGCGUAUUUUUAUCACUCUUUUAUGCUGACGUGACACCUUUAUUACAUAAAAUGGGGCCCACAUCAAAGGUGCCAUGUUAGCUAAAAAGGUUGUCAAAAGGUGUCACGUUAGCUAAAAAGGUUGACAAAAGGUGCUACGUCAGCUAACAAGGUUGAUAAAUGGUGCCAAGUCAGCUAAAAAGCUUGACAAAAGGUGCCAAGUCAGCUAAAAAGGUUGACAAAAGGUGUUACGUCAGCUAAAAAGGUUGACAUAAAUACGCUAAAAUUUAGUUUAGGGGUAAUAGGAACUUCGUGAAGUUGGAGUGUGUCGUAGCAAAUUCAGUCAUAGGUACUAGAUGCUUUACUCUAUAUAUACCACGUUGAAUCGUGUUAACGUCUCGUCUAAAUGCUUAAAUUGUUAGACCUGAAGCCGCGUUUUUAUUUACUUAAUUAUAUUACGUCUCAACAGAUUCUGAUUAUUUAUCUUUGAUUCAGGGAAGUACUACCUACAAAAACAUUUUCAGGGAAAGUUACAACAUGUGUGUUGUCCAAAAAAAGUACUAGGUUGUAUGCUGGUAAAGAAGUUUCAAGUGUUUGUGAACCACUUCCUCCAGAUAGGCCACUAUGGUUUCCUGGAAGUUCACCACCAGAAUGGCUUGAUGGCAGGUCACAUUAAUCUCUUGUCCUUUUACUGCAUUUUCCUCUCGAGUUAACGGUCAAAAACACACCUGAACUAUCACAUUUCCGAGAGCUUCAUUAAUCGUACCUCUCUGAGUUGGCUUAUACGUGUCUGUUGUCGAUUGGAAACAAGUAUCUGUUAAGUUCAGCAUGGAGGUGUGUUUAGUUCAGGUAGGUAAACUAUCCGUUGUUGUAUUCACCUACCUAAAUAAUCACGCCUCUUUGAGUUGGCCUAUAUGCGUCUGUUGUCGAUUGGAAACAAGUACCUGAUCAGCUCAGCAUCGAGGCGUGUUUAGUUUAUGUAGGUAAAGAGAAUAAUCGAUGCUUGUUUCAUAUCUCAACUAUCCAUUGUUUUAUUCACCUACCUAAAUAAUCGCACCUCUCUGAGUUGGCCUAUACGCGUCUGUUGUCGAUUGGAAACAAGUAUCUGAUCAGCUCAGCAUCGAGGCAUGUUUAGUUUAGGUAGGUAGAGAGAAUAAUCGAUGCUUGUUUCAUAUCUCAACUAUCCAUUGUUUUAUUCACCUACCUAAAUAAUCGCACCUCUCUGAGUUGGCCUAUACCCGUCUGCUGUCGAUUGGAAACAAGUAUUUGUUCAGCUCAGCAUCGAGGUGUGUUCUAAUACAAAGAGAGUGAUAGUUGAGGUACGAAACCCGUAAAUAAUGUGAUAGUUUAGGUGUCCUUUCGACCAUUAACUCUUUCCUCUUUUUCUAAAUGGUUCAUUUUACAGAUUUUUGAUUUGUUUUCUUGUUCUUGAAUUGCAGUCUGCCUGGAGAUUUUGGCUUUGAUCCUCUUGGAUUAGGUACACAUAUCAUAAAUGUUACAACAUUUUUCGUAAUUCUAUAGUUUUCGAAUUAUGAGAAACGUUGAAUUUUGAUAUAAUUGUUGGAGAAAAUGGCUUUGAUCGUUAUAGUUAUAGUUGUCGUUCACCUUCAACUUCCUUGACCUUCGAGCACUGUGCAGGCAUUAGCUUCUAUACAUGAUCUUACCACUUUACGGAGGAUUGUGUUUAGGUAAACAACCGCUCGGGCCUAGUCAUUGCUACACUUCGAUGAGGAAGCACCCUUUCUCGCUAAGUUAUAGGGCGAUUAUGCCGAGUUUGGAAUUGACACUUCGGAUCCAGAUAGACCGUAGCUUGUAUUAGAAACUCUUUCUCUUUUCAUUCAUUCGUAUUAUACAAUGACCGAUAAUUAAAUGAUCGCUCUUUCAGGGUCCGAUCCAGAACUACUGAAAUGGUUUGCUCAGGCUGAGCUAAUACACAGCAGAUGGGCGAUGUUAGCAGUAGCUGGAAUACUAAUCCCCGAAUGGCUAGAAAGUCUCGGAUUCAUCGACAACUUUUCAUGGUACGAUGCUGGUGAACGAGAGUAUUUUGCAGAUUCGACAACUCUAUUUGUUGUGCAGCUAGUCUUAAUGGGGUGGGCGGAGGGUCGUAGAUGGGCUGAUAUAAUCAAUCCAGGGUGUGUUGACAUUGAACCAAACGUACCUCACAAGAAGAAACCGAAACCAGAUGUUGGAUAUCCCGGUGGAUUAUGGUUUGAUCCUUUCAUGUGGGGAAGAGGAUCACCCGAACCGGUUAUGGUGUUGAGGACUAAGGAGAUCAAGAAUGGUCGGCUCGCUAUGUUAGCUUUCGUUGGAUUUUGUUUCCAAGCUGUGUAUACCGGACAAGGUCCUGUCGAGAAUUUAAUGUCACAUCUUGCUGAUCCCGGCCAUAACAACAUAUUCGCGGUAUCCAAACUACCAACAUCUCGAUGAUUUUCAAGAAAGUCUGUUACAGAUUACACGCGAUUCGCUCAUCUUAACAUUCAUUUUGUCUGUUUUUUUGCAGGCUUUUACAUCCCAUUGAUGAUACUUACACCAAAAAUGAAAAAAAUUACUCCAUUUGUACCAAGAAAGUCUUUGUUGAUGUUGAUAUAUACAAAAAGGGCAGUCCGGUGCACUAAAGCUACCGCCAUGAGCGGUGUCCGGGGAAGGGACCCACCGCAAGAGUGUAUCGUACGCAGCCUUACCUUGCGUAUAUGUAUUCAUGUAAAUGGACAGGUCUAUGUAACUCAUUCUUGACAAAUAUGACAUUUCUUUAUAUGUUAUCAUGCAUUGAUUCCUGUAUCUGUGAUCGGAGUUUCUUGUUCGUAGUGUUUCGUGAUGUCUAUGAUUUUGGAUAGAUAGUUUAUAGCAGUAGCUUGUUGUAUGCUUCUAUGUUUUUUUGAUGGGAAAAGUCUUUGUUUCCAUCCUGAACUAUACACGAAAUUGCUGAGACACACCCGAACUUUAGGAGGGUCCUAUUACCCCUGCACUAAUUAAAACUGUAUUUUUGGCAACCUUAGUGCCUACGUGGCACAUUAGUGAAUCAACACACUGAAGGUCCACGUAGGCACACGUAUGUGCCACAAAGGCACCAAGGUUGCCAAAAAUACGGUUUUAAUUAGUCCAGGGGUAAUAGGACACUCCUAAAGUUCGGGUGUAUCUCAAAAAUUUCGUGUAUAGUUCAGGAUGGAAACAGAGCAUUUUUUUUUUUGUUUGUUAUAUACUGCUAUUUGUUUUGAGUCGGGGUUUUUCAUCGGAAACAACCUCUCUACUUUAUCUGAGGUUGUGGUAUGAACUCGUACACUUUACGUUCUCUGGAUCUCAAUGAUCGGCAGGGACAUAUAUGUGAUCAUAGAAAGCUGGUGUGGAUCAACAGUGAGGCUACUAAAGCGUUUGCUUGAGGAUUCCGACUUUUUUGAGGUCCCAAAAAAUUUAAAACGAAUUAAAUAGACUGCAAGUUAUUUUUUUGGUAGGGAAAUGCCCCAUUUUUAAAACAGAUCUAUUGUCUAUCCGACUGAUAUAUAAACAGAUCGAUUAUCAAUCCGACCUAUAUAUGGACAGAUUGAUUAUCGAUUCGACCUAUAUAUGGACAGAUCGAUUAUCGAUCCGACACAUAUAUGGACAGAUAGAUUAUCAAUCCGACAGAUAAGAAAAUAGAAAUAGACCAUUUUGCUAAUUGGAAACUUGAAGAGGCUUAAAUUUUCUCCAUCAUUUUGCUAAAUGGAAACUUGACAAGGUCAACAAAAUAUUGUGCAAACUUACAAGGUCAAUUUAAGAUUUACUUUUUUCUUACCCAAAAUAUUUAAAAAAUUCUCUCAAACAAGUCCUCUAAGAUCAACCCAACCCCACCGAUGAAUUUAGUAGAUCGUUUUAGAAGACCCUAAUCACUAUACAUCGAACCUAUCUUAACAGAAACUUUGUCAAAAAAACACAAUACCCCCCCCCCCCACCCCCACCCCACCCCCAAAAUCAUACACCAUGACACAUCAUCAUCCAAAACAACCAAAUCCAAUCAAGAAAAUCAUCAACCAACACCUUCUAAGAAAACAAACAUAACAGAAACAGGUGCAAAUUGUUUCUUUAGGGGGAAGGUGGACAUGUCUAGUAACAAACAUGGCCGCUGUUCCCCUUGUUAUCCUUCUAUCUCUUCGAACAAUCUCUCCUAGAAAACACUGCCUUUUCCUUUUACGUAUCUCUAUUUUCUUCUUCAUCUUUCUAUCUAACCCGCAUUUAUCUUUCUCCAUUUCUGAGGACGAGGCAUUGAUCAAAUUCAAAGAAUCUUUAAGGAACACAACGAUUUUAGAUUCAUCUUGGCGUAAGGGAACGAAUCCAUGCGAUAAGAUCAAGAAAUGGGCUCGUGUUCAAUGCGAUGGGAACACGGUUACAGGCCUGAUUUUAGAUGAAGCUGGUUUAUCAGGAGAAAUUGAUAUCGAUCCAUUGCUUGCCCUUCCGGGACUGAGAGUUGUUGAAAUUGCAAACAAUACGUUUUCAGGAACGAUACCUGAAUUCUUCGUGCUUGGUGCACUUAAAUCUCUUUAUAUAGACGGAAACCAAUUCUCAGGAGAGAUUCCUAAGGAUUUCUUUUCCAGAAUGGGGUCUCUUAAAAAAGUGUGGCUUGCGAACAACAAAUUUUCAGGAUUAAUUCCUGAAUCUCUCGUCAACUUGAAAAGCUUGAUGGAACUUCAUCUCGAAAACAAUGCAUUUUCAGGUCGUAUUCCAUCUUUUUCGCAGGCGAGUUUAACAUAUGUUAAUCUUACGAACAAUAAAUUGGAAGGCGAAAUCCCUCAGAGUAUGUCGAGAUUUGGUGUAGAGCCAUUUAAAGGAAAUGCUGAAUUGUGUGGACAACAGAUAGGUAAAGAAUGCAGUAAAGAAACCAAAAAGAAUGAAGAAGCACCAAUGUCCAAAAUGAAAUGGAUCAUUCUUGGUAUAGUAGUUGGCCUUCUAUUGCUGACGAUUCUUUUACGCGUCAAGCGCAAGGAAGAUCAUUUCGAUAAGCUUGGCAAAGAGAAUCUUGUAGAGGGGUUGCACGUUGCAACCUCGAGUAGGAAGAGCAUGAGCAUUCAAAGGAAGGGAAGUGAGUCCCUCCGUGGAUCAUCGCGAAGGGGAGGGUCGAUGAAGGGUGGUGGUAAGGGUAUGGAAGACCUCGUGUUGGUGAACUCCGAAAAGGGUACCUUCGGGUUGCCUGAUUUGAUGAAGGCAGCUGCCGAGGUGCUAGGGAACGGCGUGUUGGGAUCAGCUUUUAAGGCGAAAAUGGGAAAUGGUUUAUCCGUUGUGGUAAAGAGAUUGCGAGAGAUGAAUAAAAUGAAUCGAGAUGUUUUCGAUGCAGAGAUGAUGAAACUUGGCAAGUUAAGGCACAGAAAUAUACUGCAACUAUUGGCAUAUCAUUACAGAAAAGAAGAGAAAUUGAUUGUAUCUGAAUAUGUUCCCAAAGGCAGCCUGUUAUAUCUGCUACAUGGUAUGACAAUUUCUCUAUAACAACGUCGUUCGUCUAAAUACUUUUCGGCUGCUAUAGCGAAGUGUUUUUACGUAGAACAUAUAAUAUAACCUAACAUGAAAAUCGGUUUUGAAGAAAACUUGGUCGUUAUAGUGAAAGGUAGUUAUAGAGGAUGACUGUUAUAAAAGAUAUCUGACUGUAUAUCAACUUCUUUUUGACAUUUGCAUGAGUAGAUAUUAUCCGAUAAAGUAUUCCGAUCUAUACUUACCGUUCCCUCUGGGGAUAUCUGAUAAAAUUGGAACGAUAUAGAGAAGAAUAUUAGCAUGACCCCUGCAUAAGGAUGACACGUACAAAUAGCUCUAUCGGAAACAACCUCUCUACCGCUUAGGUAAUGGUAAGGUCUGCGUACACUCAACCCUCCCCAGACCACACUUUGUCGGACUACACUGAGUAUAUGUUGUUGUUGUUGUUCGUUUAUGUUAACUAUCCUAAUUUGAAACAUCACGUGUACUUUCAGGUGAGGUACGGGUAAGGUCUGCGUACACGCUAUCCUCCCAGACCUCACUUCGUGGGAAUACACUGAGUAUAUGAUGUUGUUGUUGUUGUUCGUUUAUGUUAACUAUUCUAAUUUUGAAACUUUACGCGUACUUUCAGGUGAUCGAGGCUUAUCACACGCUGAUCUAAAUUGGCCAACUCGCCUUAAAAUCGUCCAGGGAGUUGCUAGUGGAAUGUGUUAUCUUCAUUUGGAGUUUGCAUCUUACGCGGUGCCUCACGGGAACCUCAAGUCCAGCAACAUUCUACUAAAUGAAAACUACGAGCCGCUUCUAUCAGAUUACGCCUUCUAUCCACUAAUCAACAACGCGGAAAUUGUUCAGUCCCUUUCCGCGUAUAAAGCACCAGAAGCCAUACAACAUCAACACCUCUCUCCAAAAUGCGACGUCUAUUGUCUUGGAAUCAUCAUACUCGAAAUCCUUACAGGUAAAUUCCCUUUGCAGUAUCUCGACAAUCAAAAAGGCGGAACAGACGUUGUUCAAUGGGCGCAAUCAGCUAUAGCUGACAAGAGAGAAUCCGAGUUGAUCGAUCCAGAUAUAGCGUCAGCAACAGAUUCCAUUGAACAAAUGGUGAAGCUCCUUCAUGUAGGAGCCGCGUGUACUAUAAGCGAUCCGGAUAUGAGGAUUGACAUGAAGGAAACACUAAGGAGAAUUGACGACGUAAGUUUAACUUGAUGGUACAUCAAAUUUCCAAAAGUUAAUAGGCUAGUAUAUAGUUCAGCGUGAAGCUUUAGUUUCGUUACCUGCCAGAGCUCCUGAGUCACUCUACACAUCUCUAUAUUCGCGACUCGUAUAUACAUAUCUAUAUUGAAAAAGGUACAUAAAUGGAGGCUUCAUUAGUAACCAAAAUUAUAUGUUUGAUACACAUGAAAGUACUUUUUUCUAAUUGUACAUGUACAUUAUAUUGUAUAGUACAUUGGUUUCUAUUGUUGUGAGUUAAAAGAAGGACAUGGAUCCUCAUGGCAAUGCUCAAUUUAGACAUAGAUUUUGUAUAUAACCUUCCAAGUUCUCCUUUAUGUUGAUGCUAAGAGUCUUGAAAAUGUUGCUGCAUUCGUGUUGAAUUCUCCAAAUAUGCACUACUUUUGCACGAUAGACAUGCACCCGUUGGUACUUUUGAAGAGCUCAACGACAUAAAUGAUAUUACGAAGGGGAUCCUUGGAGUAACUGGUAAAGUUGUUGCCAUGUGACCAGGAGGUGUUACACGAGUUCAAGCCUUGGAAUCUCCGUUACGUUGAUGCUAGGAGUUUCAAAAAUUGUUGCUGCAUUCGUGUUGAAUUCUCCAAAUAUGCACUACUUUUGCACGAUCGGACAUGCACCCGUUGUUACUUUUGAAGAGCUCAAGGACAUAAAUGAUAUUAGGGAAAAGGCUCAAAUAUGCCAUCGAACUAUUAGAAAUGGCUCAUUUAUGCCAUCCGUUAAAAGUUUGGCUCGUUUAUGCCAUCGCCAUUACAAAACAGGUUCAUCCAUGCAUUACUUGUUAACUGUGGUUUUUCAAAAAAAGCUUUGCCACGUGUCGUCUUACUAGAGGUCCACAUCAUUAAUUAAAACAACGGAAAAAAGCUCAAAUAUGCCAUCGAACAAUCAGAAAUGACUCAUUUAUGUCAUCUGCUAAAAAUUUAUCUCGUUUGCCAUUGUCAUUACAAAACAGGUUCAUCCAUUCCAUUACAGGUUCAUCCAUACAUUACUUGUUAACUGUGGUUUUUCAAAAACAGCUUUACCACGUGUCGUCUUACUAGAGGUCCACAUCAUUAAUUAAAAUAACGAAAAAAGGCUCAAAUAUGCCAUCGAACAAUCAAAAAUGACUCAUUUUUGCCAUCUGCUAAAAAUUUAUCUCGUUUGCCAUUGUCGUUACAAAACAUGUUCAUCCAUUCCAUUACUUGUUAACGGUGGUUUUCAAAAAUAGUUUUGCCACACAUCGUCUUAGAGGUCCGUUAAAAGUUCAAUGGCAUAUUCAAGCCUUGGAGUAACUGGUAAAGUUGUUGUCAUGUGACCAAGAGGUUACGGGUUCAAGCCUUGGAAACAACUACUAGCAGAAAUGCAAGCUAAGACUGCAUACAAUACACCCAUGUGGUGGGGCCCUUCCCUGACCCUACGCAUAGCGGGAGCUUUAGUACACCGAAUUGCCCUUUUAAGGACAUAAAUGAUAUUAUAGACUUAAAUUAUUAAAUAUUGAGAAUAUUUUUGAAACUCAUAUGGACAAAAAAAAAAGUGAGUUAAAAAGGCCAAUUUAAACAACAAAACAAAAGAAGUGACUUGAACAAAAAGAAACGAAGCAAGUUAGACAAAUCUUUUUUAUGUAUAACUUCAGACCAAUCAAUCGAAUAUUGAUUUAUACGUAAUCAAUAGCGAUGGACUAUUUCAAAUGUUCUUGAAAAUUCUUGCUCCCAUUGUACCAUUUAUAUAUAUAUAAGCAUCUCGAUUAAUGGAUAAAUGUUAGUCGAUAGAAACUCCCUUUGAUUCAUUUUAUGUAGCGCUAUUUUCUUAUUAGUUCGUUUUAGAGAAAAUGACAUUUUUUUUAUAGUAUUUAAAAAUGAUUCGAGUUUUAAUUUUUUUUCUAUGUUAUCCUUAAUAAUAUGUUUUUAUAUAUCUAUCUUUCUUAGAUUUUGUUCCAAUAAAUCACGUGUUCAAAUCUUGGAUAGGAACUCUAGCAGAAAUAUAAGGUAAGACUACGUGUAAUAAACCGUCGUGGAGCUAAAGUUACAUAAAUCACGACACUUUUAGAGCUAAUUACUCCAUAUUCCGACUUUUUUCAAAAUUACUAAAAUUUCACGGUUUUGACGACACGGACACAUCACAUUCUUCCAGAUACAUCACUUUAACUUUAUAUUGAUACAUCAUAUUCUUUCGAAUAUAUCACUUAGUUUUACACGCAUACAUCACAUUUCAAGUUGAUAUAUCACAUUGUUAUGAAACCAAACAGGAAUAGGCAAUACAAUAAAUAAAAGAAAACAAGAAGAACACACAUAUUUUACGUGGAAAUCCUAAACAGAAAAAAUCACGGACAGACAGUGGCGGAGCCAGGAUUUUUAUUGAGGGGGUUCAGAAGUAAAUAUACGGACUAGUCGAAGGGGGUUCAACAUCUACUAUAUAUACAUAAAAAUAGUAUAAAAAUAGUAUAAUUUUCCGUCGAAGGGGGUUCGGAUGAACCCCUGAUUACAAGGUGGAUCCGCCACUGCGGAUAGAGGAGGAAAAAAUAUCACUAUAUCGGAGAAGAGUACAAGGAGGAGACGAAAAUCUCAAUAACAUAUGAGAACCGUCAAAAGAUUAACCCUCUAAACCAUACUUAUAUAAUACGUGCGUACAAUGCCUAAGCCCAAAAACAUCCCUUCACUACCACCACAGAUCCCAAAAAUUCUCAUAAUUAUAGUUUUACCAACAUGAAUCGCACCGUGAUCUUUUCGGGUCGAAUCACAAAUUCUAACACACAUUCUUUUGAAUAUAUCACUUGAUUUUAUACGAAUACAUUACAUUCAUUAGGUAUACAUUAACUUGAUUUUAUAAGAAUAUAUCACAUUCUUUAUUUUAAAUGAUUGAAAUUUUAAGUAGCUAUAAUAAGUUAAAGUUGUGGUACGCUGUGAUUUUUCAAUAGUCAAACAAGUAGCAAUUGGAGUUCAAUAGUCAAAGAAGGAGCAUUAUUUAAUUCCUGGUAUUCCAUAUAUAACUUCCAAAUUCCAGGAGUAGGUGUAAGUAAAGGCAGAAGAAAAAAUGGCUACAGCUUCAAAAAUUGUUGAAAAACUGAACUUGAAGCCACAUCCAGAAGGUGGAUUUUACUCAGAAACAUUCAGAGAUAACACUGUUAUUCUCUCUAAAUCAAAUCUUCCACCUACAUGUAAGUCUUUAUGUAUAAAGUUCUUUACUUUUUUGUGAUUUGUAGUUCUUGAAUCUUUGUGAUUGUUAUCUGUAUUGGUUCUUGAAAUUGAGCCAAUCAUGGGAUUUUUGGAUCUUGAGAAGACAUUGUUAUUAGUCCCUCUGUUUCAUUUUACGUGGCACCCGUUGACUCGAUAUGUCAAAGGACAGCCUGUUAUUUUUCUUCUACGGGUACAAGAAUCUGUAUACUAGAAGCAACCACUUCAACUAGUUCAAGUUUAUAAACCAAGAACAUGAUGAAGUGCAAAAAAUACCCUCAACACAAGAUCAAAGUGAUCUUUUCAAGAGGUGUAUUUUAUUUUUAGAAAUAAAGAUGAAACAGAAAUGGUCAAGUCGCCCGAAUUCACAGACUUUUCUUGAGGAAAUAAUUCCCCUCUCUGUACCCGAGGUUGCGGAAUUUUCCUCCCAGGAUAAAAUGGCCAAACAAACCAACUGUAGUGGUACCUCAAACAACUGGAAUAUCUUCGAACUCACUGAACGUUUUGAGUGAUCACACAGAAUAUUUUUAAGGCAAGAAGAGUGUUUUUAUUCUGAAAUUUUCGUUCAUAUCAAAACCUGUGAAUGAAACCAGGUUUAUAUAGCUAUAACAUGCCUCUUUGAAAACGGCAGUGGUUCAAUUUAGAGGUGUGACUUUUCUGGAAAUGCAUGUUUGUUUACCCAAAACAGUGCAGUAUUUUUGCUGAAACAGUAUACUAUUUCACGAAACAGUGCACCAGUUCGAAACAGUGCAUCACUUCGUUGAAGAAUUGCAUCUGUUCGAACCAGUGUAUUAAUUCAGGAAACAUUGUUUCGAAAAUCUGCAUCAGUUCAGUCGAAACAUUGCAUCUGUUACUGCUACUGCAUGCAUAUAAAUGGAGUAUUAAACACACAGAAAAAUUUUCUGCAUUUUUGUCAUUGAUCAGAUUUCGUCAAAUAAAGUUUAUCCAAAAAGAUAGAUCUCAUCAAUCAUUUUUCAAAUCCAAAGCCGAGCCGAGCGAGCAACGAUGAAGGUGCGAGACAUCUCUUAUUUCUUGCCUCACUUAUCAUGUGGAGUAAGUGUUCUUGAUUAUAAACACUUCCAAGUUCUCUUCUUCCACCAAUGUGGGAGAAAGAGUAAAUUUUCUAAUUUGGGAGUAUACUUUCCAUUUUAGUGCCUCCUUCCCUCCACUAUUUUACUCUCCAUUUUUCUAUUCACACUUCUUUCAUACACUAUGAACCCAACACAGUCCAGUGCGCUAAAACUUCCGCUAUGCACAGAGUCCGGGGAAGGGCCCCACCAUAAGGGUGUAUCAUACGCAGCCUUACACUUGCGUUUCUGCCAGAGGCUGUUUCCAAGGCUUAACCCGUGACCUCCUAGUCACAUGGAGGCAACUUUACCGGUUACUCCAAGGCUCCCCUUCCCGUGACUCGACAUGUUAUUUAAGAAAAAAAAGAAUGUUUUUAAAAUUUGUGGUGUAAAAUAAUUGUUGAAUAUUUGUAUGGUUGUUAUCUGUAUUGGUUCUUGAAAUUGAGCUAAUCAUGGGAUUUUUGGAUCUUGAUCUGUUUUAAUAAGAAUUUCAGUGAAAAAGAAAGACAUUUUUAUUACUCACUUUGUUUCAUUUUACGUGGCAUCCUUUGUUUUGGCACGAAAUUUAAGAAAAAAAGAAUUUGCGGACAUCCUUUGACUUAUCACGAUAUUUAAGAAAAAAAAGAGUUCGUGACACCCUUUGACUUGUCACGAUAUUUAAGAAAAAGGAGUUCGUGGCACCCUUUGGCUUGUCACGAUAUUUAAUAAAAAAGGAGUUUGUGGUACCCUUUGACUUGUCACGAUAUUUAAGAAAAAAAAGAGUUUGUGGCAUCCUUUGACUAGCCACGAUAUUUUUAAGAAAAAAAUACUUUUAAAAUGUGUAGUCUAAAAUAGUUAUUGAAUAUUUGUGUGGUUGUAGAUUGUUUCAUCAUGUACUAAUUAAUUAUAGUAAGAUGAUAUUUUUUAUUGAAAAGACUAAAAAGAAAAGGGUACCACAUAAAAUAGGACAAAGGGUCUUUACUAGUGAGAUCAAAAUAUGAAGCGGAAGUAAACACAUGAAGAAGUCAAAACGGUUUAAUUUACUUACUUUUUGUGAUUUAUGGUUCUUGAAUCUUCAUGAUUGUUAUCUGUAUUGGUUCUUGAAAUUGAGCUAAUCAUUUGAUUUUUAGAUCUUGAGAAAACAUUGUUAUUAGUCCUUCUAUUUCAUUUUAUGUGACAUCUUUUGAAUUGUCACGAUAUUUAAGAAAAAAAAGGAGUUCGUGGCAUCCUUUGACUUGUCGCGAUAUUUAAGAAAAAAAGGAGUCCGUGGCACCCUUUGACUUGUCACGAUAUUUAAGAAAAAAGAGUUCGUGGCACCCAUUUGAUUUGUCACGAUAUUUAAGAAAAAAGGAGUUCGUGGUACCCUUUGACUUGUCAUGAUAUUUAAGAAAAAAGAGUUUGUGGCAUCGUUUGAUUUGUCACCAUAUUUAAGAAAAAAAUGAAUGUUUUUAAAAUUUGUGGUCUAAAAUAAUUAUUAAAAUAUUUGUAUGGUUAUAGAUUGUUUCAUUAUAUGAUAAUUAUAGUAAGGUGACGUUCUCCUUUGGAAGACUAAAAAGGAAAGGGUACCACAUAAAAUAGGACGGAGGGUCUUUCCUAGUGAGAUCAAAAUAUGAAGUAGAAGUAAACACAAGAAGAAGUCGAAGAGGGUUUAAUAUCUAAUAUAUACGUAAAAGAUAAUUUUAACCAUGUAUAAAAAGCGUAAUUUUCUGCAUAUUAACCCCUAGCUACAUGUAAGUCUUUUUUUUUUUGAAGUUACUUUUUGAUUUUUUGGGUUAUUGAAUCUUUGUAACUAUGAUCUGUUUGGAUUCUUAUAAUUGAGCUGUUCUUGGGAUUUGGAAUCUUGGUCUGUUUUUCUUCAUGUGUUUGAAGUAUCUAUUUCAUUCUGUUGUUUUUUUGGGAGAUUUAGGUUCUGCGGUUCUGUCAUACUGUUUGAUUUCGAAUUUCCAAUGAAAAAGAAGACAUUUUUACCAUUUGUUUAGACCCUUAUGGUUCAGCCCUUCCUCGGACACCGAGCAUAGGGGAAGCUUUAGUGGAUCGGAUAGUGGCGGAGCCACCUUUGCACCAGGGGUUUCAUCCGAACCCCCUUCGAUGGAAAAUUAUAGAUGUUGAACUCCUUCGACUAGUUCGUAUAUAUACUUCUAAACCCCCUCAAUAAAAAUCCUGGCUCCGCCACUGGGACCGGAUUGCCCUUUUUUUUCCUAGUGAGAUCUUUAAGCUCUAUUCAGAUGUUAAUUCCAAGAAUCUUUAUGACUGUGAUCUGUUUUGAUUCUUACAAUUGAGCUCCUCAUGUUUUUUUUGGAUCUUGGGUCUGUUUUUUCUUCCAUGUGUCUGCAGUAUCUGUUCAAUUCUAUGGCUUUUUGGGAUAUUUAGAUUCUGGGGUAUUGUUAUACAGUUAAAUUUGUAAUUUCCAGUGAGAAAGAAGACAUCUUUAUCAUUUGUCUAGACCCCUGUAGUCUGGCCCUUUCCCGAACCAGCGCAUAGCAUUUGAUUAAAGCGUUCUGUCUCCACCUAGAGAAUAAAAGCACAUCUUUUUGCAAAUAUCAGUUGGUUAUCUUGCAAAAAGGUGUGUUAACAACGGGGUUCUACUUUGGUGAUUCCCUCAACUCUAAUACUAAUGGUUGUUUGCCACUUAUUGGAGGAACUUAUCGUCUUUGAGCACUUAAAAUGUCUCCUCAAGAUGAUGAAAUUUUGUUUUCUGUCCUAAGUUCUGGCAGCCAUUUACUGCGUCAUGUGUAUCAUGAGUAGUGUUGAUAGGAGGGUGUAGAGGACACAGAACAUGAUAGAAGGUUAGUAGGUCGUAGGAGCAACAUUGCCCCGGUAGUUUCUUGUCCUUCGAUUUCUAUUACUAUCUGUUGUUUCUUGUAGUUUCUGUAGUUGUUCUUAUCUGUUGAUUUUGUUAUUAUCUGUUGCUUCUUGUACUUCCGUUACUUCUCUUUGGGAUUGCUUUGGACUAUUUUUCAUUGAGUCAAGGGGCUAACUGAAACAGCCUCUCUACCUUUGAGGUAGGGGUAAGGUCUGCGUACACUCUACCUUCCCGGACCUCACUUUGUGGGAUUACACCUGGAUAUGUUGUUAUUGUUGUUGUUUUGUAUCACGAACAGCAUUUGCCUCGGAAGAGAGAGCACAUGUUGAAACUUUCAUUAUCGAAUUAGUUGUUUUUUCCCUCUUUUUUCUGAUUACGCCUUUGCAGAUAAGGUUGAUCGACCUGUCAGUACAUGCAUCUACUUCUUGCUACCUUCUGGAAGUGCGUCUCAUCUUCACCGGAUACCAUGCGCAGAAACAUGGCACUUUUAUAUGGGAGAGCCAAUCACGGUGAGUGCUACUCUCUCCGUUUCAGUUUGCUUGCCUUACUCACCAUUUUAGCCCGUUUCAAAGAGAAUGUAUCUUUCCACGUGGUAUGUUUAAGACUGCAAAAUUACAGGAGUUUCGUUAUAUUCCACACAUCUUUAAUGUAAGACCACAGGAUUCAAAAAUCUUCAUUACUUUCUUAAACUCCAUGACUAGUCAAAACUAGACGAACAAAUUGAUGCUGAUCGAGAGAGUAAUACACUAUAGUGGAUGACGAUCUUUCGUGUAGUUUACAUUGAUCUUCAUGCACCAGAACAGUAUUACUGCAUUAUCCAAGCUGUCUUUCUGCAUCAUGCUGUAUUGUAAGUGUCCAUCCUGCUUUGUGCUAAUGUUUGAACUCAAAGGGAUUUGGUCGGCAUGGCUCAGUCACAACCUUAAGGGUAGUCAAAUUUAUAAUCGACACAGUUUUUACCAUUUGGCUGCUCCGUAUGCUAAAUGACACGCUUGACUAUGACCGCGCUUAGCAUGAGGCAUAUGACAUGAAACGAAUAUCUUCUUGUUGUUAGUUCAUGCUUUGUCAUCUCACCUAAGAUUGAACGCUACUUAUCCAUAUCUCGGCAAUGGCUGAUCGAUGUAGCCUUUGGACUAUAGCUUCAUGUGAACUCGUAUAUGUGAAAACUGGAAACCAUAAAAAUAUGAACCCACAGUUUCAACAGCGCAAUGAGUUUAGUGUUUGAUAAUCUUAAAGGUCGAAGGUGUCAAGUUUAAAUGUUGGAUCCGCCUCUGCAUCUCGAUUAUCAUAUCUAGUCUUGAUCUUCGGAAGUAAACAACCCACUGUUCUUCUGUGGAAAGUUUCUUAUUUUGGAUCUUCAUAAUCGUUCUUAUAAUUGAAGGGGAGCCUUGGAGUAACCGGUAAAGUUGCUGCCAUGUGACCCGAAGGUCACGGGUUCAAGCCUUGGAAACAGCCUCUGGCAGAAAUGCAAGGUAAGGCUGCGUACAAUACACCCUCGUGGUGGGGCCCUUCCCCGGACCUUGCACAUAGCGGGAGCUUUAAGUGCACCGGGCUAACUGUUCACGAAUGAUAAAGACUUUACGUGCUUGCUUUCAGGUGAUGGAACUAAAUGAGACUGAUGGGAAGGUGAAAUUAACUUGCCUCGGACCCGAUCCCCUCGUAGAUGAUCAGCUGGUGCAGUACACAGUACCUCCAAACGUCUGGUUUGGCGCGUUUCCCACGAGGGACUACAACAUUACUUCCGAUAUGCAAGUAACGAAAGCGCCUACAAGAGACAGUGAGAAGCAUUUCUCUCUAGUUGGAUGCACUUGUGCUCCAGCAUUCCAGUUUGAUGAUUUUGAACUAGCGAAACGAUCUGAUCUUGUUUCGCGCUAUCCUGCUCAUGAAUCCCUCCUCACUUUGCUCGCCUUCUCCGACUAAACAUGAACCUACGCGUUCGCAGAACCCAGUAGCUUUUUCGUGGACCUUAAAAAAUAUCGAUAAAUAUUCGAGUGUAAUGCUUGCUUGUUUCAUGUUUCAUCUUAGUACUGGUGUGUAAUUUGUUCAGUGUGGCAAUAAAAGGCUUAUCAGUUGAGUUAUUUCCCAUAUAUAGAUUUUCAAUCUCUCGCGAUACAUAAUUAGCUCUCGAUAUAUCGAACAAAGAUACAUAAUUAGUUGAGAUUUUUGUAAUUACUUUGUCAGGUGAGAAUUUAUGUAAAUAUGAUAAGUUAACGUGUAUGUCUAUGUUAUUUUUCAUAAGAAGGGCAAACAAUAUAAAUCCUGGUAGUUUGGAGUUUAACUACAAAAAGUCUCGACAUUUUGCAUAAUUAUCGAAAAUCUCAAUUUUGGAUCUGUCGAGAUACAUAAUUAGCUCUCGAUACAUCCAACGAAAAUAUAUUUUUUCCUUUGUAAAGAUACAUAAUUAGCUUCCGAUACAUUUUUUUCGAGUUUGGGUCUGUCAAGAUACAUAAUACAUCCAAUGAAGAUACAUAAUUAACUUUCGAUAUAUUUUUUUCGGUUUUGGAUUGUCGAGAUACAUAAUUAGCUCCCGGGUGCGUGCAACGCAGAUACAUAAUUAGUUGGGAUUUUUGCAAUUACUUUGUAAGGGUGGGAAUUUGUGUAAAUAUGAUAGGUUAAUGUCUGCGUUUAUAUUAUUUUUUUCAUAUAUAUAAAUAGGGUUAAAUGUAUUUUUUUAUGUAUCUAUAGUAGUAAUAUUGAAUUCUCUUGAUUUUUUUCAUGUGUUUAUCUCUUUAUAUUCUGAACAUCCUUAGUGAAAAUUUUGAUUCCACCACCGUAUAUCUUUUCCAGUAUAGCUCAUCGACAACCUUCUACUCCACCGUCUCAAAAUAAUUUCCGUUUUUAUUCAGACUAUCUGCCUUAAAAUACUGGUCAUUUUAAAAAUUCAAGAUGAAAAUAAUUUUUUUUCUCAUUUUAUCCUUACUAGUAAUUGUGUAAAGAUUAGAAAAACUCCCAUUAUGACGCACUUAAAUAAAGUAAUUAUUCAAUGAAGAAAGAUUAUAUCUUAAAAAUAUACUAAUUUCGAUUUAUAUACAUGAUAUAAUCGUAUCGCGCAUACUUUAUGCUUUGAAAUACAUUAAGAUUAUAGGGACUCUAUUUUUUAAAAGAAAAAAAUCUGUAGAAUCAAAAUUAAUUAGCUAACCAAAAACAAAAAAGGAAAAUCAUAUCAUCAAAUUAAUCUUCUUCUUUUUUUUUUUCAAAAAAGAAAAUGUUAAUUAUUUAAAUUUUAAUAUUUAGACUGUUUAUUCCUUAAAAACAACCAUUAAUAAUAAUAAUAAUAAUAAUAAUAAAUACUAGUCAAAGUCAAGAAAAUCCAUUUUCCUUGUAGUGGAACCCUUUAGUUCUUCCUUUUGAGCCUGCAUAUAUAUGCAAUAAUAUUAGCUGAAUUUGAACGGAUUAAAAUAAAUUAAUUCAAUAAAUAACUCAACAAAAAAUUAAUUGAACUAAAAUGGGUUAAAAUAUGUGUUUUCAGUUGUUUUAUUUUAUUUUAUUUUUUUUUAUAAUUUUUUAGUACCUAAUAAAAUUAUUUUUUUAUUAUGGCUAUACAUAGCAUAUCAAAUAAAAAAGAGUAAAACAUCUAGUAACCCUCUGGAACUAUUACCAAAUUUGCUACGGUAUACUCUAACUUCACGGAAUCCUAUUACCCCUAAACUAAAUUUUAACGUAUUUUUGUCAUUCUUUUUAGCUGACGUGACACCGGUCUUUUUUCAACCUUUUUAACUAACGUGACACCUUUGACGUGAGCUCCAUUUUAUGUAAUAAAGGUGCCACGUCAACAUAAAAGGGUGACAAAAUAUGCUAAAAUUGAGUUCAGGAGAGUAAUAAAAUCCCUGUGAAAUUAGAGUCUUUUAGCAAGUUUGACCAUAAUUCGAGGGUACUGGAUACUUAUCUCAAUUAAAAAUAUAUAUUUUUUGAUAAUAUUUUAACGAGAUUUCUUAUAAGCCGAUUCGACUAUAUUAUAUAUAGGCUGUAUAUCAACUUAAACUUUUGAGUGAUUGAGUUAAUGAAUAAAAGAAUUAAUAACUCAUCCAAAUUUAAAUGACAUAUUUUUUUGAGCUAAUUUUAUCACUUCUAAUAUUAAUGGCAACAUUUUAUCAUAAGGUAAAUACACAUAAAAAUGUUAUGAUACUUAGUUCAUAAGGAACCAACAUUCCUUUUUUAUUAUGUUACAAAAAAGAUAGUAGUAAAUAGUACUAAAGAACUAACUUUUUAUAUUUGUAAAUUUGAACUUUAAACUUUAUUGUAUAUUGUUUUAUCGUCACACAAAUGUAUAAUGAUAUAUGUUUAAAAUUAUAGGUUCUACUAGUCAUUUUUUUCUUAAAAUUUCGAGCAGAAUCAAAUACAAUCACAUAAAAUCAUGAAACAUAAAGCACCGUUUCGAUCUAUGGGGUAUCAUAUACGAGUUUCGAGAGUAUACCUUAACUUUUAAAUUUGAGAAAAUAUCCUAUUACCUUCCUGAAUUAUACGCAAAACGAUUGUGACACACCUCAACUUAAAGGGAGUUCUAUUACCCCUGAACUAAUUAAAAGUGUAAUUUUGACACUCUUAGUGCCUACGUGGACACUUCAGUGUGUUGUGCCACGUAGGCACUAAGGGUGUCAAAAUUACACUUUAAGUGGUUCAGGGGAUAAUAGGGUCCCUUUAAGUUGAGGUGUGUUUGUCGUUUUGGGUAUAGUUCAGAGGAUAAUAGGAUAUUAUCUCUUUGAAUUUUGACCGUAAACUCUGACUUAGAAGUUUUACAAAUAUAUAAAAAGUACUAUAUACGUAUAUAUAUGUCAUACGUACCUUUCUGAUUUCUGCUACCGACACACAAGUCAUGUGAGGCGGAAGCUCCUUCUCGUCAGAUUCCUACACAACGACAUGCGCUUACUAAGAAUUUCUCGUUGAAGAUCAACAAUUGUAAUAACCUUAUACACAUACAUUAUCACAAUAAAAUUUCAAAAUAUUACUCUGAUACAACCCUCGUGAAAAUUUUGCUUUUCCACAAUCUAUAUUUACCAUUCUGCAUUAAAUUACAAUUCAAAAAUUUAUGUAUUAUUUUAUACAAAAUAAACAUAAAACCCUUACCCGUUCUCCGAUGAGCAUAACAUUCUCUCCACGAAUAAUGUAGAGACCCAAAGGUAUGUCACAAAACAGAUUGCCCACCAUUAUUCUCUCUAAGGUACCUUCCAAUACUAUAUUCGCUAUAUAAACAUAAAAAAUAAAUAAAUUAUCAAGAAAUAUAUAAAUAAUACAUUAUAAUAAAAACUGAAAUUAGUUACAAACUUUAUCGCUAAUUUAGCAAAAUGUUUUGAUAAUCGGUUGCUCAUCCGGAAAUAAAUUGGAUGAGCGAGAAAUUAAUUAUUCUUUAGCUAUAGAAUUUAUUUGUCGCUAACGAGGUAUAAAGAUCAUAUAUUUUAGGAAUAAAUAGCAAAGAAAUUAAUACUUUACCAUAUUGAUCGAAAGAACGAAAUGUUCCCAAGAAUUCUCUACCAUCUCGUAGUAAUAUUAGAAUUUUUCCUAUAAAAAGAAAUAGUGAAUUCACUCAUAUAAAUAAAAAAAAAAAAAAAAAAAAAAAAAGCCGAAAUUAAUAUGCCUCAUUAAUUUUCAUGUUAAAAUUCACUAAUAAUGCAAGAGUAAUGGAAGGUAUGAUCAAGCAAUUCAUCUUCAACUUAACCUAAGUAUGAUCUAACUUGGCCUUUAAAUUAAUCACAUCACAUAGAUUGCACGUACAGACAGAGGUAAAGUGCAGUUGUUGAAAGCAGUUUCUCUUCACCUUAACCUAUCACUUGAAAUUAACCACAAGGCAUUUUAAAAUCAAAAUAACAAAUAUUUAUUAACCACAAGGCAUCUUAAAAUCAAAAUAACAAAUAUUUAUUGUAAUGCAGUUUUUGAAUUUUUACGAAAAACACUCCUCUUGAUAUUGUAAUCUGAAAGGAUAGUAGUAACAUACUAUACUCGAAAUAACUUUAUAUCAUCGAUGAAAUACAACCAGUUCUUUUUAUUCAUACAGACUUGAUAUGCAAUACAAGAAACCAGUUAAUAUUCGACAGAUCAGAAAAACAUCUAGUUAAAAAUGUUUCUGACAAACACUCUGCGAUUCAUAAUCCAAAAAAUACAAUAAUAACAUACUAUACUCCGAAUAACUUCAUAGCAUCAACGAUAUGUACGUAUAACUUAAACUCUUAAUCUAUGUAUAUUUAGUGAUAGGAAAAAAGAAUUAGAGAGAAAAGAGAAUUUCAUACUAUCAAGAUAGCUUGCAAGGCUUGAUGAGAAUAAGUUGUCAUCUGUCAUCUGAGUUUGGCCAAUUUGACAUGUGCAAACUCAGUUUCUUUGUCUAAUAAACGAGUCUUAGCACAUCUGUUUUCUUGCUCGUUAUCGCUAUUUCUUUUUUUAAUUUAUAGAACGAAGUAAUGAAAAUGAUUCAUAUACUAUGACGAUUUAUAAUAGUUUUGUUGAUGCAUUCCUCUUGAGAAUGACGAUGAAGAGAGAUUUAUAGGAUGUAUAGAGAUGGGAUCAAGAAAGUAAUGAUGACUCUACAAUGUAUAGUAUCUAGCAAUUAAAGAUGGAUUCAGAAUUUAAGUUUUAUUAUAUUGUAUUUUGAAUUAAUGGUCAAAAAAACACAUCUCAGCUAUCAUUUUUUUUUUUGAGUUUUACAUCUCAACUAUUGUUUCCUUUUUUUCAUACGAAUCAUUACCAUCUACGUGAUUAAAUGCAACUCAACUAUCAGUUGUUCCUUUUUCUGCCUGAACGAUCCAUCAUUCAGGCAGACAAAGGAACAACCGAUAGUUGAAGUGUGUUUUAAUACAUAAAUGGCAGGGGCGGACCUAAGUGCUUUCUGGUGAUGCUCCAGCACCUGUUAAAUCUGAUGGGGACAAGAUAUAACUAUGUAAGGAAUAUAUAAAAAAUGAUAUAAUAGUUAAAAAAAAAAAACUACUCAGGAUGUCAAUAAGAUAAUUGGGUGCUUUGAUUUCUAGGCGGAACCUUAAAGUUUUGACCAUCAAUAUCUGUUUGAAUUUUGUGAGACACCCACGAGCCCAAAAUUCUGGGUUCGUCAUUGAUAAAUAGGGAUAGUUCGGGUAGAAAAAGGAAACAACUGAUUUAUGGGAUGUGAAACUUGUGAAAAAUGAUAGGUCGGGUGUGUUUUCGCCCAUUAUAUCUCGUACUUUUAAUUUGUCCAUUCAAACUUAGUAAUAUAUUUAUUGCAAAUUACUAUAUUUUUACAUGUAAAAAAUAGAGAAAAUGCUCUGUUUUCUUCCUGAACUAUAUACGAAAUUGCAGAGACACACCUGAACUUUAGGAGGGUGCUAUUACCCCUGACUAAUUAAAACUAUAUUUUUGGCAACCUUCGUGUACCUACGUGGACCUUCAGUGUGUUGAUUCACUUAUGUGUCACUAAGGUUGCCAAAAUACGGUUUUAAUUAGUCCAGGGGUAAUAGCACCCUCCUAAAUUUCGAGUGUGUCUCAGCAAUUUCGUAUAUAGUUCAGGAAGAAAACAGAGCAUUUAAUCUAAAAAAUACUGAAUUCAGAUAAACUCGAUACUGCUCGCAAUAUUGACAUAUUAUAAACUAUUAUAAAAAAAUACAUUUACUUUUCAAUGAGUUGUUUUUUUCAUAAGUGGUGUAAGUGUUUGGUGAUAUAGCCUUUUUGGACGGUGGCUUUUGCAGAAAAAAAAAAGAGAGAUACCAAUCUUUUUCUCCCAUUCCCAAUUUUCCCAUGAUUCUAUCCAUGACAUUUUUCAAGCACUAAAUCUUUAUAGGAUGCUACAUAUACUAGAUAACCACCAAUAAUUUUUUACUUAUGAAUUUUAAGUUAAUUUUUCACUAUUUAAUUGAUGAUCCAGAGACGUCUUGAAGUAACGAUAAAAUUAUCAUCGAAUCGUAUGAUUUGAUUACGUGUUCGAAGUAGUUGUGACAUUAGGCAUGGAUGAUCAAGCGAAGUCUUGAAGUAAUGAUAAAGUUGAUUUAAUUACGAGUUCGAAGUAGCUGUGAAAUUAGGCAUAGAUGCUUGUGUAGGUAGAUCCGUAUUAGUGUAUUUAAUUGAUAAUCAAAGGGAGUCUUGAAGUAGCAAUAAAAUUAUCAUCAAAUCGUAUGAUUUAGUUUCGAGUUCGAAGUAGCUGUGAAAUUAGGCAUAUAUGCUUGUGUAGGUGGAUUCGUAUUAAUGUAUUUAAUUGAUAAUCAAGGGGAGUCUUGAAGUAGCGAUAAAUUAAUGUGUUUAACUUGAAGUAGCAAUAAAUUAAUGUGUUUAAUUGAUGAUCAAGAGGAGUCUUGAAGUAACGAUAAAAUUAUCACCAAAUUGUAUGAUUUAAUUACGAGUUCGAAGUAGCUGUGGAAUUUGGCGUGGAUGCUUGUGUAGGUAGAUCCUUAUUAAUGCAUUUAAUAGAUAAUCAGGGAAAGUUUUAAUUAAAGUAAUGAUAAAGUUAUCAUCUAAUCAUAUGAUUAUAUUACGAGUUCGAAGUAGCUGUGGAAUUUGGUGUGGAUGCUUCUGUAGGUAGAUCCUUAUUAAUGUAUUUAAUUGAUAAUCAGGGAAAGUUUUAAUUAAAGUAAUGAUAAAGUUAUCAUCUAAUCAUAUGAUUAUAUUACGAGUUCGAAGUAGCUGUGAAAUUCGACAUGGAUGCUUGUGUAGGUAGAUCCUUAGUAAUGUAUUUAAUUGAUAAUCAAGGAAAGUCUUAAUUAAAGUAACGAUAAAAUUAUCACCAAAUAGUAUGAUUUAAUUACGAGUUCGGAAGUAGUUGUGGAAUCAGGCAUGGAUGCUUGUGUAGGUAGAUCCUUAUUAAAGUAUUUAAUUGAUGAUCCAGGGAAGUCUUGAAGUAAUGAUAAAAUUAUCAUCGAAUCGUAUGAUUUAAUUACUAGUUCGAAGUAGCUGUGAAAUUCGACGUGGAUGCUUGUACAGAUAGAUUCUUAGUAAUGGAUUUAAUUGAUGAUCCAGGAAGUCUUGAAGUAAUGAUAAAACUAUCAUCGAAUCGUAUGAUUUAAUUACGAGUUCAAAGUAGCUGUGGAACUUCGUGUGGAUGCUUGUGCAGGUAGAUCCUUAUUUACGUAUUUAAUUGAUGAUCAAGGAAAAUCUUGAAAUAACGAUAAAGUUAUCAUCGAAGCUUUAAUUUGCUUAAUCCAUGCAAAUUUUAAAUAAUCUUUUGCUUGAAGCCAUGCAAUACAACGAGGACGAUACUUUCAAUGUAAUCUCAUAAAGUCGGGUCUAAGAAAAAUAGAGUGUACAUAGAUUUUACGAUUACUUUGAGAUUAAGUUGAGAGAUUGUUUUCAAUAAAUCUUCGACGCAAGGAAAAACAAUCCAAAAAAGAAGUAAUAAAAGUAAAAGUGCAAAAUGACCUUCUGGACCCCUGUAUUAUGUCGGUUUUGUAAGUUGAACACUUCUACUUACAUGUUUGUCAUCCUGAACUCACUAAAAAACAAUAUUUUAAAUCCUUUUUUGGUGAGUGUAACACACUCUCCCCCACAUCAGCUGUCAUGUCAGCUGCCACGGCUGCCACAUCAUUUGCCACGUCAUUUUAAAAAAAUAAAAAAUAAAAAAAUAUUACAUUAAAUUCCAAGUCAUUUUUAAAAUGUCACAUAACAAAUUAAAUAUUAAAAUUAAUUUAAUUAAAUAAGAAAAAUGUAUAAAUUGUAAAAAAAUUUGAAUAAUCAUGUUUUUAUUUUUGCUCACAAAUUAAACAUCAAAUCCAUUCCAAAUAAUUAAAAUUCUUCUCCGACUAAUUUAAAUUUUUAACUAUAAAUUCAUAUAUACAAACAUAAUGAAUUUUUNNNNNNNNNNNNNNNNNNNNNNNNNNNNNNNNNNNNNNNNNNNNNNNNNNNNNNNNNNNNNNNNNNNNNNNNNNNNNNNNNNNNNNNNNNNNNNNNNNNNNNNNNNNNNNNNNNNNNNNNNNNNNNNNNNNNNNNNNNNNNNNNNNNNNNNNNNNNNNNNNNNNNNNNNNNNNNNNNNNNNNNNNNNNNNNNNNNNNNNNNNNNNNNNNNNNNNNNNNNNNNNNNNNNNNNNNNNNNNNNNNNNNNNNNNNNNNNNNNNNNNNNNNNNNNNNNNNNNNNNNNNNNNNNNNNNNNNNNNNNNNNNNNNNNNNNNNNNNNNNNNNNNNNNNNNNNNNNNNNNNNNNNNNNNNNNNNNNNNNNNNNNNNNNNNNNNNNNNNNNNNNNNNNNNNNNNNNNNNNNNNNNNNNNNNNNNNNGGGUGAGGUGUGGGGGUAGGGACGGGCUGGGGUGGGAUAAAGCAUUUUUAUUUUUUAAAAUUUUUAAAAAUAUUUUUAAAUUAUUUUUAAAAUUUUAAAAAUAUUUUUAAAUUAAAAAAGAUGGAGGGAAAAAAGGACCUUUUUUAUUUUUUUAAUUUUUAAAAAUAUUUUUAAAUUAUUUUUAAAUUCUUAAAAAUAUUUUUAAAUUUAAAAAGAUGGAGGGAAAAAAUAACCCUUUUUUAUUUUAUUUUUUUAAAUUUUAAUAUUUUAUUUAUUUAUUUUUUAAUUAUUUUAAUGUUAAAUUGGCCAAAAAAUGACCCCUACUCGCACCCCAGGCGAGUGGCUACACUCUCUUUGUCCUAGUCACCAUUUGCAAGGUGAACGGUCAAAGAAAGCAAAAUAUUGUUUUUUGACGGGUUCAAGGGUUCAGACGACAAAUAUGUAAGUAGAAGUAUCCAACUUACAAAAUCAACAUAGUACAGGGGUCCAGAAGAUCAUUUUACCUAUUAUUUACUAUAAAUAUAUUUUGAAUUAAUGAUUUUAUUUGAGAAACUUUAUUCGCUUUAAUUUCCAUACCUUCUUCUAAUUGGACAUCUGUUAAUAUUGCUUUAAUACCAUAAGCUUUUGAGAUUAUUUGUCUGUUUAUGCUUUUCAAAUUUCACUUUUCUUAAUUUAAUCAAAGUUCAUUGCUUUAAAAUGACAUCUCAAUAAUAAAGUACAUCUUUAACUACAGGUCUCAACAAGUAUCAGCCUCGUUAGAUAUAGAAUCGCACACCUAAAGAUCGGAGCGCUUUAUUCCACGAUAUAAGAUUUUUUGACGAUGACUCGAAUUUCAAUAUAAAUAUUAAACGCCGAAUGAAAAAUUUAAAAAAAAUAAUAUAUCAUGGUCCUUGUUUUGCCCCCACAGUUCUUUGGUUGGUCAAUAAUCUGGAAUAUAAUUACUAUAUUUUAUGGUAUCUAUAUUACUUGCCACUUAAGCUAGAAAAUGAUCAAUUUUAUAUUAGAGAUAAGCAUUCAGUACUCCCAAGCUAUGGUUAAAGUUGUUAUAACGCACUCCCAACUUCACAGGGGUCCUAUUACCCCCUGCCCCUCCGAACUCUUUUUUGGCGUAUUUUUGUCACCCUUUUGUACUGACGUAGCAUCUUUAUUACAUAAAAUGGGGUCCACGUCAAAAAUGCUACAUUAGUGUGGUGGUAAUUAUUCGUAAAAAAUUUCUCCAUCAUUAACCAGAAAUCUCCAAUUUGAACGGAAAUGAAAUUACCUACCCCAAAAGUAGGACUUCCCGAUGCAAAGCUAGAUUAAUCAGGCUCCAAAACGAGUACAACAAAACCAAUUGAGUACAAUUAUUUACAGAUUGAUAAUAUUCUUGAUCAAUUGCUUAGUAGAAUAAUAAAAACAUGUACCUAUUGACAAAUAUUGUAAUAAAAAAAUGGAUACAAAAAUAUGGGGAGCCCAAAAAAAAAAAAAAAAAAAAGCCCAUGAGUAUUUUCACUAUCAACUAAUUGUAUAAUCUAUCAUUAGUUGACACUUGACACACAACAUACAACAAAAAUCUUGGUGGGAAAAAAGUUGAAGUCGGUGUUGCUCAGGCUCUUCAAAAAUGUCAUCGAAGGCGUAUCAGAGGCGUGUCAGAUUCUUCAGAAGAAGUAGUGUAUAUGUGUAUAUCUGGAGAAUCUGACACUGGUGCGACGUGGAAAAUGUCAACGAAGGCGUGUCAGAUUCUCUAAAAGUAGUAUAUUUCUAGAGAAUCUGACACUGGUGAGACGUGGAAAAUGUCAACGAAGGUGCGUCAGAUUCUCCAAAAGUAAUGUAUUUUUGGAGAAUCUGACACAGGUGCGGCACGGAAUUCAAAAAUAGUAUAUUUCUGGAGAAUCUGAGACGGGUGCGGCACGGAAAACGAUGAGUUGAUGCAACUUAUUUAUGACCUUCACAACAGCAGUAUUUACAACAAGCAAAGCAACCUAAACAUCCCAAAGCAGCUAGACAUUGUGAGAGUGCAAUGGCACACUGAUGAUUCAUCGUCGAAAAUGUCCUAAUGCAGCAACUGCAGCAGCAGCAUAGACCACACAACUUCCCACAACAGUUAGAUGUUGCUUUUGCUAUAAUCUCUGCUGGUUCGUCCUCUGUAUCGAUGGCACCAGGAGGUAUAUUCUCAAUCGUAGCAAUGAGGUUACCAAAACCGAAGCCAAGGGAGUGUAGUAAUACUGUCUUCUGUACUAAGCGUUCCUCUAUCUUCUCAUCGGCAGAGUAAACCUGAUUCAGAUAACUUCGGUUACAGAAAGAAGGCGCGUGUGAUGGCGAAAUGUUAUUAUGAGUCUUGUAUCUAUGCCAUGUGCUGUUAACAACAAGAAGAUACGCAGUGUAGUCCAACAAGUGGGGUCUGUCGAGGGUAAGAUGAACGCAGACCUUACCCCUACCUUGAGAGGUCGAGAGACUCUUCCUGAUAGACCCUCAGCUCAAGGAAAACGAUUUCUUAAAAACACUCAAGACUUGUUUUCUUGAAAAAAUGUAUUCAAUCAUACCUUCCUCUUCGCGGUUGGCUUAAUGACUUUCACUCUUUCCGUCUGCACCAAUGCCAUACGUGUAUACUCAGAGAUUACUGCAUUUUGUGUACUCAUUUUCGCUAUCUGUCAUGUGAAAACAACUUGAGAAUUAAGUCAAGAAUGUAAACGGUGGGUUAAUAUAUAGGAUUAGGACAACGUACCCAGUGAAAUUCCACAAAGUGGAGUGCGUGGAGGGUAGAGUGUACACAGACCUUACCUCUACCUCGUGAAGGUAGAGAGGCUGUCUCUCAAAGUCCCUCGGCUCAAGUGAAACCAAUCAAAGUAUGCAAGGAACAGUAACAUUAGCAAAACAGUGUGAUCAUGUAAACAUAAUAAACAACAUAUGCUAACCGAUAACAAAAGCAAGAAACCAUUCAUGUAACAACCUUCUGCUCGAGAUCCUUUUUUUCUGUAAACCAUGCCUGAGCUGUGAGUAUUUCAAUCUGCUGCUUCACCCUUGCCUGCGUGUUCAAACUACACGUAAUGAAAUCAAUAUUAUCGAGGAUCCUCUUAAACCAAGUGCAUAAAUUUGGAAAUUGGAAGCGGAAAGCCAUAAAACUCUCUCAGUCGUUCAAUCAAGAAAAAAGACAGAUAAACUAGACACUUCAACUCGUCUCCAUUGUGUUAGUUGAACACUCCAAGUUACAAAACGGUCAUCCAGACACCUCCAAAAUUCAUGUACCAUGUCAGUGUCGGGUGUCCAUGAGACACAGUAGGAAUGAGUUGGAGCGUUUUGUUGUCAGUCGAGACCAAGUUGAGGUGUUUAGAUAUAUAGACUAGACUGACAGGAAAAUCCGAAAGCCACAAAACAUGCAUCUGCUACUGAGUCUGCGGUGCCUUACCUUGUCGAGAGGAAUUGCUUUCGACUUGAACCCUUUCAGCUCCACGGAGAAUUUACUCGUGUCCGCUAGGAUUCCCUUAACUUUGAGCAUCUCAGGAAACACUCCUUGGUAUCUUCCUGAUAGGACUAUCGGGCCUUCGGAUGAAAGGUCUGGAAUUUGAGACGGAUACACCUAACACAAAAUUUAACAGUUCUUUGUUACGAAAAUGUAUUUACAUAGGUAAAACUGCAACAACAUAUACGGUACAAUACCACAAAGUGGGGUCUGGGGAGGAUAGAAUGUACGUAGACCUUACCCUACCUCAGAGGUAGAGAGGCUUUUUCCGAUUACAUAGGUAAAACUGUAUCAUGUAACUAUAGCAGUCUUUUGAAACGACACUGAGAGCUCGAAAAAAUCAUUGUUCAUAUUCAUCAUCAUAGCAAGAGAUAUCAGUAGGAUAGCAUAGAUUCAUAAGAGCACCUCAAGUUCUUCAAGACCAUCAAGGUUCUCAAAGGCAAUAUUUGCAAGGAUGACGGACGACGCCCUGGAGAAUAGCCUCUCCAAUCGAACUUCAAGUGAUUCUGCAAAAGCAACAUCGCGAGAAAUGGUUUCAGGUCACAACAGAUAAGGAAUUCGCACGACAAAAGCAGGUAACCUAAAUCUAAGCGUUUUAGCAAAAUAUGACGAAAGUCUGCAACAAAACACUAUCUUUUGAAACGAUGUUUUUGGGACACACUCGGAAACUACACCAAUCAUAUGACUAUAGAUCGAUAAGGUGAUUAAGAGAGUGCAGUAUAUUAUGCAGAAACCACAAGAUAGUAACCAUCAAACCAGUUUAAUGAUAGCCCCGCCAUUCAGUCAUGUGAUAAAAGCUUUUCGGCAACAGUUCUCAAAAGAAUUACUUUGUACAGACUCACCAACAUCCAUAGCAGCAUCAUAAUGGCCGCGACUCAUCAUUGCUAGUGUGCGGAGAAAAUAAUGGUUGCAGAAUAAUCCUGAAAGAUUUUGAAAUUUGAAUCAGAUAUUGAAAAAGAACUGUACUAACAACAAAUUACUCAUCGCAGAGAGAGACGGAGAGAAUCUGAGCACAGAGAUCCGAAACAGCAUGCAACCAUUGGGAUUAAGUUGGCUAUGAAGAUUGAAGAGUAUCGAUUAUAUGGUAAUAAGCUAGUUAUAGCCUCAACGGAAAAUCCUGAAGUCCUAUGUUUGUGAAUGCCGAUAUGGUACAGUUUGAGAUAAUGUCACUCGGUUUUGAAACCGAAAAACAGAAAGAGCAGAGAAGAAUGCAGAUCAUGUAUCCCUACAGACAAGACUCCACUGGUUUCGAGGCUGCAUAUAAUGUAUACCUAUGCCAAAUGUGUAAAGUCGUGGGCACAUUGUUCGGUUUUGUGUAAGAUGAUUCUUCAUGAAUUCGCAGAUCUGUCUUUCAUCUUCAACAGCUCCGUCUGUGAUCAGAAAAACGAUAGGCAUGGAUUCUCCCCCAUUAGAAAACAUACCUAUGGACUGAAAGGAAAAAAGCAAUGCUAUCAGUUUCGUCACAAAAAUGAUUUCCAUUAACUACACGCAGUCCCAAACUGGUGCGGUUAAGCAAUACAAACCAUCAUAUCCAUUCAGCUCUAUUCAAGUCCAUUUCAAUCCAACACUAAAUAAGGGCAGCCCGGUGCACUAAAGCUCCCGAUAUGCGCGGGGUUCGGGGGUGGACCGGACCACAAGGAUCUAUUGUAUGCAGCCUCGUCCAACACUAAAUAUUGUCUUUAAAGGCAAACUAGGAUUAUCUAAAGCUACUCGUUUUCUAACCGUUGCACAUCACUAGAAUCGAUGUGUUAUCACGACACCAGCAUCUUACUGAUAAAUGAUAGCGUACUACUGAAAAGUAUACGAGAAGAUAAGUGGACCUGUUUCAAUGGAUUCAAGAUACUUGUACCAUCGCCAGGAAUAAAGUUCAUGUCGAUCCACUGAGUUGCAUUGUCAAUAGCUUCCUUGGUUGCAACCUCCAAUGACGAUGAAAAUAGGAACUCUUCACUGUUGAAAGCUAUUAUAUUAAACAAAUCUUCGGAAUCAAGUUUCGAUAAUGCUGCAGAGAUUGCUUGUUUGGUAUCGUCAAUUGGUUUUCCCUUCAUACUACCACUUAUAUCAACAAGAAAAAUCACCUCCUUCCUGAAUACCUAUAACAAAGUUCGAAGGAAAUGAAACGAAAAGAAAAAGAGGAACCUUAAGAACCAAUAACGGAAAGCAAGUCACCAUAUUCAUCGAAUGUAAGAAUCUUUUCCACGUUAUAAAGGCGGAGGUAAAAGUGUGUGAAGUUGUCUUCCAGGCAUGAACUCCUUCUAACGACUUAUGCAUUUUGUUAUCAUUUACAAUCGGAUGAUCCAUUAAUUCAACGAGUAGAGGAUUAUAAAUGGAUCAAUUUUUUUGAUUCCCAGUGGAGAUUAGGAAUAGACAGACUUUCUAUAGAACCCGUUUUAUUAACAUGAUUUAUCACUACUUUAGCGACUUUGGCAGCUUGGCCUUAUGAAUCAACUAUGAUGAUCAAGAAACCUUAAACUGCAAAUAUUUUGUAGUUGAGUAAAGCAUCUAGUACCCCCGAACUAUGACCAAAUUUGCUACGACAAACUCUAACUUCACGGGGGUCCUAUUACCCCCGAACUAAAUUUUAGCAUAUUUUUGUCAUCCUUUUAGCUGACAUGGCACCUUUGGCAUGGGCCCCAUUUUAUGUAAUAAAGGUGCCACAUCAGCACAGAAGGGUGACAAAAAUAUGCUAAACUUGAGUUCAGGAGGGUAAUAGAACUCCUGUGAAGUUGGAUUGUGUCGUAGCAACUUUGGCCAUAGUUCGGGGAGAUACUAGAUGCUUAUCUCUUUGUCGUUUGCUGUUCAAACAUAUUUUAGCUAGUUUACCACAUCUUUUGACCGUAAAUCGAUUUCUAGAUUCAACAUAUUGCUUAGUUUAGAAGAGUUUAGAAGAUUUACUAUUUCAACUUUGCUAGUAAAAACUUCUCGAGAAAUGAACAAGAAGACGAUGAAAAACACCAACCUUUUUACACUCCAGUGCACCCGGAAAAAGAUAGCAGCUGAACAUCUUUCUCUGGUCCGUGUCAUGUUGUUCCGGAGAUUGCAGAAGUACGCUGCCAUGGUAGUUAGGACUCGAGAUCUGAAAACACAGCAAUGAUCGAUGAGAGAGUUCCUCGAUCAGAACCCAAAUCUUGAUACGUUUCUAAGUCACUUUAACGUUGCUAAAAUGAAAUUGCAGCAGACAUGCAUAUUAUAAACAACAGACAGCGACAUAUUAACCUAGUCGACUCAGAAUUUGUACUUUCGACAUGAACAGCGUACCUUGUAAGUAAUGACAACAUCGCUGCUCGACCAGUUAAAGACAUUAGCGUCAUAGAACAAGCCCGACUUUCCAUCUUCAUCUUCAUCUUCUAGCUCCUAAAAUACCAAUAUCGAAACCACUGUUAAGAGUUACUUCAUCAACCAACAAAUUACAAAUCGAUAGAGUACUCGACAAGCUUCACCUUAAAAGGAUGACUGAUAGCCUUAGACGAAACCUCAAUUCCCGGACCACAGUUAACGUUAAACUUUAUAUUUUCUUUCUUAGUUAUCUUCUUUCCAGCUGGAGUCACAUACUCCGGGAAACUAUACGGUAUGCUCAAGGUAAAUUGGCCAUCGCGAUACAAUAACUUCUGAGACCAUCUCAAAGUGACCGAGAUAUAGGUUCCCCCAUCAAUCUGAAAAGGUAAUUCCAUUAGUAAAAUGAAGAGAGAACGAUCAAAAACACACCUAAAGUAUCCCGAUUUUUCGAGUUUCCUCCUUGAACUAUCACCAAAAGUUCUGUCGAAACACACCUCAACCAUCAGUCGUUCACUUUUCCUACCUGAACGACAAAUGAUAGUUGAGGUGUGUGUAAAUAUUUGCUGAUAGUUCAGGUAGGAAACUCACAUCAAAAGCCGGGAUACCAUAGGUGUGUUUUUGACUCGUAAAUCCAAAAUGAACAAUCACAGACGAAAUAAGAAAGCAAAUUAUAUAGAAGAAAGUUAGUUACCUCUGGUAUUGUAAUGGUAAAUAUAUGGGGCUUCAGAAAGCGUCCGUCUUCAAUUUUGGCUAUCGUUUUAGUGUCCUUCUCAUCAUCCUCGGCAACUAGUUUAGUACUGUAUGAUUUGCUCGGUAACUCAACCUCGACACCUAGAAUUGAACCCUGUUAGCCAAAUAAUGCAUCACUUGAGAAACAAACAAUUAGCAAUGUUUCACUUCUGUGAAACAAGAGAAUCGAAAGGAUUAAAAAUAAACGAUAUAACUAUUCAACGAUACAACACUUCAAAUUGAAAUCGCAAAUUCCAUAUCGCUAAAGAACUAAACAUACUUUGCCUUUAACAUUCAGAUGCUUUUGACUUGGGAAGCAAAAUAUUGUAUACAACAACAACAACAUACCCAGUGUAUUCCCACAAAGUGGGAUUCGAGGAGGGUAAAGUGUACGCAGUCUACCUCAAAUGAAGUAGAGAGGUUGUUUCCGAUAAACCCCCGGCUCGGGACAGAUAACAGUAUAACAAACAAAGAACAUAAAAAUAAACAACAAAAUGAGAUAACGCAUGACUGGAUAAUAAAAGAAACAAGACACCGACGGAGUAAUACUAUAUACUAUCGAUUCGAGAUCACAAACAUCAUCAGAACACUACGAACAAGAAGGCGUAGAUACAAACACAACACUCCUCCUUACUAUUACGGACGUACUCCUAUCCACUAACUCUCGCACCUAAUUCACCUCCUCCACACCUUUCUAUCAAGGGUCAUGUCCUUCGUAACCUACAAAUCUACAAAACCCCUUCGAUAUCCUAAAUCAUUAUCACCGACAUCUUUAUCGGAAAAUUAAAGUGUAUAGUAUCUUUUUGGAAGGAAAUAAACUACAAAUGCCAUUCUCCUGAGAAAGAACACCUCGAUGCUGAGUUGAUCAAAUAUUUGUAUCCCAAUAUAUAAUUGGGACGUGUAAGGCAACUCAGCGUCAAGAUGUGUUUAGAGAUUGAUAGUUUACGUAGGCAAAUGGAACAAUGAGCAGUUAAGGUAUGAAACUCACGAAAAGGCGAUAGUCUAGGUAUGUUUUUGACCAUCAACUCUUGUAAUAAGUCUAUUUAGAACAACACUUCGUAAUAAGUCUAUUUAGAACAACACUUUACAUGUAUUACAAAAUCGAAAAAGAGUAAAAUUUUAUAGGUCCCGAGAAGGGUCUAACCACAAGAAUCUAUUAUACGCAAUAUUAUCCUACAUUUUUGCAAGACGGCUUGAACCUCGUGACCUAAAAAUAAACUAGAUAAAUCUUACUCCCUCCGUCACAAUGGCUGAUCGAUUUUGACUGUAUGCUACUACAUGGAAUCUUUUAAGUUUUUCGAGACAAAAUUUACAUAUUUGGAAACUAUGUAAAAAGUAUUAUAAUUAACAUAAAAGGCAUAUAAAACAAUCAUGAUCAAAGAAAAACUCGUUUGAAUCUUGAAAUACGAUACAUAGGGUAAAUUUCUGAAAUUACCUGCUCUCCCAUAGCAACAGCAAUCCUACAAUCACAACUCUUGCAAGUCAUAAUACAAUGCAACCUCCACGAUCCUUUAACAGUAACAAACGCUGUAUCAUAAUAACAAUCAGCCAUAACCGAAAUCUCGUUCAUCUGCAAGGGGAUCAAGGCAGGUGGAUAACACUUGCCAUGCACAUGAGGUUGAUAACUUGGAAUAUCCGGGUUAUCAACCAUUGCUGGAUUCUCAAUCACAGCAUACAUCAUUGGGGAUGUUGGAAUAUAUGAUGAUUCCAACUUAGCCUUUUCCGUCGUCAUCUGUUGCUUCUGUGGUGCAACUGCACGAUCUUUUCCAAAAUAUAUACGUUUCAAUAGCCUUAUUCCAUCUUCUACUGAUCUUACAAACUCUUCUUGAUCAGCCAUUGCAGGUAAAAUAUGAAAAAAUGUACGUAAAAAUGUAUGUAAAAUUCAAAUAUAUAUCUAUAUAUAUAAAGGAGAAGAAGAGGAACUUUAUGAAAUGUAGAUUUCGUUGUUAUUCCUCUUCUUCUUUUAACGUGACGGAAGAAAGGAAAACUUUUCCGUAUCGCGAAUCUACCUUAAUGGUGUGAUGUUAAUAUUAUAUAAAGUAUGUUAUGAACACGUAAUGGCCACGGCUAACAGAUUUUCUAGCCCAUGGAUGUCAAACAAAUUUUUACUUUUGGAAUUUUGACUCAAAAAAAUUAAAGGAAAUAACUAAAUAGAGAAGGUGACUAGGUAUGUUUGAGGUUGUUUUACUUUUUUUCUGUAAUGGCCACGGCUAACAGGUUUUCUAGCCAUGGAUGUCAAACAAAUUUUUACUUUUGGAAUUUUGACUCAAAAAAAUUAAAGGACAUAACUAAAUAGAGAAGGUGACUAGAUAUGUUUGAGGUUGUUUUACUUUUUUCUUUUUAAUUAUUUGUAGUUUUCUUUUGGUUUUUUCCUCUCUAGCCGUCUUCAAAGUCAGAUCAAGUUAUUCUCAAUAAAAUUAGUGACGUAAAGAAAAAAAGUUUUUAAUAUACAACCUUAAAUAUAUAUACAUAAUAAAAAUAUUAUUAAUAAUUUAAAAUUAUUUUUUAUUUUUUACGUAUUACUUUUUUUUUAAGGGAAAUAGAAGAUAUUAAGCAAUUACAUUGACGUAGUAAUAUUAUUAUUUAUAAAAGGAAGGACUUUUUUUAAUUAAUAAAAUGUUAGUUAUUUGUGUGCAACGUAUUCCCUUGAAUAUUAUUAUAAAAAAAUUAUUUAUUAAUACGAAGAUUUGAAUUAUUUAAAUCAAAGUUCUAAUAUAUUUUUGAUAAAAGUAGAUUUCUUUUUUUUUUUAAUUUAAACUUUGUACCUUUUAUCUUUUACAAGCUUUAAUAUUAUUUUAAGUGAAACUAAAAUCAUAAAAUUCAUAUCAAAUUUUUUGGGGCUCAAAAUUUUGGAGGCGUCAAACAAACGUUUUACUAAUUUGACCCUUGAGCCACCCCUGAUAAAGAUCUAUGUACAUACUAUCCUCUCCAAAUAUACUCCCUCCAUCAUCGUUUUUAUAUGACUAUAAAUAUUUUGGACUGACAAUUAUUGUAAUUUAUCAUUUUUUUAAUAGUAUUUUAAUAUCAACGUGGAUAGAUUGUUCAUACCAUCGGAGAAUUAUAUAUUAAUUAAAGAAUAGCUAGUUAUUGCUAUUGUUAUUUGUUUAGUCCAAAAAAAUUUAUAAAAUUAUAUGUAUUUGAAAGUUUGCAAUAGCAGGUUAUCGCAAGCGUUUAUUUAUAAAUGGAACAUAAAAUAUGUAAAUUAUCAAAUUCCACGCCUUAAAGAUAUUUUAAUACCUUGUUUAUGAACAAUAUUUUGCACAUACAUAAAAUAUGUAAAUUAUCAAUUCGAUACCUUAAGGAUAUUUCAAUACUUUGUUUAUGAACUAUGUUUUGCUCAUUGGUAAAAUUAUUGAUAUAAGCAUCCAGUAUCUCCCAAAUUAUGGCCAAAGUUGCUACGAAACACUGUAACUACACAGGGGUACUAUUAUCUUUGAAUUCAAUUUUAGCAUAUUUUUGUCACUCUUUUAUGCUGACGUGACACAUUUAUUACAUAUAAUGGGCACUAUGUCAGCUAAAAAAAUUGACAAAAAUGUCACAUCAGCAAAAAAGAAUGACAAAAAUACGCUAAAAUUUAAUUCAGGAGGGUAAUAAAACCCCCAUAAAGUUAGAGUGUCAAUAGAAAAUUUGGUCAUAAUUCAGGAAUACUAAAUGCUUUACUCUAAAAUUAUAUAAAAGUUAAAAGUAAUUUAAUACUCCCUCUAUUUCAUAAUAAAUGAAUUGUUGGAUUUUGACACACAUAUUAAGAAAAAAAUAUUAAAGACAUAAAUUUAACACAACUUUCUAUUUUUACCCCAAAAAAAAAAAAAGUUGACCUUAUAAUAUCUUUUCAGUUAAUUGAUUGUCAAAUCAUAAGAGCAAACUUGAAAAAAAAAUUCAAUGAUUCACUUAUUUUGAAACACCAAUAAAUACCCCAACAAUUCACUUAUUCUGAAACGGAGGGAAUAUUUUUCACAAAAAAAAAGAGGCAACCCGGUGCAGUAGUAAAGCUACCGCUAUGUACGGUGUCCGGGGAAGAGCCCCACCACAAGAGUGUAUCGUAUGCAACCUUAUCAUGCAUUUCAACCAGAGGCUGUUUCCAAGCUUCAACUCGUGACCUCCUGGUCGCAUGGCAACAACUUUACCGGUCACAAAUUGCAAAAAUUUAUAAGAAUCAUACUUGAUUAACAGAUAAAUAACCUUGGAUAGUUUUCUCAUAUAUCUAAAUAGUACAAAAAUCAAGUAGAAUAUAUAGUAUACAAUCAAGGCUCUUGCAUACAACUAUUCUUUAGCAUAUAGCAGAGCAGCAUCUACAGUUCCCUGUAUGUGUAUUAGUUCUACAAGUUGUUGGAUGGUAUCUCUCCGUCGACGAAAAAAACCCGCCUCACCUGACAUUAUUCAUGUAAUAUUUGGCGACUCGCGUUCCUCUGAUGGCAGAUGAAGUCAUUUGCGAGUUAAGGUAUGUCAAAGUUGAGCGAAAAGGAUUUCGUUCCAUGUAUCCGGAACACCGGGUAAGCACCAAUGCAGACAAUCCUGGACUCCGGGUGUUGCUUUGAUGCUGUAUCGAGAUAUAUGACCCUCGUCUCUCAGCUGAGAUAAAGCCGUGAUGUCCAGAAGCUUAACGGAUGUGCCUCUUACAGCCCGCGCUGCAUCGUAGUCACUUGAUUCGUCUUGUAGAACUUCCUUCCCCUCGGAAAGUGGUGUAGUGUUGUCACAGGUACCUCCGGUGUUCCAAUCUCCGUUGAAGAAAUGUCUAGGGGAAAUAGACCGGUAGAAUGCUUUUACGUGAGGGUAUUUCGGUAGCUGUGAGUUCACCCAAUUGACAAUACUGUGAAUGGUAAAAUUCUUGGCACCACCAAUAGUCGCGGUCUUCUUGUUUGUAUUAGGAACACCGUCUACAUACAUGACCCAUCGGUUGGCCUUGAGUUUUCCUCUAUUCCAAUGAUGUCCUGUGUUUAGAACAAUGACAUCGAGCCUCGGGAGGAAAUGACUCAAAAAUGCUGGAGGACGGUCGAGGUGCAUGGCGUAAUCGGUAGCAGGGUCGGAUGGAUUUAUAGGUGUUAAGUCGCAGAGACUAGCAGACCAAUAGUAAAGGAUAGUCGUGUUGGUCUCUGGAAAUCGAUAAGCCCAUCCAUCAGGUCGCUUAGAACCACGAGAUUGCACAAGACCAUAUUCAUGCCCCACGUCACGAACAUCAGGUCUAUCUUUUCCACCAGUAACCAUACACAUAAGUGACUGAAAUUGCUGUCUACCAAGCGAAUCUCCGAUAAACGCCAGGGUCUUGUUUUGCAUCCUAGAUGCACCAUCAAAUUUAGUGAAUCACUUACAUGUCGAAUAACUAGAUUCAGAUAAGUUCGAGAUCGCAAUGCUAAGCAACAAGAAUUAACUUACCGAAAGAUGUGAGAACAUAAUUUUUCAUAAUUUGCAUGUUCGUAUGUGCAAGACAAGGAUGGGGAACAACCCACGAGAUUUUAAAAAAAAAAAAGAGGUCUACUGUCACAGAUGAUACAUUUCAUGUUUGACAUACAUUUCAAUAUUUCGAUUCAGCCAAACACCUAUCUUAUUAGCCUCGAAACAAUAGCCGACAGCACGAAGGUAAGCAUUUCAUCCAGUAAAUAAGGAAUAUUUUGCUCUUUCAUAGACCACAUCGGAGUUGGAUUCAAGAGUCAGAAAUAAAGACUUCAUAAGAAAAAUUACGUUACCUUUUGAGAAACUUAACACCUGUAAACUCUUCCAUCUCGCAGUUUUUGGGUCGCCAACGUAACUUUUCAUAUUCAAAAUCUGUACGUUGUGUCAAGCGGCAAGCCCACAUAGAUGACAACCAUUGCUUGCAGCCAAAUCCAGAAUAUAAAGGUCGGCUAUCAUCUAUGUCCCAUCUGCCUUUAGCUAAGUUGCAAUCUGAAAACGCGGCUUGCCAUAUUAUAAGAAUCUCAAGAAUUUGUAGACAAUUUCAUAGCUAAACGACAUCAAUUAUCACGCAGACAGCAAAAAUGAAAAAACAAAUCAAUGAUUAGAUAAAUAAGAACAAGAAACAAAAGAUAGGUUACCUCGUCUUUCCGGGGUAAUUGUCAAAUUUUCACUAUGUUCAUUGCCAGAGUUCACAAGAGUGGAAACAUCAGUAAGCUGCUCUAUCGAACCACUUUUUUUGUCUGAAACGUCUUUUAGAUCUCCAUUUUCAGUAAAGUUGGGAACAAUACCUGCACUGUCGAAGAACACAAUUAAAAUAUCAAAUGGUGGAGAAUAGAGAUCAGCUAACUUUCCUAGUAUCUCAGAGCAAAACAAAAGAGUCUGUUCACUUUAGCACGUCAAAAACAACCCCAUGAAAGUAAUCCAUUACGAUGCACUAUGCAACAACAAUAGCAUAUGCCCAGUGUGAUCCCACAAGUGGGGUCUGGGUAGGGUAGAGUGUACGCAGACCUUACCCCUACCUUGGGAGGUAGAGAGGUGGUUUCCGUCUUUCCGAUAGACACUCUUCUCAAGAAAAAACAUAUCAUUUUGUGAAUGCAAAUCAAGUUUACCAGUCAAAAACAAGCUAGAGUACGAGUUACUUUUACGUUUACUAUUGAGGAGAGGGUAGUUCUUCUUUUGUUUAAAUUUGGAAGGACAAAAGCAGCCACAAUUUCAAAUACCGUAGAGAUGUUAAAGGACUCUUCUAAUUCAUCAAGGUUUUUGUACUUCGGGGUGAGGAAAUAAUGACGUACGAAACAACACCCACCUCCUAUUUCUUCGUGAGUAACCAAUUCUUCAGUCACCUUAAUUACUGGUGAAGAGUUGGUAUAAGUAGGAUAUUUCUCAGAUUCAAGGAUAACACUGUCUACUGAUUGCUCGGAUCCGCUUCCUUCUCCCAAAGCGUCUUCAUCUUUCACUCUAAGAUCUGCCAGAGAAGAGAGUAUAAAUAAGUAAUUCAACAGGAUCCCGCAACAUGUCCACCAAAGGGUUGAGUCCUAACUCCCAAUUCGGAGUAGUGCCUUCAUUACUUAAAAAGUAGUUGCGGAAUAUACACAAACUCGACCAUUCUUUUAGGAGAUAAAUAGUUGAGAACUAAAAAACUACGGUUUAGCAAAAUGCGGCUAGAUCAAUAAGGUCAGCAGUGUAUCCACCAUAAAGUAAGAUGAAUGUGGUAAAGAUCCAACCAUACCAUUUGACAAAAGGUGUAUGUAUUAGAGAUUCCAUGUCCGCCAAGUAAUAACGUAUCCUAAACUCUCGUAAAAAAAUGAGGCGUAUUCACUUCGAAUGUUACUUUCCCAUUUAGACAAGCUUUCUUCAUAAGAUAUCCUCACAAUAAGCCGUUGAUAUUAACUAUACUGGUGUUCUGUGCAAACUUAAACCCAUAAACGCAUCUCAACUAAGAAAGACCUAUUGCACUCAAAAGAUAUAUAAAACGUUUGAAUGGUUAACAAAGGACUUCUUCGUUUAGUGUGAAAAUGCUCUAGCACAAACAGCAAAGAGCUCCAAUGUAAAAUACAACCAUAAUCCUUAAACUUGAUAAAGAUAUUAACUAACACGUAAUAACGAAAAAAAUGAAAAGGCAGCAAUGGUACGUCAGAGGGUUUAUACAAACCUGGAGAAAGCUGCAAGACGUGAUUCUGAGGUAGUAGUGAAGAAGAAAGAAAUAGGCUUUUCACAUACGCCAAAAGAAGAAUGGUAGCACAUACGAAUCCAAUAAGGAUGAGAGAGAUCUGUGACACCUUCAAACCUCCCUUCAUCCUUCAAGCUCGAUGUCUGGACUUGAACUCAUUCCACCACAAUGGACAUUGAGUUUGCUUCAGAUUAACAUCUGUCAAUCAGUGAAAGGAAAAUGUUUUGAGGUAAAAAUAGAAGUGCUGUUUCGUGUAAAAAAGGUGCAGUUAGAGAUUCACACGCACAAAUCUUGAUAUGGACCAUAAAACCAGACAUUUAUAGAUCGUAGAAAGUCACCUUUGACAGAUAAUAACGGAAACUAUUGUAUGCUCUCAAAUAAUGAAGUAAGCAUCUUUAAGAAACGGCAAUCAAAUAGUACUCUGAUCAAUCAAAAAGAGCUGUCCUCCAUAAGCUUCCUUCUCUAAAUUUGAGAGUAUAACAACAAAGGCAACAUAACCAGUGUAGUCCCACAAUGAGAAGCAAACAGAGAUAGAUUUUACAAUUUACGUUAAUCAAGUCCAAUACACCUCUAGUAAACAGGUAAAGUUGUUGCCAUUUGACCAGGAGGUCACGGAUUCAAGCCUUGGGAAACAACCUCUGGCAGAAAUGCAAGGUAAGGCUGCGUACGAUACACCUUGUAGUGGGGCCCUUCUCCGGACCCUGCGCAUAGCGGGAGCUUUAGUGCACCCGCUGCCCUUUUACAUUAAUCAAGUCCAAGCACAACAAAAAUCAUCCAAUACUUAAAGGCCAUUGCUAUUUAGAGUCUACGACCCUUUCUAGCUCCUUCACUUUAUGAUGAAAAACCAGCAUCCUGCCUUCACCCGUUAUUUCAAUCAAUAUCUUUCUGUACAGUUCAACACGACCUCUAAUAAAGGUUCAGUAACAACCAAUAAGAAUUGAAAGUUUCCAUGUCAAAGGUUCAGUAAUUUCAUGCAAUACUAGAUAGUUUCAGCAAAACCAUGGAAUGAUAACGAUAAUACCGCUGUUUCUUCCUAUUGACCACAUUUAACUAAGUAUUACCUCCAUUCUCAAGGUCUCUGGUUCGAAAUGGAGUUGCCUUUGAUAAGAAGUGCUUUACUCCCUAGGGUUGGACCAAAUUUUAUCUUUGAACCAGAACCAUCCACUUGUUAUUAUUUCCUACCUGACAAAUCAAUCCUAGUAACUAAAGCAACAACCACUGCAAAUAAUACUACUAGAAAACAAAAACAGUAGCUCUACCAACAUGAAGGAAUUAUACCAACAAUUUUAUUAAAAGCAGAUUGAGACGGGUAAGGUGCUUAAAUUGAACAACAACCUACCCAGUGUGAUCCCACAAGUGGAGUAUGGGAAAGGCAGGAUGCACACAGAUAUUACCCUUACUUUGUGGGUAGAGACGAAAUCCAGUACCCUGAACAUGCAAAUUACCACUACAUCAAGGAACAUAAACAACAUUCAUGGCACAAAUCAUAAUCACUACUAAUAAAUCUAGCAAAAGAAAAAAAACAAAGAUUGCAGCUUUUUCAACAUGAAGGAAUGACGGCAACAAUUUUAUUCAGCGCACACACAAAUGGAGGUGGAAACUUGAAAACCCCAAAAUCUCCAAACAAGGACAGAGCUAGCCUUAGCUAAACGAUUCCGCACACAGUAUUUCUUUUUCAGUCCGUUUCAAAAAAGGAUGUUUCUUUCCUUUUUUGUCCAACUCUUUCAUUUCAACAUGUUUAAGACACAAAAUUAAACUAAUUUUAGUAUAUUCUACAUAUCUUUAAGACCACAAGACUCAAAAGUAUUCUUCUACUUUCUUAAACUCAGUGUCAUGUCAAAAUACAACAAUCAAAUCGAGACGGACGGAGUAAUCUACAACCUAAUAACAUAAAAAGGCUAAAAAUCCAAGACCAUAAACUUCGAAUUUCGGCUCUGCCUCCGUAUUAAAAUAAGCUAAAGAUUGGAUCUUUAAGAAUGUCGAACGCAGAAAAUAAAUACAAACAACAACAACAACAUACACAGUGUAUUCCCACAAAGUGGGGUCUGGGGAGGGUAAAAUAUACGAAGUCCAUACCACUACCACAGAUGUAGAGAGGUUGUUUCCGAUAGACCCUCGGCUCAUGACAAAUAAUAGUAUACCAAAAAAUAAAUACAUAUAACAUAAUACACUCAAUUCAAGCUGCAAAAAGAUUGGAUCCUUAACAAAUUCCAAGGCAAAAAAUAAAUAGUACAUAUAUAUAACAUAAUACACUCAAUUCACAACACAAAAAAAAAAUACAUACAAAAUAACACAGUCAAUUCAAGCUGCAAAAAAGAUUGGAUCUUUAAUAAAUAGUACAUAAAUAACAUAAUACACUCAAUUCACAUCACAGAAAAAAAUAUACAUAUAAAUUAACAGAGUCAAUUCAAGCUGCAAAAAAGAUUGGAUCUUUAAUAAAUAGUACAUAUAUAACAUAAUACAUUCAAUUUACAUCACAAAAAAAAAUACAUAUAAAUUAACAGAGUCAAUUCAAGCUGCAAAAAAGAUUGGAUCUUUAAUAAAUAGUACAUAUAUAACAUAAUACACUCAAUUCACAUCACAAAAUACAUAUAAAAUAACACAGUCAAUUCAAACUGCAAAAAAAAAAAUGGAUCUUUAUUAAAUAGUACAUAUAUAACAUAUACACUCAAUUCACAUCACACAAAAAAAAAAAGAGAAAAUGAAUUGUUUCCACUCUAAACUAUACACGAAAUUGUUGAGACACAUCCGAACUUUAGGAGGGUCCUAUUAUCCCUGACUAUUUAAAUCCAUAUAUUUGACAACCUUAGUACCUACGUGGACCUUCAGUGUGUUAGAUUCACUGAUGUGCCACGUAUGUGAUAUGUAGGCACUAAGGUUGCCAAAAAUACGGUUUUAAUUAGUACAGGGUAAUAGGACCUCCUAAAGUUCGGGUGUGUCCCAGCAAUUUCAUUUUUCGUGUAUAGUUCAGGCCGGAAACAGAGCAUUUACUAAAAAAAAAAAGUACAUAUAAAAUAACACAUCAAUUCAAGCUGCAAAAAAGAUUGGAUCUUCAAUAAAUAGUACAUAUAUAACAUAAUAUACUCAAUUCACAUCACGAAAAUAAAUACAUAUAAAAUAACACAGUCAAUUCAAGCUGCAAAAAAUAUUGGAUCUUUAAGAAAAUUGAACACACACACAUAAAAAAUCUGAAUUAUAACAGCUAAAAAAAAAAAGGAUAAAUAAUAUUCAAGCACAAAUGAACAGUUUAAUGCCACAUAAUUCAUAAACAGUAUUGAGUGUUUUAGCAGAUUUACAUUAAAAAUAUAUACAAAUACUAUAUUAAAUCUGAGCAAAAUAAAUAUAGAAAAUGUGUACCUCAAAUUGGAUAAAAUUGGAGCUGGAAAUGGCAAGAUUUAAUGAUGGAGAAAUAAUUAAAGAAGAUAAAAUAAUUAAUUAAAUUAAAUUAUAUAAUAAUAAUGAUGAUGAAUUUUGGGUUUAGAGGCAAAAUAAGAAUUAUGAGUUGGAAGAAUUAAGAGAGAAAAUGGAGAUGUAUGAAGUGGAAGAAUAGUGUAAUGGUAAUGGAGAAAAUCAAGUGGGACAAAAAAAGGAAAUAGUAUUCAAAUAUGGUCCAUUAUUUGUUCUAUGUUUUAUUGUUUUUUAUAAAAAUAACAUAAAAACUUACUUAAUUAUAUAUUUUAAUAAAUUUAAAAUUAAAAAAAAUAUAUCAAAAGCUAAUUAUAUAUUUUUAUAAAGAAAAAAAUAUAUCUUUGUUAGAUGUAUCGAAAGUUAAUUAUAUAUCUCGACACAAGAAAAUCGAGAAAAAAUAUUGAGAGUUAUUAUGUAUCUUUAAUUCUUUACAGAGGAAAAAAAUUAUAUAUUAUCGAAAGCUAAUUAUAUAUUUUCAUAGAUUCAAAAUUGAGUCGAGAGGUAAUUAUGGACCUAUUUAUUGUUUAGCUUCAAUUUAUUGCAAAAUUUUGCAUGUUUGCAUUCUCACUCUCCCUAUGUAUGGUGUGUUUGGUGUCAUUUUAUUAUAAAGAUGUGUAUUUUUAAGUCAAAAAUAAAAAAGAGGAGUAUUUUUUAGCUAAAAAAAUUAAUGGAGAUAUAUUUUUCUUCGUUUCAAAUAGUUCAGGAGUUUUUUUUUUUUCUCCUCGCCACCUCCCACAAGCAACAGAUACCAAAUAACUCUGUCAGACUAAAAUAGAUGGAAAGAAAACACCUGAUGUUUGUUUCUGAUGGGAAUUGAACCAGAUAGUAUUUCUGGCCCCUUUCUAAAUAAUACAUCUCAUAUGUUUCACUGACAGAAUUAUAAUAUUAUUUAUGCAAUUUUUAAGUAUAUAACAAAUUAAAAAUAAAAAAAUAAUUACAAUAAAAUAUAAAAUAAAAAAUUACUAAAAUACCCUCGAUCACAAGUAGACAGGUGGAAGUCAGAGUGACAAUCGUCAACUCCCUGCUCACUCGCUCAUGCUUAUAUAAUGAAAGUCGACGUGACAACUAUCAGCUACCUGCUCACUCACGCUCGUAUAACGUAAACCGACCGACAUGACAACCGACAGCUUUCUGCUCACUUAUACUUUUAUAUAAUGUAAAGAAAAUAGAUGAUAUUUGAUGGUGGGAUUGUGGGUGUUCAAAAGGUUCGAACAUAUAUAUUAAUGCUAAAAAAUUUAAGAUUUUGCCUACAAACUAAAGCACUCAGUUAUCUUUUCGGUUCACUAGGGUGCUUUUAUACAGUACUUUUUUUAUAUAAUUAUACCUAACUAGUUUAGCCGCACGUAUCUCGCCCGUGUAAUAUUUGAUUAUUUCAAAUUAAAUAAUUUUAUCAAUGGCGGAGAUUUUAUCUAACAUUUUUAUAUUUAUUCUUAAAUUUUUUAAAUAUUCUUAAAAUCAAAUUCAGUUGAUUUAAAAUUCUUAAACUAAUGAAAAAAGAAUUAGUUGUCAUUAAUUCUGAUGAUUCUAACAAGAAAUGAUUUUAUCAUAAAUAUAUUUAAUUAUUUUUCAACUCUUAUAUAUUAGGAAAAAUAGUGAAAAGACGAUUUUAUUUAAAGCAAAAACUCUUAAUUAAGAGUAAAAAAUUCAAACAUUAUUUUUAAGUAGGUUUGUGCAAAAACCAAACCGACCGAUAAACCGAACCGAUAAAAAUAUUAUUAGUUUAUUGUUAUUAGGUUAACGGUUUUUAAUGGUUUUAUAAAAAAAAUUAUUGGGUUAUUGGUUCGGUUUGAUUUUAUCUUAUUGGUUAUUGGGUAAACUGAUAACCCAAUAAUAUAUAUAUAUAUAUAUAUUAAUCAACCUUUUAUUUCAAUUAUACAAACUCUUAAUUUCUCCUAACAACAUUUAGUCUAAAUUUGAAGAUUUUUGUAAAUUAAAACACAUCAAGUAAGAUUUUUUAUUGCAAUUAGGAUUCGAUUUUUUUCAUGUUAGUCACUACUAUUUUUAUGUUUGAGUAUUUUCUUAUCGGUUAAACCGAAAAUGAAUCGUUAAAGAUUAAAAAUCGAUAAAUCGAAAACUGCUAAAAAAUAUCUUAUUGGUUUAGCAUAUUUAAAAAACGAAAACCAAUAAAUCAAAUCGAACCGAACCGACCGAUGCACACCUCUAUUUUUAAGGUCUUUAAUACUUUUAAUAUAAUAUAUAUAGAGAGAGAAAUAUAGAUAUAGAUAUAGAUAUAGAUGUGCGUAGCCAAAAUAUUAGCUAUAGGUCCGUCCUAACAUUGGAUCAUCCAAACAAAGCCUAAUGGAGGGGUAUUUUUGGAAUUUGAGUAGUCACCCAAAAUAGUUCUCACUUUCUUCUUCUUCUUCUUCUACACGAAAUCUACAACUCUCUUUAUACUGAAAAAAAAACCCUAAAUCAGCAAUCAGAAGGAACACAAAAAGCAAAAAGCAAAAAUGAGUAGAGGAAGCGGAGGAGGAUACGAUCGUCACAUUACCAUUUUCUCUCCCGAAGGUCGUCUCUUCCAAGUUGGUAAGCUUUUUUUUUGAAUUUCUUAAUAUUUUUUUUUAAUAAAAAAUACUUACUUUUAACAUGUGAUUUUUAUUCAGUUGAUAGAAAAAGUAGUUUUUGUGUGUAUGUGUUGUGAGCAGAAUAUGCUUUUAAAGCUGUGAAGGCAGCUGGAAUUACAUCUAUUGGUGUUCGUGGGAAGGACUCUGUUUGUGUUGUUACUCAGAAGAAAGUCCCUGUAAGUCAUUUGUAAAUCAUUAGUUUUUUCUGUGUAAUUUGUACAUAGCAAAUUGUAAAUCGUUAGUGUUUUCUGUGCAAUUUGUACAUAGCAAUUUGUAGAUCAUUAGUGUUUUCUGUGCAAUUUGUAAAUUAUUAGUGUUUUCUGUGCGAUUUGUAGAUCAUUAGUGUUUUUAUUCAGGUGAGCAAGUUGAGUUUCCUAUCUAAAUUAUCGUGUAACUAGUUGUCAAAACAUACCUCAACUAUGAAACUCAAACAAUUAAUAGUUGAGGUAUGUUUUGACAAAUAGUUACGUGAUAAUUUAGGUAGAAAACUUGCACACCUGAUGGUUCAAGUAUGAGACUCAAUAAACCACGAUACUUUAGGUGUGUUUUUUACUAUUAACUUGAGGCGGAGUCAGGAUUUGAAUCUUAUGAGUUUGGGGUUCUAAAUUAAUAACUUUUAUAUAUAUAUAUAUAUAUAUAUAUAUUCAAGGGAUUAUUUAAAGACAAAUCUAAAGUUUCGACCAAAGCUGCUAAAUCUUGCCGCAUUCUUAACUCAUAUUCUAGCUCCGCCCCUCUACUCUGUUGAGAGACUUGUACAUCAGUGUAUGGGGAAGUGAGAGAUUUAGAGUACGUCGAGUUUUCCAGAGCUCAUAAUUUAGUGUCAAAGAUAAGAUUUUUAGUAUUUGAGUGAAAUGGUCUUGAGUAAGCAAAAUAGAUGUGUAAGGUUCAUAAAACCAACGUCUACUAGUUUGGAAUUGAAGGCUUAGUUGUUUGUGAUGUUACUCAGAGGAAAACCCCUGUAAGUUCCAAGUUUUUGUGCAUUUGUAAAUCAUAAGUCCUUUUAUUCUGUUGAGAGACUUGUAGGUCCGUUAAGUAGAAGUGACAGUUUUAGGGAACCUCUUGUUUUCUAGAACUCAUAAUUUGCGAUCAAAGACAAGUUCCUUAGUAUUCCAGUAGUCGGGACCAAAUAAAGCAGAAUGCAUGUGGAGAAUUCAUAAAGACCACCCCAAUUAUCUUGGAAUUGAAGCUUAGUUAAUAUAUUUUCUAUAUGAUCUAGGAUUACUGAUAUAGCAAAGUUGGGGGAAUUGUGAGAAAAGGAAGCCAUUGUUUUGUAUAUAGUCAGAGAGUGUUGUGGUUUGUUCUGGUACAGCCUAUUUUGUUGAUUAUGUUUCCAAUAAAUUAGACUUGUAACCUUGUAAAUAUAGACCUGCUGUGGAGUUUGAUUCAUUAUGUGUGUUUUGGCUGAGCAGGACAAGCUAUUGGAUCAGACCAGUGUAUCCCAUUUGUUCCCAAUUACCAAGUAUCUCGGACUAUUGGCUACUGGCAUGACAGGUUUGCAAUCUUUAUGGGGUUCUAGUAGACAUGGAAAAUAAUGUUUUUAAUCUUUUGUUGAUAAACUACCAGUUAAUAAAGAUUCAUCUUAUAUCUGUCUACCUUUUCCCCUGGAAACAAGGGAACAUAUCAAUGUAUCCUCCUUUUUGUGAUAAGUGUAUAAUUGUUGAAAAAUGUGAAAACUUUUGCACCCUAAACUUUCCUGUAUGGAUGCCUAUUAAUCUCUUUUAGCAUUGUUGCUUAGCCCCAAAAGAGAAUGCUUUGCUACUGAGGCUAUGGUUUAAUGUUUAUGAACUAAUUAGGGACAAUUUGAGUUUUAAAAGUUAUCCAUUUAUCGUAUUUUAGGUUUAUUUAGCUAUGGAUCAUAUUACUGUCAAUAUGUGAAUAUCAAUGCAUAGCUCCUUCCAGAACCUAUGAUUCUAUAAUUUGUUUCGACGUUUUCAAUUUCAGCUGAUGCAAGAACCUUGGUUCAACAAGCUCGAAAUGAAGCUGCUGAGUUUCGUUUUAAAUAUGGAUAUGAAAUGCCAGCAGAUGUACUGUCUAAAUGGUAUUCCUUUUGUUUCAUUGUAUUCUUCUCUUUGUACCUUCCCGGUUUAUAAUUUAGAGUGCCAUCCUCAAUGGUCUUUUCUAAGAAAAUAGCAAAUUAUUGGUAUGGAAGGAGCAGCUUAGGACAUCGCUUGUACGUUUUUCUCCAUCAACUUUUAAUUUUCGAAGCUAUCAAUCAUUUAUUUGAUUCAUUAGAGGAGUUAAAAAGUUUUAGAAUUUUAUGAAUGUUCUUUAGUUGACAUUCUGUAAAUGCAUCAGCUUGAAUGCAUAACAGAUAAAACUACGUACAUGAGAAGAAUGACCAGCUUUAAUUUCCCAUUAAUAAUUGUAUAAUGAUCUAUAGAACAUGUAUUUUCAGGAUUGCAGACAAGUCUCAGGUUUACACACAGCAUGCCUAUAUGAGGCCCCUGGGAGUAGGUUUGUUGCUGGCCCCUUUGAUCUGAAGCGUCUCUUAUCCUACUUUUCUUUUUGUUGGUGAGGAAGGAGGGGGAAUGCAUUUCUGACUCUGCAUUUUUACUCAUUCCUGUUUUUUGAUGCAUAGUUGCUAUGGUUUUGGGCAUUGAUGAGGAGAAAGGGCCCCAACUCUUCAAAUGUGACCCUGCUGGUCAUUUUUUUGGUCACAAGGUAUUUGCUUAAUUUGAUUUUCCAAUCUGAAUAAAAGCUGUUAAAUUUUUUUCCUGUUUAUGGCCUUCUAGUGACUGCCUUUCCUAGUCAUGGUUAUUCAGUUGCUCGAGCUGCCAUCAUGCUAGUUGAAUCUUGGCAGACAAAUGAUCAGAUCUCAAAUUUGCAUAAUUUGUUUAAUCUAUAUAAGUCUCAUAAGUUAUAUACACAUGCAUAUACAGAUACAUAAUGCAUAUAUUUACACGUAGGGUAGAGAGGGUGGAGGAGAAAAAAUGUUCUACCUACCAAGUUUCCCCUACUGAAGGAAACUGCUAAUAAAAAUGUGGAAGACGACUAAAAGCCAUUUGAUGUUCCAAUACACACACACACACACACAUCACAAGUAGUCACUCUUUUUUGCUUUUCUUCUUAAUUCUGAAGGUCACGGCCUUGGGUGCACUAAAAGAUUUGAUGAACUUUACCAUAGUCAAAGAAUUUCUCAACAGCUAAGGAGGUUUAUAUAUGUAUUAUGAUUCACGAAAGAUUAGGGGGCUUGAGUAAUUUCAGGAAUUAAUCCACAAGAGCGGGUCGCUUCUUUCAUUUUAGUGGUUAUAAGAGUACCAAUUAAUUUGUGAAUGUAUUUUUGCAAUCUAGCAUAGUGUCUGAAAUCUUUAGAUGUCAUCUUGCUUAUCAGUUAAUCAUCUUUUAUCUCUCAAAUUCAUCUUUCUUUCUUUUUUCACACCACUCUAUCAUAGCCUCUAGCCAGAGACCAAAUCUUUGCCAACUGCAUUGUCCCAUUGUGUUCAAUCAUGUCCUGGCACCCUUUGUACCUUAUUGCAUACUGUGCAUAAGCCAAUGUGUGGUAUUCAUAUUGGGAUUCGAACCCAUUGACGAUUUUAAGUGGCACAUGAAAACUCUAAUCCUGAAAAUCCUAUAAUUCGUUCUAUUAAAAAAUAAGACAAGAAGAAAGAUAAAAUCAGAAAAAAGAUAAAAUCCUGUAAUUCAAGGACGAUUGUACUUUGGAUCUGAAAACCUGAUUUAAAUGCUGCAAGGUAAAAACGAUAUUUUACUAUUAUUACCCACAUUUUCUAUACGAAAUGAAUGUGUUAAAAUAUCAAUUGCUGAACAUGAUACAAGAAAUUUAUUAGUUGAAGCAUGCAUAUGAAAGGGUUUCUGGACGAGUUGAAGGAGGUAGAAUCUAGACUUUACGACUCCGUGCUUUGCUUCUUUUAAUGUUUAACUGUAGCUUACACUCACUCACCAUAAAAGGCCCAAAAGUACGAACACCAUGUCAUAUUAGUAAUAUUUAGCAAGUUUAUGAGAGGAUGUUACGGACUUUGAAUUCCCAUCCUGUGGUUCUUCUGAAGUGUUAGUACUUUCCUUGCUUGUCAUCUUGUUUAUGAUGGUAUGUAUUACAUUUAUCGACCUUGUGCAGGCUACAAGUGCUGGAUCUAAAGAGCAGGAGUCAAUUAAUUUCUUGGAGAAGAAAAUGAAAAAUAACCCUGCUUUCUCCUAUGAGGAAACUGUUCAGGUAACAGGAAUGAGAGUACUUGGAUGUGGUUUAAGGCUUUUAUUCUCCUUCUGUUGUUUUGUUCCUCACUGCAUAUACUAGCAAAGGACUGCACAAUUUCCCAUCUUGUUGUGUAAUUGACCAAAAAUUUUAGUAUAAGACUGUUACGGUUAAUGUAAGAUAUUAGAGUUGAUAAAUACCUCCUAAUAAAAUCUAGAAGUGGCUUUCUUUUCCAUGUACUGGCUUAGGUAAAUGGAUUCUUUUGUUAAAGCCUUAGAAAUCUUAAUUUGGCUAGUGCUUAUAGUUUUGCAGAUGUUUGAAAUAAAUUGUACAAGCUAUACAUUUGAUUGAGAACGAUUCAAUUUUAUUUGUGAAGUUUCAGUAUAUCGUGUUCAUGUAAUUUUUAGAAUUCUGUCUAUAUGAGGUUUUGAUGUUAAAAAGUUAGGAGAAUGCACUUCAGUGUUGCUGAUACAUUAUUUUUGUUCUGUAGACUACAAUUUCUGCUCUUCAAUCUGUUCUGCAAGAGGAUUUCAAGGCCAGUGAAAUUGAGGUAAUUUGUUUCUUUCCACAAUACACAUAUUAUCCGCCAUUAAUAGUGCAGUUAUUAUUGCCUGUGUUGAUCACCACUUGAGCAGAGAAGAAAAAGGGGGAAGGGGAAGGAGCGCAGUGCUUUUUGCUGUUCUUGGUUUUCUUCAAAGGAAUCAUUUCUUUUUCUUGUUUGGGGAUUGAUUUAGAAGUACUUGAGUCGCACCUCGGAAUGGUUACCAUCACAGGUCAUGCGAUACAUAUUCCAUUAGAUAGUGUAGUUGCUUAAUCUUCGUAUAACUAGCUACUAGACAAUAGAAUGAGACCUCUUUAUCACACUAACUGAUUCCACUUUUGUUGUCUUAGUGAAUCAUAGUGCUGCCUAGGAUGUGCAACUGCAUUGCUUCGUAUCAUAUUAUCGUUCGUAGUGCUGCUUAGGAUGUGUUGCAUUGCUUCGUAUCAUAAUAUCGUUUGGUCUUUGAUAGGUUGGAGUUGUGAGGAAGGAAGAUCCCGUCUUUAGAGUGUUAUCUACUGAGGAAAUCGACGAGCACUUAACAGCCAUCAGCGAGCGUGACUGAUUAGCCACGGGAUAACAGUCUGUUUUCAGUUAGAAAUGUAUGUUUGCGCUAUCUCGACUUGCAAAAGAUCCCGUUUGAUUGUCAGUUGGUGGGAAUAGACAGAAUCCUUCUGCAUAUGUUGAUACUGAGUUUCUAAUCGUUGAAUGUAACAUUUCUUGGGAUCUUCUUAGUUUCAACAAAAAUGUUUGAAUGCCUACUGCCUGGGAUUAUAUUUAAAUUUUACUUUGAGCGUUUCACAUCUUAUUCUUCGAUUCUAGUAUUACUUUGUUUCCUUGCUUCAAUGGUCGUAUUGUUUGUUGUUGCUACUCUUCGAUACUGUAUUUGCUUCACAUACUUGAUUUCACAUCUUAUUCUUCGAUUUUAGUAUUACUUUGUUUCCUUGCUUCAAUUGUCGUAUUGUUUGUUGUUGCUACUCUUUGAUACUGUACUUGCUUUACAUACUUGAUUGUAUGAUAUGCUUUACUUGAGUCAAGGGUCUAUUGGAAACAAUCUCUCUAUAUUCACAAGGUAGGGUUAUGGUUGCAUAUAUACCACCCUUCCCCGACUGUACUUGUGGGAUUACUCUUGGUAUGUUUGCGAGGUAGGGGUAUGCUGUUUAUAUUAUAUCCGUUGUGUGAUUCUUUCCUGGAUCUUGCGUGAACGUGGGAUGCUUUGUGCAUCGAGCUGCCUCUUUUAUGAAAUAUAUUUCCAGGCUUAUAGAGAAGCUUAACAAUAACUUGCCUUCAAGCACAUCAAGCCACCGGUUUUAGUGUCUUGAAAUUAAUACUAUGUUAGAACAUUAAAUUUAAGGCAAACAACAUAAAUUUCUACAGUUUUGAGCUUAAUUACAUAAAAUUUUGACACUUUGCAUAGUUACUGGAAUUUUAAUUUUGGGUCUGUCGAGAUACAUAAUUAGCUUACGGUGCGUCUAAUGAAAAUACAUUUUUUUCUUUGUCGUGAUACAUAAUUAACUUUCGAUAUUUUUUUUUUGUUUUCUGGGUCUAUCAAGAUAUAUAAUACAUUUAAUGAAGAUAUAUUUUUUCCUUGUAAAGAUACAUACUUAGCUUUCAAUACAUUUUUUUCGAUUUUAGGUCUGUCGAGAUACAUAAUUAGCUCUCCGAUACAUCCAAUGAAAUACAUAAUUUGUUGGGAUUUUUGUAAUUACUUUUUAAAGGUGGGGAUUUGUGUAAAUAUGGUACAUGAAGGUGUAUGUUAUGUUAUUUUUCCUAAAUCCAAAGCAUGCCAUAAAUAUUUGUUUGAUUAUAAAUUGUGACAAGAGUGAUGAACAUGCUCGAUAUUUGGCGUGUAUAUUAAAUCGCGAAAAAAUGAGGAGAGAUUAUAUUCCUCUCUAGCGAAAAACAGUAAAAAUACAUAAAUAAACAUUCACUGAAACCACCAAAUGAUGUGAUGCAGUGGAUGAGACUGUUUUUUCCUUGACUAGAGGUCUCGAGCUCGAGUCCUGGGUAUGAAAAAAUCCUUGGUAGGCAACGCUACCCCUGAAUGGGGUCCUAUCUGGUGCGAAUUCAAAUUAGUUGGUCCCAAUACAUAUAUCAAAUACCGAGUGGAAAACCAAAAAAAAAAAACAUUCAUUGAAUACAAGGUACGUAAUUGAAUGCAUCAAGUAAUUUAAAGAUUGUAGUGAAACCAUAUUCUCAUCAAUUCUAAUUGAUGAAGAUGAUUACAAGAAUCUCUCAUAUAACUUUAGGAAUAACUAAUAAGUAGUCACUAUUUUCUUAUUUGCCACUAGAUAUAUAGAAAAUGAUUAAUUAUUUAGUACUUUGUAAUGUCAACUAUACAAGCGCUCAUGAACAGAGUUAUCUGAUACUUGUAGGAGGUAGCAGGUAUUCUGUGAAAUUAGUUGAGAUGUACAUAAGUUGACCCAACAAAACAAUUACGACAACUACAACAUAUCCAGUAUAAUUUCACAAAGUGAGGUUUGAAAAGGAUAGAAUGUAUCCUGACCUUACCUUUACCUCAGAGGUAGAGAGGUUGUUCUCGAUAAAUCCUCUGGUACCUGUAGGAGGUAGCAGGUAUUUCGUGAAGUUAGUCAAGAUGUACACAAGUUGAUCCAACAAAACAAUUACAACAACUACAACAUAUCCAGUAUAAUCCCACAAAGUGGGGUCUGGGAAGGAUGGUAUGUACACAGACCUUUCCUCUACCUUAGAGGCAGAGAGGUUGUUCCCGAUAAACCCUCUGGUGGUACCUGCAGGAGGUAGCAGGUAUUCCGGUGAAAUUAAUCGAGAUGUACACAAACUGACCCAACAAAACAAUUACAACAACUACAACACAUUCAGCAUAAUCCCACAGGGUGGAAUCUGAAAAACGUAGAAUGUACGCAUAUCUUAUCUCUACCUCAAAAACAGAGAGGUUGUUUCCGAUAAACCCGAACGUCAGCAUUUUGUAGAUCCAUCGUAUAGGUAGUCAAGAAUAGCAAUAACUCCAAUAACAAAGGCUUGAUCAAUUCCUGCCUUAAUAGUAACAAUAUACACAUCUUUGCUUGGCAUCACUUGUUGAACCUCUUUUCUACUUCCAACCUGCAUUAUUAUACCAUGAAUAUCACUUUACUAUUCAUAAAAGGAUUCAACUUAUGAGUUUAAGUUAUAUAUAUCGUCAGUAUCUUCAUGUCAACUUUUAUAUGUUGUAGCCAGUAACAUAUCUUAUUUUCAAGAUUAUAUAAAGAUUUACAUGUAGAUAUCUUUUAGGUGAGUGGACUUCUAUCUAUCGGGAUAAAACACUUUUCGAGUAAAAUAGUCUAACGCAAAAUAAAAAUUUGUUCGCGUUCGUAGUUGCAAUACAAGGGAUGAUUUUGGAAACUAAAUUUAGUUAGGUUCCAAAAUAAGACAUGGAAUUUGUGUGUAUAUAUGUAUGUGUUCUUGAUAUUUAGACCAUAUACAAUGUGUUUAGUUCAAUCCACAAAUGAAAUGUCAUGUUCUUAAAAUACCAAAAGAUGAUUUUUUUUUCCUAUCUAACUCGAAUCUUGAUGGAUAAAAUUACUUGAAUCUUGAUGGAUAAAAUUAGUUGAUAUAUGUGAUGGUGGAAAGCAAAAUGCAUGUCGAAUUUAAUGAAGAGGAAUCUUGGAGCAACUGGUGAAGUUGCUGUCAUGUGAUCAGGAGGUCACGGGUUCAAACCUUAGAAACAGUCUCUUGCAGAAAUGCAAGGUAAGACUGCGUACAAUACACCCUUGUGGUGGGGCCAUUCUCUGGACCAGUGGCGGAGCCAGACUUUUAGUUAAAGGUGUUCAUAUUUUUCCUUGGGCAAAGAACUGUUUAAAAAACAAAGCUAGACUAUGCUUCUCUAGCUUGUCAAGGGUGUGCAACAACAUGUAUAUAACUAUAAAUAUUUAUAUUUAACCUAUAUACUCGAAAAAAAAUUCCGACGAAGGGUGUUUGUCUGACCACCCUUCGUUGGCUGUGGCUCCGCCACUGCUCCGGACUCUGUGCAUAGCGGGAGCUUUAGUGUACCGGACUGUACUUUUUACUCUAAUAUCUUGUUUGAUUUGAUCAUGUGAUAAAGGAAUGAGGAACCAAUACAUUAUGUUGGGAAGUUGCAUUUUGAUGUUUGUUUUUUCAAGUUCUUGAAACAAACAAAGAACUUGAGCCGAGGGUCUAUCGAAACAAUCUUUCUUUUUACCCCGUAUAAUGUUUGCUUACACAUGCACACCGUUCUCCAAACCCUACUCGUGGGACUAUACACUCGAUAUAUAUAUAUAUAUAUAUAUAUGUUGUUGUUGAAAGUAUCGAAAACCGAAAAAUUAAUAUAUAUGAAAGAGAUAUCACCAUUCAACAUGAAAAUUGAAAUUAGUUAAUUACCUUUGCAAUAACAUUGCCAUUGGAGUCAACAAUGCUACAAGCUCUAUCAGGAAAACAACCAGCAAUCUGAAAAUUCUUCUGAUUUUUGUAAUCAUUUGAUUCAAUAGAAACUUUGAUUGGCAUUUUCUUGAAAAAACAAGAAUUAUUAUUUGGCUCUUUCAAACAAAAUACCAAUUUUUCACAACCUUCAAAAUCUUUACUAUAACCCCUCCAUUUCUUUUGCAUGCUUAGUGCUUCAAUUACUCCACCCUGAAAAUUCAAUGUAUGAAUCAUAAGUAAACCUACAUACGCGAAUUCAAGAUUUAAAGUCGGUUAUACUUAAAUCUACUAAAUUUAUUAUAAAGUAAAGCAUCUAGUACCUUGAACUAUGACCAAAUUUGCUACGACACACUCCAACUUUAUGAGGGUCCUAUUAAUCCCUGACGGUGGCGGAAUCAGGAUUUUUAACAUGGGGGUUCACAAGUGAACAUACGAACUAACCGAAGGGGUUCGACAUCUAUUAUAUAUACAUAGAAAAUAAUUUUAACCACGUAUAUAUAGUAUAAUUUUCUGUUGAAGUGGGUUCGGAUGAACUCCCCUAUUCCAAGUGUAGCUCCGCCACUGCUCCCUGAACUAAAUUUUAGCAUAUUUUUAUCGACCUUUUUAGUUGACGUGGUACCUUUUGUCAACUUUUUUAGCUAACGUGACACCUUUGACGUGGACCUCAUUUUAUAUAAUAAAGGUGUCAUGUCACAUAAAAGGGUGACAAAAAUGCGCUAAAAUUGAGUUCAGGAGGGCCAUAGGACCCCUGUGUGAAGUUGAAGUGUGUCGUAGCUAUUUUGAACAUAAUUUAGGGGUACUGGAUGCUUUUUUCUUUAUUAUAUGAACAUGCAUUUUGAACUUUUUUCUGAAUGACUUUUAACUUCUAGGCACUUAAAGUAUACAUAACAUCGCUAUAAGAUUACCUAAAAGAUAACUACAUGUUUAUUGUACGCAUAUUCAUGAAAUGUGUACGUAUAAAAUAUCACCUAGUGAGAAAUGCAUACAACAACAAUAUACCCUAUGUGAUCUGGGAAGGAUAAAGUAUACACAAAACCUUAUCUUUUACCUUGUGAGGUAGAGAUCAAGACUGUUUCCAAUCGACCCUCGGCUCAAGAAAAACUAGUGAAAACAUGCAUGCAUGAUAUAUAAUUGAAAACAUAUGAAUAUAUUACUUUGUACUAACAAAUGUUAAAUGUACCUUUUUUCUAAUAAGAAGCAAAUCAUGACCAUCACCAUCUUUAAGAAUAACUUCAUUUUUUUUACCAAGAAUCCCACAUCCAUCAACUUUGAAAACAACAUUUUCUGUAUAAUUAUUUGUAACUAUAAAUCCACCACCAUUCACAACAGGUGGACGACUUCUUACUACAAGAACAACCUCAGAAUUUGAACAAUACACCUUACUAACAACAACAGCCAUAUUAUUUGAGUUUUAUUUAAGACGAGGGGGUUGCUCGGAAUUCAGAUGGUAAGAACCCUCAACUUCUAACGAUGAGAUUGUAAGUUCGAGUUAUCAAGGAAGUGAUAAGGUGGAAAAGAGGGGGUUGCUCAGAGGUUGUCAGUUGGAGUUUUCAAGGGAGCGAUAAGGCGGGAGGUCCUAGCUAGGGAAAACAAGGUUGAUUGUGGAAAAGACAAGAGGGGGUUGCUCGGAAUUCGGAUGGUAAGCACCCUCAACUUCCAACAAUGAGGUUGUCAGUUCGAGUUAUCAAGGGAGUGAUAAGGUGGGCGGAGCUCCUAGCUAGGGACAAAAAAAAGUUGAUUGUGGAAAAGAUAAGAGGGGUUUGCUCGGAAUUUGGACGGUAGCCACCCUCAACUUCCAACAAUGAAGUUGUGAGUUUGAGUUAUCAAGGGAGUGAUAAGGUGGGAGCUCCUAGCUAGGAAAAAAAAAGGUUGAUUGUGGAAAAGAUAAGAGGGGGUUGCUCGGAAUUCAGAUGGUAAGCACCCUCAACUUCUAAUAACGAGGCUGUGAGUUCGACUUAUCAAGAAAGCGAUAAGGUGGGAGCUCCUAGCUAGGGAGAAAAAAAUUUGAUUGUGGAAAUUGAUGUUGGAAUAAAAAUUGAGAUAGUGUGUAUUUAUAGGUUAUAAUAUGUAAAAAGUGACUAUUGCAAAAAUCAAAGUUUUGGUAGAGUCUUGUUUGACUUAUUGUAUCAACUUCAAGAAUCUUCUUGACUAUAACAUGUAGUAGUUUGAAAGUUUGUAUAGCUUGCACCUUACCCUAUUAAAAGAACAAUAAUAAAAUUUGAGACGGAUAAAUUCUGUAGCUAAAUAUUAAAAUUUCUCGCUAAUUUUAUGUAGCGAUUGUUGCAUUAUUUAAUGCAACUUGUGGUAAUUGGCGCACGGUAUCAUCAAAUAAUAUUCAGACUAAGUUAUACAAAAAAAUUAUACUAUAUAUUUUUAUGCGAAAUAAAAUAUGAAAUAAAUAUGUGUAUUAGCAAUUUAUACGAGGAUAAAACUAUUUAAAGACAAGAAUGCACUUAGAGUAACUAGUUAUGUAUAACAAAACUCUUUUCAUUAACAAUAAUCACAGCAUAUAUAACAUCAAUUUCUUCAUUAUUAAUCUCCAUAUAAACAAUUUUUUACAAUAUAAUCUCGAAAUAACUAGUAUGUGAAUCAAAGUCUAGUCCUUCAUAUUUUUAAUCAGAGGUUUCAAGUUUGAGACUUGUUGACUACGUAGUCGUCUUUGUUAAGAAAAUGUUUUACAGCCCAAUGUAGAACUUUUCGAUGCGAAUCUGAAUUUAACCGAGACGGACAAUUAUUGAUACUGGACACUAGGUGAGAAAACCAAAGAAAAUGAACCAAACAAGUCAUGAUGUUAACUAUUUUAAUUAAUUGAAUAUCUUUUACAAUCAAUUUCAAAAAGGAAUAUGUUUUACUUUUCCAUCCUUUCUUUCUCAUAUUACUAAUAAUUGAAUAGCAACGGAUGGAACUGUUCCUUCCUUAAUCAGAGAUCUCGGACUUGAUUCCUGAAUAUGAAAAAUUCCUUGGUAGAGAAUACUUUCCCCAAAUGAGUCCUACGCAAUGAGAAUCCGAAUUAAUCGGACUCCAAUACGGAUACCGAACAUCGAAUGGAAAAAUAAAAAUAAAGAGUACUUGAACCUUUUUGAAGUUUGGUUGCCUAAUUACUUGCAUAAGGGAAUCUCUUGUUGAAAAAUAGACCAUCUACAUUUUUUAUUUUACUUGUGUGCUUUAUAUUUCUUCAAUAGGGGUAGACUUUGUUGGUAGUAUAGAAUCUUUUUGACUUUUGAGGAUCUAGAGUUAAUUAUUUGAAUAAAAUAAAGCAUGUAAAUUAAGAAGCAUUAAUGAUCUUACUCUACAUAUUUUUAUGUAAAAAUUGGUUCUAUUAUUCAAUUGAACUCAUUAUAUUUCCAUCAAAUUAUGUAUAUAUAUGCAAUAAAAAUAUUAAAGUGUAUACAUAUCUGAUAUAUGAAGUCAUCUCUGGUUAUAAUAUUAAGAAUAACCAUAUGUGCACUAAUUGUCAUUAGUGGAAAAAGAUGAUUCUAAAUUCUUUGAUAAUUGAAUAAUAAUAAUCUUUAUAGAACUCUCGAAGGUAUGGAGGAUGCGAAACAGGGUAGACGAAUAGUAGGAAGACUUUGUUUUGUUAUUCGUGCCAAUAGUCAUAGUGUCAGUCUUAUUUCAGAGUGUGUUAGCAUUUGUCGUAUUACUUGGCGAUAGUUUUGUGUGUUAUUAUAUGGUGUGUUUGUACCUAUUGCUUCUUGCUCCCUUACUAUUUUUUAAAUUGCUAGACUGUUUUUGUUUUGAUAAGGGGAGCCUUGGAGUAAUUGGUAAAAGUUGCUGCCAUGUGGUUGGGAGGUCACGGGUUCACGCCUUGGAAAUAGCCUCUGGCAGAAUGUAAGGUAAGGUUGCGCACAAUAGAUCCUUGUGGUCGAACCCUUUCCCGAACCCUGCCCAUAGCCUUGGAAAUAGCAUCUGACAAAAAUGAAGGUAAAGUUGCGUACAAUAGAUCCUUGUGGUCGAACCAUUUCCCGGACCCUGCGCAUAGCCUUGGAAACAACCUCUGGCAACAACGCAAGGUCAAACUGUGUACAAUAGAUCCUUGUGAUUAGGCCCUUCCUCAGACCCUGCGCAUAACGGAAACUUUAGUGCACCAGACUAUCCUUUUUUUAAUUGUUUUUAUCUCGAGCUUGGGAUCUAUCGAAAACAACCUUUCUACCUCACCUUUGAGGUAGUGAUAUAGACUGCGUACACUUAUACCCUCCCUGAUAUGACCUCACUUUGUGGUAAUAUACUGAGUAAGUUGUUGUUGUUAUUUACAGAAUCCUCCCAUUUUUUGAGGGGGUGGGGGUAGGGUAGGGGGUAGAUAAAAAUGUUAUAUAUCAAAGUAUAUGUUUAGAUUGCAACAAGAGUCGCUUUGGCCGAGUGGUUAAGGCGUGUGCCUGCUAAGUACAUGGGGUUUCCCCGCGAGAGUUCGAAUCUCUCAGGCGACGUUUUUUUUUUUUUUUUUUUUCCAUACUACGGUAAAACUUCAUGAAUAAUACUCAUUUGCCAAAUAGAGUAUACCUUCAAUUACAUUCUGUUUUGUGCGUUUUUGUUUCUUUUUUUUUUCAUACUACGGUAAGACGUCAUGAAUAAUAGACUCAUUUGUCAAAUAGAGUAUACCUUCAAUUACAUGCUUUUUUGUGCAUGGUGUUACCUACAGUAGGUGUGGAUCCUACGGUAAGAAGUCAUGAAUAAUAGACUCCUUUGCCAAAUAGAGUAUACCUUCAAUUACAUGUUUUUCUGUGCCUGGUGUUACCUGCAGUAAAUGUGAAUGCUACGGUAAGACGUCAUGGUUAAUAGACUCGUUUGCCAAAUAGAGUAUGCCUUCAAUUACAGUUUUUUUGUGCCUGAUAUUACAUACGGUAGUACAUCAUGAAUAAUAGAUUUGUAUGCCAAAUAGAGUAUGGCUUCAAUUACAUGAUUUUUGUGAAUGCUAAGAUCAGACGUACUCCUUGUCAAAUAAAAUAUUCCUUCAAUUACAUGUUUUUUUGUGCUUGGUGUUACAUACGGUAGUACAUCAUGAAUAAUAGACUUGUUUGCCAAAUAGAGUACGUCUUCAAUUACAUGCUUUUUGGCGAAUGCUACGGUAAAACGUCAUGAAUAGUUUGCCUCGAUUGCUAAAUAGAAUAUGCCUUCAAUUACAUGAUUUUUUUGUACUUGUCGUUGCCUGUGGUAGGACGUCAUGGAUAAUCGACUCAUUUGUCAAAUGGAGUAUGCCUUCAAUUACAUGCUUUUCUGUGCAUGUUGUUACCCUACGGUAGACGUCAUGAACAAUCGACUUGACUUCAAUUACAUGCUUUUUUGUGCAUGUUACCUACGAUAGAAUGUCAUGAAUAAUCAACUCAUCCGCCAGCAGAGUGUCACUUAGUCUUCCCUCUCUCUCUUGCAUUGCUUACUCGAUAGAGAAAAUUCCGCGCACAUAAUUAAAGGAGGCAUAGAAGCAAGACUCACACCUGAAACGGGAAUUACCAAAGCUAAUGAUAAAGAGGUAAAAACACUUCCCAGAAUCGGUUUCUUUCAUUCCUAAAUCGAUGACCAAUAGUAUCAUCGCCAAAUUCGUCAAAGAUGAUUCUAUUUCUACAGAAUUAGCAUGAGACAUUACUUUGGAUAUUCUAAAACAGACAUGCGACAAUUAAAAACAUAGUUCAAGUCAUUACUUUGCAUAUUUGCAGAGCAAAAAAGAAAGGAACAUAAGGCGGCAGCAGAAUUGAUCGUUGUUCUGAAACUCCUCCCAUCCACUGUACACCAACAGUAAAUUCUAGUGACCAUACUUCUGAAACUCCCACUCGCUGUUAUCUGAAAGAUGAGGCGGGUUAUACAUUGAUUAGCAGGUAACAUACAAUGGCGGCUAACUUUAGCUGAGAUGGCAAUAUACAACUUACCAAGAGGGCAUACUUGACGAGUCUUGAGCCACCUACUGAUGCAAUGGAAGUGGAAUGCAUGGUUACAAACCCCUGCAAAGAUCAGAAGAUAUCACGAAAAAAGAAAAAUGAUCUCCCAAUAAAAGAUCGAUAUCCAUAUCCAAAAUGGUGUAAACAAGUAAAUUCUUCACAGAAGAAUAUAUUUGACACCUUCUGUACCUUGUCAAGAGUAUCUUAUUUGCUGUCUUCCAGAAUUUUCGGCAAACGGUGUCACGAUUUUUUAUAUAACCAGCUUAGAAGGGAAAUAACAAACUCAAAGUAACGCCAAUUGGCAAGCACCAAUUACAUGAUCCAAAAACAUGUGCAAUAAAGCUGGAGAAAUCCAAUGUAAUUCUAAACCUUGACGGAAAGGUACGAUUUGAAGAUCCUUCUACCUUUUUGUGACUAACGCCUUAUCAGUAUCCACCUCACAGUUGUAACACUAUAACUAUUACAGUAGACUCCACUAAAGCACAUCAAUCAAAUAAUUAUAAGCAACAGUCGUGUAACUGCAGAAUAAUAUUUGGCUUUAGACUACAAACUUGAACAAAAAUGUAACAUGUUUGUCAACUUGGAAACAUACAAAUGGAUAACAAGACGAAUGGUGUAAAGUUUAAUACCAUCAACACAUGGCUUGCAUAUCUUGAGUUACCACAGAUCUCAAUUUUUGACCAAAUAGCAGGAAGGAGGUUAUUUUUCCUACCCACACAAUCUUAUUGUAGAAGGUGACAAGUAAAAUCCCAUUUAAAACAGACACAAUCACUCUUGACUUAAAUUAGAAAAUACAAGAAAGUGGCGAACCACACUCGUAACAAAGAGUACCCUCAUUCAAGAAUGAAAAGAACAAUAUCCCAAGCUUGUAAUCCUAUGUUCCAGACAAGAUGCUCAUUAUUACUGUACUACUACUUGCACAAGGGCAUGGCUGCCAAUUAUCUAUUUCUGUAGCAGCCUUCAACCACCACCCUCCCCAAAACAAAAUCUGAGGAAAGCAAUAUCCUCAAAAAAAGAAAAGAGGUUUUCUCCAAAACAUGACCACACAAGUUUUUUUUUUUUUUUAAACUUUUUUUUUUUUGAGGAUCAAAAGAAGAACUAGGAAACAUGCUUAAAUCACCAUUCUCUCCCCUAUUAAGAAGUAACUACAUGAUUUCCUACUUCAUCCCUACUGUAGUGAUAUACUGAUACUGGUUUUUUCUAUUCACCUAUCUUCAUGGUAAAAGGGAGGACUGCAAUGCGCAGGCACGGAACUCUAAACCUAACAAUUUUCAAACAUCAUAACACAAUUGACAGAACACUUAUCAUCUAUUCCAAUAACGUCCACCCAAUUAAGGGACAACAAAUGCCUAAACACUAGGAAUAAGGGAAAUCUACUUUUACUAGCACUGAAUUAAUCACUUGAUAAUAACUGAUGGCCAUUGGCACAGAGACAUCCUUCUAAUUAUCUCAACAAUUGAGCAAAAUCAAGUAGUUUUCAUCUAGACAAAAUCUAUGGCGUCAAAUAGUAAUAAACAUAAGAUGCAGAAAACUGAUAAAAGUUGAUUACUCUGCAAAUUAAUUCCAUAAAACGCAUAAAAACUGAGGCAAGUUGACAAACUACAAUGUUAAAUCGAUAUUCUCGCACAUAACAAGAGCUACAUACCCCAAGCAACUGUGCAUUCCUCACUUGUUGCGCUAGCUUGAUUAGCUUGACACUCGAUACCUAAUCAGAAUUAGCAUAAAACUUAAAUCAAUUAUUAAGAGGAUAAAAGAUUUCAUCAUGAUAUCAUAUCAAAGAAAAGGAAACAUUGAAUUGAACAUCAUUGAAAAGAGAACCAAAACUCACAGAGAUCCAUGAUGUGAUUCCUACAGAUGGCACAAUUAUCUACCACAAUAUCUGCAACAAGAAAUCACAAGAUUGAUUAAAAGAAUCAGAAUGAUCGGCCAUAUGCGAUUCGGAUGAUGUGCAUGUGAAGGAAAUCAAAUAUGCACGCAAACACCAAAAAAAAUACAGUAAUUGCAUAUUAUGUGUAACACAAAAUCAUGGAUUACAGAACUGCUCUUACAUUUAUAAUAUAUUUUAAUGUGAACGUAAGAGGGUAAUAUGAUGUAACAAUAAGUACAACAAGAAUAGCUAACACUCAAAUAUAAACAUAGAGGGAAAAUUGUCUGUAAACAGAACAUAUAUUAUCAAACCCCCUCCUAAGAGCAUUACAAACAACUGCAAAUUCCAGUGAAUGUUGCUUUCUAAUUCCUCCUACUGGGUAUGUUGUUGUUGUGGUGGUUGUUGUUUGUUUGUUUCUAAUUCUAAUUCCCAGAUAGCAACAAGCGCAGGCAACAAAACAAUAUUACCAUUAGUACAUAAUUGACUUUAGAUUUUUGGAGCGAUAUUCACCAAUAAUUUCAUGUAAGCCAAAAUACAUAGAGCUGCUGUUUGCGAAUCAAAAACCAUACAAGCAUCCAUCAGUCAUCUAAUUUUUCGGCAGCGAGCACAGGUAUAUUCACUAACUUUGCCUCAAAAAAGAAGUUCAUAUAGUUUAAAGUUCCUAACCAUAUAUACAACAACAACAUACCUAGUGUAGUCCCGGAAAGUGGGUCUGAGAGUAGAUUGUACGUAUAGCUUACCCCUACCUUGACAGGUAGGGAGGUUCCAAUAGACCCUCAGCUCAAGAAAAACAGUCCAAAGCAGUCCCCCAAAAAAAGUAACUGAAGCAGUCCCGAAAACAGUUCAUGUAAGCUCAUGUCCUUGAUAAGCUGAGAACAUAAAUAUACAUAUACCUUACCCCUACCUUGCCAGGUAGAGAGGUUCCAAUAGACCCUCAGCUCAAGAAAAACAGUCCAAAGCAGUCCAAAAAAAGAAGUAACUGAAGCAGUCCCAAAAACGGUUCAUGUAAGGUCAUGUCCUUGAUAAGCUGAAAAUAUAAAUAUAUAUACACGCACCUCGACUAAUAUUCACACUAAUUUCACAACAAUAUCCACAAAAACUAGCAAGCAGAUUACUGCUCCAUGAUCACUGCAUUCCAAUACUCAAAAAUCAUCAACAAAUCACUAAAAUCUACAUCAAAAAGUAUGUAUUUGAACAACGACCAAAUUAACUGGGGUUCGAAAUAAGCUGAAACUACACCAUAUAUAUACAUACUACCACUCAUCUCAACUAAUUCCACGGGAUUCCCAACCACAAAUUCACACUAAUUUCACAACAAUAUCCAAAAAAUCUAGCAAGCACAAUACUACUCCACGAUCAUCGCAUUCCGAUGCUUUAAAAAGACCAACAAAAUCACUAAAUUCUACAUCAAAAAAAAACAUAUAUAACAAUGACAAUGUAAUUAACAAUUCACUGCUACCUACUAACCACCUUCUACCCUAAUUUGUAUCCUCCACACCCUCCUGUCUAAGGUUAUAUCCUCGAUAAGCUAAAACUACACCAUAUAUAUAUAUAUACUACGACAACUAAUAUGAACAGACAGCUAGACAAAGCAAUAAGCACUGCUAACAUAAAGCAAUAAGCACUGCUAACAUACAUGCACGCCCUAAUCAGCAAAAUCACCAAAUUCCACAUCAAAAAACAUGUAUCCGAACCUUCUACCCUAAUCAGUGUCCUCCACACCCUACAAUCUCAGCAAGCUGAAACUGCACCACAUAUAUACAUAAUUGCGCACACCUCAGCUAAUUCCACGCGAUUCCUAAACACAAUUCAACACUAAAAUCAACAACAAUAUCAAAUAACCAAACAAGCACAAUACAACUUCCCCAUCAUCGCAUUCUAAUACUCAAAAAUCAUAAACAAAUACAUCAAAAAAUACGUAAUCGAACGACGAUGAAAUCAACUAGGGUUACAAAAAAUUUACCCCAAGCCCAAAGCGAAACAGCAUUCCACUUUUUGAUCUCAAAUCGCUUCGCCUUUUUAGUAGAUGUUCCAGCUCCGGUAGAACCUUCGCCGGCGGGAACCAUCGGAACAUCGGUAUCCGGUGACGCCAUUGAAAAUUUUACUUUUAAUUUUUUUUUUUGAAAAUUAAUUUUGUACUGAAUUUAUAGAAUGAAAGAGGUAAAUAUAUGGAUAAGUUAAUGGGCUUUGGAUUGGGCUUGAGAUGAAUUGGGCUUCAAUGGAAGCCCGUUUGAAUAAGGAGUUUUAGCCUACUUUUUGGGACCAAUUGCCAAAUUUCUCUACAAUGGAGCUACUUUAGAGGGGACGUUAUAGGUUUGGUUGCUCUAUUGAAAAUAUUAAAUAAUCGUGAGCUACUAUUUUGGGUGAUUCAUAAAAGGAGAAGUUAUAUAUUUGAUCGUUCGAUUGAAAAUAUUAAAUAUUCGUGGGCUUCUAUUUCGGGUGAUUCAUAAAAGGGGAAGUUAUAUAUUUGGUCCCUCGAUUAAAAAUAUUAAAUAAUCGUGAAUUACUUUUUUGGGUGAUUCAUAAAGGAAAAGUUAUAUGUUUGAUCGCUCGAUUAAAAAUAUUAAAUUUUUUUGAGCUACUGUUUUGAUGAUUCAUAAAAGAGCAAGUUAUAUGUUUGGUCACUCAAUUAAAAAUAUUAAAUAUUUGUGAGCUACUUUAUAGGGUGAUUCGUAAAAGAAAAAAGUCGUAUGUUUGGUUGUUUGAUUGAAAAUAUUAAAUAUUUGUGAGCUACUAUUUUAGGUGAUUCAUAAAAAGAAAAAUUAUAUGUUUGAUCACUCGAUUGAAAAUAUUAAAUAUUCGUGAGCUACUUUUUGGGGUGAUUCAUAAAAGGAGAAGUCAUAUGCUUGGUCGCUCGAUUGAAAAUUUUGAAUAUUCAUGAGCUACUGUUUUGGGUGAUUCAUAAAAGGGGGAGUUAUAUGUUUGGCCGCUCGAUUGAAAAUAUUAAAUGUUUGUGAGCUACUUUUUUGGGUGAUGCAUAAAAAGGAAAUUUAUAUGUUUGGUCACUUGAUCGAAAAUAUUAAAUAUUCGUGAGCUAUUUUUUUGGGUGAUUCAUAAAAGGGGAAGUUAUAUGUUUGGCCGCUCGAUUGAAAACAUUGAAUGUUCGUGAGCUACUUUUUUGGGUGAUGCAUAAAAAGGAAAGUUAUAUGUUUGGUCGUUUGAUCGAAAAUAUUAAAUAUUCGCGACCUAUUUUUUUGGGUGAUUCAUUAAAGGGGAAGUUAUAUGUGUUGGUUGCUCGAUUGAAAAUAUUAAAUAUUCAUAAGCUACUUUAUAGGGUGAUUCGUAAAAGAAAAAAAUUAUAUGUUUGGUCCCUUGAUUGAAAAUUUAAAUAAUCAUGAGCUACUUUUUAGGAUGAUUCAUAAAAGAGGAAGUUAUAGGUUUGGUCGCUCGAUUGAAAAUAUUAAAUAAUCUUGAGCUACUUUUUAGGAUGAUACAUAAAAAGGGAAGUUAUAUGUUUGGUCGCUCCAUUGAAAAUAUUAAAUAUUUGUGAGCUACUAUUUCGGGUGAUUCAUCAAAGGAAAAGUUAUAUGUUUGGCCGCUCGAUUGAAAAUAUAAAAUGUUCGUGGGCUACUCUUUUGAUGUCAUAAAAGGGGAAGUUAUAUGUUUGGUCGCUCCAUUAAAAAUAUUAAAUAUUCGCAAGCUGUGUUUUUGGGUGAUUCAUAAAAGAGGAAGUUAUACGUUUGGUCGCUAAUUGAAAAUAUUAAAUAUUCGAGACCUACUAUUUUAGGUGAUUUGAAAAAAGGAAGUUAUAUAUUUGGUCGCUCAAUUGAAAAUAAAGGAAAUUCGACUUCUAUUAUACAUACAUAACAAAUAAUUUUAGUCAUAUACAACAUCAACAACAUACCCAAUGCAUUCCCACAUAAUGGGGUCGUCUGAGGAGGGUAGAGUGUACGCAGACCAUAUCACUACCCAGUGGCGGAUCCACCUUGUAAUCAGGGGGUUCAUCCAAACUCCCUUCGACGGAAAAGUAUACUAUUUUUACACGAUCAAAAAUAUUUUUAUGUAUAUAUAGUAGAUGUUGAACCCCCUUUGACUAGUCGGUAUGUUAACUUCUGAACCCCCUCAAUGAAAAUCCUGGCUCCGCCACUGCCACUACCUCAGGUGAAGUAGAGAGGUUGUUUCCGAUAAACUCCCCGACUUACAAAUACAAAUAAUAUAAUUUUUCACCGAGCAGGUUCGGCCUCGCUCCAUGCUAGCUCUACCCCCUGAAUUUAUAUCAAUGAAAUCUCAUCAUACAUACAUAACGAAUAAUCUUAUGCAUUUCUCCACCAAAGAGGAUUUUUUUUAAGGAGAAACUAUACGCUUUACAAAAUAUGUCAAAUAUCAUUUAAGCAUGUAACUUAUUUUCUCUAUUUUUAUUUUUAACAAAAAAAUAUUUUUCAAAAUUUUUGACCAGUCGAACACAAACAAAUAAAAUAAAAAGUCCCCACCACCCUCAAAGAGAUAUGUUUUGGUCAGAGAAUCAUGUUUUGAAAAUUGUGUUGUACCUAACAUUAUUUUGGAUUAGUCACGAAAGCUACAACAACUAUUAUAUUAGAACAAAAAAUAUUGAAUUAUUUCCAUGCAUUAUAUGCAUACAUAAAUUAAUAUUAUUGUCAGGCAAUUGGGUUAAUUAAUAUAAGUUGGUUAAUAUAUUUACUAAAUAUUAAUAAUAUUUAUAAAUUAAGUGAUUAUAUUAAAUCCCAUUUUUUUUUUAUACAAAAGAAUAGCUUUAUCAACAUUAUUUUACCACCAAACGCAUUAACUAUUUCAGAAUCGUCUCUUCAGAUUUAACAAUCUAUACAAUAUCACACUUAUCCUCUUUAUUCUGAUUUUUAUUUAAUAAUAAUUUUAUUAACAUAUUUAUUGUAUUUCUAAAUAUUGAUGAGUUUUCGCUAACUAAUAUUUUUUUAUUUUUUUUAUUAGACAAAUAAUUCAAAUUCAUUAUUAAUUGGAAGCAUCGUCGUGUUACAUGUGUUUCUUCAAGUGUGGAGCCAAUGGAGGGAACAUUUUGAUUUAGCGACGAAACAUGUACACAUGUAUAUAAAUUGUGUUUGUUCUUUUUUUUUUGGAAUUUUUUUUUUUUUUUUUUUCGAAAAUAUGGCCAGACAAAAAUUAUUAUGUUCUCGAUUGAAUAAAAUGGUUCAAUUUUCUACUUUCAUAUAAGGUCGAAAAAUGAAUUAACAGUACACUUGAAAUUACGUUAAGCGAUUUAAGAGCACAAAAAUUACAUUGAUUGUAUGAUGAAAUAACAAUGUAAUGCAAGUAAUAAUUAGACGAUAGCAAAUUCAAGAACUAUAAUAAAGAAGACUAUUAUAAUAUAAAAUUUGUAUCACAUUCGUCCACCUACUUGAGAUUGUUUUCAACCAUAUAUAUAUAUAUAUAUAUAUAAAAACCUGUCAAGGAAUAUCAACUCAANNNNNNNNNNNNNNNNNNNNNNNNNNNNNNNNNNNNNNNNNNNNNUAUAUAUAUGUCUUCUAGAGAGCCAGAUCCACAAAGAUCUCUACUGAUGUUAGUAUUUAUAUAUAUAUGCACAACUCGACUCUGAGAUUUUCUACUCAAUCAUAAACUUUUAUGUUACGUAUCGAUCAGUGAAAAUAUCGACUUCUUAAGUGAUAUGCGAACUUGCAAGCCUAUCACAUUUGUCCUCAAACUCAAGAUUGUUUUCACCCAAUACACAUAUAUAUCCACAAAGAUAUGUUAGUCUUUAUAUGUAUCGGCACAACACGACUCUGAGAUUUUCUACUCAAUUGUGAAAUUUUAUGUUGCAUAUUGAUCGGUGAAAAUAUCGACUUCUUAAGUGAUAUGUGGACUUGCAAGCCUAUCACUUUAGUCCCCCAACUCGAGAUUAUUUUCACCCAAUACAUAUAUAUAUUUCCUAGAAAGCAAAAUCCACAAAGAUACCUAAUGAUAUUAGUCUUUAUAAAUAUAUAUUCACAACUUGUAAGUUUUUCUUUUUUUUUAAGAAAACAAAGACCUCUAAUGAUUGUUAUCAAAAUUCCAGAAAAUAAAUAUUGUUUGUAUAUAUUAAUUAUGGUAACGUAAGACUUUUUUUUUUUUUGAUAACUUUAAUAAUAAACCUUUCACGAUUAAUAAAGUACUGUCCAAUAAUGGAGAAGAUACAUUAUUAAUCUUAAUAAAAAAACCUUAAACUUGCACCAACCAAUUUUAAUAUGAAUGUUUAUGCAACUAAUCAAUUUUAACAUAAUUUAAUUUUUAUCUUUCGGUGGAGGGGUAUCAAAGAAAUAUUAAAGUAAUGGAAAAAUAGUAUUUUUGGUCUCUACAUUAUUGCUAUGUUUUGGUAUCAAAGAAAUAUUAAAGUAAUGGAAAAAUAGUAUUUUUGGUCCCUAGAUUAUAUUGAUAUGUUUAUAUUAUUGGAUUAAGCAGAUUAAUUUAAUCUUCAAUUAUUGAAAUGUAUGUUAUUGGUCCCUUUGUAGAAAAUGUGCAAUGGUUGGAUUAUUUUUGAAAGUAUAUUACCUUUAAAUACAAAGUAGCCAUACAACUUUAAUAUUAUAUUGUUUAUAACUAAAUGACCAACCAUUUAAUAAAUCUUAAAAUUUAUGAGUAUACAUAAGCAAAGAGAUCAAAAAAUGCAUAUUUCAAAUAAUUAAAGAUUAAGAAUAUCAAAAGAACCAAAGUUAAAAUUUUAUCAGUAAGUGAGAGCUUGUUUGGAUGGUUAUUACACAUUGUUUAAUAAUAUACUAUAUAAUGUUAUAUUAUUUUUAAUAAAUAUAAUGUUUGGAUAGAUUGUAUUAUUCUCAAUCAUUUCAUAAUAUUGCACUCUAACAAUUUCGAGAGUAAAUUUUGUAAUAUUACAAAAAAAAGUAUGAUACAUGUGGAGCUAUAUUUUUAAAAAAUAAAAUGGGUAAAUAGAAGGUAAAAUAGGAAUAUUACAUAUAAUAAGGACAAGAUGAGAAAAAAAAAAAAUGUUAUACAAAACACUUGCUCCGUCUCAAUUUGUUUGACAUACUUUUCUUUUCAGUUCAUUUAAAAAAAAUUGAUUAUUUAUUUUUUUAGCAACUUUUUGAUUUUAACUUUUCACCUGAAACGUCUAAGACCAUAAAAUUAAAAACAAUUUUGAUACAUUUAACAUAUCGACUUUAUUUUAUUAAACUUCAUAUCAAAUCAAAAUAAGACAAACAAAUUAAAACGAAUAGAAUAAUAUAUUGAGUAAAACAUCUAGGUACCCCUUAAACUAUGUCCAAAUUUGCUACGACACCCUCCAACUUUAUAGGAGUCCUAUUACCUCUAAAUUAAAUUUUAACGUAUUUUUGUUAUUUUUUUUAGCUGACGUGACACCUUUGAUGUGGGUUUCAUUUCGUGUAAUAAAGGUGCCACAUCAGCACAAAAUAAUGACAAAAAUACGUUAAAAUUGAGUUCAGGAGUAAUAAAACUUUCGUAAAAUUGGAGUGUGUCAUAACAACUUUAACCAUAAUUCGGAGUACUAGUAGUGAAUGAUUAUCUAUAAUAUAUUUAAAGCAACAUAAUAAUAUGAUAGUACAAUACACCAAACAAGUUGUCCUAGUAUUGGAAAUGAUUCUCAUUACUAUAAAUAGAUGAAUCAAUCCAUUGAAGUAUUGCCAAUAUAAUUACUAUAAUAAACCAAAAGAAUAAAGAAACACACACACACACACUAAACUUUCUUCAAUCAUGGGUAAAGAAACAAAUGGAGUACUAGCAAGAACAAGUGAUGAUGAAGUUAUAAAAAAACAGGAAAUUCAAGAAGCACAAGCAAAUAUGUGGAAAUUUGUGUUUGGUUUCACAGAAAUGGCUGUAAUUAAAUGUGCAAUUGAAUUAGGAAUUGCUGAUUUCUUGGAAGAAAAUAAUAAUAAUGAAGAAGUUAUUAGCCUAAAUCAACUUUCUAAUGCACUUGGUUGUUGUUCUUCUUCACUCUAUCGUAUCCUAAGGUAUGAUUAAUAAUAAGUCUGUAAUUUUUUAUUCCUUCUGUCUCAAUUUAUGUGACGGUGUUUUGCAGACAUAGACAGUAGUGGAAAGGUGUGAUUAAUAAGUUUGUAAUAUCUUAAUCGCUUUGUCUCAGUUUAUGUGACGGUGUUUAGCAUGCAUAGACACUGGUGGAAAGGUAUGAUAAAUAAGUUUGUGAUUUUUUACUCCCUCUGUAAGUGGCGGACCUAGGAUCUAGGGGUCGUAAGUGCUCGUGAGGUUCGAACACACAUAUUACAUCUAAAGUUUUAAGGUUUUGCCAGAAAACCAAAGCACCUAGCUGUGUUCUUGAAUUUCUGGGUGUUUUUUCGAAGCUUAUACUAUUUUUUAUAAUUUUUUCUUUAUAACUAUACUUCAUCUGCAUCGGAUUAAAUAGGUGUCGGAGCAACAAAAAAAAUGUAUAUAGGUCCGUCCUUCUGUCUCAAUUUAUGUGAUAGUGUUUAGCAGGUAUAGACUGUGGUGGAGUCAGAAUUUUCACUAAGUUUGUUCAGAAAUAAACAUACGAACAAAUCAAAGGGGGUUCAAUAUCUGCUAUAUAUACAAAAAAAAUAAUUUUAACCAUUUUAAAUAGUAUAAUUUUCUAUCAAAGAGGACUUGGAUAAAAAUAAAAAUGUUAAUGCUACGUAUGUACCAAUAUAUCUAAAUUAAUUUUUUAUUUAUAGGUUCUUGAUCAAUCGCGGAAUAUUCAAGGAAACAUCAACAAAAAAUGGCGAAAUUGGCUAUGUUCAAACUCCCCUUUCUCGCCUUCUUAUUAAAGAAGGCGGGAAUAGCAUGGCUGCUUUCUUGCUAUUCGAAAGCAGCCCUGUAAUGCUAGCACCAUGGCACAAUCUUACCGCGCGUAUAUCAUCAAAGGACAAUGGUAGACCUGCUUUUGACGCGGCACAUGGUAAGGAUGUAUGGAAGUACGCGGAAGCUGACCCUGGACAUAGUAACCUCCUAAAUAGCGCGAUGGCAUGCGAUGCUAGGGUAGCCGUAUCCGCGAUUAUAAACGAUUGUCCUGAGAUAUUUAAGGGGGUGAACACUAUGGUUGAUGUUGGUGGUGGUGAUGGAACAACAUUAAGAUUGUUAAUAGAGUCUUUUCCAUGGAUUAAUGGGAUUAAUUAUGAUCUACCUCAUGUUGCUUCUGUUGCACCUCAUGCUAAUGGUGUUGUACACGUUGGAGGUGACAUGUUUAACUAUGUUCCUAAAGCUGAUGUUGCUUUCCUCAUGGUAAGUAGAUAUUUAAUAUAUAGUAUUUCAUUUAAAGCUCUCGCUAUACAUGGGGUUCGGGGAAGGGAAGGGUCGAAUCGUAAGGGUUUCUCUAACUAUUCACGGGUCCAGUAAAAGGUCAAAUCAUAAGGUUUUAAGGUAAGGCUGCGUACAAUAAACCUUUAUGAUUUUGACCUUUCCUCUGAUCCCGUGCAUAUCAAAACUUUAGUGCAUUGGACUGUCCAUUUAAAGCUCUCGCUAUGCUUGGGGUUCAGGGAAGAGUCGAAUCACAAGGUUUUCUCUCGAUAUGCACGGGAUCUAGAAAAUGGUCGAAUCACAGAGGUUUAAGGUAAGGCUGUGAACAAUAAACCUUUACGGUUUCAACCUUUCCUCUGGCCCUGCGCAUAUCGAAGCUUUAGUGCAUUGGGUUGUCCAUUUAAAGCUCUCACUAUACUUGGGGUUCAAGGAAGGGUCGAAUCGUUAGGGUUGCUCUCGUUAUGCACGGGUCUAGGGAAGGGUCGAUUACGGUAAGGCUGUGUACAAUAAACCUUUAUGGUUCGACCUUUCCUCCGAUCCCGUGCAUAUCGAAGCUUUAGUCAUUGGGCUGUCCAUUUAAAGCUCUCGCUAUGCUUGUGAUUUAUGGAAGGGCCUAAUUACAAAGGUUUCUCUCGCUAUGCAUGGGGUUCAAGAAAGGGUUGAAUCACAAGGGUUUAAGGUAAGACUACAUACAAUAAAUCUUUAUGAUUCAGCCUUUCUCUUGAUCCCGCGCAUAGCGAAACUUUAGUGCACCAAUCUGAAUUAAAUUUGUUUUAAAAUAUUUGACAUUAUAAUUAAGAUGGAAAUUAAUAUCUUGAAUAGUCAUUCAUGUUAUGAUAAAAGUGACUUAGUAAGUCAAAGUUAUUUUUGUUAUAUUUAUUAUGUUAUUUUUGUUUGCCACAAAAUGAUUCCUACAUAAAAGCAAAGCACUAAUAAUUAACAUAAAUGGACCCCUUAAGUUUGAAAUUAGGUCUAAAGUUGUACAAAUUGAUAUAUUUAGAAUUAUUUUUAUUAGUGUUAUUAAUUUUCAUAACCGCAUGUAUAUUAUUGUAAAUGUUAUAUUAGUGGGUUUUGCAUGAUUGGGGAGAUGAAGAAUGCAUACAAAUAUUAACAAAGUGUAGAGAAGCAAUUCCAAAAGACAAAGGAAAAGUGAUAAUAUUGGAAGCAAUAAUUGGUGAAAAAGAAGAAAAUAUUAUAAGAGGAUCAAAUAAUGAGAAGCUCAAAGAUGUUGGUUUAAUGUUGGAUAUGGUGAUGAUGGCUCACACUAGCAAUGGAAAAGAAAGAACAUCAAAAGAAUGGGCUUAUGUUUUGAAUGCUGCUGGAUUUAGUAGACACACUAUUACUCACAUAAAUGCCGUUCAAUCUGUUAUUCAAGCUUAUCCUUCUUAAUUUUUAUCGUGUGUUCAAAGAUGAAUUCAGAAUUUAGACUUUGUCGGUUCAUUAAUAAGAUUGUUAAUAUUGAAUAUUGUUGUAUCUUUAGCUUCAAAUCUAUUAUUUGUUGAAGUUUUGGUAAGAACGUACUAGAUUAAGAUGAAUUCAUAUUAUGUUUUGAAUGAUGCUGGAUUUAAGUAGACGCACUAUUAGUCACAUUAAUGCUAUUCAAUCUGCUAUUCAAGCUUAUCCUUCUUGAUUUCUAUCGUGUGUUCAAAGGUGAAUUCAGAAUUUAAACUUGGUCGGUUCAUUAAUAAGAUUGUUAACAUUGAAUCUUGUUGUAUCUUCAACUUCAAAUCCAUUACUAUUUGUUGAAGGUUUAGUAAAUUUACAUUUCAUAUCGAACGUACUAGAUUCAGAUGAAUUCAUAUUAUGUUUUGAAUGAUACUAGAUUUGGUAGACACACUAUUAGUCACAUUAAUGUCGUUCAAUAUGUUACUCAAGCAUAUUCUUCUUGAUUUUUAUCGUGUUCAAAGAUAGAUUUAAAAAAUUUAGAUUUUGUUGGUUCAUUAAUAAGAUUCUUAGCAUUGAACCUUGUUGUAUUUUUAAAAUUAUAAAAUCAAAUCUAUUGUUUAUUGCCGUUUUAGUGAAUUUAUAUUUCAUAUUGAACGUACUAAAUUCAUAUAAAUUUGUAUUAUGGUUUAAAUGUUGCUGGAUUUAGUAGAAACACUAUUAGUCACAUUCAUGUUGUUCGAUCUCUUAAUCAGGUUUAUCCUUCUUGUUUUAUAUCGUGUUUAUAGGUAAAUUAAGAAUUUAGUCUUUGUCGGUUCACCGAUAAGAUUAUUAUAAGGCAUUGAACUUUGUUGUAUUUUUAAAAUUCCGAAUUCAAAUCUAUUAUUAUUUGUUAUAACUUUAAUGAAUUUCAUGUUGAAAGUAUUGAAUUCAAAUGAACUCGAUAUAUGAAUACUGCAUCCGCUAUUGUUUUACAUUUGCAUGUACUUUUUUUUUUUUAAUAAAAAAGGGCACAAAAAGAAAAUAAUAGCUUAAAAAUAUUACUACUGAAAAAAGGGCGAACACAGAAUCGACUGACAGUGGCGGAACUACCUUUGCUUCGGGGGUUCUUCCGAAUUUCCUUCGAUAAAAAAUUAUACUGUUUUAUAUUAUUUUUAUAUGGUUAAAAAUAUUUUUUAUGCAUAUAUAAUAGAUGUUGAACCCCUUUCGAUUAAUUCGUAUAUUUACUUCUGAACUCCCUUAAUGAAAAUUCUGGUCCCACCAUCGUCGACUGACAUAAAUCAAUUGAAAAGAAAUAGCUUAUAUCGGAAUUAGUUAUCACACCCUUGAGAAGGAAUAAAAAUAGUACUACAAUUCCGGGAUGAGUUUAUCCCAUGAAUUUUGCUUCAAUCAAAGUUCACCUCAAAAUUAAUCGCGACAUUAAUUAUCUCUAAUCCCUUCUACCAAACGACCCCAAGUCGAGUACCUCAACUUGUCCAACCCGACCCGAUAACAACAACAACAUUCUGAUUUUAAGAAAUUUUAUCAUAAUAUUCAAAUAAAAUUUCGUUAUGUUAUUUUAAUUAAAUUUCAAAUAAUAAUAAUAACAAUAAUCAUUUUAUACUAUAUCGGUCUGGCCAGCCCGACCCGGCCCCUUGACAGUUAGACUACUCACCAUUUUUCUAUGAAUAAAAGAAAAAAAUUGUUAAAUUGUAAAUUAGAAAUAAAAAAUCUGCUAGAAAGUGUAAAUAUUGGCUAGAACUAAAAUCGUUCGAGCUCGAAGAGGAGGAAAAAAUGUCAACAGAAAUACAAUCUUCAGUAAUCUCAACAUCACCGGACGAAAAUAAUCUGUAAGUACUAAAAUAUCCUCCAAUUUAUUAUUAUUAUUAUUAUUAUUAUUUUUUAUAAUCAUAGUGUUCGAGCUAACUUACUCGCAUGAUUAAUUUCACGGGAUACUGUGAACUCCAAUUUAUUAGAAUUUUUUUUUGAUAAUUGUGAUGUUCGAGCGAGACGGGAUAGUGGACACCUACAAUCUAUUAAACACAUUGACAAUUUUCAGUUUUUGAAUUUUCAUUUCAAUUAUUAGUAGUAUAGUUUGUUAAUUAUUUGCUUUGUAAUUAACUUAAUUGUGAUAAGAAAAAAAAUGAUAGUUUGCGAGAGUGCUAUUGUAGUUAUUAGUUAAUUGAUAGAAAAUAUUAAUCCGUUCGUUUUAAUUUAUGUGGCGAUGUUUGACUUGGCACGAAGUUUGAGGAAAAAAAAAGGAACUUUUAAAAUUUAUGGCUUAAAUGAAUGAUAUAUAUUUGAAAUGUGUUGUGAUCCUGUUGCAAUGUACGCGACUUGAGUCCCAUGUCGGGAAUGGGGAGGUGAUGUGGGGUUUUAUGUAGCCGUGGGCUCUCCCACCUCAAUAAUUAGCUUUUGAGGUGUGGUUUUCUUUGGGUUGUAUCAAUGGUUUCAUGCCUGUCAUGCCUUGGAUGGUGAAGCUGAUAUUGUAGUGUUGACCCGGUGCGAGAAAUGGUCUAGAGCAUAGUUGUCGAGGACGAGGGAUGUGGAGUGUAAUGGUUUGUUGUAAUCCUAUUGCAAGAUAUAAAACUUAAGUCCAUGCGAAUGUCGGGCUAGCGUUUUGGAGUGUGGUUCUCCCUGAGUUGUAUCAAUGGUAUCAGUGCCACCCAAUCGCCCUUCAUACCUGUCAUGCCUUGGAUGGUGACACUGAUAUUGUUGUGUUGACCCGGUGCUAGAAAUGGUCUAGUGCAUAGCCAUCUAGGACGACGGAUGUGGAGUGUGGUGAUUUGUUAUGAUCCUAUCAAGAUAUGAAACUUAAGUCCACGCGAAUACCUGUCUUAUUAGCCUUUCGGAGUGUGGUUCUUCCUGAGUUGCAUCAAUGGUAUCAGUGUCAUCCAUCGCCCUUCGUGCCCGUCGUGCCUUGGAUGGUGACGCUGAUAUUGUAGUGUUGACCCUGGGCUAAAAAUGGUCUAGCGCAUAGCCGUCGAAGACGACGAAUGUUGAGUGUGGUGGUUUGUUAUAAUCUUAUUGCAAGGUAUGAAACUUAAGUCCAUGCGGAUGCCGGGCUUGUUAGCCUUUUGGAGUGGUUCUCUCUGAGUUGUAUCAAUGGUAUCAGAGCCACCCAUCGCCCUUCGUGCCCGUUGUGCCUUGGAUGGUGACGCUGAUAUUGUAGUGUUGAGCCUGUGCUAGAAAUGAUCUAGCGCAUAGCCGUCGAGGACGACGGAUGUGGAGUGUGGUGGUUUGUUGUGAUCCUAUUGCAAGGUAUGAAACUUAAGUCCAUGCGGAUGCCGGGCUUGUUAGCCUUUAGAAGUGUUUCUCUCCGAAUUGUAUCAAUGGUAUCAGUGCCACCCAUCGCCUCUCGUGCCUUGGAUAGUGACGCUGAUAUUGUAGUGUUGUUCCUGUGCUAGAAAUGGUCUAGCGUUUAGCCGUCGAGGACGACAGAUGUGGAGUGUGGUGGUUUGUUGUGAUCCUAUUGCCAGGUAUGAAACUUAAGUCCAUGCAGAUGCCGGGCUUGUUAGCCUUUUGGAGUGGUUAUCUUCAAGUUAUAUCAAUGGUAUCAGAGCCACCCAUCGCUCUUCAUGCCUAUCGUGCCUUGGAUGGUGACGCUGAUAUUGUAGUGUUGACCCUGUGCUAGAAAUGGUCUAGCGCAUAGCCGUCCGUCGAGGAUGAAGAAUGUGGAGUGUAGUGGCUUCUUGUAAUCCUAUUGCAAGGUAUGAAACUUAAGUCCAUGCAAAUGCCAGGCUUAUUCCACCCAUCGCCUUUCGUGCCUGUCAUGCCUUGGAUGGUGGCGCUGAUAUUGUAUUGUUGCCCCUGUGCUAGAAAUGGUCUAGCGCAUAGCCGUUGAGGACGAUGGAUGUGGAGUGUAAUGGUUUGUUAUGAUCCUAUUGCAACGUAUGAAACUUAAGUCCAUGUGGAUGCCGGGCUUAUUAGCCUUUUGGAGUGUGGUUCUCCCUGAGUUGUAUCAAUGGUAUCGGGGCCACCCAUAGCCCUUCGUGCCUUGGAUGGUGACGCUGAUAUUGUAGUGUUGACCAGGUUCUGGAAAUGGUUUAGCACAUAGUCGUUGAGGACGACGGAUGUGGAGUGUAGUGGUUUGUUGUAAUCCUAUUACAAGGUAUGAAACUUAAGUCCAUGCGGAUGUCGGGCCUAUUAGCCUUUUGGAGUGUGGUUCUCCAUGAGUUGUAUCAAAAGGUGUCGAACUUUAUAGGCCAAACUAGAAAGGAGAGGUUUUCCACAUAAAAUGAGACAAAGGGAGUUGGUGAUUUCUUCCUAUGUUAAAUCCUCCAAUACUCAAUUUGUCGGGAUGUCGCCCACUAGGUAUGUGCAACAUUGACUUGGGUUGAAAUGGAUCGAAAUAGAAUAGCAUGGAUAUAGAGGACUCAUAUAGUCUUUCCCAUCUAGUUUGUGAUUGAUUCUCUUCUAUGAGCGGCAUCCAGAUAUUGAAUGAUUUCCUUAUGAUUAUCUAAGUGACUGUACUCUUAACGAUCUUUCAUGUCGGAACCUAGACACUAAGGGAUGUAAUAAAUUAAAGGAAUGGAGUGGUGAACUUAGGAAUCAAGAUGAUAUACAGGUCAUGUGUAAGCAAAAUAGAGAUAUUGCUAGAGAAUUAUAUGACUUUAUUCAAGUUUAAUGCUGAGACUGAACAAUACAUUAUUCUCGUUUUGACUUAAAACUUCAGCUUUUCUUGCUAAUAACUAGUUAUGCUACUUUUUCAACUGUAGGUUCGUGGACGUACUGCAUGAAGCACCUCUAUCCGGUCAUAGGAAGCCUACGAGCCUUAUUGGGAGUAUUUUCUACUGUUUCUUAUUGGCAAGUAUUAGUUCAUGAAUUCUUUGUUGCUGUGACAAUGAUGCAAAUUUAGCCACUAGGUGAACUAAUUGUGACGAAUUCUAGGCAGGCUUUGCUAUUUUGGCAGUGGGAGCUAGAUGGAUAUUUCACCCUAUAGAACGAUUAGUGUUCCCACUUCUUUGCAGUUGUAACGUUGGCCUCCUUGUUGUCACAGGUGCGCUAUGAAGUCACAUUCUCUGCCUUUUUUUCUAUGCUUUCAGCAAAUCUUAAGAUCUAAAUCUCCUGCGUUUUAUUGUAUUUUUCCAACAUGUGAAUUCCCUCUAUAGCUCUAUGCCUAAAACAAAGGUGUUUGAUAUCUGUAGGCAUUUUCCAGCAAUAUUUGGUCUAUCAAGUUAAGAAAAUACGGUUACAGGUCAGUGUUUCUAUAUACUUCAUGAUAAAAAUAUGUACCAAGCCCAACUAGCUUGUGAUCAAGGUUUUGUUGUUGAAAUGGCCAUUAGUGAUAAAUAUUAUUGUUACAAUAUAUAGCUUGAGAUGAAAGUUAUUGGGCAAAAGAGGUUAAAAAUAACACUGGAAGGGCAAUUUCAAGCUUCCUUAGUUAUAUAAAUGAAUAUAUUACCUCAUUGGAUUUAACUCUCAUCCAUACCUCGCCCUUUUCCUCUCCCUUCUUGUGUGACAUGUGCACAGAAGAAAGCACGGAGUUAAAAAUGUCUCCUUUUAUAUUCUUAGUUAUCAAAAAAAAGAGAAAAGAAUCUCUCCUUGUAUAUAAUACUGGUAUAAAUCAUCUACUUGUGUGGUCUUCGGCAUAUUAAUGAUGUUACACUGCCCAAAAAAAUCAUAUUAUUCAAGUGUCUUUCCUUAGUAGGCAUUCUGUGGAGUGUGCAAAGUGGUGGACCAGUAAGCUGGAGAAACAGAUCAGUACAGUAGAAGAACCUGAUUUACAAACUGUAUGGGACUAAAGGUUUCCCAAAAGAGGUAGAGCAUAAUCUCGGUGGAAUGUAGGAGGCAUAAGGACCUUGAAAAUGGAUCAAGGAAAUCAUGAACUGUACUUUUUAGCACUUAGAUGCUUCUAUUGCUGAUUUUGAUAAGGAAAGGGAAGAGUUGAGUCACAUAUGAAUUUCAAGCUUUGGUUAUUUAUUUCCCUUCUCCUUUCUAUCCUGCGGGUACAAAGAAAGGUGAAGUCAGACAUCAGUUAAGCGAGUUGGCAACUUCUCUGUAGAACAAUUCAGAUCUAAGUUGCGCGAACUCUUCGCUUUCGAUGCUGCACCCAUGUUGGAUUCUCCAAAAUUACACAACUAUUGGAGAAUCUGACACGUACCCGCUGGGCAUUUUGAAGAGUCCGAGCAACAUAGAUUCUGAUAAAUAUUCUCAGGAUUCCUGUUAUCUUUCUUUUGGUGAAUGGAGACUUGUGGUAGGCUGGUAGCACUACUUAAAUGGGAAUUAGAUUUUACUGAUAUACUUCAUCUAUCAAGAUAGACCAUCUUCUUUUUUGUGUUCCUGUUAUUCAAAAUCAUAUGUUUGCUAAGCGACAAUUUCUGAUGUUUGCGAUAAUAUGAACUUUAAUGUUGUAGGGGUACUAUAUUUUCAGCCAGAAACUGAAGCAUAUUAUUCGCCUUCCAUUUGCUACAAUCGCCUAUGGUAUGCAUUACCUGGUUCUCUAGUUUGUAUAUUGAUCGCCUACAAGUCUUGCUAUUUGUAUUCAACUAUUUUAUUUAUAUUGGUGUUGUCUGGGCCAUCUUGUGCACACCUCGAUUAUUCUACCGGUGCUUGCUACCUCCCACCUACACAAAUGUCGGUUAACUCUGCCUACCAAAACUUAGCCAUAUGAGAAGAAAUCACCUAGCAUGCUAGCUAAUCUGCUAUAAGUGGAUUGCAUCUCUGCUAUUUUCUUCCAGAAUUACAAUAAAUUUCGAUGUAGUAUCUGUUAAUUUGCGCAUGAUGAUCUGGUCUUGGACCUUCUCAACCCUCCACUACAACUCCCAGUGGGGAAAAGUGGGGAAAAGGGAAGCUGAGUAAGUCUGACUGAGAAGUAAUAAUGAACUCUCAGCUUAGAAGAUAAUAUUCAUGAGAUCAUAAUAUGUGCGUGAAACAAGCUUAGACUAUUUUUUUCUUUCUAAAGAAAAGCUUUACUGUUGUAGUUUUUUGUCAAAUUCUUCUGUGAUCUGAAUAAUACUUCAGUAACUACUAACUAGUUUAAUUCUAAGUUGCUUUCGUAAUUGUUUCUAAAAAAAUAAGAACCAUCUUUCUUUUGUUUGUUUAACAUGGAUAGCCAUUUGAAACACUUGAAUUACAGGAACCGCUGCGAUGCUGCUUGUCAUGGUUUGGGAUCCACAUAUUAGCAUCCUCUCUAUGCCUAUGCUACUCAGGUUUACAUUCCAAGAAAUUGGCUGCAUCAAUUUUCUUAGUUCUGUGCAGCUCCUUGCAUAAAGAUUGAUUUAUUUAGCAAUUUUCAGUACUGAAAUGGUCCCUGGAAACUUUUCCCUUCUUAAUUUUAGGAUAAUUUGUGUUGAAUCUAAAUUAUGCUAGGAUAAUUUCAGUGAAUUAUUCCUUCAUCAAGGUGUAGUAUUUAGCAAAACAUAAAUGUUGAAUCUAAAUUAUGCUAGACACUUUUAUGCAAGGUAGCAUUUUAAGUCAGAGAGUUGGUUUUGAGGAUUGCAACUUUUAGGUGGAGCAAUUUGAAAUAUGGAAGUAUGACAGGGAAUAAUAACUUUAUUUGCAAUCCAUAGAUAAGUUAUAAACGAGGAAAGUGAGACUCUCAAGGAGUCUUAUAUGGGACUCUAUUGGAGCUUUAAGUAUUGGCUGCCAGGUUCUAACAUGAAAAAGGUAAAGGAACUGAAUAUCUCUAAAUUCACUGCUGCUGUUCUCGCUUUGGUUAGUGAUAUCCACUUCAUGGACUGAAAACAGUUGUGGAUUUGAUAUAUCAAUAUGUGUUGAAUCCAUGAAAAAAUAGGACCAAAAGUGUCAAAUUUGUGGAGUGGGAUUUUAUAUCCAUUUGUAUUUGGGCAGUAAAUAAACUUCAUGGAUGUAGGACAUGAACAUUAUCUUACUUACACCUCCCCCCCAAAAAAUCCAUCUAAAUCCUUAAAGUUGUCAUUAUGUGUGGAAGAAGAGAGACUUAAAAGAUUUUGCUGGUUCAGGCUCAAUGUGAAAGCUCCUUCUAGGCUUUACAAUUUUCGAAAUAUUAGGACCUCACGGAUAUAUAUAUCUGGUCAAAUUUCUGUUCCUUAAGUGACAUGCAGAUUGGAGGUUGCACGGGCUACAUCAGUGGUAUUGAAGUUUAUAUAUUAAUUCGUUGUAAUGUUUUCUUAAGCUUGCUUGCUUCAUUUUUGCAGGAUUAUCAUGCUGGCGGAAGUAGUAUGUGUUAGUUCCUUCAUGACAGUCUAUAUUGGUGAGUAACCUCCUUUAUGGGUUGCUUUUAACAAGAGUCAAUUUCCUUGAUAAAAUUUUAUCGUUUUCAAACACCUUGACUGCCUAGAUAAGAGUCCUGCAGAACUGCAUUCUAGAGAAAUGACAUUAAAACUUAAAGCCUCUGUGCAUUUGAGUUGUGAAAAUAAUUUGUCUGGCUUUUAAAUUGCCUAAUUGAAAUUCCAACCUGUUCUAUAUUAUUAGAAAGUACAGAUGCAAAAUAAAGUCAAUUAAACCUUCUACUCUCUGCAGGUUGCGUUCACCAGUACAAUUCAUUGGAUUCCCAGCCUGAUGUUUUAAAGUCACUUUAUUCUCCACUUCAACCAUCAAGUUCUCUGGAAGGUUUGAGGUACUUCUCAGGUUUACAUUCUGAUUAUGGAGAAACAUUUUGUCCAAUAAUUUGGUGACUGGUACUGUACCUUUAGGGCAUGCUUGGAAACCAUUGUCUAAUUAUAUGCCGUGUAAAACGUAGUAAUUGUUAAAAAAUUGUGAUAUCAAAGCUAUAAGAAUAUAAAGAAGUAUUUUAUGGAAAUUGUAAAUCAUGAUGGAUCUUUGCAUUAGAAGAAGGGGUAAAAUGAGUCGGGAUGACCAAAAUGAGUUGGGUCAAACAUAUUGAUAUUGACAAUAUUGUCUUCUUUGUUUCAGUUCAUUGAUCGCUGAGAUGUAGUUAGUAUUGAUUGUGUCUUUGCAAUAGGAUAUUUAUUUUGAUCUCUGAUAUGGCGAAGCAUUUGGUAGUUGAAGAAGUGGGAGGCUUUUGGAUAAUUAACUGAUGCUAAGAGGCCUAAGAUAAUAAAUCUCAAAUAUCUUUUUUGUGUUUUCAAACCAACCAUUAAUGCAACAUGAUUGGUACUUUUAUGAUGUCAAUGUGACUUCUGAGAAGAAAUCGAAGAAUGCUUGACAGUUGUUUUACUGCUUCUUCUAGAUGAGACAAAUGAUAAUUUCUCUAAGAGCCUUCUGUUCUACAGGUACCAGGAUGGUGGUCGACUAUCAGAUCAGCAGAUGGCGUUGCUGCAAUAUCAGCAAGAAAAUAUACACUUUUUGAGUGAGGAGGUACAUAGUUAUUAAAACCUCUGAGAUCUUACUGGAAAUUCACUUCCCAUGCUUUUAGGGGCGGGAGAGGGUAGAAAUGGGACUUUGGGCUGCUUCAGUUUUAUUAGUUGGUGAAUCAAGUACCUAAUAGCACAUAGAAGUAUAUUUAUUGUAAGUUAAGAAUUUCCUGCUUUUCUUGGAAAGGGUGCAUCUCUAGAUAUAUAUAGAUAGGUCUAUUCUCUCUUCAGGAUGUAUAGUUCUUAUGACCAAAUAGAUUUUAAUCCUGAUAGUUUCUUCUGGAGCUUUUUCUUUCUUUAUGACUGAAUGGAUUUUUUUUCUCUCUAGAUUCUUAGACUGCAAGAAACCUUAAGCAAAUACGAAAGGUCUAAUGAUGGGAGUGCACCUCAGGUAUGUUCUUCCUUGUCAAAAUUAUGAUACUGUUUCUGUAUUAUGUACAAAAGAAGCAAAAUGUGUUGGUAUGCAUGACAAGUUAAUUAUAUUUAAGCUAUAAGCAUAAAAUUGUGGGGAAAAAAGAACUCGAGAAACAUGAACUGAUAAAAUCUUAGUGGAGGUACCAUCUGUUUAAGGUGAUCGUCUAGCUUUUCUGUCCUAUUAGUAGGGCACUAAAUGUUGGCGCUGAUUCUAUCAUUUUGAUCUCGCAUGUCAUUGAGCUUUGACUAACCAGGUAAGUAAUAUCUUGUAGCUACUGCAAGGGAAACAGAAUUCAGCAAUAGCAACAACAACAUAACCAGGUAAGUAAUAUCUUGGGAGGUGGAAAGGCUGUUUCUGCUAGCUCGAGAAAAUGCCAGGAUGGAGAAACCAAGACCAAAAUUACACAAGGCACGUCAAAGCAUACUGUAAAAGGAAUAGUAACUACCACAAAAUAAUACGAUAAAUGAAUUAAAAGGGACAAAUAUAUAGCAAUAGAAAUCAAAUGUUGGAGUCCCACAUGAGCUAGUGUGGGCAAUCAUGCCCUCAUGAGCUAGUUUUUGAGAUUGAGUUAGGUCCAAGGUCCAUUUCUUUAUCAUGGUAUCAGAGCCAGGCCUAUCCCAAAUCUUUGUUCACCGAUGUUGGGCCCCCAUAUUAUAUUGUCCACGCUCCAGUUAAUGAGGCUUCGGUGUGCGGGGGAGUGUUAAGUAUCCCUCAGUUAACGAGGCUUGGGUGUGCGGGGGAGUGUUAAGUAUCCCACAUUGGAAAACUGAUGAAUAAUUGGUCUCCUUAUAUGGACUUGGGCAAUCCUCCCCUCAUGAGCUAGCUUUUGAGGUUGAGUUAGGCCCAAGGUCCACUUCUUUAUCAUGGUAUUAGAGUCAGGCUUUUCCGAUGUUUCCCUCCCCCCUGGUCUUAUAUUGUCUACGCUCCAGAUGUCCAGUCUAGGGCAUGCGGGAGGUGUUGGAGUCCCACAUAAUUCAUUGUUUCCGAUGUUGGGCGCCCCCCCCCCCCCCCCACAUCUUAUAUUGUCCACGCUCCAGAUGUCCAGUCUAGGGCGUGCGGGGGGUGUUGGAGUCCCACAUCGGUGGGUUAAAGGGUCCUUGGUCUCCUUAUAUGGUCUUGGGCAAUCCUCCCAUCAUGAACUAGCUUUUGAGGUUGAGUUAGGUCCAAGGUCUAUUUCUUUAUUAGGAACAAAGGCCUACAAGAGUAAUACUAGGGCGUAAUGAUAAACGAGACUACACUCAACUACCUACCAACCUUCCACACUAAUCGGUGUCCUCCAUAAUCUCCCAUCUAUGUUCAUGUUCGGUAAGAUGGAGCUGUGCUGUGUCCUGUUUAACCACCUAACCCUAGUAUUUCAGACCUCUCCUGAAACCAUUCAUGCCCAAAAAGGGAAAAAAUAUCAAAAGGAAGAAAUAUCAUAUAUGCUGAGAACAAUACUGCAUACACUAGCACACACAUCCUUCUGAUUUCUGGAGAAUUUGUUUUCUUAAAGAAAAAUUGGUAACUGUAUAAUAUGGGACUGCUGAUAAUGAGAUCAGCCAUCUUGUAUAGUCAUUAAUCACUAGAAUCUGGGAUGAAGUUUUGAAAGUGAUGAAGUUAACGACUCGUCUUGGUUCUUCCAGGUAGAUCUUGCUCAUUUGUUGGCUACUCGAGAUCAAGAGUUACGCACACUCAAAGCUGAGGUAAUGUGUGGCAUGCGGCUUUGUCCUUUUUUCAAUUCCAACAGACAUAUGGUUCUGAAUAGUACACGUGCAAUUGAAUGCCUGUUUUGUGGGCUUCGUUUUGAAUGAGAUUCUCCUCUCGUAUUCCCUUAUUGUAUUGUGGUGGUAAGUUGUUUUUUUAAUUAAGAAUGUAAUUUGUUUUCUCACAAGAUCUUGCUUUGAAACUCAAAGUUUAGCGCAUCCUGUUUUAUCCCUUUACCUCUUCUACUAAAUACUUGUGGGUUUCAGAUGAAUCAAUUGCAAUCUGAGCUGAGGCUUGCUCGAUCUAUUAUAGAGGAGAAAGACGCUGAGAUUCAGCGUAUUCGCAAUGCAAACAAUCAGGUGUGUAUUAGAAUAUGCUUUAAUAGUCAACAUUUUUGGGCAAUGAAAGAAGUUGUAUUUGGUGUACUUACAGCUGGGUUUAAUUUUCUUCUGCGAAUGGUCACUUAUGUUGAUUCUAACUUGCUUGGAUCUUGAAAUCUUCUUCCAUUAAGAAAUUGGGACUUAUUUGCGAUGAAUGAUGAGCUUAUUAUAAAAUAACAUUGACGUAUUCAUGUCGUCGUGUAUCGGCCUAAUAAAAGUGAACCAUUUUGAAAGAAUUUAGCACGUUCUUCUGUAUUUCAUGGCUCCUGGCAAUACUUCUCUGUUAAUCAGUUUGUUGUUUCUCAACUGUCAUCGCAAGUUUUAUUUAAAUUGUUAAAUGUGGUCCGCUACACAAGUCUUAUACAACAACAUGCCUGUGAGAUUCCAAGCACACAUCUUUCAUUUUUAUGUAGUAAGUAUUAACUUUUGACGUUAAUCAUUUAUCGACCUAACAAAAUUGGACCCUUUUUGAAAAAUUUAGUACAUUGAUCAGUCUGUAAUAUCUACUUUUUUGUUAUUAUCUGAUAUUUCUUGUACUUCCGUUACUUUUUUUCUGGACAAUUUUGGACUGUUUUCCUUGAGCCGAGGGUCUAUCUAAAACAACCUCUCUACCUUUGAGGAAGUGUUAAGGUCUGCAUACAUUCUACCCUUCUCGCACCCAACUUUGUGGAACUACACUGGGUAUGUUGUUGUGUUGAGCAGACUGUACUUCUGCACUGGUAUAAGAGUCGUAGGUAGUAGUUAGUCGAUCACGACCAAGUAUAUUCUAUCUUCAUUGUUGUCUGUAUAGUAUUUGGACUCACACAGUAGCACAUGAUCCUGCCUUUUUUAUUUUUCGAUGAAAGAGUGCAUAACAUCUCUCUCUGAAACAGUAUGUAGAAGAAAACGAGAGACUCAGAGCUAUUCUGGGAGAAUGGAGCAACCGAGCAGCUAAGGUAGUACUUCAUUAGUCGUGUUACAUUGCUAUGAUGUUUAUCGUUUGCUUGUCCUCUUAUCACACCAAAUGUUUUAUUUGUCUGGAUAAAAGCUCGAACGUGCAUUGGAGCUGGAACGGAUGUCAAACUUGGAACUGCAGAAAAAAAUGACCACACUGAAGACUCAAACGCGUGAAUAGUUCGGCCCCACUAGCAAGGUUAGCAAGUGGUUACUUCUUUAGCAGUUAAGCAACAAACAUGCAUGAACCAUUUCAUGAAGUAUGUGUCUGGAUAGUCCAGAGUCUCGAUAGUUAGCUCUGGGCCUCCCGGUCAAAAAACAACGUCGAUGAAGAGUUCAGGUGCAAAACCAUUCCUGGAAGAUAUAAUGGUCUUAUCUGCACAUGUACAGAUUAAGCUCAAAACAAUAGUUUGCUUGAUGUGUACCAUCUUCAAGACUAUCAGCUUUGUAUAGUUUUUCCCUCUAUUAUUUAUUUCAUAUCUUUUCUUCUUGUAUUAGAUUUUCUUUUUGGAAGAAAUUUUUUUCACUGUGUGUUAUUUUAUGGCCAUAGGCAAAUCUUAGAAGGAUGAUUUCCAAAGAUAAUGACAUCGAAAUAUCAGAAGGCGAAUUCAGGAUUUUAAUCCGUUUGGCCAUGAUUUUUUCACUUUUUCAGAAAAAAAUUCACUUUAUGUCAAAUCCAACUCCAAGUUGAUGUUUGGCCAUGAGAAUUUCAAAAACAACUUGGAGUUGUAUUUGAAAAAGUGGAAAACAAGAAAAAGUUAUUUUCAUUUUUUUUUCCAUUAAAUUUAUGGUUCUGGAUAGGCAAAGUUCCAUCAUUGUUUUUAUAGAAUGAAAGAGUUAAAAACAUACUUGAAGUAUAACAAUUUUUUGUGUUUCAUAUUUGAACUAUAAGGUGUGUUUGAGUUUCAUUCCUGAACUAUGACCAACUAUUUAUUAAAACACACCUAAUCUCGAGUCGGGGUUGGGUGUUGGGUAUCGGGUUCUGAGUCAUGGUCGAGUUUUGGGUCUUAAGUUUGGGUUGGAUUGCAUCUCGGGUCUUGAGUCUGGGUAGGAUGCUGGACCCGGGUCGGGGUCUAAGUUAGGGUGGGGUGUCGGAUCCCUAGUACAAAGAGCUAACGAUUACAUUCUCUAAUUUUAUAGCUAAUAAUUAGCUAAAUAAUUUUGCCUAAAUUUACCGUCUUUAGGCUUUAGUAGGUUAAAGUGGGUUAGAACCGUUUACUCAAACCAUAUUUCAUGUAGAUUGUAAUACAAUUCAUUUUAGCUCAAUUCAUAUUCGAUCCAUCAAAAUUCAAUCCAAUUCACCCAUUUGCCACCCCUUCCCCAACACAUAUUUCAUUGUAAUAUAAGAUAAGACGUUUCCCUUUCUUAUAUGAAAAGGGUCAAAAUUCUUCUCUCACAUGAAUUUUUUCCUGUCAUUUUAUUCAAGCGACUACAACGACAUACCUAGUAAAUCUCACAAUUGAGGCCUGGGAGGGUAAAGUAUACGUGAACCUUAUCAUUAUCUCGGGAAGGUGGAAAAGUUGUUUUCGAAAGGCCUUCGACUUAAGUAUAGCAAAUUCAGAUACAAUAAAGAGAAAUACAUUAAAGAUAAUAUGAUAACACGGGACAGUGCAGAAACUACCAUAAAACAAUUUCAGUCACAAAAUAGUGUGAUAAUUAAAACACAAUAAACAACAAAAACAUAUAUCUAUGGCUAAAUCCUACGCUAUCAUACUAUGACUAGUUCAAGACAUCACUCCUACCCGACUAACCUUCUAUUUUAAUGCACAUCCUCCACAUCCCCUAGCUAAGAUCAUGUCCCCGGUAACCUGAAUAUGUGUGAUGUCUUAUCUUAUUACCUCUCUCCAAUACUUCUUCGGCCUACCUCUACUCCUCUUCGUACUCAUUAUAUCCAAGCUUGCACACCUCCUCACCCGAGUGUCUAAACUUCGCCUCAUUACAUGUCCAAGCUAUCUCAAUCUCGCUUUCUCAUCUUAUCCACCACGGAGGCCAUUCCCACCUUAUCUCAAAUGUCCUCAUUCUUGAUUCUAUCACACCCAGUAUGUCCACAAAUCUAUCUCAAUAUUCUCAUUUCUACGACAAACAUCUUCUGAACAUGGGAGUUUUUGAUUGAUCAACACUCCGUCCAUUACAACGUUGGUCUAACCACCACUCUAUAAAACUUAUCUUUAAAUUUCACUGGUAUUUUCUUAUCACACAAGAUGGCCUUAUUUUUUUUUACAGAUACAAAAAAUAAAUUAAAAUAUGGCCACAAAUAGCAACAUUCAUUUAAAAAAAAUAAAAAAAAAACAUUUUAUAUAUUUUUCAUUUAAAAAAAAACAUAUCAAAAUCAUUACAAAAAAGGAAAAUAUAGAUUUAAUAUAAUUAAAAUGCAAUAUUUCUUCCGUAAAUAUAGUUAAACUUAAAUAACAAUAUCCCUUCCUUAAAUAUAGUUAAUAGUAACUAAUAGAUACCAAUCACACCACUAUUCUCUCUUUAACCAUUUUUUCUCCAUUUUUAAACAAUUUGAUUUCUUUUUUCACCAUCAUAUACAUUCGUUUUUUUUUUUCUAUCAGAAAUUAUUAUUUCAAUAAAAAGCUUCCACAAGUUGUUGUUGUUUCAUACAACGUUUGGAUAUUUUUAUUGAAAAAAAGGUCCAAUAGUCUAACAAAAAUAAAAAAACGAGACACACAAAUAUGAAUUAUGCUAAUUUGCACUCAAUUCAUGAUAUAUCAUGGAGGAAGAUGGGAUGCCUCAGGUAUAUCUUGGUUAUUAACUUUGAUAUUUUUCAUUAAUUCUUUUUUUUAAUUUCUUUUUGAAAUAUAUAUUGUCUAAUUAUUUAUUAAGAAAAAGACAUUAAGAGAAAAAGUUAAUAUUGUUUUAUAUUUGUUUUUAAUUAUGUGAUGUUGACAUGUUGAUUAUUCACGAGAACGUGGUGGAAAGUCACAAAAAAAUGUUGUUCAAUCAAUUUAUAGGUGUAUGAUUAUUGGUUGUCAAAUAUUUUCAUUCGGUUAUAUUACAUUCAGUGAGUGACCUAUUAUGAUAUUAUAUUUAUUGUUUUAGUAAUUUCUUUUAUUAAUUUUAUUAUUGUGUAUGUUUUGACAGUAUUAAAAUAUAUUGAAAUUAUCAAAUUUCAUAUGUUUAUCAUUUUUUUUAUUUUUUUUUGAUAUGUAUGUUUUGUGAAUUUUAAAAUAUGUUGUUUUUUAAUUACAUAUCGUUACCGAUUAUUUAGUGUUAGUUACUUAACAUAUCUGUAUUAUAUUUGAUGGUAGAUUUAAAGAUUUUUCUAUAGAUGAAAUUAUGUAUGGUGCAAAUACCAAGUGUAAAGGAUUGCUAAAUGCAAUAGCAAAAUAACUCAAGAUCGACAUCAACUCAAUUCAAAUUUGAGAUUAAGUUCUUGAUUGAUAGAUUCCCACCAAUGAUCAUACACAAUGAUACAGGAGAUGUAUCUAGAUCGAAAAAAGACUGUUAUCAAUAAUCAUACAUAAUGAUAAAGUCAUGUUAAACUUUUGUUAUGUUUCUGCAUGAUGUUUUUAGAUAUUAAAAUAUGUUUUUGUUGAUUUUAUAAAAGAGAUAAUACAUAAAUAUGACCCUAAACUUGACACUAAAUUAUAACUUUGACCUUAAACUUUGACAGUGGACAAAUAUGACCUUUAACUAUUCAAAACUGCAAAAUAUGACCUCCGAUCCUACAUGGCAAAACGCGUGUUCAACACGCAAAACUGGGCACAUCCUGCUUAAAAUCUAAGGGCAUAUACAUAAAUAUGAUAUGAAACUUGACACCAAAUUAUAACUUUGACCUUAAACUUUGAUAGUGCACAAAUAUGACUUUUAGCCAUUCAAAAUUGCACAAAUACAACAACAACAACAACAAAUCUAGUAUAUUCCUACAUAAUGAGGUCUGGGGAGGGUAGAGUGCACGUAGUCCAUACCACUACCUCUACAGAGGUAGAGAGGCUGUUUCCGAUAGACCCCGGCUCAAAACUGCACAACUAUGACCUUUAAAUGAUUUUUCACUAUUAUUAUUUCAUUAUUUUCGGCUCAAAGAUGAAAAUGACAUCUAAUUUCUUUUGUCAUUGCAGAAAAAGAACAAUAUUGAAGAUUUAUUAAUUAGGUGGGUCAAUCUCAUACGAAAAAAUCAUGCGGAUAUGUAUAUAUAUAUUAUAAAGCAGAGGGCGAAUUUAAGUUAUAUAAUAUAUCUAAAUAUAAUUUAUUUAACUAUUAAAUUAAAUAUGAAACUAUACUAAUAAUAAAAAAUUAUAGUUUUAAUAAAGCAUUAUCAAAUUAACGUUGUUAAAAUGUUAUAAAAUUAACGUUAUUAAAAUAUUAUUAAAUUAACGUUAUUAAAACGUUAUUAAAUUAACGCAGAGGCGGACCUACGUGAUUGCCAUGGGGUUCACCCGAACCCCCUCGGUAAAAAAAUUACGUUGUAUAUAUAAGGUAGAAAAUCUGUAUUCAUGUAUGUAUAUUAAUGUUGAACCACAUGAAACAAGACACUUAGAUAGCCCAGUGGUGUUAAUUGCUCUUCUUGGGCUCUUCCUUCAGCUUACUGCGCGGGUUCGAUCCCGUUAGUGGAUGUUCUUUUUUUUUAAUGAAAAAAAAGUUAGAUGUUGUUGCUAUAGAAAUAAAUAAAUAAAUAAAUAAAUAAUAAUAAUAAUAAUAAUAAUAAUAAUAAUAAUAAUAAUAAUAAUAAUAAUAAUAAUAAUAAUAAUAAUAAUAAUAAUAAUAAUAAUAAUAAUAAUAAUAAUAAUAAUAAUAAUAAUAACAACGUCGUUUUGACACAAAAAGCAAAAUUUUGAUAGUGCACAAAUAUGACCUUUAACUAUUCAAAACUGCACAAAUAUGACCUCCCUCCAAGUCAGCCCUUUUAACGACAUGGGACCAUGUGAUUAAAUUACCUUUCCACGUAGGCUCGAGUGAAACUCACGCAUGGGGCUGCAAAAUUGGAGGUUAUAUUUGUUCAGGUUUUGAAUAGUUAAAUGUCCUAUUUGUGCACAAUCAAAGUUUAAGGUCAAAGUUAUAAUUUGGUGUCAAGUUUAGGAUCAUAUUUGUGUAUUAUCUCUUUAUAAAAACAAUAUCAUCUUUAGAUUCAAUAACUUAAAUUUUUAUUUCUGAAAUUGUAGACUCAAUAUGUUAUAUAUGUAUAUUGAAAAAUAUAAAUAGAUAACUGAUUAUAAAAUAUUAAAAUACAUAAUUUUAGACAUCUGAUAUCAUUUUAAGAUUUAAAGAAAAACUUAUAUCAAUUUUAAACCAAAAAAAUACUUGAUAUAAGUAAAAUAUAACGGGAUAUAAUUUAUAUCGCAAAGUAUAAGUUCGCGAAAGCAAUAAUUUUAAGUUAUUUUAUAUCAAAUUGAAUACAAAAGAUCAUUCCCAUUAAGUAAGAAAAAAGCAAUUACUAUUGUAUGCAAUUUGCAUGAUAAAUCAUAUAUUAUGUUUUAAUGACACUUGAAUAAAAAAAUUAAUCUGCAAAUUUAUUAACGUGGCAAAAUGAAUAUACAAGAGUAACAAAAUUAAGAUAAUAAGUAACAACAUAAAAAGAUGUUUUGGAUAUCAAAUAUCUUAUUUGGAGUAGAAUCAAAUUUUUAUUUUUCAGACAUGACUCAACGGAAAAAAAGAAAGAAAAAUAUACUAAAUUGAAGAAACUUUAAAUCUGAAUGAAGAAAUGAAUGUUGAAAAAUUCAACUUCAUACACAUGAAUAUGAAAAGUAGAAAAAAAAAAAAAAAAAAACUUUAUGGAAAUGAAGAUAAAUUAGUGGUUGAAAAAAACUUUUAUCAAUAAAGUUGAUUUGGAAAUCCUGUAAACAUUGGACUACUAAGUUAAUUAAUAAAAUAAAAAAAAGUUAAAUAUCAUGUAUAAAUAUAAAAAAAAUAUCUUUACUAUAUUUGAUUCCUUAAUUUGAGAACAAAUUAUGAAACUUAAUUAACAAAAUAAAAAAUAAGAUAUAAUGAUUGAUACCAACAAUAAAACUUGUCAUAAUAAUCAAAAGAUUUAAUGAAGAGUGAUAACUAUUAAAGACUAUAAAUAAGGAUAUAUUUGAAUAUUAAAUAUGAAAAAAUAUUAUUUAAUAUUUAAAAUAUAGUUUAAAGAAGAUAAAUUAGUGAUUGAAAAUAACUUUUAUCGGUAAAGCUGAUUUGGAAAUCCUGCAAACAUUGGCCUACCAAAUUAAUUAAUAAAGUUAAUAAAAAGUCAAAUAUCAUGUAUAAAUAUCAAAAAAUAUAUGUUUACCAUAUUUGAUUCCUUAAUUGGAGAACAAAUUAUGAAACUUAAUUAACAAAAUAACAAAAAGAUAUAAUUGUGAAUACCAAUAAUAAUACUUGCCAUAAUUAUCAAAAGAUUUAAUGAAGAAUGAUAACUAUUAAAGGCUAUAAAUAAGGAUAUAUUUGAAUAUUAAAUAUGAAAAAAAAUAUUUUUUUUAAUAUUUUAAAAAAUAAAUUUUUAUGAGUAAAGAUCUUGUGUAAAUAAUAAUGAGUUUUAAAAGUUUUGUUGGAAGUUGGUAAAAGGUAAAAGAGCUUGCGUCUGAUUUUGGAUUGCGUCUGGUAAAAGGGUUGGAUUGCAACUCGGGUCUAGAGUCUGGGUAGGAUGCUGGGAUCUGGGUCGGGGUCCAAAUUCCUCUCACACAUUAAUUUUUUUCUGAUUUUUUAUUCCAGCGACUACAACAACGUACCCAGUAAAUCUCACAAGUGAGGCCUGGGAAGGUAAAAUGUACGCUAACCUUACCAUUAUCUCGGGAAGGUAGAGAAGUUGUUUAAGAGAGGCCUUCGACUCAAGUGUAGCAAAUUAAUUCAAAUACAAUAAAGAGAAAUACAUUAAAGAUAAUAUGGUAGCACGGAAUAGUGUAGAAACUACCAUAAAAACAAUAAUCAAGUCACAAAAUAGAGUGAUAAUUAAAAUACAAUAAAGAACGACAAAAAUAGAUAUCUACGGCUAAACCUUACGCUAUCAUACUAUGACUAUGCACGACAACACUCCUACGCGACUAAUCUUCUAUUUUGAUGUGCGUCCUCCACAUCCCCCUAUCUAAGGUCAUAUCCUCGGUAACCUGAAUAUGCAUUAUGUCCUAUCUAAUUACCUCUCUCCAAUACUUCUUCGGUCGGCCUCUACACCUCUUCGUACCCACUAUAUCCAACUUUUCGUACCUCCUCACCGGGGCGUCUAAAUCUUGCCUCGUUACAUGUCCAAGCUAUCUCAAUCUCGCUAUCCUCAUCUUAUCCACCACGGAGGCCACUCCCACCAUAUCUCGAAUGUCCUCAUUCCUGAUUCUAUCACACCUAGUAUGCCUACAAAUCUAUUUGAACAUUCUCAUUUCUACGACAUGCAUCUUUUGAACAUGGGAGUUUUUGGUUGGCCAAAACUCCGUCCAUUACAACGUCGGUCUAACCAUCACUCUAUAGAACUUACCUUUAAAUUUCAGUGGUAUCUUCUUAUCACACAAGAUGGACUGAUUUUUUUCGCAGACACAAAAAGUAAAUUGCAAUAUGGCCACAAAAAAUUUAGCUUGAUUAAACUGUGUUAACUCACUUAGGCAUGAUUUCAUCUCCGUUAUUGUUACUAGUAUUAUAUUAAUCCAACAUUAUAACAUUAUUUGAUCUAAUAUAAAUAACAAACUGACUAGUAGUGGACCAUGAUUUUCGCUACGGAUAGUUAAAAUAAAAGAAAUUAUAAUAAUAAGCAUACGAAUUAGGGGAUUAAACAUCCAAUAUAUACCAUACAUAAUUUUUUGACCUAUCUAUGCACAAUAUCUAUAAUUUUCCAGCAAACAUGUGAUUUAAUACAACAUGAAGGACAAAAUACAAGAGACAUUUGUUUGGGGUAAAAAGGAAAAAGAGUAAAGAGUGUGUCAUUACAGAGAAAAAGAUUGAUUAUUUAAUGCUGAGCCAGUGAACCUCAAAAAUAUCUAUAUGUAAAGUAAGGUUGGAAGAGGGUGUUGAGAUGGAUUGUUGAGAUCCUGCAAGAUAGCCCGUAGAAACAACUUCUUCAUCCUAGAGCAGUGGCAGAUAAACAAUUCUGUUAGACCCGAGAAGGUGUGAGAUGCAAUUUUUCCCUUACAGAGCCCAACAAGAUUGGCCAAGUCAUGAACUUUCAGACUGCAGAGGGUCUGUAGUUGUAUCUCUACCAGAGGGCACGUUGACGAUCCAUUCUAUGUCUUCACAAUCAGUGAUCCUGCAGGUCAAGCCUCUUGAAGAAGUAGUCCGUGACAGAAAGUUGUCCACAAAGCAGCUACUCAGACUUCAGAAGAGCGGCUUGUUAGAAUCAGUCUGCAUCCCUCCUCACAAAGAGGGUAACCCAACUCCUCCGAGCUAAGCCGAUCCCAAACAUCAUCCAAUAUGAUAACAAUGUUCUUCAUUUGUCUGAAUGCCCGGUUUAAUCGGUCCGCCCUUCUGUGUUCAUCGUCCUCAUCUGAUAGGUCCAGCUUCAUAAUUUUGGCAAGGUCGUCUUGUAGUCCUUUGAUGCUAAACCCUUGAGAGACCGUUAGCCAAUGGACUUGAUAACGACUAUCUUCAAGAAGAAGAUUAUAUGUAUACUUUGCCAAAGUGGUUUUACCCACCCCUCCCAUACCAUAUAUACGGAUGCUUGAGGCAUUCUCAUCCUGUAACCACGUCCAAAUCACUUCUAUAUUCUGUUUUGAUGUUUCCUCCUGAACUGGUUGCACCUGCAUUGGACACUCCUCGCUUUCAUACGCAUCAAACACGAGCUCUCCAAAAUGUCUACUUUUCUCGAGAAGUUCUCCAACCCUUCCAUCCAUCUUCUCCAAAUCACCUAUAUUUUGCUCCCCUCUUGUUGCUGCUUCUUUUAACUGAUGAAAUUCUUCUUCGAGCUGUUCAACCUCGUUAAGCCAAGAUUCAACUUUGGUUAGUGAAUGAAAAAACCAUGAGAACUAGGAUAAGAAGGGUGAGAUAAGAAAAAAGUUUUAAAUUUUUUUUUUUUAAAUAAUUUUUGGGGGAGGAGGAGGGGGGAGGAGUUGGUAGGGGUGGGGUCAGGUAGAGGAUGUAAGAAAAAAGUUUAAAUUAUUUUUAAAAAAUUAAAUAUUUUUUUUUGAGGGGAGGCUAGUAGGGGGUGGAGGUCGGGGUAGGGAUAGGGUAAGAAAAAAAUUUAAAAUAUUUUUUAGAAAAAAUUAAAUAUUUUUUUUUGAUGUGGGGUGGAAGGGGUGGGAUGGUAAGGGAUUGGGGGUCGGGGUAGGAGUAGGUGAUUUUGAGAGUUAUAGAAUAUUUCAACUUAAGAGUGAGGUUGAAGGAGAAUUUUGAAAAAUAUUUUCAUUACUUUUUGAAGGGAAGUUAUUUUUCUUAAAUUUGAGAAAAAUAAGUAGAUUUGAAAAACAUUUUUCAAAAUAUUUUAGUCAACCAAAUAUGAGAAAAUUGGAAAAAUAAAAAACAACUAACUAAAAGUAGUAAUACAAGUUUAGCUUUAUACUCCAUCAAUUUCAAAAUACUUCGUUCCUUUAUAUUUGAUACCCGACUUAAGAUGUCAAUGAUUGAAGGUGUAUUUUUACUUUUUUACCCUUAUACCCUAAUAACUAAACUAUAAUUAUGGAGCAGAAACCAAGAAAUAUUUAAUUGACGACAUGUACUCCUUACUACUCCAAUAAAUAUGACGGUUCAUAUUCACUUAGAAAUUCAAUACAAAAUUAACUAUCUAGAGUAAUUCACUUCGUACUCCACUUCAAUACAUAAUUGAAUAUCUCUAUAUUCACUUAAUACUCCUACUACUCACUCUCAUAGAUUAAAUUUUUUAUCGAGGUGCAUAUUUUAAUAAAAUUAUCAAAAAUUAAUAAGAGGAAAUACAUUUUGAUAACUCUUCAACCAAGAGAAUUUUUAAAAAGAAAAGAAAAAAUGGUAAGUUCCAUAUGUUUGACAUAUGAUAUGUAACAUGUAUGAUGUAACAGUUAGACAUAAUGAAAAGACAAAUGAUGAGAGUCCAAACAUAUACCUUUUAUUUAUCUAAAAAUUACAGAAAUCCACAAAUUAAGUUUCAUUUAUUACAAAAAAAUCUCAUUUCUCCAAACAUAUUACAAAAAUCUUAUUUUUCUCUAAAAAUGCAUCUACAUAGCUUUCUAUAUAUAUGUCGACCCUGUUAUAUAUAUGUCGGCUUUGUCAUAUACAAAGAUUUCUAUGUAUAUGUCGGCCUUAUUAUGUAUAUGAAUCGGAAAAGAGAGUAAAGGAAUUAAGAAAAUGGAAGAGAGUGUAAAUAAUUCUAAUAAGGUUGAGAUUUAUGUUAUUUUUACUUCAUUUAUAUGUAGUACUAGAUGGGCAAGGUCCGUGCUCAGCACGAGCCCAAAAUAUUAGUUUACAAACUGGUUAAUUCUUGGAUGCUUUGCAUAGUCAUUUAGUAAUGAAAAAAGAACGAAAAAGUAAUCGAUGGAGAAACAAACAGAAAGCUUAUAUACCUCUUUACAAACGUAUGUUAAAAAAGUAAUGAAGAUACAUUACCACUAUGUAGGGCUAGGCAUAUUUUGGUUUAAAUCGAAAAAAUUAAAAAGUUGAACCGAAAUUUAAUUUUGGUUUGGUUUUUUGGUUUUUCGGAUUGGUUUCGGUUUCAAAUUUUAGAAAUUUGGUUAAAUGGUUUGAUUUUUGGAUUUACAAAAAAAAAAGAGAANNNNNNNNNNNNNNNNNNNNNNNNNAUUUAAUAUAUAUGUAAAUAUACUUAAAAAAUAAUAUAAUCUGAUAUAACAUAUAAAUAUAUAAAUUAUAAUCAUUUAGUAACCCUAAAUCCUAAUAUAUUGCUUUGCUUUAGACCCUUACAUUAACGUGAAGGUUGCAGCAACGCUCAACCAUCCUUAGUUCGUCAAUUCAUUUGAAAUUUUAACAUCGCCAACGACAGUCAUUUGCUCAGUUCAUCACUGCCGUCGGCAGUCGCUGCCGAGUGCGGCCACUGUUGUCACGGCAACGGCGAUGACUCAGCGAGGUCGGUAUUUAUGGUUAUUUUAUGCAUGUUGAAUUAAUUAGAUUUUGGAAUGAAAAAUAGGUUUGAAAAAAAGAUUAUUUUUCUAGAAAAAUUACCAAUUUUAAAUGCUCACUACUUUAUUCUUUAAAACCGAAAUAAAAAUUCGAAAUAACCAAACUGAAUUUGUGAAAACCGAACCAAAUCGAAAUAAUUUUGAUUUGGUUAUGGUUUUCAUUUUCGUCAAUUCGAAAAUCAAAAAACUGAACUGAUAUUCAACAAUCAAACCGAACAAAUCGAAUGCCCACCCCUACCACUAUGCAUAUUUGCAGUUAAUUUUGAUGCCAAAUUAAAAUUGCUAAGCUAAUUCUCAUAUUUUAUGCCAAAUUAAAAUUGCUAAGCUAAUUCUCAUAUUUUAAGACAUCACUAAUCCAAGUAUAGGACUCUUAUGACACGGGAGAGCCCAACCCAAAAGACUAGCCUAAUAAGUUGGAUAACCCAUUUGACUUAUAAUCUCUUUAGCAUUUCUCUAUUUUUUCAAUGUGGGACAAUUAGUUCAUAACAAUCGUCUCCGCUUGAGAACCAACGACCUCGUUGGUCACGGCCGAGCUCAGUUGGUCACAGCUGGUACCCCUUUUAGGUCCAGGCCACCACUCCUGGCGCACAGGCCACUACUCUGAGUUACGCGUGGAUCAAUCUUUGUUGGUCACAACUGGUACCCCUCUUGGGUCCAGGCCACCACUACUGGCACACAAGCUACCACUCCGAGUCACGGCCCAACGCGUGAGACUUUCAAUGAAAGCAUCAAUGUUAUAAAAUAAACGGAAGAGGCCAACCCAAAUGGAUUUUUUUUUUUAAAUUGACUACAAAUUAGAUAAGAUGAUGACUGACGCAAAGCACAAAUAUGUACAAGUGAAUGGUUUACAUCUCUUUGGUAGUCUUCCUUUGUUUGUGUUUAGAUAUGUCUCUGGUGCAAUACCUAAUCUUUUUCAAUUACAAAAGUUUUUUUUUUACUCAAUUUUUUUAUAAUGUCUUAAGAAAAAGAUCCCCAAAAGUUCAAUCUUAUUUUAGGUGGUAUGAAAUUCUGCUACAAAGAGAUCAAGUUUCAUAUGACCUGAUAGAUUUUUUUUUUCUUCUAAAUUCUCUAUCAAGUAAUUUAGAUUCUGAUUUUUUCAUAAUUUUGCUUCAAGUCUUAUUGAUUUCUGAAUUGUAUUUUAACUACAUUAAGCAAGUUGUUUAUUGGCCACUUCAUAUGUUAAAUAUUAACUAUUCUCAUGUGAUUCAUAAUAAGUGUUCGAUUAUGGACGGUUACGUAUUUGUUGUUUGUUAACUUUCUUUUAUUUGUACAUUAUCCAGUGUUAAACAUGCAUACGAGACUUUCAAAAUGCAGCUUUGAACUUUUACGGUCAACAACAACAACAACAAUGUCAUGAUCCGAACCGGGGCCCUGUCCGUGACGGAUAACCCAAAUCAUGAAGGCCCGAGAACUCUUCUAACUUGUAAUUAUAUACACCAUUCAAAUAAAAAUAAGAAAUGCAGAAAAAUACAUAAUGAACGGAAUCAUGGUCAUGAAUCUGAACUCAAUUUAUGAUAUAGAAAGUAAAGCCCAACAACAAUUAGAUAAUGUCUUAACUAGUCUGCGAAAUCUCUACUACAUCUGAAAAUAACAACUGCCUGAAACUGGGACAAGGCCCCCAGUGGACCUAAACCAAAAUAAAUAACAUGAUCUGAAAGACAUAGACCUUCUGGAAUAAAGAAGGCUCACCAAUUGCACGCAUCACUGCUGUCUGAAAACUCUACGGCUUAGCAGGGGGGUCAAUACAAUUGUACUGGUACGCAAAGCAAUCCAAAAUAAUACUUUUAUAUAAAUAAAAUAGUUGAGAGCUAGUCAUAAAACAUCAUGUAUGAUAUAAAUUUAAAACGCAUGGGCAUUUUUGAUAAAUCAUAAAACUUUCUGUCAAUACAAUUUCUAAUCUUUGUGUUACUUCUGAGUUUGAUGGCACUCCCCUACAAGUCUGAUAUUCCACAGGCUAUAUGGAAUUCACCAUUAACUCGGCGGGGAACACCCCAACCCAAGUGUGCCGUAAGAAUUGGGGUGUCUGAGUCUGAUACGCCACAGGGCUCUUGGCCAGCGUAUAAUAAUAUACCUGGAUUGACAAAUCACGAUUUUGGACAACGAGUUGUAUGAACUCAUGCCUUCUUCAGGGAACCACCUAAGCUCUCUUUAUGCCCAAUUUUAUCCUUUUCUGAAACAUACAUUCUUCUAGUUUCAACAUCUGAAAAUCUAAUUUCAAACAUGUGUUCUAUUCUGUUCUGAAUUACUAUGGCUUUAAUUGAGUUGGUGUCAUCAUACCAAGACUUGAAACUCCUAAUUCUGAGCCAUAUUGUACCAUGCAUGAUUCUUUCAUGAAACUCAAUUCAGACCACCUAAACAUGCAAAUAGUUUAAGAGAUUUCAUGUUCCGAAACAUAAGUCAAAACUAUGCAAGAAUUCUUCAAACAUAUGGUGGUCAUGUGCUUUUGGCAAAAUCAUGCACUCUUUCAUUAUAUGAAUAUUUUCAACAUUUAUCAACAUAACUACCCUCUCUUUUGAGAUCAAAAUCAUAAUCCAAUUAUAACAAUACUUAAGGCAUUUCAUAACAUGCUUUUCAAUGAUGCAUUCAAAACAAUCCAUAGCAUAUAAUAAGCAAAGGAAAAAUCAUAGCAAGAGAGGGAUUUUUCCUGUGUCAUGCUCUCAAUUCAGUCAUCAACCUUAAAACACAUACAUAUAUACAUAUAUCAAUUCAAAUCAAUUUGGGGAAGGCCUAAAGACCAAAACAAAAUCAUUGAGGCUUCUAAAACAUGAAUGUAUUCAUAAAUCCAAAACCUUUUUCUUAAAAAUCAUGACUUCUAUGCCCAUAAGAUUUUAGGAAAACCCCGCGUAUCUUAAAUUGAAAGCUUUUGAAUGAACUCUCACGUUAGGGAUGCUAAUAUACGAUUGAUGGGUGCUUCUUGUAGCCCUCGCAAUGGGAAUUCCGAUUCUCUAAUUAUCUUCUAAAAUCCAUGGUUGAAUCUUGAGUUAUUUGGGACCUUAGUUUGAAACCCUAGAGAUGGUUCUUGUGGAUUUUUGAUGAAAGCAUGAGUAAUAUGGUGUUUUGGGGAUUGAAAUCCCGUGUUUAAGCUGAUAAGGGGUGAAAAAUACCCAAUAUACCUUUAAUGAGACGGAGCUUAAAAUUGUUGAAUUUCUCAGGUGCGCGCAGCAGAGCAUGCGUCUCAUGCUUUAUCCCACUGGACUAGAGCAUGCGUCGCAUGCUCCAUCACAUGAUACCUAGGAUGCGAUGCACCAAGUGACGCACGCAAAUCACAUGGUGCUACUGUUUUGAAAAUCAAACGCUCCCUAAACGUGGUCCAAAAUUUUUGAAACUCACCCGAGAUGUUCUAUAGACUUGUCCCAUCGUAACGCAGUAAAAAUUUCAAGAAAUGGAGGUCGGAAAGAUCGAAAAUAAAAUCUCUGAAGUUUGAGAGUUAAAAAUGAAACUAAGUCUCUUUGACAUUUAGAAAAAUUUCUAGUCUUUAAUUCUAUAGGCAUACUGCUAAGAGAUAACACAUAGUGGAUUCUUGCGGGGGUUUGCAACAACAGUUUGAUUUCUAGCUUGAAAAUACGGGGUGUUACAUUAUCUCCCCCUUGGGAUCAUUCGUCCCCGAAUGAUGGGUAGGAGCUUGUUGAAGCUUAAAGGUAUGGAAUAACGCGGACAUGAAGUGUCUUCUAAGAACAAAUAUAACUGAUCUGAAACAUUUUAACUUCUAUCAUGAAACUGAAUUCUGAGCUGACUUGACUUUAUUUCCUUCAAGAAGCUGAUUCAUGCUGAGAGUUUAGGAUUUCCUUGGAGUGUUCAUGAUCCAAUCAUACACAUUGAAUUGAGAAGUGAUAACUUAUGCAAGUAUGAAUCACGAGACAACUAGACUUAGAUCGUAUCGGGGUAUUACACUGUCUGAGCUAAAAUACUUGGGAAAAUUUGAGAUUAUGCACUGAACUCUUAUAAACUGAGUCAUGACUAAAUAGCUGAAUCUGAAACAUGAUGCUUUUACUGAACUGAAUUCGCAACUUACAUGGAUGGAAUAGAUUAUCUCUUGGGAUGGUCAUACGCCUAAGACUUCGAAUAGUAGGACUGGGUGAAAAGGUGAAAAAUCACCAUAACUUGUCUGCCUGACUAUUAAACUGAAUUAUUGGCUAUAAAGACUGAAUUAUGCUGGACCCUUAUACUUAACUGGAGUAUCUCUUCAACACUUCAUAGUAGUGUUAGAGAGCAAAGAAUCUUGGGCAUGAGUUACACAAGAUAUCCAACUAAGGAAUCACAACAAUGACAUCACUCUAUAGCAUGGAAUAUACACAUAAAUCUCAUGAACUAGGAUAGAAUUAUCAGGCCUUAGGCAAUACAACUUCUUACUUUCAAGCUUAGCACACUUCUCGAAUACUUCCUUAACUAUACUAUCCCCUUAAAUGCCAUGCUCAUUUAGUUCAGCCUAUAAUUCUUAUAUGGGCAUUGAUAAAUCUUUCUACUGAUGUCUAAAGUAACUUAAAUCCUCUGGUCGUGAUUAAGCCUAGCUCUAAUCAUAAAAUACAACCUGCCACACUACGAUACUAGUCUAAACCAUAUGAUUCAGCUUUCUAUAUCUUUUUAAAGUUCACACCUUAAGCAUAACGUGCUUUACCACUUCAAUGACUAACUCUGAACUCUUACUAUGGAUUCAUUGGUGCUUAUUGCGUUCCUCCACUUAAAUCCCAACAUGUCAUUCAAGCCUAUUCUUAUAACCGCAUAUGAACUUCAAGGCAACCACCCAUAAAGACAUACCUCAUAUAUUCUCUAAACCACCAUCAAUACAACUCCCACGCUCUACCCCAAGAACAUACACACACAAAUUUCAACUAACCAUAACAUGUAUCAAAUACUUGGCCCCAGAUCUUACUUCACACUUAUGGCUUUAUCUAAAACAAACAUACUAUGAUCUUCCAUCAACAAAAAAUAUUUACUCAUCACUACUAUCAUCACAUAAGGAUGAGUUACUAAAAGGUUAAAACAUAAGGCCUUAAAGCAUGGAAAGAUAUUAUAUGGGACUUGACACUUAACUGAGGCUUGAGGAAUAACAAAUCAACAUCAAGGAUUCAUCAAAGAGAUCUGAAUGGAGAGUAUACCUGUCUAUAAGAUGAAUCUCGCCAAUCAUUUGGCGUGUAGCAUGAGUUAUGGGAACUAAGUACACUAUAAAGCAUGAGUACAUGAGUCAUGAGCUACAUGACCUCAAUUUGGAGUUCAUAACUCAUGGAACGUGAUACUGACUACUGAAUGAACUGGAAUUCCUCAUUUAGUAACUAGAAGAGCACGUGAUUCUCUAUCAUAUAUAUGAACAUGAACUAUGAUCAUGGAACUGAAACGUAAGGCAUGAGUAAGUAUUGGGAUAACUGAAAAAUACUGAGAUAAGAAUGGGUUGAGCCUCACCCUCACUUCCGAAUGUUCUAUAUCAUACUGACAUCACUACUAGAAUCUGAGAGCCUGACUUGGUCACUUAUUCUAUCAUCUCCCCCCUAGCUUUAAGCCCUCAUCUUAAGUUCGAGAGAUCCCUUACUAAACUCUAACUGAACUACAAUUUCUGCACUCUAUGAUCUGGAAAACGACUAUACACGCAUAUCACAGAACUUAACUCGAAUGACCACACCAAACAAGUGGAAAACCCACUGGUGAUAUUACCUUCAGAGAUAUACUCUAUCAUUCUAUAGCCCCAAUAGUCAGCAUAUAAUACUUGCACACUUACUAACAUUGGGUCUUCACGAGUAUCCACAUAGUCGGAGUGCACACCCUUUAGCGCUUCAACUUUUAUUUCUAUUAGCUUAACCUUCAAAACUCAAACAUAGAUUCUAACACUUAACAUGGAUAUCACCAAGCCUUUGAUGGACCAUACUACUUCCGACAGAGCCCACCAAUAUCGCGACUCCAAACUUAUAUCUCUCUACCAUGAGAAUCAAGAUCAUAUCAAAAGGCUCAACACUAUCAGUCAAAACUCCUCAACUUUGCCAUUUAGAAUACCAUGUACCAUCUACUAGUCUUUCUCCACCUAGAAAACUCAACUGUACUACUAGCCACAUGCAAUAUGCAAUAGUCUUAGAAAAUGGCCCAAUUUCAUAUCAUCGUGGGAAUACUUCUACACCAUACAUACAACAUCAUACUUCAUUACGAAUCAAAUAAACUUCAGCCAUUGCAUACACCGUUCAAGCCUAUUAGAUCACUUCCAUAUAACUGGUAUCAUUAACCAAGAAAUUAUCACAUCCACCUUCAUGGCCAUCAACUGAUCAAACUUAAUGUCUAGUGCUAAGCAUGAUUUACAACCCAACCUGACACAUAAUUCUCACAAAACAUUCAUCAUUAAUCUUAAGCCACUAUUUCUUACAUCCACAUCCUACAUUAAAUUCAAGCCAAUAGUCUAGCAUCAAUCAUCUACCACCAAUGAAGAAGGCAACAUAAUAUACUAGUCCAUCAAAUUAGGACAUUCUAUCCAAAUACCUCAAAAAUCUACUACAUACCUUCUCACAAGUAGUACUAGUUUACAACUACCAACGAAUAGAAGGUCAAGGGGGUAAAGUCACAUAAUAGACAUGGUCAACCUUAAUCUUAUAUUAUAACCCCAUACAAUCUUAUAUUAUAAUCGACUGGCUAAUCUAGCCAUUUUCGUACUUCAAGUAAACAACAAUUCACCGUGACUAAUAACUCCUUUCACCCCCGAGCUUAGAUUUAGGAUCUCGAUUCAGCCAUAAUGAGAAGAUUGGCUGGGUAACGAUGCGCUGAAGCAACAUAUUAUACCUGACAUUAUGGUGCUAAAUUAGUGCACAUAGUUCUUUCAUUUCAAUUUGUUUGUUUUACUUUUUUUUAGUUCAUUUCAAAAAGAACGCGUCUUUCCUUUUUUGGCAACUCUUUAGUUCUAACUUUACACAUAGCAUAAUCAAGAUCGCGGGAUUGAAGUGUAUUUUGGUACAUUCUUCUUUAAUUUAAGACCUUAAGAUUCAAAAGUCUUCUAUACUUUCUGAAACACGAUCUGUAUAAGUCAACACCAGACAAACAAACUGAAACGUAGGGAGUAUAAGAUUAACAAUCUAUUAACAAAUAGAGAUGAUGGAGUGCAUUUUAAUAAUUAUAUAAUAUUUUUUAUUUUUUUUUGUGCUGCACUUGGUUUUAGCACUAAUAUUAUCUUUUCUUUGUGCUGCACUUGGUUUUAGUACUGCAAAGUGCUCAUUUAUAAAGCAUCCAUAAUGCCUUACAUCAUUCCUCUACUAACUUAAUGGAAAAACUUUUGUUCCUCUAAUUCCUGUCUAAUUAUGUAAGCCUCUUCCAUCUAUAUAAGUAGAGGCACGGAUAACUCACCGAAAAAAAAGAAACAGAGAAGGAGAAAAAUUGUAAUACAACAUUAUAUAUAAAAGAGAGUUUAUUAGUUGAAAAGGAGGUGUUAUUGUGUGGAGCUUUGCAUUCAAUUCGUGUCCAGAGUAUUGAGUUAUAUUGAGAAGGCUGUUGUAUCCUGGAGGGGACAAGUCAAAGUGUGUUACUGCUGGACCGGAGAAACAAGACUUGAAUAUCGGUGCCUCACCCGUAGAAGAAAUAUAUUUUUCUUUAUCCAUUUAUAAUUUUCAGUUGUAAUAUUUAUUGUAAUAUCACGAACAAGAGAUAUUUACCAUACUGGUGUUACUCGUCGUGCAGCGACAUCCUGAAAUCCUAGUCCUAGUACUCCAUCAUACCGUGCGUCAAGAAUGUGAAAGAUCCUUCUGGUGUUACCUCAGUGAAAACCUGAUAGAUUUUUAUUUUAACAGGUAACGUUAAAAGCAUACGUAACAUGAGCAACAAAGAAUUAAGAUGUACCUGCUGAUUUAUGACAGAACUCCCAACUUUAACGUUUCUUGGCUGAACAAACCGCUCACUGAUCUAGUGCCAAAAGGGAUUUUACAAUUUUUUGCUGCAGUAGAAAGCCAAAGUAAAUACAUUAAAGAUCAAAUAAUGUUUCAUCAAAGUUAGGAGCUUUCAAGUCAUUUGGAUAAACAAAUUAGUCAUUUUAUUGCCAUAAACAAAUCUUAGAAGGAUGAUGUUAACAUCCGAUGACAUCGAAAGAUAAAAGCGAAUUCAAGAUUUUAAAUUUACGUGUAACACCCAAAUUUAGGAAGGAGUUCCAUAUUGACAAAACACAGUAGGGAGGGAUACUGGGUAUAUAAGUAAGAAAGCCUUACUCUCUAGUGACGCGUUUUAAAGUCGUGCGGAUCUGGGCCCAAAGCGGACAAUAUCACUAAUAGGUUGGAGAGUUAGAGGGGGUCUCUCGAGCCUUCAUGGUUUGGGAUGUCCGUCGUAGUCAGGGCCUCGGAUCGGGUCGUGACUGAAUGGUAUCAGAGCCGCUCCUGUGCCAGCCCUGUCGAUGUGGGCCAAAGUUCAAACUGAGUGUAGGCAAAUCCCGGUAAAGCGGGGCAAACCUCAGUCCUGAGUGUAGGCAAAUCCCAUUCAGUGGGGCAAACCUCAGGUAGUGAUGCGUUUUAAAGCCGUGCGGGCCUGAGCUCAAAGCGGACAAUAUCAAUAGUGGGCUAGGGAGUUAGAGGGUCUCUCGAGCCUUAGUGGUUCGAGAUGCCCGUCGUGGACAUGGCCUCAGCUCGGGUCAUGACAAAAGGCCUGCGCGUUACGAAUUUUUUUUCACGCCAAACCAAUUUUUAAUGGGUGUAGGGGAAUUUUGGUCAUUCCCCCUCACCUGAAUUUCGUCUAUAACACUGAAAUUAAGCCUUAGAACAGCAUUUGAGCCCCAAAACUCACAUUCUCCCCAAAUUAAAAUCAUCCUCCCUUUCCCCAAAGAUUCAAGAACUCAUCCCUGAGAUCAAGAAUUCUAAGAAAAGGAUCAAGAUCUAGGUUCCAUUCUUCUAACUACGAAAUCUAAGGUACGUAGGGUUUUCCUAAAAUCUCAUGGAAUAGAAAUCAUGAUUUUAAGAAAAGGAUUUUUAGAUUUACGAAUUAUAAUCAUGUUUUAGAAGUCUCAAUGACAUUGUUUUGGUCUUUAGGCCUUCCACCAAAUUGAUUAAAAAUUAUAUAUUUAUGUAUGCAUGUGUUUAAGGAUGAAUAUUCAAUUGAGAGCAUAAAUUAUAAUGAGUCCCUCUCUUGCUAUGAUUUUUCCCAUCUUUCAUAUGAUAUGCAUUGUUUUGAAAUGUAUCUUGAAAAGCAUGGUAUGAAAUGUCUUGAAAUAUGUUAUGAUUUGAUUAUGGUUCUGAAUUGAAAAGAGAGGAUUGUUUAUGAUGCAUAAAUGUUGAGUAUACAGAUAAUGAAAGAGUUGCAUGGUUUUUGCCAAAAGUACAUGACCACCAUAUGUUUGAAGCAUUCUUGCAGAGUUUUGACUUAUGUUUUCGGAACAUGAAAUCUCUUAUCCUAUAUGCAUGUUUGGGUGGUCUGAAUGGAGUUUUAAUGAAAGAAUCAUGCAUGAUGCAUUAUGGCUUAGAAAUAGGACUUGCAAGUCUGGGUGUGACGACACCAAUUCAGAUAAUACCAUGGUAAUUCAAAACAAAAUAGAGUGCAUGUUUUAAAUCAGAUUUUUUCAGAUGUUGAAACUAGAAUAAUGCAUGAUUCAGAACAAUAUAAAAUUGAGCAUAAAGAGACCUUAAAUGGUUCACCGAAACAGGCAUGAGUUCAGACAACUCAUUGCCCAAAAUUGUGAUUUGUCGAUCCGAGUAUAUUAUUAUAUGCUGGCCUAGUGCCCUGUGGCGUAUCAGACUCAGACACUCCAACCUUUGCGGCACACUUGGGUUGGGGGAUUCCUCGCUGAGUCAAUGGCGGAUUCUAUAUAGUCCGUGGAAUAUUAGAUUUGUAGGGGAGUGCCACCUAACUCAGAAUUAAUACAAAGAUCAGAAACUGCAUUGACAGAAAGGUUUUAUGAUUAUAAAAAAUGCCCAUGUAUUUUGGAAUUUAUAUCAUAUAUGAUGUUUCAUGACUAGCUCUCAACUGUUUUAUUUAUAUAAAAGCUUUAUUUUGGAUUUGCUCUGCGUACCAGUACAAUUGUAUUGACCCCCCAACCUCCCAGGGUCUAAAGCUCAGUUCAGAAGUCCUGAUAAGCCGUAGAGUUUUCAGACAGCAGUGAUGUGUACAGUUGGUGUUUGAUCAUUUAGUAGAGAUUUCGCAGACCGUUCUAGAUGUUGUUUAGUUUAUUUCGUAUUUUAUUCCUUAUUGUUAAACUAAAUCUAAAGUUUGACCAUGUUUCCUUAUUAAAAUAUAUUUCCGCAUCUUAUCUUAUUAUAUGAAAGUUGUGCAUGAUUACCAGAUAGAGUCGGGCAUUCAUGGUUUGGGAUGUCCGUCACGGUCAGGCCCUAGUUCGGAUCGUAACACGUAGGUAGGCAAAGUUUUUCAUCAUUGUUUUUAGAGUGAAAGAUCAAAAAACCACGUAAAGUUUCAAAUUAAUUUGAUUGCACAAUUAAUCAAUCCUGCACAUGCAACGAUUAGCUGAUUUUUUUUGGAGAUACAAACAAUAAAUUACAAUAUGGCUGCAAAAUUUAGCUUGAUUAACGUUGUCUCUGUUAUUAUUAUUGUAGUAUAUUAAUCCAACAAUCUAAUGGAACUCAUAAAAGUAACAAACGGGAGAAUUAGUAGAGUCAGAACUUUUACUACAAAAAUAUAGCAAAAAAUAUUAAGUACACGAAUUGGGGGAUUAAAGAUACAAUAUAUACAACACAUGGCUUAUCAGCAGCAGCGGCAUCGUCUUCAUCAUCAGCAUCAGCAGCAGCAGCAGCGGCAUCAUCGUCAUCAUCAGCAUCAUCAUCAUCAGCAGCAGCAGCAGCAUAUCUAAUUUUAGGUUGGAAGAGGGUGUUGAGAUGGGAUUGUUCCCACUCCAAUCUUUCCCACCAAUUUUCAUCAUCAACUAUGAUUUGGAAGAGGGAUGGAAAAGGAUGUUCAUUUGUAGUAUAGAAAGGCAUCCUCUUCAGAUUGGAGCAGUACCCAAAUUCCAUGUAUUCAAGGGAGUCACACAUCAGUUUUCCCUCACAGAUACUCUUCAAUUCAAACAGGCCUUGCAGGUGGAGGAUUUUUAGCUCAGGAUGGUCAGCAGUUGUAGAUGUACUGCUUUGGCUACUUCCCUCUCCUUCCUCUCUUCCUAUUAUCUCUUCCAUCUCUGAACACCAACCUACAUCAAGCACCUCAAGGUUCUUGAGAUCCUGCAACAUAGCCCGUGGAAACAACUUCUUCAUCCUAUCACAGCUGCAGAUAUCCAAUUCUGUUAGACCCGAGAAGGUGUGAGAUGCAAUUUUUCCCUUACAGAGCCCAACAAGAUUUUCCAAGUCACAAACAUCCAGACGAUGGAAAGAUAUGCAGUGUGGGUCUGUAGUUGUAUCUCUACCAGAGGGAACGUUGACGAUCCAUUCUAUGUCACCACAAUGAGAGAUCCUGCAGGUCAAGCCUCUUGAAGAAGUAGUCCAUGACAGAAAAUUGUCCACAAAGCAGCUACUCAGCCCAUGGCAAGACAUAAUAUCUAGAACGCCAAUGCCAUGUGGAAGAAAAAUUGAUGUUGCUGCUUCAAUGGUGUAAUCUUCUACAAUCACUCCUCUCUGUUUCGGUAUGUAGUCAUCAAAGCGACGAUCAAUAUUUACUUGCCCCACAAAUAUGGUAUACCACAAAUCUUUCUCAUAGUUAUGGAGACUACUCAUGAACUUGUGAAAGUUAUGCAAAUCACAGAACCUGCCUCCGAAUACUUCGAGCAGUUCCAAGCUGGCCAAGUCUUCAACUGGGGCAUUCACACGUCCAGGAAGAUUGAGGUAUUGAAGNNNNNNNNNNNNNNNNNNNNNNNNNNNNNNNNNNNNNNNNNNNNNNNNNNNNNNNNNNNNNNNNNNNNNNNNNNNNNNNNNNNNNNNNNNNNNNNNNNNNNNNNNNNNNNNNNNNNNNNNNNNNNNNNNNNNNNNNNNNNNNNNNNNNNNNNNNNNNNNNNNUUUUUGAGCUUUCCCAGUGGUGGCACAGAUUUUAGCCAACCACAUCCUCGAAGCGAGAGCGCUCUAAGACUUCCCAAGUUAGAUAUGCAACUUGGCAAAUCCAUAAGCUCAGAGUUGUAGCUCAAGUCGAGUACUUGGAGGUUGUUCAUGUACUGAAAGAAAGGACCUGGGAUCAUUGUCAAAUCACAAUAGGACAAAAUCAAGGUUGAUAAUGUGGGGCAAUUGGGUGACAUCUCUUAAGGGAUUCUCUUUAUCUUGCUUUGGUAAAAAGAGACUCUAUCCAAAUUGAACACCCAAGGCUGCUCCUUCAACACUUGUGGUCCUAUUCCUGCCCUUACUAGGUACCUUGGUUUGUCAUUUGUGAUCCACAAUGCCAUUUCUCUGAGUAGAUCAUGCAUCCUUACUGCUUCAGCUACUAAGAGAUAGACAGUUGCUUCAAGUAAGCAGAGUUUGACUAGUUUAUUCAAUAUGGUAUGGCCAUGGUUAAACUCAUCUUCCCUACUACUUCCCUUCACCAGUCCCUCCAUGAUAAAUCGGCCAAUUAGUUCAUCUCUACCAAUUUUGUAGUCUUCAGGAUACAAAGCACAGUACAAGAAGCACUCUUGCAUAGUUGUAUCUCUCAACCGAUCGUAACUAUACUUCAGUACCUUGAAGACAUCGCUUUCCAUGUCCUCAGGGAAUUCGUUCAGAGCAUUCCGCCACUCCCUUAUAUCGGUCACCCCUCUCAUGCUUCCCGCCAAAGUGAUGAGCCCGAGCGGCAAGCCGUCACACCUUUCUGCCAUGGAUUUGGCAACACUCUCAAUAUCUGGACUAAGCUGAGUCUCAGAUCCUAGACCCUUCCUGAACAGCUCCCAAGCAUCAUCAGCAUUCAGGGUCUCCACUUCGAGUUGUUUCUGACAACCCAUCUUUCGGCAGACUUCAUAUAAGCGAGUUGUUAGAAUCAGCUUAUAACCCUCUACACCAAGAGGGUCACCCAACUUCUCCAAGGAAAGGCGAUCCCAGACAUCAUCCAAUAUGAUAACCAUUUUAUUCAUUUUUUGGAAUGCACUNNNNNNNNNNNNNNNNNNNNNNNNNNNNNNNNNNNNNNNNNNNNNNNNNNNNNNNNNNNNNNNNNNNNNNNNNNNNNNNNNNNNNNNNNNNNNNNNNNNNNNNNNNNNNNNNNNNNNNNNNNNNNNNNNNNNNNNNNNNNNNNNNNNNNNNNNNNNNNNNNNNNNNNNNNNNNNNNNNNNNNNNNNNNNNNNNNNNNNNNNNNNNNNNNNNNNNNNNNNNNNNNNNNNNNNNNNNNNNNNNNNNNNNNNNNNNNNNNNNNNNNNNNNNNNNNNNNNNNNNNNNNNNNNNNNNNNNNNNNNNNNNNNNNNNNNNNNNNNNNNNNNNNNNNNNNNNNNNNNNNNNNNNNNNNNNNNNNNNNNNNNNNNNNNNNNNNNNNNNNNNNNNNNNNNNNNNNNNNNNNNNNNNNNNNNNNNNNNNNNNNNNNNNNNNNNNNNNNNNNNNNNNNNNNNNNNNNNNNNNNNNNNNNNNNNNNNNNNNNNNNNNNNNNNNNNNNNNNNNNNNNNNNNNNNNNNNNNNNNNNNNNNNNNNNNNNNNNNNNNNNNNNNNNNNNNNNNNNNNNNNNNNNNNNNNNNNNNNNNNNNNNNNNNNNNNNNNNNNNNNNNNNNNNNNNNNNNNNNNNNNNNNNNNNNNNNNNNNNNNNNNNNNNNNNNNNNNNNNNNNNNNNNNNNNNNNNNNNNNNNNNNNNNNNNNNNNNNNNNNNNNNNNNNNNNNNNNNNNNNNNNNNNNNNNNNNNNNNNNNNNNNNNNNNNNNNNNNNNNNNNNNNNNNNNNNNNNNNNNNNNNNNNNNNNNNNNNNNNNNNNNNNNNNNNNNNNNNNNNNNNNNNNNNNNNNNNNNNNNNNNNNNNNNNNNNNNNNNNNNNNNNNNNNNNNNNNNNNNNNNNNNNNNNNNNNNNNNNNNNNNNNNNNNNNNNNNNNNNNNNNNNNNNNNNNNNNNNNNNNNNNNNNNNNNNNNNNNNNNNNNNNNNNNNNNNNNNNNNNNNNNNNNNNNNNNNNNNNNNNNNNNNNNNNNNNNNNNNNNNNNNNNNNNNNNNNNNNNNNNNNNNNNNNNNNNNNNNNNNNNNNNNNNNNNNNNNNNNNNNNNNNNNNNNNNNNNNNNNNNNNNNNNNNNNNNNNNNNNNNNNNNNNNNNNNNNNNNNNNNNNNNNNNNNNNNNNNNNNNNNNNNNNNNNNNNNNNNNNNNNNNNNNNNNNNNNNNNNNNNNNNNNNNNNNNNNNNNNNNNNNNNNNNNNNNNNNNNNNNNNNNNNNNNNNNNNNNNNNNNNNNNNNNNNNNNNNNNNNNNNNNNNNNNNNNNNNNNNNNNNNNNNNNNNNNNNNNNNNNNNNNNNNNNNNNNNNNNNNNNNNNNNNNNNNNNNNNNNNNNNNNNNNNNNNNNNNNNNNNNNNNNNNNNNNNNNNNNNNNNNNNNNNNNNNNNNNNNNNNNNNNNNNNNNNNNNNNNNNNNNNNNNNNNNNNNNNNNNNNNNNNNNNNNNNNNNNNNNNNNNNNNNNNNNNNNNNNNNNNNNNNNNNNNNNNNNNNNNNNNNNNNNNNNNNNNNNNNNNNNNNNNNNNNNNNNNNNNNNNNNNNNNNNNNNNNNNNNNNNNNNNNNNNNNNNNNNNNNNNNNNNNNNNNNNNNNNNNNNNNNNNNNNNNNNNNNNNNNNNNNNNNNNNNNNNNNNNNNNNNNNNNNNNNNNNNNNNNNNNNNNNNNNNNNNNNNNNNNNNNNNNNNNNNNNNNNNNNNNNNNNNNNNNNNNNNNNNNNNNNNNNNNNNNNNNNNNNNNNNNNNNNNNNNNNNNNNNNNNNNNNNNNNNNNNNNNNNNNNNNNNNNNNNNNNNNNNNNNNNNNNNNNNNNNNNNNNNNNNNNNNNNNNNNNNNNNNNNNNNNNNNNNNNNNNNNNNNNNNNNNNNNNNNNNNNNNNNNNNNNNNNNNNNNNNNNNNNNNNNNNNNNNNNNNNNNNNNNNNNNNNNNNNNNNNNNNNNNNNNNNNNNNNNNNNNNNNNNNNNNNNNNNNNNNNNNNNNNNNNNNNNNNNNNNNNNNNNNNNNNNNNNNNNNNNNNNNNNNNNNNNNNNNNNNNNNNNNNNNNNNNNNNNNNNNNNNNNNNNNNNNNNNNNNNNNNNNNNNNNNNNNNNNNNNNNNNNNNNNNNNNNNNNNNNNNNNNNNNNNNNNNNNNNNNNNNNNNNNNNNNNNNNNNNNNNNNNNNNNNNNNNNNNNNNNNNNNNNNNNNNNNNNNNNNNNNNNNNNNNNNNNNNNNNNNNNNNNNNNNNNNNNNNNNNNNNNNNNNNNNNNNNNNNNNNNNNNNNNNNNNNNNNNNNNNNNNNNNNNNNNNNNNNNNNNNNNNNNNNNNNNNNNNNNNNNNNNNNNNNNNNNNNNNNNNNNNNNNNNNNNNNNNNNNNNNNNNNNNNNNNNNNNNNNNNNNNNNNNNNNNNNNNNNNNNNNNNNNNNNNNNNNNNNNNNNNNNNNNNNNNNNNNNNNNNNNNNNNNNNNNNNNNNNNNNNNNNNNNNNNNNNNNNNNNNNNNNNNNNNNNNNNNNNNNNNNNNNNNNNNNNNNNNNNNNNNNNNNNNNNNNNNNNNNNNNNNNNNNNNNNNNNNNNNNNNNNNNNNNNNNNNNNNNNNNNNNNNNNNNNNNNNNNNNNNNNNNNNNNNNNNNNNNNNNNNNNNNNNNNNNNNNNNNNNNNNNNNNNNNNNNNNNNNNNNNNNNNNNNNNNNNNNNNNNNNNNNNNNNNNNNNNNNNNNNNNNNNNNNNNNNNNNNNNNNNNNNNNNNNNNNNNNNNNNNNNNNNNNNNNNNNNNNNNNNNNNNNNNNNNNNNNNNNNNNNNNNNNNNNNNNNNNNNNNNNNNNNNNNNNNNNNNNNNNNNNNNNNNNNNNNNNNNNNNNNNNNNNNNNNNNNNNNNNNNNNNNNNNNNNNNNNNNNNNNNNNNNNNNNNNNNNNNNNNNNNNNNNNNNNNNNNNNNNNNNNNNNNNNNNNNNNNNNNNNNNNNNNNNNNNNNNNNNNNNNNNNNNNNNNNNNNNNNNNNNNNNNNNNNNNNNNNNNNNNNNNNNNNNNNNNNNNNNNNNNNNNNNNNNNNNNNNNNNNNNNNNNNNNNNNNNNNNNNNNNNNNNNNNNNNNNNNNNNNNNNNNNNNNNNNNNNNNNNNNNNNNNNNNNNNNNNNNNNNNNNNNNNNNNNNNNNNNNNNNNNNNNNNNNNNNNNNNNNNNNNNNNNNNNNNNNNNNNNNNNNNNNNNNNNNNNNNNNNNNNNNNNNNNNNNNNNNNNNNNNNNNNNNNNNNNNNNNNNNNNNNNNNNNNNNNNNNNNNNNNNNNNNNNNNNNNNNNNNNNNNNNNNNNNNNNNNNNNNNNNNNNNNNNNNNNNNNNNNNNNNNNNNNNNNNNNNNNNNNNNNNNNNNNNNNNNNNNNNNNNNNNNNNNNNNNNNNNNNNNNNNNNNNNNNNNNNNNNNNNNNNNNNNNNNNNNNNNNNNNNNNNNNNNNNNNNNNNNNNNNNNNNNNNNNNNNNNNNNNNNNNNNNNNNNNNNNNNNNNNNNNNNNNNNNNNNNNNNNNNNNNNNNNNNNNNNNNNNNNNNNNNNNNNNNNNNNNNNNNNNNNNNNNNNNNNNNNNNNNNNNNNNNNNNNNNNNNNNNNNNNNNNNNNNNNNNNNNNNNNNNNNNNNNNNNNNNNNNNNNNNNNNNNNNNNNNNNNNNNNNNNNNNNNNNNNNNNNNNNNNNNNNNNNNNNNNNNNNNNNNNNNNNNNNNNNNNNNNNNNNNNNNNNNNNNNNNNNNNNNNNNNNNNNNNNNNNNNNNNNNNNNNNNNNNNNNNNNNNNNNNNNNNNNNNNNNNNNNNNNNNNNNNNNNNNNNNNNNNNNNNNNNNNNNNNNNNNNNNNNNNNNNNNNNNNNNNNNNNNNNNNNNNNNNNNNNNNNNNNNNNNNNNNNNNNNNNNNNNNNNNNNNNNNNNNNNNNNNNNNNNNNNNNNNNNNNNNNNNNNNNNNNNNNNNNNNNNNNNNNNNNNNNNNNNNNNNNNNNNNNNNNNNNNNNNNNNNNNNNNNNNNNNNNNNNNNNNNNNNNNNNNNNNNNNNNNNNNNNNNNNNNNNNNNNNNNNNNNNNNNNNNNNNNNNNNNNNNNNNNNNNNNNNNNNNNNNNNNNNNNNNNNNNNNNNNNNNNNNNNNNNNNNNNNNNNNNNNNNNNNNNNNNNNNNNNNNNNNNNNNNNNNNNNNNNNNNNNNNNNNNNNNNNNNNNNNNNNNNNNNNNNNNNNNNNNNNNNNNNNNNNNNNNNNNNNNNNNNNNNNNNNNNNNNNNNNNNNNNNNNNNNNNNNNNNNNNNNNNNNNNNNNNNNNNNNNNNNNNNNNNNNNNNNNNNNNNNNNNNNNNNNNNNNNNNNNNNNNNNNNNNNNNNNNNNNNNNNNNNNNNNNNNNNNNNNNNNNNNNNNNNNNNNNNNNNNNNNNNNNNNNNNNNNNNNNNNNNNNNNNNNNNNNNNNNNNNNNNNNNNNNNNNNNNNNNNNNNNNNNNNNNNNNNNNNNNNNNNNNNNNNNNNNNNNNNNNNNNNNNNNNNNNNNNNNNNNNNNNNNNNNNNNNNNNNNNNNNNNNNNNNNNNNNNNNNNNNNNNNNNNNNNNNNNNNNNNNNNNNNNNNNNNNNNNNNNNNNNNNNNNNNNNNNNNNNNNNNNNNNNNNNNNNNNNNNNNNNNNNNNNNNNNNNNNNNNNNNNNNNNNNNNNNNNNNNNNNNNNNNNNNNNNNNNNNNNNNNNNNNNNNNNNNNNNNNNNNNNNNNNNNNNNNNNNNNNNNNNNNNNNNNNNNNNNNNNNNNNNNNNNNNNNNNNNNNNNNNNNNNNNNNNNNNNNNNNNNNNNNNNNNNNNNNNNNNNNNNNNNNNNNNNNNNNNNNNNNNNNNNNNNNNNNNNNNNNNNNNNNNNNNNNNNNNNNNNNNNNNNNNNNNNNNNNNNNNNNNNNNNNNNNNNNNNNNNNNNNNNNNNNNNNNNNNNNNNNNNNNNNNNNNNNNNNNNNNNNNNNNNNNNNNNNNNNNNNNNNNNNNNNNNNNNNNNNNNNNNNNNNNNNNNNNNNNNNNNNNNNNNNNNNNNNNNNNNNNNNNNNNNNNNNNNNNNNNNNNNNNNNNNNNNNNNNNNNNNNNNNNNNNNNNNNNNNNNNNNNNNNNNNNNNNNNNNNNNNNNNNNNNNNNNNNNNNNNNNNNNNNNNNNNNNNNNNNNNNNNNNNNNNNNNNNNNNNNNNNNNNNNNNNNNNNNNNNNNNNNNNNNNNNNNNNNNNNNNNNNNNNNNNNNNNNNNNNNNNNNNNNNNNNNNNNNNNNNNNNNNNNNNNNNNNNNNNNNNNNNNNNNNNNNNNNNNNNNNNNNNNNNNNNNNNNNNNNNNNNNNNNNNNNNNNNNNNNNNNNNNNNNNNNNNNNNNNNNNNNNNNNNNNNNNNNNNNNNNNNNNNNNNNNNNAGUUUUCAGACAGUUGUCAUUUGAUCAUUUAGUAGAGAUUUCGCAGACCGUUCUAGAUGUUGUUUAGUUUAUUUCGUAUUUUAUUCCUUAUUGUUAAACUAAAUCUAAAGUUUGACCAUGUUUCCGUAUUAAAAUAUAUUUCCGCAUCUUAUCUUAUUAUAUGAAAGUUGUGCAUGAUUACCAGAUAGAGUAGGACCUUCGGGCAUUCAUGGUUCGGGAUGUCCGUCACGGCCAGGCCCUAGUUCGGAUCGUAACACGUAGGUAGGCAAAGUUUUUCAUCAUUGUUUUUAGAACGUGAAAGAUCAAAAAACCGCGUAAAGUUUCAAACUAAUUUGAUUGCACAAUUAAUCAAUCCUGCACAUGCACCGAUUAGCUGAUUUUUUUUGGAGAUACAAACAAUAAAUUACAAUAUGGCUGCAAAAUUUAGCUUGAUUAACGUUGUCUCUGUUAUUAUUAUUGUAGUAUAUUAAUCCAACAAUCUAAUGGAACUCAUAAAAGUAACAAACGGGAGAAUUAGUGGAGUCAGAACUUUUACUACAAAAAUAUAGCAAAAGAUAUUAAGUACACGAAUUGGGGGAUUAAACAUACAAUAUAUACAACACAUGAAAAGAAAUUUACCUGUCUAUACCCAAAAUAUAUAUAGAAUUGUCCAGCAAACAUGUCAUAAAUUACAUGAUGAGCCAGUGAGCCUCAUGGCUUAUCAGCAUCAGCAUCAGCGGCAUCGUCGUCGUCAUCAUCAUCAGCAGCAGCGGCAUCGUCGUCAUCAUCAGCAUCAUCAGCAGCAGCAGCAUAUCUAAUUUUAGGUUGGAAGAGGGUGUUGAGAUGGGAUUGUUCCCACUCCAAUCUUUCCCACCAAUUUUCAUCAUCAACUAUGAUUUGGAAGAGGGAUGGAAAAGGAUGUUCAUUUGUAGUAUAGAAAGGCAUCCUCUUCAGAUUCUGGCAACCUCCUAAUCUCAUCCAUUCAAGGGAAUCACACAUCAGUUUUCCCUCACAGAUACUCUUCAAUUCACGCAGGUGUUGCAGGAUGAGCCUUUUUAGCUUAGGAAGGUGAGCAGUUGUAGAUGUACUGCUGCUGCUGCUGCUGCUUUGGCUACUUCCCUCUCCUUCCUCUCUUCCUAUUAUCUCUUCCAUCUCUGAACACUCACCUACAAAAAGCACCUCAAGGUUCUUGAGAUCCUGCAACAUAGCCCGUGGAAACAACUUCUUCAUCCUAUGGCACUUGGAGAUAUACAAUUCUGUUAGACCUGAGAAGGUGUGAGAUGCAAUUUUUCCCUUACAGAGCCCAACAAGAUUUUGCAAUUCACGAACAAUCAGACUACGGAAAGAUAUGCAGUGCGGGUCUGUAGUUGUAUCUCUACCAGAGGGAACGUUGACGAUCCAUUCUAUCUCACCACAACAAAAGAUCUCGCAGGUCAAGACUCUUGAAGAAGUAGUCCGUGACAGAAAGUUGUCCACAAAGCAGCUACUCAGCCCAUGGCAUUUGCUAAUCUCUAGAAAGUCAAUGCCAUGUGGAAGAAUAAUUGAUGUUGCUGCUUCAAUGGUGUAAUCUUCUACAAUCACUCUUCUCUGUUUCGGUAUGUAGUCAUCAAAGUGACGACCAAUACUUACUUGCCCCACAAAUAUGGUAUACCACAAAUCUUUCUCAUAGUUAUGGAGACUACUCAUGAACUUGUAAAAGUUAUGCAAAUCACAGAACCCUCCUCCGAAUACUUCGAGCAGUUCCAAGCUCGCCAAGUCUUCAACUGGGGCAUUCACACGUUCAGGAAGAUUGAGGUAUUGAAGAUGGGAAAGUUUAGUUAAUAUUUCCUUUGGCAGUUCAUGAAGAUCUGUUCCACCCAUAUCCAGAAAUUUAAGCUUGACUAAGUUUUCCAUGCCUUGAGGUACUUCUUCAAUACCAGUGCCAGAUACAUCUAACACCCUCAGAUUUUUGAGCUUUCCCAGUGGUGGCACAGAUUUGAGCCUACUACAUCCUCGAAGUGAGAGUGCUCUAAGACUUUCCAAGUUAGAAAUGCAACUCGGCAAAUCCAUAAGCUUAUAGUUGUCUCUCAAGUCGAGUACUUGGAGGUUGUUCAGGUACUGAAAGAAAGGACCUGGGAUCAUUGUCAAAUCACAAUCACACAAAAUCAAGGUUGAUAAUGUGGGGCAAUUGGGUGCCAUGUCUUCAGGGAUUCUCUUUAUCUUGCUUUUGUAAAAAGAGGCUCUCUCCAAAUCGAACACCCAAUCCUUCUCCUCCAACACUAGUGAUCCUAUUCCAGCCCUUACCAGGUACCUUGGUUUGUCAUUUGUGAUCCGCAAUGCCAUUUCUCUGAGUAGAUCAUGCAUCCUUACUGAUUCAACUCCCCAAUUGUCAGUUGCUUCAAGUAAGCAGAGCUUGUCUAGUUUAUUCAAUAUGGUAUGGCCAUGGUUAAACUCAUCUUCCCUACUACUUCCCUUCACCAGUCCCUCCAUGAUAAAUCGGCCAAUUAGUUCAUCUCUACCAAUUUUGUAGUCUUCAGGAUACAAAGCACAGUACAAGAAGCACUCUUGCAUAGUUGUAUCUCUCAACCGAUCGUAACUAUACUUCAGUACCUUGAAGACAUCGCUUUCCAUGUCCUCAGGGAAUUCGUUCAGAGCAUUCCGCCACUCCCUUAUAUCGGUCACCCCUCUCAUGCUUCCCGCCAAAGUGAUGAGCCCGAGCGGCAAGCCGUCACACCUUUCUGCCAUGGAUUUGGCAACACUCUCAAUAUCUGGACUAAGCUGAGUCUCAGAUCCUAGACCCUUCCUGAACAGCUCCCAAGCAUCAUCAGCAUUCAGGGUCUUCACUUCGAGUAGUUUCUGACAACCCAUCUUUCGGCAGACUUCAGUCUUCAGGAUACAAAGCACAGUACAAGAAGCACUCUUGCAUAGUUGUAUCUCUCAACCGAUCGUAACUAUACUUCAGUACCUUGAAGACAUCGCUUUCCAUGUCCUCAGGGAAUUCGUUCAGAGCAUUCCGCCACUCCCUUAUAUCGGUCACCCCUCUCAUGCUUCCCGCCAAAGUGAUGAGCCCGAGCGGCAAGCCGUCACACCUUUCUGCCGUGGAUUUGGCACCACUCUGAAAUAUCUGGACAAGCUGAGUCUCAAAUCCUAGACCCUUCCUGAACAGCUCCCAAGCAUCAUCAGCAUUCAGGGUCUUCACUUCGAGUAGUUUCUGACAACCCAUCUUUAGGCAGACUUCACAUGAGCGAGUUGUUAGAAUCAGCUUAUAACCCUCUACACCAAGAAGGUCACCCAACUUCUCCAAGGAAAGGCGAUCCCAGACAUCAUCCAAUAUGAUAACCAUUUUAUUCAUUUUCUGGAAUGCACUGUUUAAUUUGGCUGACCUUCUAUGUUCAUCCUCCUCAUUUGAAAGAUCUAGAUUCACAAAUUUGGCAAGCUCAUCUUGUAAUCCUUUGACGCUAAACCCUUGAGAGACAGUAAGCCAGGAAACUUGAUAACGAUGGUCAUUAAUAAGACGAUUAUGAAUAUGUUUUGCCAAAGUGGUUUUACCCACCCCUCCCAUACCAUAUAUUCCGAUGCUUGAGACAUUCUCAUCCUGUAACCAUGUCCAAACCAGUUCUAAAUUCUGUUUUGAUGUUUCCUCCUGAACUGGUUGCACCGGCAUUGGACACUCCUCUCUUUCAUAAAUAUCACACACGAGCUCUCCAAAAUCUCUACUUUGCUCGAGAAGUUCUUCGACCCUUCCAUCCAUCUUCUCCAAAACACCUAUAUUUUGCUCCCCUCUUGUUGCUUCUUCUUUUAACUCACGUAAAUUUUUUUCGAGCUGUUCAACCUCGUUAAGCCAAGAUUCAACUUGUUGUUUCCUCUUCUUCCUCCCAGAUUGCUCUUGAUUCUCAAUCUCUGUCCUCAUAUCGACUGCUUUAUCUGAUAAUUGCUUUACAUUUCGUUCCACAGUUUCCAAAUCCUCUCUUUCAUACACGAGCUCUCCAAAAUUACUUCUUUGUUCAAGUUCUGCAACUUUUUCAUUCAACAUCUUCAAAACACCUCUAUUUUUCUUCCCUGUUGUUGCGGCUUUUUGUAACUCACUGAAGUCCUUUUCGAGCUGUUCAACCUCGUUAAGCCAAGAUUCAACUUGUCGUCUCCUCUUCUUCCUCCCAGAUCGCUCUUGAUUCUCAACAUCUGUCUUCGUAUCAACUGCUUUAUCUGAUAAUUGCUUUACAUUUCGUUCCAGAGUUUUCAAAUUCUUACCAAAGUUUAUGCAACUCUUAAUCUUCUUUAUCAAAAAUCUAACCCCCUCAUCUAUAUAUUCAAUUACCUUCCCAGCAACAGCUUCCAUGAUAUUUCAAAAAGUACUGCAACAAAAGAACCAUGCUAAAGUAACUAUUUUGAAUGGCAUCAAGGAGCUGAAGACAUCACAUAUGUUGGAUGUAAUUCAAAUUCGAAUCUUAAUGUGAUGUUUUCUCAAUAAAACUAACUUUUUUAUCAUAUUACUUUAAGAGUGUGUUUGGUAUGAUAGAAAAACUAGAAAAUGUUUUUCGUUUUUCUCAUAUUUGAUUGGUUUAAAUGUUUUUCCAAAUCAACUUAUUUUUCUCAAAUCUAAGGAAAAUGACUUUCUUCGAAAAUUAAGGAAAAUAUUUUUAAAGCUCUCUUUCAACCUCACUCUCAAGUUAAAAUAUUUAUACAACUCUCAAAAUCAUCCACCCUUACCCCGACACCCAAUCCCUCAUUACUCCAUCCCCCACCCUUCAUCCGAAAAACAUAUUUUUAUAAAAAUAUAUAUACAAAUUCUUUUAGGAAACACUUUCUACUUGCAUAAUGAACAUAAGAAUAUAAGUCAGAAACAACUUAUUUUCCUAAAAAAUAUUUUCCGCCUUCAAAUUGAAAUAAGAAUAUAAGUUAGAAACAACUUAUUUUCCUAGAAAAUAUUUUCCACCUUCAAAUUGAACACACCCUAAAAAAAAGUAUUUUCGGGUUCAAAAUUCAUUUUUAUAAAAAGUAGGGAAAAGGCUCAAAUAUGCUACUGAAUUAUCAGAAAUGACUCAUUUAUGUCAUCCUUCAAACCAAACUAUGGGUGAUCUACACUUCCUCCCAUACAAACCUCAAAUGGGGCCAUCUGGAUACGAGAUUGAUAACUAUUAUUAUACAUAAAUUCAAUUAAUGGAAAAUACUCAUCCCAACUACCUUUGAAAUAAAGAGCACAUGCCCUCAACAUGUCUUUCAAAGUUUGGAUGGUCCUCUCUGCCUUCAUCCGAAAAACAUAUUUUUAUAAAAAUAUAUAACUUGGGCCUAGGGGUAUAUGACAUUUACAUUUAAUAAGGGGUCGUUUGGUAGAGUGUAUUGAAAUGUUAAUGCAUGCAUUAGUUCAAUGUGUAUUAGUAGUUCCUUGUUUGGUAUACCUUUUUACCCUAUGUAUAACUAAUGCAAGCAUUAGUUAUAGACUCUAUUAUGUAUUAAGGUGUGUAUUACUAAUACCUCAAAAUCCAUGGCAUUAGUAAUGCAAUGGAUCUAAAGCAUGCAUUAACAUGCUUAAAGACCCUAUUACCCCUCAAAAAAUUUUCCGCAUCCUUUCCAACAUAUAUAUAGAGGGUAUUAGGUAAAAAAAAAAAAAAUUUUUUUUUAGAAAUUAUGUAAUUCAUGAUUUUUUUAAUACAUCGAACCAAACACUGCAUAAGAAAAACAAGCAUAACUAAGGCAAACAUAACUAACACAAGCAUUACUAUUACACCAUAUUUUGUAUUAUUCUUAUACACUCAACCAAACGACCCCUAAUAGUCUUGAAACUGAUGUGAUACUUGAUGUAUUACAAGGGGUAAAAUUGAAAAAGAAUGUUCAUAAUAGUCUUGAUUUUAUAAGUAGGAUAAAUAAUUUAAAACAAACAAAAUUAAAAAGAAGGCGAAGUAUUUUGAAACGAAGGAAGUAACAUAGAAAACAAUUAACUAAAAAUAGUAAUACAUGCUAAGUAAACAGAUAAAGUUAAAAAUAAUUUACCUUUUUCAGUCGUUCAGCAGUCGAUCUAGUGUCAAAUACAAAUGAAAAAGAAAAAGAUCUAUUAAUAGUAUUAAAAAUUAUAUAUCUGAAGAAGUCGAAUAAAAAAAUAAAGAGAUUUUUAAUAUGAUAAACUUUAAAUAUAGAUGGCUUUUAUAUAACAAUAAACUUUAAAGAUAAAAUGACUUUUAUGUAACAGAAAAUAAAAAUAAUUUUGCGUCACCAUUUGUGUAAUUUAGAUGACAAAACAAUUUUGUUAGGAUCUAAAAAUCAGAUUAUAUAACAUAAAUUGAUAUAUUAGAGAGACCUUUCUAUGUAAGUAGAUAUUUUUUAAUUUAUUACACUGAAAACAAUUAACUAAGUAGUAAUUUACCCUUUUUCAGAUGUUCAACAGUCAAGACGACCUGAUGUCAAAUACAAUUAAAAAAUAGAAUCAAUUAAUAACAUGAAAAUGUAUAUAUUUGAAGAAUAUGAUUUCAAAAGCAAGAGAGAAGCAAGUGUUGUAAAUGGACUGGUUUGUUUAAGUCUGUCUUCUUUAAAGGAAUAAAAAGAAUUAAGGAAACUUGAGAAUAAAGGAAUAGAAAGAAUUAAGGAAACUUGAGAAAUAAAGGAAUAAAAAGAAUAAACGAAUCAAAUAUGUGGCGAAUUCAGGAUUUUAAAUUUAUGGUUCUGGACACUGGUAUGCAAAGUUCCAUCAUUGUUUUUAGAGUGAAAGAGUUAAAAAACAUACCUGAAGUAUCUUGAUUUUUGCGUUUCAUACCUGAACUAUUAAGUGUGUUUGAGUUUCAUUCCUGAACUAUAACCAACUAUUUAUUAAAACACACCUGAUAGUUCCGAUGUGGGUUUCUUAGCAAAAUGACUCACUGAUAUUUGGGAUAACUGAAACUUCUUGCUUUUACAGAAAUAUAUUUUGAAUUUAUGCAUCUAAUUUUUUGCAGCAUAGGUUCAUUGUUUCAGUCAGUUUGAGGAACUCAAAUAGUAUAUCUUAAUUGGAUUGUCUUCCUUUUUUUAUUUGUUUGACAAUGUCUAAUAUAACAUUUUCAAUCUCUAGAAUUUUGAUAUCCAACAUAAACAACAUAGCCAUAUUUACAACUUUAUGUAACAUGUAUGAUAUGAAAAGACAAAUUAUGAGAGUCCAAACACAUACCUUUCAUUUAUAUGUAGUAGUAACUAUUAGCUUUUGAAAAAAUUGGUACAUUGAUCGGUCUGUACAAUUUACUGUUUUUGUUAUUAUCUGAUAUUUCUUGAACUUUUGUUACUUCUUUUCGGGACAAUUUUGGACUGGUUUUCUUGAGCCAAGGGUCUAUCUAAAACAACCUCCCUACCUUUGAGGUAGCGGUAAGGUCUGCAUGCACUCUACCUUCCUCGCACCCAACUUUGUGAGACUACACUAGGUAUGUUGUUGUAUUGAGCAGACUGUACUUUUGCACUGAAGUAUGUGUCCGGAUAGUCCAGAGUCUCGGUAGUUAACUCUCGGCCUCCCGGUCAAAAAACUACUCAUGAACUUGUGAAAGUUAUGCAAAUCACAGAACCUGCCUCCGAAUACUUCCAGCAGUUCCAAGCUGGCCAAGUCUUCAACUGGGGCAUUCAGGCGUUCAGGAAGAUUGAGGUAUUGAAGCCGGGGAAGUUUAGUUAAUAUCUCCUUUGGCAGUUCAUCGAGACCUGUUCUAACCAUAUCCAGAAAUUUAAACUUGACUAAGUUUUCCAUGCCUUGAGGUACUUCCUCAAUAUCAGUGCGAGAUACAUCUAAUACCCUCAGAUUUUUGAGCUUUCCCAGUGGUGGCACAGAUUUGAGCCGUCUGCAUCGUCGAAGUGAGAGUGCUCUAAGACUUUCCAAGUUAGAAAUGCAACUCGGCAAAUCCAUAAGCUCAGAGUUGUAGCUCAAGUCGAGUACUUGGAG
rnacentral:lncRNA from 1 species